GCCAGCAGCAGCACAACACAAACCCAUUAUGCCCAAAUCAUGUCUUUAAAGGGCAAUACAUCCCAGGGGCCAUAGUCACAGGGCAAGAGGCGGGCAAGCAGUCCUCUCCAGGCACAAGUGGCGAAGGGCACUUCGUCACAGCAGGCUACAUAUUUUGAGGGAACUAUGCCUGUUUAUCUUUCUAAAUCAAAUUGUGUAUGAAAGUAUAUUAAUUGGCAUAGAUUGUUGUUACCCAGAGAUUCUCACCACCUGGGUUAACAAUCCUGCCACACAUAUCUACAAACACUUUUUUAUUUGGCAACAAUUUUUAUUUUAUUUUAUUUUAUUUUUACUUCUAUUUGUAUUUUAUUUUAUUUAUUUAUUUGUAUCUCCAUUUCUAUUAACAUUCCUUUAGAAUUUAUUUAUUUGCUAGCUCCUGGAUUCCUAUUACUGCUGAUCUAGUGGAAAAUAUACUUUUAACAUUGUCUAAUAGGUUUUUGGAUGAUCCCUAUUUUUAUCCAGUUUUAGAGCUAUAGGUAUUAGGUCUAUUUCUCCCUCUAUUUCUUUGUAUAUUUUAUACAAGAAUUAAUCUUACUUACACAACAUAAUUAUAUUAACUCUCAGAUCCAGGACCUAAACAAUAAUAACACCCCAAAACAUAUAGUUGGCAACAAGUUACCCCCUCAAGUCUUAUCUCCCCGGAUACCCUGGAUCUGAGCACCUAACAUAUCCGAAAAGUGCUCAAAUCAGAGUUCCAUGGGUAUAAAACAUACUAGAAAUAAGGAAUUAACUGUUUGUGCGUACGCUCAUCCCAUGUAUCUUGUUCGGGUGUAUGCUCCCUCCGAAUGCCACUGUUCAUAUGAAAUCUGCCGAACAUAACCGGAGGUGGAAGUUCCAGUGGUGUUUGCGCCAUCAAGUAUCUGAUUUUAGUUCCAUACACUCGACGACCAAACACCGCUGUCUCUGUUCGCAAUGUGUUUGCACAUACCAACGGCGGCCACCCAGCCGACAGCUUAGAAUGUUAGUGUUAUUACAGUUUAUGGAGGUGUUGACUGAGGUUACUGGGGUCAACAAGCGGUUCACUCCACCUAUGGGGGGUCUGGCGUUCAGUGAUUUGUUCGGUUGUCAAACAGAAUACUAUUAAUAUGAAUGCAAUUUACCGAACAACCAUACGAACAGGGUAAAUAGCUGGAUAAUCCAGGGACAGGGUGAUCUGUCCCACACAUGCAAUAUAAGUAAAAACAAACAAAAUAACAGGGGAAAGAUACGGACAGCAGAUAGAAGGAAUAAAGGGUAAUGUUCAAAGGUUCAUUCCGCUACACCUAUUAUAUAUAUAUAUAUAUAUUUAGUACUGUAUAUAUAAAUUGAGAUAUGCUUAAUUGUUUUUCACUUUUUUCAUUCUAUUGGUCACUUGUCUCUUGAUCUGUGAAUAAAAUCAGCAUAUACUGUCCCCCAGCCAUCAAUCAUCUAUUUUUGGAGCCGCGGUUGGAAUUGUGAAUCCUGAAUUUAAUUGGACAUGCUUGGCCAUUGCGCGAUUCAUUUUGUUGAUGAUUCGGCUCAGGAAUUCGACUGAUCUCCCGAUUGUCCCAAAUUCAGACAAACUGCCGCUCGGACUGUGACAAAUAUCCAAACACAUGGUAUUGCCACUGCUGUUUGUUUAACCCUGCGUGACAUGUAUUCAUAUCAAUUUUUUAAACACUAAUCCUUUCCUGGAACACGUGACUGUGCCAACUAUAGGGAAUAAAAGUGUUUUAUCACUGUUUCCAUGUGUUUGAGAACGAAAUUGCGGCCUGGGAAUCAUGCAGCCAUGGGCUCGAGGUUACAUGGUCCCUGUAACUAAUAAACGAUCAGAUACAGCAAUGUAAUUACCAACAUGUCACAAAUAUGAGACAGCCAUUUUAUUUGACUCAAUUUGCAUUAUGUAAAGGUGAGGUGAGUGCCUCGGGGUGUUAGCUCUGCAGAGAAACCUGUCAAAUUAUUUCUCAACAUUUCUUUCCUCAGGGGCCCCAGUUCAUUUCUGAUUUACAACUUAAUAAAUUGCUGCAUUCAGGAAUGUGCGGAGAGUACAGUGUAAUGCUUGAAUUACGGCCAUCUUUCUGACCUGUGUAGUAUUUAUUUACAUGCGGUUAGAUCUCUGCCUCCGACGCUCAUGGGCAAUGUUUUAUCCUGCUGUUCGUACUCCAUAAAUAAUUUUUUGAAGAAAGAUUCUGACAUUCUUGAUGUUUCUUGGUAUUAAGCAAAGCUCAUUGUUGUUGCUGGAAUUGUUUAGUCUACUGUAGAUUUAUAAACGUGACGUGAGGGUGAUGAUGAGUAUGAGAAAACGCAUGUCUCAGAAAACCUGUCUUUAAAACUUUGUCUCGAGCAAUUCCCUGAAAUGCUCUGUAAAAAGCAUUAUGGAAAAGAUAGAUAUUGUCAAUAAAGGAUUUUGCCAAUGAGGUUGUGGAAUAGAUAUCAUAUAAAAGGGGUAGUCUAGACUCUAUGCCAUUGUAGUGUUUACGGUGCUAAUAGGCUGCGAGAACCCUGGUCCUGUGUCAAACCAUUUUUUGAGAGCUUUUGCCAAUACCAUACAUUUACAGGGAUAUUUACCAAAGUGAGAUUUGUCGGGAAUUCAAAGUGAAUUUUACAUUUAAGGUCGAAUUGGCGGAACUGGAAGUCUCACUUAGAGAAUUUUCCAUUUCAGCAAUCUCGGCCUUACUCUGAAUUGCUUACAAUUGUCCUUUUAGUAAAUAACCCAGGGUUUCACAGGAUGCAGCUCACCUCUCUAAUAACCCAUUAUCACAGAAUUACUUGGAGUUUCGGCUUUGCACUGUGUAUGUAUUACAGCACAGAUUUCUUAGACUCCUUAAACUAGCACGUGAAGGGAUACCCCCAUCACCAUUCGGCCAAUUGUACUCCCUUCUAUCAGCCUUCCCCAGUCAUUCGUUCUUUUGUUAUGUUCCAUUCGUUUGUUUUUUUCGGUUCCCGAACCGAGACCACCCCAGAAACUAAUUAGAACUUAGAACGUUGUGUAUCUAUACAAAAACGGCAGACUAAUUUAAUUCUCCUAGGUGGCUGCCAUUUCGUGCAUACGAAUGCAUGUGGUGAGAACAAUGGGUGGCGGCCAUCUUGUCUUCCGAACGCUGCCUGCGGGACUUGGUUUUGACCGUUCAACCCCCCAGGACCGAUCCACAAGCUCAGCCAGCAGCGGGAGAUACCAGACCCCAAUCCGGCACACGCCAACCAACCCUGGGCGCUCGGUCAACAACGAACCACGCUGUUAUCGCUGCAAGCAACUGGGACAUCUUUGUAAUAAUUGUCCCCUGGAAGCCCCCAGAUCUAACUGGACUCGGCCUGAGUUCUCCAACCCCCGGGCCACUGCACACUGCACCAACAACUUGGGACGCCAGAGAAUUGAGCCAUGAACGAGCCCAAGCAACCCACCUGCUGGAAGCCAAACAAGCCACGUUUUCCCUGAAACCCGGGUAUACCCCAUUAGCCAUUCAUAAAGUAGAAACCCCAGGCCAGACUCCCUUGAGUAAACCCCGUACUGCAUUCCGAAGCUGUCAAGGAAGGGAUGAGGAAAGAAAUAGAUGAGAUGCUUCACUUAGGGGUAAUAGAACACUCUGAGAGUCCUUGGGCGUCAUCUGUAGUCUUGGUGCCAAAACGGGAUGGUACAACCUGUUUCUGUGUCGAUUACAGGUGACUCAACAAUAAAACGGUAACUGACGCCUACCCAAUGCCCCGGGUAGAUGAAUUACUCGACCGUAUAUCUAAGGGACAAUAUCUGACCACUAUUGACCUCUGUAAGGGAUACUGGUAGAUCCCCUUAGCUGAAGAAGCUAUUCCUAAGUCAGCCUUCAUCACCCCAUUCAGCCUUUAUCAGUUUUGAGUUAUGCCGUUCGGGAUGAAGAACGCCCCAGCCACCUUCCAACGGAUGUCUGUUAGUCCGUUCUGUUACUUUAUAUCAUACUGUAUGUCUGUUAGUCCAUUCUGUUACUUUAUAUCUUACUGUAUGUCUGUUAGUAUGUCUGUUACUUUAUAUCUUACUGUUUGUCUGUUAGUAUGUCUGUUACUUUAUAUCUUACUGUUUGUCUGUUAGUAUGUCUGUUACUUUAUAUCUUACUGUUUGUCUGUUAGUCCGUUCUGUUACUUUAUAUCUUACUGUAUGUCUGUUAGUCCGUUCUGUUACUUUAUAUCUUACUGUAUGUCUGUAAGUAUGUCUGUUACUUUAUAUCUUACUGUAUGUCUGUUAGUAUGUCUGUUACUUUAUAUCUUACUGUAUGUCUGUUAGUCCGUUCUGUUACUUUAUAUCUUACUGUUUGUCUGUUAGUCCGUUCUGUUACUUUAUAUCUUACUGUUUGUCUGUUAGUAUGUCUGUUACUUUAUAUCUUACUGUAUGUCUGUUAGUAUGUCUGUUACUUUAUAUCUUACUGUAUGUCUGUUAGUCCGUUCUGUUACUUUAUAUCUUACUGUUUGUCUGUUAGUAUGUCUGUUACUUUAUAUCUUACUGUAUGUCUGUUAGUAUGUCUGUUACUUUAUAUCUUACUGUUUGUCUGUUAGUAUGUCUGUUACUUUAUAUCUUACUGUAUGUCUGUUAGUAUGUCUGUUACUUUAUAUCUUACUGUUUGUCUGUUAGUCCUUUAUGUUACUUUAUAUCUUACUGUAUGUCUGUUAGUCCAUUCUGUUACUUUAUAUCUUACUGUAUGUCUGUUAGUAUGUCUGUCACUUUAUAUCUUACUGUAUGUCUGUUAGUCCGUUCUGUUACUUUAUAUCUUACUGUAUGUCUGUUAGUAUGUCUGUUACUUUAUAUCUUACUGUAUGUCUGUUAGUCCGUUCUGUUACUUUAUAUCUUACUGUUUGUCUGUUAGUAUGUCUGUUACUUUAUAUCUUACUGUAUGUCUGUUAGUCCGUUCUGUUACUUUAUAUCUUACUGUAUGUCUGUUAGUCCAUUCUGUUACUUUAUAUCUUACUGUAUGUCUGUUAGUAUGUCUGUUACUUUAUAUCUUACUGUAUGUCUGUUAGUAUGUCUGUUACUUUAUAUCUUACUGUAUGUCUGUUAGUAUGUCUGUUACUUUAUAUCUUACUGUUUGUCUGUUAGUCCGUUCUGUUACUUUAUAUCUUACUGUAUGUCUGUUAGUAUGUCUGUUACUUUAUAUCUUACUGUAUGUCUGUUAGUAUGUCUGUUACUUUAUAUCUUACUGUAUGUCUGUUAGUCCGUUCUGUUACUUUAUAUCUUACUGUAUGUCUGUUAGUAUGUCUGUUACUUUAUAUCUUACUGUAUGUCUGUUAGUAUGUCUGUCACUUUAUAUCUUACUGUAUGUCUGUUAGUCCGUUCUGUUACUUUAUAUCUUACUGUAUGUCUGUUAGUCCGUUCUGUUACUUUAUAUCUUACUGUAUGUCUGUUAGUAUGUCUGUUACUUUAUAUCUUACUGUUUGUCUGUUAGUCCGUUCUGUUACUUUAUAUCUUACUGUAUGUCUGUUAGUCCGUUCUGUUACUUUAUAUCUUACUGUAUGUCUGUUAGUCCGUUCUGUUACUUUAUAUCUUACUGUAUGUCUGUUAGUCCGUUCUGUUACUUUAUAUCUUACUGUAUGUCUGUUAGUCCGUUCUGUUACUUUAUAUCUUACUGUUUGUCUGUUAGUCCGUUCUGUUACUUUAUAUCUUACUGUAUGUCUGUUAGUCCGUUCUGUUACUUUAUAUCUUACUGUAUGUCUGUUAGUAUGUCUGUUACUUUAUAUCUUACUGUUUGUCUGUUAGUCCGUUCUGUUACUUUAUCUUACUGUAUGUCUGUUAGUCCGUUCUGUUACUUUAUAUCUUACUGUAUGUCUGUUAGUCCGUUCUGUUACUUUAUAUCUUACUGUAUGUCUGUUAGUACGUUCUGUUACUUUAUCUCUUACUGUAUGUGUGUUAGUCCGUUCUGUUACUUUAUAUCUUACUGUAUGUCUGUUAGUAUGUCUGUUACUUUAUAUCUUACUGUUUGUCUGUUAGUAUGUCUGUUACUUUAUAUCUUACUGUAUGUCUGUUAGUAUGUCUGUUACUUUAUAUCUUACUGUUUGUCUGUUAGUCCGUUCUGUUACUUUAUAUCUUACUGUAUGUCUGUUAGUAUGUCUGUUACUUUAUAUCUUACUGUUUGUCUGUUAGUAUGUCUGUUACUUUAUAUCUUACUGUUUGUCUGUGUUACGACACGUACCGUCGGGUAGAUGAAGCCGCCGUUUAGGCAAUAAUCCCCUUCUCCAGAAAUGCAGGUUUAAAUCCAGCCGAUCGCCAAACUCCCGAACGAAGUCCGCGAACACGGCACCUCCCGAUCAGCCAAACAGUCGAACGCCUUCCACAGCUAGAAAUAACGAAAGCGCUGUCCCAGUAAUAAUUCCCCCCACAAACGAGACCAAGCUCCGUCUUGAGGGUCAAAUGAAGAUCUGUUUAAUGGGGCUACCUGCCCGGUAUUUAUGCAGGUCUCCACAAGGUGGACACUCCCCGAGGGGACCUUGUGGAAGACUGUAAAACAUAUUGUACAGUAGCCAAUCGCAGUGGCCUCAAUAAUAGCCCUUCCCAUCUUACCCACAAAUCCGUCUUCUCUACUCUGGAGAUAAUUAGGAAGAAACCCAAUUAUCUCCCAAGGUAGAGACAAUCGCCAUUUUAGUUUACAGUAACAAAAAUAUAUUAAAAUACAUAACGACAGAAAUACCGAAUGCAUAUGGUUCGUGUAACGUAUCCCCAGACAGCCUGGAUCUGAGGGCAUGUUUUCACCGAACAGCGCUCAGAUCCGAUGUAUCUAGUCGAAUCGCCAUGGAGUCAAAGUCUUUCACCAGUCCUUCGGUAUACGAAUGACUCCAUGGGAUGGCUGUCGGGGUAAAAGUCCAUACGACUGAAUAAAACUCCCGAGCGACCGACGUUCGCAUGCCUUGUCGAAAAGGAAGGUAGGCAGCAGCUUUUCAGCGGUGUUCGGUAGUUUAAGUGUCCGUUUUUAGUUCCAUACAGUUUGUACCGAACACAGCUCUGUGUUCGUAUGUCCCAAAAUGGCCGCUGCCUCGUGGUCGACAUGCGAACGACGACCACCCGUAUGAAUGGAAUGGAGAGGUGUCUGCGGUUAACCACAACGUUCUAAUUGGGGCCAAGAGGUUAACCAGCAGCACACUCCUCUCCUGGGUGGCCGUUCGUUCGGUAGUUUCGCAAAUACACGAACGGGGGUAUAUGAACAGGCAAUUCCGCGAACAACGGGAAACAGACGAACCAACAAUGCAGAUGAAUCUGUCACACGGCUCCCCCCUUGUGGGACACUCCGGCAGACCCGGCUUGACCCUUUAGCGGGUCAACGUGGGGAUGACCGGACUAAGAUGGGGUGAGGAUGUCGGUUUGCCUGGACAAUCCAUCUGCAUUCCCAUUCUGCUUGCCGGGUCGAUAAGUGAUGGUGAAGUUAUAGGGCUGUAGUGCUAAACUCCACCUCAGCAGUCGGCCAUUGUCUCCAGAGACCCGGUUAAGCCAGACAAGGGGAUUGUGGUCCGUCACAAGGGAAAAUUCUUGUCCAUAUAAAUACGGGCUUAGCUUCUUCAAUGCCCACUGCAGAGCCAAACAUUCCUUCUCCACUGCCGCAUAACUCACUUCUCUGGGUAACAACUUUCUGCUGAGAUAUGCGACAGGGUGCUCUCCUCCAUCUUCCCCGACCUGGCUCAGCACAGCCCCCAGUCCAUACGUGGAAGCAUCUGUAUGGACGAGAAAACGUUUGUUAGGGACUGGGGCAGCCAGGACAGGGGCAUUCACAAGAGCAUGUUUGAGUGCUUGGAACGCAGCUUCACAAGCCGGAGACCACAGGACCUGCUUAGGAAGAUUCUUCUUGGUCAAGUCAGUCAGGGGUUUAGCAAUAGAACUGUAGUCGGGGACGAAGCGCCUAUAGUAUCCUGCUGUCCCUAGGAAGGCUAACACCUGGGUCUUGGUGAUAGGUGUGGGCCAGUUAGCCACUGCCUCUAUCUUGGCUGGCUCUGGCCUCUGGCUCCCACACCCUACUCUGUGACCCAGGUACUGCACUUCAGCCAUGCCUAAAUGGCACUUCUCUGGCUUCAAUGUCAGGCCAGCAGCCCGAAUCUUGUCCAGCACCACCCCUACAUGUACUAGGUGUUCUUCCCAGGACUCACUGUAGAUCGCAAUGUCAUCCAGGUAUGCACAAGCAAAUUCCUGGAAUCCAUCAAGAAGUCUAUCCACCAUACGCUGGAAGGUAGCCGGGGCAUUCUUCAUCCCAAAUGGCAUGACCUUAAAUUGGUACAGGCCAAAUGGGGUGACGAAGGCCGACUUGGGGAUAGCAUCCUCGGCCAGGGGAAUCUGCCAGUAGCCUUUGCACAGGUCUAUGGUGGUCAGAUAGUGUCCCCUGGCAAUGCGAUCUAACAAUUCAUCUACCCGGGGCAUCGGGUAGGCGUCAGUGAUGGUCCGCUCAUUGAGACGCCUGUAGUCCACACAGAACCGGGUGGUCCCAUCCUUCUUGGGCACCAGGACUACAGGCGAGGCCCAAGGGCUAUCGGAGUGUUCGAUGACCCCCAGCUGGGUCAUCUCCUGUAUCUCCUUCCGCAUUCCUUCCCGGACUGCUUCAGGGAUACGGUAAGGGGGUUGUCGCAGAGGGUUCUGUCCAGGGGUUUCUACCUUGUGUACAGCUAGGGUAGUGUAACCAGGUUCUUGGGAGAAGGUCGCCUGCUUCUCCCACAAAAGCUGUCUUGCCUGGCCCUUCUCGGUAGCGCUCAAUCUGUCCCCUAGCUGUACUAGGCUAGUAAGAUCCGUCUGGGGGUCCCUCUCUAACAGGUCUGGCAAGGGUAAACUUUCUGUAUCAUCUGCAGCAGGGGCACAUACUGCAGCGACAUUCUCCGGUCUCUCCUGAUACUCCUUUAGCAUGUUCACAUGGAAGGAUCGCUGGAUCCUUUCAUCUGAACAGCUGGCUAUAAGGUAGGUAGUAUCACAUAUCUGUGCUAACACCUUAUACGGGCCCUGCCAAGAUGCCUGCAUCUUGUUCGCCUUCACAGGUUUGAGCACUAGUACCUUCUGCCCAACCUGGAAAACUCGCUGUCAGGCACCCCGAUCGUACCACCUCUUCUGUCUCCCCUGAGCCACCUGGAGAUUCUCCCUUACGAUUAGGGACAGUUUCUCCAUGCGGUCCCGGAGUUCCAGAACAUAUGGCACUAUGGGGGUCCCUUCCUGCUCUGUCUCCCCCUCCCAGUGGCCUCUAAUGAGAUCUAGGGGUCCGCGGACCCUUCUCCCAUAUAGCAACUCAAAGGGGGAGAACCCAGUAGAUUCCUGAGGCACCUCUCUGUAGGCAAACAACAGAUGAGGCAGGAAUCGCUCCCAGUCUCUGCAAGUGUCAGAAAAGGUCCUCAGCAUCUGUUUGAGGGUGCCAUUAAAUCGCUCGCAGAGACCGUUAGUCUGUGGAUGGUAAGGUGAGCUAAGCAGCGGUUUAAUACCGCACACCUUCCACAGUUGCUGGGUGAGCACAGCGGUGAAUUGGGUUCCCUGGUCAGAGAGAAUCUCUUGAGGGAACCCGACUCUGGUAAAAAUCCUAACCAGGGCAUCAGCAACUGUCUCUGCCUCUAUAUUAGACAGCGCUACUGCCUCUGGAUAGCGAGUGGCAUAAUCCACCACGGUGAGAAUAUAUUUCUUACCGGAUGGACUAGCCCUGGCCAGUGGACCCACAAUGUCAACGGCUAUGCGGGCAAAGGGCUCCCCAAUGAUAGGCAUAGACAUAAGCCUAGCUCUUGGGUGGUCCCCCCGCUUUCCUAUCCGUUGACAUGUGUCACACGUACUGCAGUAUGUCCGCACAGCCUGAUUGAAGUUUGGCCAAAAAAAGUUCUGCAUGAUCCUAUAGGCUGUGCGGCGGGAACCUAGAUGUCCAGCUAGCGGAACAUCAUGCCCUAUCCGCAGAAUCUCCUGCCGGUAUUUCGCGGGCACUACCAGCUGUCGAUUCGGCGGAGGGGCAACACUCUUCGGGGAAAGCUUGGGGAUCCUAUAUAACCUGUCCCCCACCCACUCAUACCGUUCUCCAUCUAAUCCUUCCUCUCCAGUAUCCGCUCUGUCCCUAUACUUCUGGAGGGUCAAAUCUGUCUGAGUUUCCCUCCCAAACUCCUCUGGGGAGUCCCAGUUAACAAAGGUCGGUCCUAGGGUACCAGUCGGGGACUCGGUCCUUACCUGGGUCUCAGCAGCAGGUGGGCUGGUUCCAGCAGCACGGGUCUGGGCACGGGUAGUCACUGGGUUGAUAGCGGCAGGUCCCAUUGGAGCAUAGGCGGACACCAAAGGGGCCAAGUCGUUCCCAAGCAAAACAUCAGCCGGUAAGUCUUUCAUGACCCCCACAUUCACGUGUCCAGAGCCCACCCCCCAAUCCAAGUGAACCCGGGCAACCGGUAAGCGGAACACUGCACCUCCCGCCACCCUCACUGCCACAGUAUCUCCAGUGUGCUGGUGUUCUGAAACAAGGUUCUUUUGGAGCAAAGUCAUAGUGGCUCCGGUGUCUCUCAGACCAGUUACCGCUUUGCCAUUUAGUUUAACGGUCUGCCUGUGCUGUUGGCGGUUAUCCUGCUGCGCUGCUUGUACUGGAUCCGCCUCGUGUAAUAUACCCCAAAAUUCCUCCUGCUCAAGACAGUGAGCGGAAGGUGGGGGUGGCUGCUGAUUUCCGCCGGCUGGUCUUCUCCACGACUGUGCUUGGUUCGAAUUGUUUAAUGGGCACUCAGGUCGCUUGUGCCCCAACUGCUUACACCCAUAGCAACGGAUCGGCUGUGAAUAAUCUCGGGCGUUGAAUCGGGCUGGCUGAACGUAAUUGUUCGCUGUUGGCAUGGUGGGGGUGCGUUGUGCUGGGUGUUGAUACACUGCAGAGGUUGGAGGGGCUGCUGGUUUGUACUCCACUCGGGUAGGGACCUUGGCUGCUGUCUGGUCCAGUUUCCUGGCAUCAGUGUACUCAUCAGCCAGACGAGCAGCUUCGGGCAAGGUAGCGGGUUUGCGGUCCCUAACCCACUCUCUGACUCCUACAGGUAAGCGGUCAAAACAGUGCUCCAACAAAAAUACUUGCAGCACCUCUUCCCCAGUUACCGCUUGGCACCCUGCCAUCCAGUGGGCUGCGGUGCGGUGUACUCGGCAUGCCCACUCAACAUAAGAAUCACCAGCCUGCUUGUUAGUGUCCCGGAAUCGCCGCCGGUAUGCCUCAGGGGUCACAGCGUAUCUGGCCAAAAGGGCAUCUUUCACUGCCCUGUAGCUGGUAAGUUCCUCCUCUGGGAUGGCCCGAAACGCCUCACUGGCCCGGCCGGAUAACUUCCCAGAGAGGAUGGGGACCCAUUCUCCUGCGGGUACCUGGUGCAAGGCACAUUGCCUUUCAAAGUCCGCCAGGAACCCAUCAAUUUCUCCUUCGGCUUCUACAAAGUUCCGAAAUGCAGCAAAAGGUACUUUUCUCCUUCCAUUAUUAUUAAACGGUACCUCAGCUGCUGCAGCGCCUCUUCCUUGAAGCGCCUGUUGUGCUGCUACUGCCGCUUGCACUUGCACCACAAUAUCUGCUGCGGGGUUGGGGCCAAAAUGUGCCAGCCUGAUCUGAACUGCCCGGUUAAACUGUAUCUCCUCGGGUGUUAACUCCAGUAUGCCAGGCACAUCCGCUCUUCCCGUUCCCUGUGCUGCAUCCAUUUCCAAUAGUAUGGCAAUAAUCUCUCUUUUCUUGAGAUUACUCGCUGAUCGUCCUCUGCGUUCCAAUAUAUCUUUAAGGGUAGCACGCCUUAAUUCCUCAUACUGCAUUUCCAACCUGGGAUGUGUAGCUGGCCUUCUGGGCUGUAGGAUUCAUCCCGUCGCUUGCCACCAAUUGUUACGACACGUACCGUCGGGUAGAUGAAGCCGCCGUUUAGGCAAUAAUCCCCUUCUCCAGAAAUGCAGGUUUAAAUCCAGCCGAUCGCCAAACUCCCGAACGAAGUCCGCGAACACGGCAACUCCCGAUCAGCCAAACAGUCGAACGCCUUCCACAGCUAGAAAUAACGAAAGCGCUGUCCCAGUAAUAAUUCCCCCCACAAACGAGACCAAGCUCCGUCUUGAGGGUCAAAUGAAGAUCUGUUUAAUGGGGGCUACCUGCCCGGUAUUUAUGCAGGUCUCCACAAGGUGGACACUCCCCGAGGGGACCUUGUGGAAGACUGUAACACAUAUUGUACAGUAGCCAAUCGCAGUGGCUUCAACAGUAGCCCUUCCCAUCUUGCCCAUAAUUCCGUCUUCUUUACCUUGGAGAUAAUUGGGGAAGAAACCUAAUUAUCUCCCAAGGUAGAGACCAUCGCCAUCUUAAUUUACAGUAACACAAAGACAUUAAAAUGCAUAACUACAGAAAUACCGAAUGCAUAUGGUUCGUGUAACGUAUCCCCAGACAGCCUGGAUCUGAGGGCAUGUUUUCACCGAAUAGCGCUCAGAUCCGAUGUAUCUAGUCGAAUCGCCAUGGAGUCAAAGUCUUUCACCAGUCCUUCGGUAUACGAAUGACUCCAUGGGAUGGCUGUCGGGGUAAAAGUCCAUACGAAUGAAUAAAACUCCCGAACGACCGACGUUCGCAUGCCUUGUCGAAAAGGAAGGUAGGCAGCAGCUUUUCAGCGGUGUUCGGUAGUUUAAGUGUCCGUUUUUAGUUCCAUACAGUUUGUACCGAACACCGCUCUGUGUUCGUAUGUCCCAAAAUGGCCGCUGCCUCGUGGUCGACAUGCGAACGACGACCACCCGUACGAAUGGAAUGGAGAGGUGUCUGCGGUUAACCACAACGUUCUAAUUGGGGCCAAGAGGUUAACCAGCAGCACACUCCUCUCCUGGGUGGCCGUUCGUUCGGUAGUUUCAAUCGGCAUUUUGCAAAUACACGAACGGGGGUAUAGGAACCGGCAAUUCCGCGAACAAAGGGAAACAGACGAACCAACAAUGCAGAUGAAUCUGUCACAGUCUGUUAGUCCGUUCUGUUACUUUAUAUCUUACUGUAUGUCUGUUAGUAUGUCUGUCACUUUAUAUCUUACUGUAUGUCUGUUAGUAUGUCUGUUACUUUAUAUCUUACUGUUUGUCUGUUAGUAUGUCUGUUACUUUAUAUCUUACUGUUUGUCUGUUAGUAUGUCUGUUACUUUAUAUCUUACUGAAUGUCUGUUAGUAUGUCUGUCACUUUAUAUCUUACUGUAUGUCUGUUAGUCCGUUCUGUCACUUUAUAUCUUACUGUUUGUCUGUUAGUAUGUCUGUUACUUUAUAUCUUACUGUAUGUCUGUUAGUCCGUUCUGUUACUUUAUAUCUUACUGUAUGUCUGUUAGUAUGUCUGUUACUUUAUAUCUUACUGUAUGUCUGUUAGUCCAUUCUGUUACUUUAUAUCUUACUGUAUGUCUGUUAGUCCGUUCUGUUACUUUAUAUCUUACUGUAUGUCUGUUAGUAUGUCUGUUACUUUAUAUCUUACUGUAUGUCUGUUAGUCCGUUCUGUUACUUUAUAUCUUACUGUUUGUCUGUUAGUAUGUCUGUUACUUUAUAUCUUACUGUAUGUCUGUUAGUCCGUUCUGUUACUUUAUAUCUUACUGUAUGUCUGUUAGUCCAUUCUGUUACUUUAUAUCUUACUGUAUGUCUGUUAGUAUGUCUGUUACUUUAUAUCUUACUGUUUGUCUGUUAGUACGUUCUGUUACUUUAUAUCUUACUGUAUGUCUGUUAGUCCGUUCUGUUACUUUAUAUCUUACUGUAUGUCUGUUAGUCCGUUCUGUUACUUUAUAUCUUACUGUAUGUCUGUUAGUAUGUCUGUUACUUUAUAUCUUACUGUAUGUCUGUUAGUAUGUCUGUUACUUUAUAUCUUACUGUUUGUCUGUUAGUCCGUUCUGUUACUUUAUAUCUUACUGUUUGUCUGUUAGUCCGUUCUGUUACCUUAUAUCUUACUGUAUGUCUGUUAGUAUGUCUGUUACUUUAUAUCUUACUGUUUGUCUGUUAGUAUGUCUGUUACUUUAUAUCUUACUGUAUGUCUGUUAGUAUGUCUGUUACUUUAUAUCUUACUGUUUGUCUGUUAGUCCUUUAUGUUACUUUAUAUCUUACUGUAUGUCUGUUAGUCCAUUCUGUUACUUUAUAUCUUACUGUAUGUCUGUUAGUAUGUCUGUCACUUUAUAUCUUACUGUAUGUCUGUUAGUCCGUUCUGUUACUUUAUAUCUUACUGUAUGUCUGUUAGUCCUUUAUGUUACUUUAUAUCUUACUGUAUGUCUGUUAGUAUGUCUGUCACUUUAUAUCUUACUGUAUGUCUGUUAGUCCGUUCUGUUACUUUAUAUCUUACUGUAUGUCUGUUAGUCCUUUAUGUUACUUUUUAUCUUACUGUAUGUCUGUUAGUCCGUUCUGUUACUUUAUAUCUUACUGUAUGUCUGUUAGUAUGUCUGUUACUUUAUAUCUUACUGUAUGUCUGUUAGUAUGUCUGUUACUUUAUAUCUUACUGUUUGUCUGUUAGUCCGUUCUGUUACUUUAUAUCUUACUGUAUGUCUGUUAGUCCGUUCUGUUACUUUAUAUCUUACUGUAUGUCUGUUAGUCCGUUCUGUUACUUUAUAUCUUACUGUAUGUCUGUUAGUACGUUCUGUUACUUUAUAUCUUACUGUAUGUGUGUUAGUCCGUUCUGUUACUUUAUAUCUUACUGUAUGUCUGUUAGUAUGUCUGUUACUUUAUAUCUUACUGUUUGUCUGUUAGUAUGUCUGUUACUUUAUAUCUUACUGUAUGUCUGUUAGUCCAUUCUGUUACUUUAUAUCUUACUGUAUGUCUGUUAGUCCGUUCUGUUACUUUAUAUCUUACUGUAUGUCUGUUAGUAUGUCUGUUACUUUAUAUCUUACUGUAUGUCUGUUAGUCCGUUCUGUUACUUUAUAUCUUACUGUUUGUCUGUUAGUAUGUCUGUUACUUUAUAUCUUACUGUUUGUCUGUUAGUCCGUUCUGUUACUUUAUAUCUUACUGUUUGUCUGUUAGUAUGUCUGUUACUUUAUAUCUUACUGUAUGUCUGUUAGUACGUUCUGUUACUUUAUAUCUUACUGUAUGUCUGUUAGUAUGUCUGUUACUUUAUAUCUUACUGUUUGUCUGUUAGUCCGUUCUGUUACUUUAUAUCUUACUGUAUGUCUGUUAGUCCGUUCUGUUACUUUAUAUCUUACUGUAUGUCUGUUAGUAUGUCUGUUACUUUAUAUCUUACUGUAUGUCUGUUAGUAUGUCUGUUACUUUAUAUCUUACUGUUUGUCUGUUAGUCCGUUCUGUUACUUUAUAUCUUACUGUAUGUCUGUUAGUCCGUUCUGUUACUUUAUAUCUUACUGUAUGUCUGUUAGUCCGUUCUGUUACUUUAUAUCUUACUGUUUGUCUGUUAGUCCGUUCUGUUACUUUAUAUCUUACUGUAUGUCUGUUAGUCCGUUCUGUUACUUUAUAUCUUACUGUAUGUCUGUUAGUAUGUCUGUUACUUUAUAUCUUACUGUAUGUCUGUUAGUAUGUCUGUUACUUUAUAUCUUACUGUAUGUCUGUUAGUAUGUCUGUUACUUUAUAUCUUACUGUAUGUCUGUUAGUCCGUUCUGUUACUUUAUAUCUUACUGUAUGUCUGUUAGUAUGUCUGUUACUUUAUAUCUUACUGUAUGUCUGUUAGUAUGUCUGUUACUUUAUAUCUUACUGUUUGUCUGUUAGUCCGUUCUGUUACUUUAUAUCUUACUGUAUGUCUGUUAGUCCGUUCUGUUACUUUAUAUCUUACUGUAUGUCUGUUAGUAUGUCUGUUACUUUAUAUCUUACUGUUUGUCUGUUAGUCCGUUCUGUUACUUUAUAUCUUACUGUAUGUCUGUUAGUCCGUUCUGUUACUUUAUAUCUUACUGUAUGUCUGUUAGUCCGUUCUGUUACUUUAUAUCUUACUGUAUGUCUGUUAGUAUGUCUGUUACUUUAUAUCUUACUGUAUGUCUGUUAGUAUGUCUGUUACUUUAUAUCUUACUGUUUGUCUGUUAGUCCGUUCUGUUACUUUAUAUCUUACUGUAUGUCUGUUAGUCCGUUCUGUUACUUUAUAUCUUACUGUAUGUCUGUUAGUCCGUUCUGUUACUUUAUAUCUUACUGUAUGUCUGUUAGUAUGUCUGUUACUUUAUAUCUUACUGUAUGUCUGUUAGUAUGUCUGUUACUUUAUAUCUUACUGUUUGUCUGUUAGUCCGUUCUGUUACUUUAUAUCUUACUGUAUGUCUGUUAGUCCGUUCUGUUACUUUAUAUCUUACUGUAUGUCUGUUAGUCCAUUCUGUUACUUUAUAUCUUACUGUAUGUCUGUUAGUAUGUCUGUUACUUUAUAUCUUACUUUAUGUCUGUUAGUAUGUCUGUUACUUUAUAUCUUACUGUUUGUCUGUUAGUAUGUCUGUUAUUUUAUAUCAUACUGUUUGUCUGUUAGUAUGUCUGUUACUUUAUAUCUUACUGUAUGUUUGUUAGUAUGUCUGUUACUUUAUAUCUUACUGUUUGUCUGUUAGUAUGUCUGUUACUUUAUAUCUUACUGUAUGUCUGUUAGUCCAUUCUGUCACUUUAUAUCUUACUGUAUGUCUGUUAGUAUGUCUGUUACUUUAUAUCUUACUGUUUGUCUGUUAGUAUGUCUGUUACUUUAUAUCUUACUGUUUGUCUGUUAGUAUGUCUGUUACUUUAUAUCAUACUGUAUGUCUGUUAGUCCGUUCUGUUACUUUAUAUCUUACUGUUUGUCUGUUAGUAUGUCUGUUACUUUAUAUCUUACUGUUUGUCUGUUAGUCCGUUCUGUUACUUUAUAUCUUACUGUAUGUCUGUUAGUCCAUUCUGUUACUUUAUAUCUUACUGUAUGUCUGUUAGUAUGUCUGUUACUUUAUAUCUUACUGUAUGUCUGUUAGUAUGUCUGUUACUUUAUAUCUUACUGUAUGUCUGUUAGUCCGUUCUGUUACUUUAUAUCUUACUGUAUGUCUGUUAGUAUGUCUGUUACUUUAUAUCUUACUGUAUGUCUGUUAGUAUGUUCGUUACUUUUAUAUCUACCGUUUGGUUCGUUAGUCCGUCGCUUCUGCUACUUUUGUAUAUCUUACUGUAUGUCUGUUAGUCCGUUCUGUUACUUUAAAUCUUACUGUAUGUCUGUUAGUCCGUUCUGUUACUUUAUAUCUUACUGUUUGUCUGUUAGUCCGUUCUGUUACUUUAUAUCUUACUGUUUGUCUGUUAGUAUGUCUGUUACUUUUUUAUCUUACUGUAUGUCUGUUAGUCCGUUCUGUUACUUUAUAUCUUACUGUUUGUCUGUUAGUCCGUUCUGUUACUUUAUAUCUUACUGUUUGUCUGUUAGUAUGUCUGUUACUUUAUAUCUUACUGUAUGUCUGUUAGUAUGUCUGUUACUUUAUAUCUUACUGUUUGUCUGUUAGUAUGUCUGUUACUUUAUAUCUUACUGUAUGUCUGUUAGUAUGUCUGUCACUUUAUAUCUUACUGUAUGUCUGUUAGUCCGUUCUGUCACUUUAUAUCUUACUGUUUGUCUGUUAGUAUGUCUGUUACUUUAUAUCUUACUGUAUGUCUGUUAGUCUGUUCUGUUACUUUAUAUCUUACUGUAUGUCUGUUAGUAUGUCUGUUACUUUAUAUCUUACUGUAUGUCUGUUAGUCCAUUCUGUUACUUUAUAUCUUACUGUAUGUCUGUUAGUCCGUUCUGUUACUUUAUAUCUUACUGUAUGUCUGUUAGUAUGUCUGUUACUUUAUAUCUUACUGUAUGUCUGUUAGUAUGUCUGUUACUUUAUAUCUUACUGUUUGUCUGUUAGUCCGUUCUGUUACUUUAUAUCUUACUGUAUGUCUGUUAGUAUGUCUGUUACUUUAUAUCUUACUGUUUGUCUGUUAGUCCAUUCUGUUACUUUAUAUCUUACUGUAUGUCUGUUAGUCCGUUCUGUUACUUUAUAUCUUACUGUUUGUCUGUUAGUAUGUCUGUUACUUUAUAUCUUACUGUUUGUCUGUUAGUCCGUUCUGUUACUUUAUAUCUUACUGUUUGUCUGUUAGUAUGUCUGUUACUUUAUAUCUUACUGUAUGUCUGUUAGUACGUUCUGUUACUUUAUAUCUUACUGUAUGUCUGUUAGUAUGUCUGUUACUUUAUAUCUUACUGUUUGUCUGUUAGUCCGUUCUGUUACGUUAUAUCUUACUGUUUGUCUGUUAGUAUGUCUGUUACUUUAUAUCUUACUGUAUGUCUGUUAGUAUGUCUGUCACUUUAUAUCUUACUGUAUGUCUGUUAGUAUGUCUGUUACUUUAUAUCUUACUGUAUGUCUGUUAGUAUGUCUGUUACUUUAUAUCUUACUGUUUGUCUGUUAGUAUGUCUGUUACUUUAUAUCUUACUGUAUGUCUGUUAGUAUGUCUGUUACUUUAUAUCUUACUGUUUGUCUGUUAGUCCGUUCUGUUACUUUAUAUCUUACUGUUUGUCUGUUAGUCCGUUCUGUUACUUUAUAUCUUACUGUAUGUCUGUUAGUAUGUCUGUUACUUUAUAUCUUACUGUAUGUCUGUUAGUAUGUCUGUUACUUUAUAUCUUACUGUUUGUCUGUUAGUAUGUCUGUUACUUUAUAUCUUACUGUUUGUCUGUUAGUAUGUCUGUUACUUUAUAUCUUACUGUUUGUCUGUUACUUUAUAUCUUACUGUAGUAUGUCUGUUACUUUAUAUCUUACUGUUUGUCUGUUAGUCCGUUCUGUUACUUUAUAUCUUACUGUUUGUCUGUUAGUAUGUCUGUUACUUUAUAUCUUACUGUAUGUCUGUUAGUAUGUCUGUUACUUUAUAUCUUACUGUAUGUCUGUUAGUCCGUUCUGUUACUUUAUAUCUUACUGUAUGUCUGUUAGUAUGUCUGUUACUUUACUUUAUAUCUUACUGUAUGUCUGUUAGUCCGUUCUGUUACUUUAUAUCUUACUGUAUGUCUGUUAGUCCAUUCUGUUACUUUAUAUCUUACUGUAUGUCUGUUAGUAUGUCUGUUACUUUAUAUCUUACUGUUUGUCUGUUAGUACGUUCUGUUACUUUAUAUCUUACUGUAUGUCUGUUAGUCCGUUCUGUUACUUUAUAUCUUACUGUAUGUCUGUUAGUCCAUUCUGUUACUUUAUAUCUUACUGUAUGUCUGUUAGUCCGUUCUGUUACUUUAUAUCUUACUGUAUGUCUGUUAGUAUGUAUUUUACUUUAUAUCUUACUGUAUGUCUGUUAGUCCAUUCUGUUACUUUAUAUCUUACUGUAUGUUUGUUAGUCCGUUCUGUUACUUUAUAUCUUACUGUUUGUCUGUUAGUAUGUCUGUUACUUUAUAUCUUACUGUAUGUCUGUUAGUACGUUCUGUUACUUUAUAUCUUACUGUAUGUCUGUUAGUAUGUCUGUUACUUUAUAUCUUACUGUAUGUCUGUUAGUCCGUUCUGUUACGUUAUAUCUUACUGUAUGUCUGUUAGUAUGUCUGUUACUUUAUAUCUUACUGUAUGUCUGUUAGUAUGUCUCUUACUUUAUAUCUUACUGUAUGUCUGUUAGUCCUUUAUGUUACUUUAUAUCUUACUAUUUCAAGCCGCUAACAGCUUGCUCUUAGUUUUACAGGUGAUGGUUCUAGCAGUUUUGGGCCUUUUCACAUUUAGUGUUUAGUAAGGAUGGUCUCCCAGAAGAGCUUAUACUCUGUACAUGGGUGGUUGGUGGUAUCCAGUGUGUGGGACCUCCAGCAUGUGUACAUAGAUUGAUAACUAUAGAAGAAUACUGAAUGCCUGUUUCUCCAGAAUGUAAUAAAAACAAACCAUUGAGUUCAUACGUUCUCUUUAGUCCUGGCACGGAAUGAGUGUCUAUAAUUUACAUGUACAACAAAUACUUUCAAUAAGAAUAAUGCAUGGACUUGCUCCCAGCAGAAGGCAUCUGUGAUGCUCACAGAACGGAUGGGAACGCAGAGCUGGGUCUCAGGUGUGCACCCAGAAUUCUUAAACGAACCCUUCAACUUCACAAAAGAAACUUAUUUGAAGCGGAAAAUGUCUCCUGUGAGUUACAGUUUCUGCCAACUAAGUAGCAGACUAACGAAGCCUUUGAUGUACCAAAGAACAGUCGAUGAGAUAGCAGGCAGUAACCGCGCUUCUUUUACAACGCUAAAUUAUUGGUGAGCUUGGCAUCAUCCACAAAUAUUUACAGGAAUGCAGUAUGGUUUGUGCAAAGGAAUGGCUAAACUAAAGGUCACAUUUAGAUGGUUGUUAAGAAGAACAAGAAAUGAUGUUCUCGAUAUUUUUUUUAAGUUUUAAGUGUUUUAUAGAAUUACCCCAGUGCAAUAAUUAGCAAAAGACACAAAUAAGAAAAGUUUUAAAAAGAAACACUUCAUCUUUUUCUAUAUUUACCCUUAAGGUCAGAGAUGAAGAUACUCAAUGUAUUAUUAUUAUUAUUAUUAUUAUAUUGUAUUAAUUAGAAACGCCCUAAAUGCUAUAAUAAUGUGUUUCCAUCACCCAAACCAAAAUUAAAUACAGCGCUCGAGUGAAAGAAUGAAAGUGGGAUGCAUUUCCUUUUUUAGAUUUUUCAAGAUUAUUGAAAUAUUCUAUUAAUAUGAACUAUUAACAAGAAAUGAUCAUUUGAUUUCUAAUAGUUCAUUAUCUUGUUUUGUGUGAUUUAGUUUAUAAAGUCAACCAGGACAAUUUGCAGCCGAUUAACCAUUAUUUUUAUUUACGUGUUGCAAAUUAGGUGAUUUCAUGUUUCCUGGUAGAAUGGAUAUUUUUUGUUUUUGCCAACCAAAAAGUCCUUAUUUUGAAAUGAUGCAAUUUAAUGAUUUGCAAUGUCUGGUUGCCCGAGGCUCCGUGAUAGUUAUGUGAUUUCUCCUCAUAGUUCGUUAUCAGCUGACGGUUACCUGAGUGCGCCAAUGGAUUCAACUGACGUUUCAAGUGGAACCACUGGCCAUUGUUUCAGAUCACGGAUAAUGCACAGAUCUCAUUAUCCAGCCAAUUAGAGUACAGCCAAGUAACACACGCAGCUUUAAUAACGCUAUAUAAAAUGGCUGUACCCUCUCUGGGAUCUGUGGUUUAGCAAAUUUGUUCCUAGAAUGUUGUAACAUGUAGGGCGGAGAGUAGAAAGGGUCCCAGAACAGUUAAUAAUACACUUCACAUACUGCUCACAUACCGUAAAUUUUAAUGUUCCAUUUCUGCAGUCUGGAAGUAUAAAAACAUGGUAGAAAGGAUGAGGAGGGAAGAGAAGGUGGGGGGAUGGGGGUCUGUAUAGGAAGUUGUUAUUGUGUCUUUAUAACACACAUUUGAUUAUUGCUUACAUUUUUAUAAAAUGCUAAUGUGAAAUCUAUUGAUGUCAAUGCUGACAUAAAUUAAAUCAUAAACCAUUACUUUUUACUUGCAAAAUACAAAGGUAAAAGGUGUGGUAUGCAGGUCUAUAGAAAGAAACAUUGAGCUUUCAGUCUGAUAAUUUUCAGUCAGAUAUGAGCAAUAACAGCCAACACAUUUUCUGAUAGUAACCUGAAUAGAAGGACAUCUUGAGAUGGCACUAGAGGACCGUAACACCUCACUGGUUAGAUGGACACCCAUGAAACUGAACAUAGGUAGAGCAGCCGCCAAACAUGAUUAUGGCAAAUCAAACCACUGGCACAGGAUGAAGCCGUAUCAGGGUAAAUGUAAGUGAGAUAGCAGAGGAGGGACAGUGAGAGGGCAUAAACAGAUAGAAGAUGUCACCUGAUAGAGCUGAAAGGUUUCUAUCAGAAGAACACGGUAAUCAUAGAUAGUCCUAACGAGAAGGUGACGGAAUGUGGACUGAUGGCAAAGUAUUUAUCAGAGAACAUAAACCAUAAACCAAGAAAUGACUUAGAGAUUGGAUAACGCUUCCUGUAGUAUAACACCCUGUCCUAUAUUUGAUGUUUAGAGUAUAGAGAUAUUUAGGGCCCAUGGGAUAGGCCCAUUUAAAAAAAAAAAAAUUUACACACUACUCUUAGGUUCGCCACCUGACUGGUAAUUUAAGGCACAGCCGGUAUUUGGAGCUGCCUGGUUGUGACGGUAUUGCAGUAAUACAAAUGCAGAUAUUUUUCUCAGUAUAAAUGGAGAUUACUCUGCAAUACCAGCACUGUGUAUGGAGAGGAAGUUACAGCAUCUCCCUGCCUCUCUCUACUCACUGAUACGCUGGGGAGCAGCUACACAGCACAGAGAGUCCAGACAGCAGCUCCCAGCCUGCAGACUACAGCUCAGGUAUGUGAAGGAUGGGGGAAAGGCAGCAGGGAGCCAUGGGGACACUGAGACAUUAUGGGACACAGAGACACUAGGGGACACAGACACUAGGGGACACUGGGAGACAUGGGGACACUGAGCACUAGGGAACACACAGACACUGGGGACACUGGGAGACAUGGGGACACUGAGCACUAGGGGACACACAGACACUAUGGGACACAGACACUAGGGGACACUGGGAGACAUGGGGAAACUGAGCACUAGGGGACACACAGACACUCGGGGACACAGAGACAUGGGGAUGCUGUAAGACAUAGGGAGACACUAGGGACACAAUGUCUCCAUCUCUCCCAGUGUCCCAAUGUCUCCCAGCCAGUUUCCCUAGUGUCUCAGUGUCCCCAUGGCUCCCAGUGUCCCCUAGUCUCCCAGUGUCUGUGUCCCCAUGUCUUCCAGUGUCCCCAUGUCUCAGAGUGUCCCCAAAUCUUCCUGUGUGCACAUGUCUCCCAGCCAGUGUCUCAGUGACCCCAUGUCUCCCAGAGGCCCUAUGUCUCCCAGCCAGUGUCCCUAGUGUCUCAGUGUCCCCAUGUCUUCCAGUGUCUGUGUCCCCAUGUCUUUGUGUCCUUAGUGUCCCCAUGUCUCCCAGUGUCUCUAAGUGUCUGUGUCCCCAUGCCUCCCAGCCAGUGUCCCUAGUGUCUGUGUUCCCAUGUCUCUGUGUCCCAAGUGUCUUAGUUUCCCCAAAUGUCUGUUGUGACGAGACCAAUCUCGCCACAUUGCAUUGGAGAAGCCUGGUUGCUCGCCUGCUGCCUCUGGACUAUGGCCCCCUUUUAAAAGACUUUAUUUCGCCUGGAGAAAAGCUGUAUUUGUGCUUUUCUGCCAGUUGUUCGGUAGAUUCAAUCUACCGAACAACCGCACGAAUGAAUAGACCACCUGGGAGCUGGAGUGUGCCAGCAAUUAACCUCCCUGAAGCUGCGGUUAACCGCAGCUUAAUUGACGAAUGCUGGGUGGCCGCCAUUCGUAUCCCGAACAAGAGGUCGUGGCCAUUUUAAACAUACGAAUGCACAGCGGUGUUCGCCCCUAUGUUCAUGGAACUAAAAUCGGACACAGUUUUGCGCGAACACCGCUGAAGCCGCCGACCUCCCUUCUUGUUCGGUGGAAGUGCACGAGCGGCCCGGUGUUCGGUAGUUUUGGUUGAAUGUGUUAUACCCCAGAUAGGAAUCCCAUGGAGCCCAUUCGUAUGAAACUGACUGUAAAGACUUUGGCUCCAUGGCGAUUAAACUGUAUUCCUGUGGUCUGAGCGCCAUUCGCUUAAUAAUGUGCACUCAGACCUGAGCUAUCUGGGGAUAUGUUACAUGUCUGUGUUUUAUGUAAUAAAUGUUACUUUAUGUAUUUUAAAGUAUAAUACUGGUUUUGUAUCCCCACAUGUGUAAUGGAGUUUUGCCUUUGUCUUGGGAGAUAAUUUAAUUACUUCCCAAUUAUCUCCCAGGGUAGAGGGGAGGAAGCCAGGAUGCAUUGUGAGAAUAUAUUGUGACUGUGUGUCCUAUUUGUCUACUUGUCUGUCUUUUGUCACAGUCUCCCAUUUGGUCCCCUAGGGGAGUGUCCACCAGGUGGGAGACCUGCAUAAAUACUAGCCCUCAUUAAACAGACCACUGCUUGACCCUCAACACAGAGCUCUGUCUCGUCUUUGGGGGGAUUUACUGUAUGAUGCUAAGGACUGAUUGCCAGGAGUGUAAGCCGCUUGGGAGCUUUUCCUGUUCGUCUGGUAGCAGCAAUUCGUAUGGUUCCUGUUCGUGUAUUUGGAGUGCUACCUUAUUCCCUUGUAUGCCGUUUAGGAGUUUGGAGCAUUCACUUGUAUGCAGUUCGAGUGUUUGGACCAUUCCCUUGUAUGCAGUUCAAGUGUUUGGAGCAUUCCCUUGUAUGCCGUUCGGGAGUUUGGAGCAUUCACUUGUAUUCAGUUCGUGAGUUUUGGUGAUUCUACAGUAGCUGUGCCUGUCUCUGAAAGGGGAUUAUCGUCUAAGCGGUUUUUUCCCCUUUUUUGCAAAACGGUCCAUUACAUCUGUGUUCCUAUGUCUCCCAGCUUCUGUGUCCCCAGUGUCUGUGACCACAUUUCUCCCAGUGUCCCCAAAUGUCUGUGUCCCCAUGUCUCCCAGUGUCCUCAUGUCUGUAUCCACAAGUGCCCCUAUGUCUCUCAGUGUCCCCAAGUGUCUCAGUGCCCCCAUGUCUCCCAGUGCCCCCAAGUCUCCCAGUGUCCCUGGGUCUCUCAGUGACACAGGACACACUGAGAUAUGGGGACACUGGCAGAAAUGGGGACACAGGCACUGGGAGACUAGGAGACUGUGCGACAUGGGGACACUGACACUGUGAUACAUAGGGACAUGGAUGCCAGGCUAACCUUCCAAUUCUUUGGACAGACAUGCCCCCUUUUUGGGCAUGUUCACCCCUUUUCGCAGUUCAGGUCACAUGAUUCGCCUCAGUGGCCCACCUUUUUACCCCACCCAUUGACUUCCUGCUUCACUGGACACUGCUGUUAGGGGUUAUGGAUUUACUUGAAAGAUGAAAGCAUUAAUUAGAGAGAGAUUAGCACAGAGUAUGUGUUUUCUUAUAGCUGCAUCCUUUGAGUUUCCCUCCAGCACCAUCUCCAUCAGAUACAUGACGCUUGAGAGGUAUGACUGUUUUAGUGUUUUUGGUCGAUACGAUUCUGUAAUUAGGCCCAUCAUAAUUGUCAGCACCAGGCCCAGUGUGCUCUUAAUCCGGCCCUGAUGUGAUGUUUCCACAAACCCAGAAACAUGAAAUAUUGACUCUCUUCAUUUGCUCUAAGCACUUUCCACCCACCCACCUCAAUAUAGUAUAGUGAUAGACCAUAGUGAUAGAAUAUAGUACAGUAUAGUAAUAUUUAAAGUAUAGUGAUAGACCAUGUGGCGAAAGUAACCUCGCCACUUGUACUUGGAGGUGCCUGCUUGCCAGCCUCUUGCCCUGUGACUAUGGUCCCUUUAAUCUAUUUUGUCUGAGAGACCCUAAUUGUGCCUAUUGGGAUUUGGCACAAUGCCCCUUUAAACUAUAUUUAGAAUAUAGUGUUAUUCAGAGUAAAGUGAUAUUUAAAGUUUAGUGAUAUUUAUUUUUACUUAAAUCUAAGUUGUGAUGUAACUGUGAUCUAAUAGAUCAAGUUCUGUGAGUAUAGUGAUAUGUGAGAAAUCGUGCUAUUUUGAGCAUUUAAUUGGUAUUAUCAGUAAGGCCUUUCAUUUUGUCUCUCGAAUUAUUACUUUAUGUAACAUUUCAUUAUUUAUUUGUCCAUUUGCAAAGAUUGCAUAGUCCUUGGCUUGUUUAUUAUCUGUGUGGCGGACCUUAAACUAUCCCCUUCGGUUGCCCAUACCUAUUCUUUGCACCAAGAGGCAGUGGGCAUCGCCGCUGGAGGCAACUUUGCGGUUAACCUGUUCGAGAACGGUUUAAGCCCUUAAGGUAACAGGACCCCCGGAAGCCUCCUGGCACCAUAACAAUUUAAUUAAGAUGUUGUUAGAUUAGUUGUUUUUGUGCCUGUAGUGUUCCUUUAAAAUACUCUUUAAAUAUAAAUUUGUAAAGUAUUAAUUUCCUGACAUCCUGGUAAAAGAGGAUACAAGUGAUAUAAUGGGCUGGAUUUCAUAUCACAGCCAUGAGAUCAUUUUGCAAAAAAUGGUUGUCAUGCGCCAUCUGGUGGACAUUGUAAUUUUUACAGGUUCUUAUCUGCACAUCGAAAGCACACAUUUCAUAUUGAAUUGGAAUUCUUAGUGUUUUUUAUUAAACAGAGAAUUCUGAGGGAAAUUUAAGGUCGAACUAAUGACAUAGUGGAGAAGGGUGGAGCAUUUUUCCAGUUUGGCUAUUUUCAUCUUAAAUUUGAAGUUCACUUAGAAUUGUCUCUUUAGUAAAAAAACAAAACAAACAAAAAAAAACAUCUUAAUUAUUUCUCAGCUUUGGAACUCGUGUCUAAAGGAUUAUAUUAUAUUAAUGGAUGUAAAAUAUAGACAAAAUAAAGGAAGGGGUUAUAGUCAGGUGUGCCCUGGUGUCAAACCAUUGAGUGAGGUCUCUUUAGAAUAAAAGACGGCCAAUACAGUGCCGCACUCACCUAUUGCUCUCAGUCUGCGAGCGUUGACCUGUAACCAGAUUCUCCAGCUGCAGUGGUUAUGGUACUUGGGGUCUUCCUGCUCUGUUUCUGGGACUCCAAAAUCAUUUUUUAUCCUGUUUUUCUUGUAUUUUCAAUCUAGUUAUCUGCAUUCAGUAAAGGAGGUGCCCACGGUGCACAUAAUAAGAAAUACAGCAAAACGAUGAAUAAAUAAACUAAUCAUGUUUUAUAUGAUGUUUCAUUUUAUGAAUGCUAAGAAAUUAGCUGUAGGAUGCUAUGUAAAUCCCCUUAAAGAGACAUUAUAGUCACCAAAACAACUUUAGCUCAAAGAAGUAGUUAUGGUGUAUAGAACAUGCCCCUGCAGUCUUACUGCUCAAUUCUCUGCCAUUUACGAAUUAAAGCACUUUGUUUAUACAGCCCUAUGCACACCUCCCUGCUUGUGACUUACACAGCCUUUCUAAACACUUCCUGUAAAGAGAGAUGUACUGGGGUUUUCACUAAAAUUAGAAUUCAAAGUGAAAUUCAAAAUAAUAUCAAAAUAGCCAAACAUGAAAAAUGAUCUAAUUCAGCUAAACUUCCACUUUAACUACUUUGGAAUUAAAUUUGAAAUUCACUGUGAAUUCACAUUGGUGACUUUAGUAACCUUGCUAAUAUUUAGAUUUCCUUUAUUACAAAUUCUGUUUAAUCUAGAAUUUCUAAUCUCCUGAAUUCUUAAUAGCUUGCUAGACCUUGCAGGAGCCUCCUGAGUGUUUACAGUUCAAUUUAAAGAGCAGGCAAUAAAAACGUCCAAAGUAAACACACUGUGCAGUAAGAUCUGAUUAAAAAUGAAACCAUUUUUUUUCCCGCACAGACUGUGUCAGUCACUGCCAGGGAAGGUGUGGCAAGAGAUGCAUAAACAAAGUGAUUUAACUCCUUAAUGGCAGAGAAUUGAGCAGUGAGACUGCAGGGACAUGAUCUAUACACCAAAACUGCUUUAUUAAGAUAAAGUUGUUUUCAUGUAGCCCAUGGAUCAGUGCAGCUAAGAGGAAUAGGCCUUGACAGAGCCAGGAGGUAGGCAUAGCAGCCACAGGAAUUUAGUGACAGCUAGCAUGCUGGGCAGGACGGAGCCAUAAGGGGAGUAUUUAUACCAGCCAUUAUAUGAAGUGGCCAUUUUAACUGAACCUAAGCUUACCUGUCAGUUGUCCCUCCCACCCUCCCUGUAUUUGGUUAGGUUAGUUGAUUUCCCGUUUUUUCACAGCGGCGGGGAAUGGGCUGGUUAAAUCGGAGGGUAGAUGGAGGAGAAAGUGGGCAUCCUGAGGUUUAGUGUUGAUUGGGCAGUGUUGCACGUGAUUGGUAGGUUCGAGCCCGUCGGUGGCUCCGAACCUGGGGGUGUGGUGGUGUCUUGGUACACCCUACACUGGUACUGGUGGGUAGCGGUGUCUUGGUACACCCAUACAAUGGAUAUGGUGGGUAGCGGUGUCUUGGUACACCCCUACAAUCGAUAUGGUGGGUAGCGGUGUCUCGGUACACCCCUACAAUUUAACCUGGUGGACAUGUGGUCAAAUUGGGCAGCCAGUUUCUGUGUUAACAUGUUAUUUAGAUUGUUAUCUAUUGUUAUUAUUGUGGGGUCAUUGCUAGGGGUAUGUUAUGUAUAUGGGGGAGGUUAACAUUAUUAAGAUUUGUUGGCAAUGACCCCAUUUGUUAAUCCUUAAUUAUUUUAUUAAUAAUUUAAUAAAGCUGUGGACUAAUUAUUUCCAACAGUAUAACCUGUGUCCGUGUUUUAAUGGGGGUUUGGGUAAGGUUAGCGCAUAUGCCGGCAAAUCCGACUGUGCGCCUGUCAUGACUAUUGUAUCACUUUAGACUUUGAUUCAAGAAAAAAAAAAAAAAAUCCCAUCCGACCCAGAACGACAGCAACGACUUCAUAUUAUUUUAUCAUUGCAUAGCACUAUUAAACUCAGUGGAGGGAAUGAAACAGCAGACAAAGAGUUAAAGGGCAAAAUCAAAUAAGUAAGUGAGGUUCCUAACACUGCCCCCCACGCUGUGUACAAAGGGCUCGCUGGUUAGAAAGGAAUUUAACUUAAUGGGGAUACCUGAGGAUCAAUGAGCACAGGAAUCAGCGUGCCAUGAUUCAGAUUAAGGGGUUAAUAAUAGAUCAGGUGACAUAAUAAUGAGGAAAACAAUCUCAAUGAAAAGCUGCAACUUGUUUUUACGGCUUAACAGAAAAUCCUUCAAUAAUUCAUAUUUUCAUCAAAACUGUUCUUUAUCUAAGUCUUUUCCCUAGUGAAUCCCAUUCAGCCGUUUUCCCUUUGUGUUUGCUUCAGAAUGAAAGAUUAAUUGAAUUAAGUAUCUAGAACUGGUAAUAAAAUGAUUAAUAAAUUAUGUCAUUUACAUUAGAAUGUAAUUGAAGGAUCGCCCCACAUUUUUCCCCAAAACCUCCGCAGCCCAGAGACUGGAAUAUUAAUCAAGAUUUGAUCACGAUGUUUCACCGUCCGAGACGGAAACGUUGAUCUGAAGAUUCCGCACAGCUAAGUAAGCAUUUAAAUUUUUAUACUUUAAUAUUUAUAAUCCCCAACCUUGCGGCCGUGGGAUGCCCCUGAAAUUUCAAACAGCCGCCAUACCCUUCAUGUGUCUCUUCACUUUGGAGUCUCUUAAUCUCGGAAACAAAGUUGCGAGAAUUCCCAAAAUGGCUUUGUUUAUUAGUGAUUUGUUUGAUGGUUUCCUGCUUGGAAUGGAAUAUAUAUAUAUAUAUAUAUAUAUAUAUAUGUAUCAUGUAUUAAUAAAUAGGGUUUUCUAGACGUGUGUAGAGAGAAAACAUUUUGUCUCAGCCGAACCAGUUAUUCUAAAAAUAAAAUAAUUUGUCGUAUGAUUUUUGGCCAUAUGACUGUUGGGUUUGUCUGAAUUUCAUUAAUUAAAAAAGAUGCAGGAAAACAAUCAGUUGAACCAAAAGGGCAGCCAAUGUGCCAGUAUAUAUAUAUACAUAAUAUAAAUAAUAAUAAUAAUAUAAUAUAAUAUAAUAUAAAAAUGAUGUAUGUAUUUUGCCGAACACUAACAGACACAUUUUUCUGCUGUUUGGUUCACAGAUCAACUGGGAAAAAGUAGCUGAUAAAAAGAACAGAGGAGCAGAAAAAAUAAUCUAUACUCAUAUAUGAUAUAGUUAUUAAGUACAUAAUCUAUAAAUAUAUAAAUAUAGAUUGUUCUAUUGCUCCUCACUUCUUGAUCUGUAAAUAAAAUCAGUGUUUUGUGACUGUCCUCUAGCCCCGUGCUCCUCAACCCUCUCCUGGAGGCACACCUACGGUGAACAUGACCUCGCCACGGGCUCAUGGAGGAGCCUGCUUGCCAGCCUCCUUCCUCAAGACUAUGGGCCCUGCAAGAUACCUUGUAAAAUACACUUUAACCCCUUAAGGACACAUGACAUGUGUGACAUGUCAUGAUUCCCUUUUAUUCCAGAAGUUUGGUCCUUAAGGGGUUAAAAGGCUUUGUCCGUGUAAUUUGGAUUAUAUUGUUCAGGAACCGAACAACUGCACAAUCCAGAGACCACCCAUUUGCUUGUUAAGCCCAACUGACACUUUGUAACAAGUUCCAACACAGUGUUCUAAUUGUUUGUCUGGGUGGCCGCAUUUCGUCUGAAUGACCACGAGGGGCGGCCAUCUUGUUCGCAUGAACGCAGGCAACGGUGUUUGGUUGUCGAGUUCAUGGAACUGAAAUCGGACACUGAAACUCCCGAACACCGCUGGACUUCCAUAAUUGCCUGCGUUCGGUUCUAUACAAUUUAGAAGGGCACUGUUCGGUGGAAUCGUUCCAACGAACAAGGUGAACAAACUAGAAAUGUUAACUAUGGAUUCUGUUUGGUAUUUUAUGUACUUUUGUACUCCUGAAAGAGACUGACCGUUAGCACUGAUUUCAUGGAACUGUUUUGGACAUAGGACCAUGUUCACAGUCUGUCAAAUAAUUGACUUCCAUAGAAAACCUGAACCAAUCUGGGUGAUUUUUGGAUAUGCUGGUCACCCAGAUCGGGUCUAUCAGGGGAUGUGACCUUUAUGGGGUUUUCAUGUGUUUUGAGGGUACUUUUGAGGUAUUGUUAUGUUAUAUGUUUUCUGUACUGGGAGGUAAUUUAAUUUAGAUGUUUGCUUGCAACUAGUUCUCUCUCAGGUCCAGCGGGGAAUGCCCCUGGAAUGUGAUUUAGGAAAGCCCUUGCAUGGGGAGCUGCAUAAAAGGCUGUGUGUGGCUCCCAAUAAACCAGUUCAUCCCAAGGAUAGAGCCUCGUCUCAUGUGUGUGGGAGAAAGCUAUACCAGCUAUAUCACUAGCUCUUUUCAGGGCUACGUGAGGAGGAGAGGUCUUCCCACUGAGAGCUGGAUCCAGGUGUUGGUCCAUGGCGAGACCCCAGCCAAGCUGCAGCGGCUAAGGGGUGUACGGUGCUUAUGGUGUUGGGUGCGGUGCUUAUGGUACACGGUAAUACUAGGAAGCAGCGAUUAGCAGAGGUACCUAGUCAGGGUGCCAGGCGGUCCGCCACAACACCUAACGGUCCAGGAUUUAGGGAUUACCUGGGUGUGUCUAAGGUGUUUUUUUUCUUUUUCUAAAAACCUUAGACACACCUGGGUAAUCCUUAAAUCAUGGACUAUUAGGUGUGCCUCGAGGAGAGGGUUGAGGAGCACUGCUCUAGCCAUUAGUCAUAUCUUUUGGGCCAAAUUCCAAAUCACAAAUUUAAACAAACAUGCUCCUCCAUUACGUGAUAUCCCCCCACUCACCCCAUGGCCUGACACAGCAUCAUGUUUAUAGAAGGGACAUCUCUCUUAUUGUCCAUUGUACCCAAUCUCUGGUGAUUCAUAAACAAUAAAAAUGGGUUCCGGGCCCAAUGAUCCAUAGGCAGUCACCUCUUGUACCCCUUGCUCUUCCAGCUGAUUCCUCUGUCGCUGGGCCGGCUUAUGAAGAUGGGUUUCAGUUCCUAAAUGCAUCUGAGGAUGUUGUUUUUUAUAUAUGGCUGCAAAGUCCAGUUGCAGUUAGUGACCAGACUAAUGAGGUGCUCCGUACAAGAAGCAGACAUUGCACAUUCAGAUUUCAGAAUAAGGCCCACAGUCAUUUAACCCCUAAUUCAACAUUGGCCUUCCAUACUACAUUUUUAUGUACUUUACAAAACCCUGUGUUGUCAAACAUUCUGCACUUUACUAUCAUCAUAAUUGGCCUCCUUUAAAAGGAUGAAAAUAUGACAAGCUGCAACAACUAAAUAUUUUUUUGAAAUGAUAGAUUUGCCCAUAUGGUAUCAGAAUAAAGAGAGAGGUUAUAUCUUUAACCUCUAUCGUGUGCCCACAGGUGGAUAUCCUUCUGGAGUAUAUUAAUGGCACCUGGAAGAUCAGAUCGGCUUGUAACAUCCUUAUGAAGCAGUUUGUGUUGUACAAUAACUGCAGGCCCAGUUAUAGCAUUCAACCUGACAAAGUGACUGUGUUACCAGUCCAGUGACCUGGAUCCCGUGUUGGAGUGAUCACUACUUCUUGGUGGACUGGAACUCUGCCACUGGACUUGUUGGGAAAAAGGAGCUGCUUGCUUAUCAGUUGCAACAGUAACCAUCAUUGUAUCAUGGUGGGAAACAGAAGGACAUCAGGGGAGAUAUCAGCCAAUCAGGAGACCAGGUUCUCUGGACCAAUACCUUUGUAUGUAUGCCAUAGAAAACAGCAGUUGAACUGGCAGAUAAACAUGGCAUUGAAGGACUGCAGGAAAAAUGAUGGGUAGGAAAAUCAUUCCAAUAAACUCAGAGUCAAAAUAAGCAGUUGGAGCAGAUCCUUGUGAUGAUAAGAAAACUUGCUAUAACCAAAACAGGACAAAUGGUGGAGACCCGGAGUGUGGAAACACUCGACAAGCUGCUUUAAGAUAUGGAUGGGGAGGGAGCAAUGGUCCCUUUUAGUUAAGGUUCCAGAGUCAGUUUACACGUUCUGCUCUCAUAGUCACAGGCUCUCAAUAUGGAGAGCGAUGCAGUAAAUCAGCAGAUGUUAUUCUGACAUUGGAAGGACUCGGCGCUUGCAAUUGUUCUCAUUAAAACAAGGGCACGCUGAAACAUGAACAUUACUAGUCAUGUAGAGUAACCAGAAUGAUUCAAGGUUUAGCAUUUAGGGAGUAAUUAGCUGGAGUUGCUGAGUGCAAUUUCAAUAAAGAGACCAAUGAGGAUCUCCGUGAACUGCAAGAUCCCAAAAGCAAAGAAUGAAUUAAUGGCAAUAAGCGGAAACAGACUGCAGAUAAUUCAACAACAAAAGGUCAUGAAUGAGAGAGACGGCUUGUCAGCACUUAGAGUAACUUUACUUCAGACUACAAAGCAUUUAAUUAACUACUGGGGUGCCGGGGUGAGCGCACAAAGCUUUCUAUCUAACCGUUACAGUUAGCUGGAGAUAGUAAAACAACAAGAUCUGCACUUUAUCUACUAAACCUACCUAGUAUGAGCACACUCAUUCACAUCCUUCUUCCCCUCUCCAUGAGUGCACUCAUUCAGCCCCUCCGACCCUUCUCCAUGAGUGCACUCACAGCUCCUACUCACAACCUUCUAUCCCUCUCCAUGAGUGCACUCUUUCCCAUCCUGCUACCCCUCUCCAUGAAUGCACUCAUUCAGCCCCUCCGACCCUUCUCCAUAAGUGCACUCACAGCUCCUACUCACAUCUAUCUAAUACUCUCCAUGAGUGCACUCAUACUCGCCUCCUUCUAUUCCUUUCCACUGCUCUUAUUCAACCCUUGGGACUCAACUCCAUAGAUGUACUAACUGACAUAUAUCUAUUCUUCUUCGUGUCUUCCAUUGUCAUCUUCCUACUCCCCCUGAAUGGCCUGAUAGAUUCCAUUGUCAUCUUUCUACUUCCCAUCAAUGGCCUCAUAUCUUCCAUUGCAAUCAUUCCUGACCUCGCCUAUCAUAUUUGUAUUGCUGCUCUUCUGGAAUCCUGACCUUGGCUCAUAAAUUCAUAUUGAUCACUCUAUUGGAAUCCUGACCUCGGCUCUCAUUCGUAUUGCUGCUCUUCUGGAAUCCUGACCUUGGCUCGUAAAUUCAUAUUGAUCACUCUAUUGGAAUCCUGACCUUGGCUCUCAUAUUCGUAUUAACACACUUCCAGUUCUGUAACAUUUUCUGAUCACACUUGUGGUGAUUGUAGUUGGAGCCAGUGCAGCAGUGUUGUCUCCUCAUUUAUCACAUUUCUUUGGUCAUGGAAGAGGUGGAGUUUAUGUUUAAAUCACUGGAGUUUUUGGGCUCCGAUUGCUGUUAAAAUAUUUGUAUUUUCCAUUCCUCACCUUGUAUGAUAUCAAGGCAUUCCAGAAAUCAAUCUAUCUACUGAUAAAGUACAAGCCUUACUUUAAAUUCCUUAAAAAGAAGGAAGAGACAUGUAACUCACACAUGAAAGCAGAAGCAGCAGCUGUCAUGUAAUGUCUUUCAUCUAGUAGUUUUGCUCCUGAAUAUCUUGCCUGAAUUAUUCACACAGGGGUUAGCAAAUACUUGGCCAGUAGAUUUGAUCCAUUUCAUGGUAAACUUUCUGGCUUGAUGCCAAACUUUGCUUAGAUGUUUGGUACUAAUGUGGCUGAAGAUAAUGCCAGGAUUAGUGUGGGCACAUGACUAAACAGCACUGCAAUGAGGGAUCAGUACAACCAUAACUUAAUGUCUGGCUAGGGCAGUGGUGGAGUGAAUCAAGGCCACCAUGAUAUUUGUUUAAUCGUGACUGGACUGGCCUGCACGGCACGUAUGUUACACAGGGUUGAAGUUGGUCAGUGAAGAUGGAUACAGGCUGAAUGGGGGGGGGAGGGGGGCAGCAAUUAUAAGUGAAAUGGGUUGUUACAAUGGUUGUGGCACUUACCUGUGGCCAACCCUGGUGGAAUAACUGGUUUAGGUUUUACGUCAUGUCAGGGGUUCAUCGGCCACGAUGGCAGCAAUGAAUGUUAAUUUUCUGUCCGAUAUUAGCAGAUAAGGAGGGAAAUAAGAAGUUUGUAUCAGAUAUACUCUGUGCCUGUUAGGCAUUGCUUUGGAAUGAGCAUCUAAAUGGACCUUUGUCUGUCCGAGUGGUGAAUGUCACAUUUAAUGGGAUCAUGAUAUAUUAUAGGAAAUAAAAUAAUAUAAUAAAUCUACAAAAUAUAUUGAGACAUAGAACAAUUCAAGCAGCUGACCCUAAAGAAACACAACUUCAGCUCUAUAUUUAAUCUUUUGUCUAUGGGUAAUGAAUGCAUCGAAUAUUGACCAGGAAUACUUUUGGUAUAUAGUUGCGUUUUCCAUUGACACUAGAUUUUUGCUUUGAAAGACUCAAUGUUUCCCUCCUAUUUGUGCUCCCUCUGCAGUUUGUGGUCAGAGAGGUGUGGGGGCAUGUCCUGCGAGCUGCUCCCACAUUAUAAAAUAUACACAAAACAUACACAAAGACACUGGCCAGUGAAUGCUCAUAACAAUGCAGAAUUCAUUUCUAUAAACUACCUACAAAAUUAUUUAUACACCGGUGCUUUAACAUGUCCUUAAUAGUUAAACUUGUAUAAAAGAAAAUAAUACCAUUUUAAUUACCUUUCCAAUUAAUAAAACAUAAAACCAAACAUACAACUAUUUACCAAUGCGCUCCGUUUGCAGACGUUGUCCUUCCCAGUUAAUAUUAAAACCAUCACGGACUGAAAGAAUGGUACCUGGCACAUUGUUUAAUGGCCGUAAUAUAUGUCCCUGUUUCCUUCAGAUGUCAUCAUUCUUACAUAAAGGGGACCUGUCAAUUUUUGACACUUCCCUUAGAGAUGAACAUAGAUUUUUUUUUUAUUCUGCAGGAUCUACUUAAUCGUUUUGACCUUUAUUCAGUUGUCAUUAUCCAUCUUUAUAAUAUGCAAUCAAUCAUCUCUCACCUUCCGUGUUACAGCCAAUUCUUAGAAAGAAGAACAAGUAGGAACUUAAUAAAAGUUUGUAAAAAGUACAUGAGCCUCAGUUCAUUUCGCAGAGUUUAAAAGUUUCUAUGCAAUGGGAAGAAGGACGGAGCAGAGCGAUUCCCACCGUCCGGCUCGUACACAAGUCCAAGGUUAGAGAGUUUAAAUGAUAUAUAUCUGGUGUCGCCUGUGAAGCCUUCAACGCAGAUAAUAUCUCACAGUAGCCCUGCAGAUUGACAGACGGGAGUCCCUCAGCAUCACUCACAAUCUGGAACUGAAAGGGUGACUUAAUGAUAAUCAAAAUCCCAUUUCUUAAAGAUAGGAUUAACCAGUGUCCAGAGCAGUGAGCAUCAGCCAUUGCUGUCUCUGCAAUUAGUGCUUACUUCAUUCCAUAUCUAUUCAAUCGGGCGAUAGCGUGGCACUCUGAAGGACAAUGGGCAGUGGAUAUGAGGGUAGGGUAUUUUUAAUAAGGGAAUUUCUUUAUUUUGCUGUUGAGUAGACAGUUCCCUAAUUUGAUAAACUUUCAUGGGAUUUCCAUAUUAAGGGAUAUCAGAUUUGGACGCUGUUAAGCCGAUAGCUCACUUAUUUUGUGUCAUUAAAAUAUGAUAAUUACACCUAUUAGAAAUGUAUCUACUAAACAGUUGAAUGAUCAAAAUUAAAAACAAAAAAUACAUUUCUUAAUUUGAUCUUUCAGCUGCAUUUAGUAAACUGCUCUCUGAUUUGGUGUCCUUAUGUGGGAUAACUAUUUUAAGGAUGACAAAUUAGGGAGAUAUUUACUAAACAGCACUCCCAAAGGGAAUAACGGGUGUCCGAAUUCCCGAACAGAUAACAAACUUUUCUGGAUUUAGCUUUUUUUUUCAAACUGAUAAUUUCCGAAUUGCUGAUGAACUGAAAUUUGAAAAUUAACAAAUCAAAAUUAAAUCACAUUUUUCGCCAAUUCACCUACUUAUUACCAUAAUUUCCAAAGAUUCAUUAGUAAAUCGCAUUACACUGGACAUGGCUAACAUUUAGCUUUUUUUUUUUUUGUCAAUCUUUCUUUUAUUGAGAUGACAGCGUUAUACAGAUAAGGAAUAACAGUAUGUCAGAGCACAUCGGCUGGGUAACAGGAACAACAUGUAAGAUUAUCCACAUAAUACUCUGGGCAAGAAGGACAUCUCAUUUUUUUUGUUUUAGUGCAGAUUACAGGCUAAAGAUACAUGUCUAGGCUGGCAGUAUGGUAUAUUCAGACUGACUGAUGAUAGAAAAAAUAAAAAUAAGAGAAAUUAAAAUUCACUAUUGUAGAGGCAGCAUGUGAUGGUACACCCCCCUGGAAUUGAAUUCUUAUGUAUUUAGUCAGGCUAGGUAACAGGCUGGGACCAACAAUAUAGGUAUUAAAGUAUCAUUAAACAUAAAGUAGAUUACGAUUAGAUUAGAAGGCUACUGGUUGUUAGUGACCCCACAGUACCAAACAAUAAAACUUAGGUUAAGAACGGAAAUGGCUAAUAUUCCAACAUAAAGGUAGAUUUAGUGUAGUAAUCAUAUUGCUAGGUGCCGACACCUGUGACAUUAAAUUACCUUCUACAGGUGAAAGGGCAUAAGAGUGAAAAGACAUGUCUAAAGCAGAAUAAGAGUCCAAAGGGGUGGGGGUGGGGUGGGAGUCCAACUGAGUCACUUGGUGAGUUUAGUGUCGGGGAGAGCGGCAGCCUCUCUCCAGCUCCAACUCUAGUGGGUGCAGCGUUCCGGUCUCCCGACCCUGAUGGACUUGAGUUAGGGUCUCCAUUCACUUGUACAGUAAGCCCGCCCAGGCACCUCUGUGUUUGGGAGAUAAGAGAGCCUGCUUUUGCUUAAUCUAAUUAUCUCUUGGCACUAGAGUUACAAAAUAUUAACAAAAAUCAUUAACAAUACAUAUCUAGAUAGGAACCCCCGACAAGUUUUAAUAUCCCCGGAUAGCCUGUAUCUGAGGGCGCAAGCUGUCCAAAUAGUGCUCAGAUCCCACAUACACACCCGAAUAGCCACUGGUGUAAAGUUUUUAACGACCGCACACGUGAUGUCUGCCCAAAUUAGUUUCAGAGAAAUAGUGGUAGCGGUCGGUCACUUUUGAAUGAAAUGUCAAACGGUUCCCCUGGCUCAUAGGUAGUGAUUGUUCACCUAGUUUGUGCGAACAAUCCUACCGAACAGCGCUCUCCUGUCUUGUUGGUAAAAGAAGGUGGCGUUCGUAUAAAAUCACUGAUGUUCGCAAGGUCGAGUCUGACCUAUAGUUCCAGACACUCGACUACCAAGUCCCGCUGCCUGUGUUCGUGCGACAAGAGGGCCGCUGUUUUCUCCAGCACGUGUUGUUCAGUUAUACAAACGGGGGCCACACAAGGAGAGCAUUUAAGUUUGUGGUUAGUUUGUAGUUAAUGAGCCAGGGGGUUGGUCGGCAUUCGGUAGAUUGCAGCUCCUGAACUGGGGAAACGUGAAUGGGGUUCGGAAAUCAUAAUAUAUACGAAAACUUAGCAGGUAAAUCUCCUUAAUACAGGGAAAAUAGUAAGUUUAUCACAGUAUAUAUUUCUAAUAUGUGUUUGUGUGUGAAUGUAGGUAUAUAUUUCUUCUCUCUCUCUCUCUCUCUCUCUCUCUCUCUCUCUAUAUAUAUAUAUAUAUAUAUAUAUAUAUAAAUAAAUAUGUACCACCUCUCUCUCACCAUACAAUAUCUAUUUCUCUUCCCACAACAUCCCUGUUGGGAAUAAUACACUUUGCCUAUAUUGACCCAAGGCUCAAGCUACAGAUGACCGGUUGCUCAGUCUGCACCUCUUCUGUUGAACUCCGUUCCCUUCUCUGUAAGACUUGCACCCAGUCUCCACUCAUUCAAAAAAUCAUUGAAAACGCACUUCUUCAAGAAAGCAUAUCAAUUAAACUGUUAGCAGGUUUUCAUCCCCCACCCUCCAUGACUCCUCCCCUGCAACUGUCAAAAAUGACCUACUAAGCCCUCAAUGAAUACUUUUCUAACAACCUAUUUCGUACCCCUACUUUUACCCUUUGUGUCACUAUACCCCACUCCCUCUAGAAUGUAAGCUCACUGAGCAGGGCCCUCAAUCCCUCUGUUCCUGUGUGUCCAACUUGUCUGGUUACAAUUACAUGUCUGUUAGUCCACCCAUUGUACAGCACUACAGAAUCUGAUGGUGCUAUAUAAAUAAUAAAAUAAUAAAAAUAAUAAUAAUUAAGCUUAACAAGCUCCAGGGUGGUUUCCGGUUCGUGCAGCUGCUCAGUUACCGAGCCAUAUAAUUCCUAUAGACAAACAGAGCCUUUUAUAUCACAGUUUACAGGGUCCAUAGUCUGUGGGCAGGAGGCUGGCAAGCAGGUCUCUCCAAGAACUUGUGGCAAACUCACUUGAAAAGGGGAGUUUGUCACACACAACAUUUCUUUCUGUCUUUUUUUUUUAGACAAUCUUUAUUUACGAUUUUGAUAAUUGUACAGAUAAAUAGAAAAGAGUACAAUACAGGUAGAGAAGAAUUGAAUAAACAUAGUUUGUUAUGAAAUUCAUGUAACAGUUGGCAGCAAGCAUGCAGCCAAUGUUGUGCCGGUAACACAGAGCAAUGGAUAUGAAAUGAAAAUGAACGAGUAAAAUGUGUCAGUUGUCAUUCCGGUCACAUUUCAGUCACUAUUCCAGUUAUGCCUCUUGCACCCAUCAUCUAACCAGAGCUUGAUAGAAACUGGUGAUGAGCGGGCAUCCUCGUCCCCAACGCAAGAUCGAGUAGGAAGAAUAAAGGUGGGAGGGUAUGUAGGAAGAAGGAAAGCGGAGGAAGAAGAUAGAAAGCAGAGGACAGGAGAAAGAGAAAAUAAAAGGGUGGGAGAAGGGCCAAUCAGUAAAUUGUUGUUUAGAACACAUAGAACUCUGGUGGGUCAGUAUAUGGAUCUUUGCCCACUGAGGGUCUGAAAACGUGGCACCUGUGGCUCGUUCCCAACGUGUGGUAUGUCUCCUGGGAUGACAGAAGUAAAGUGUACAAAUCGGAGAUACCCUUAUGUAGGUGUACCAGUGCCCUGCACAAACUAUGUUAGAUUCCUGUGAAAUAGGUAUCAUCCAUAUUAGGAAACGUCGUACGAUUUAACUUGGAAGUAGCGGAUUCUGUCCCCCUUGGGGUCCUGUUCCUCGUACUCUCUUUGAUACUGGUAAUCAUAGACAAAGGAAGAAACUGAGGUUAUACACUAAUUUUUAAUACAAAUGCACAAAAUUGUGAAACAUUUUAAUUCAGGUAUUGUAUGACACCUCUGUCUAAGGAAAAGUGAGCCUUGCACAAUGUUUAAAAAGAUCAAUUUGAAAAGUAUUCACAGGCCUCAUCUAUCAAACAUGAUGAGAAUCCUAGCUAAAUAAUCUAAUUAAAAUUAAACCUGUCUUUUUAAGUAGAUUUUGUCCCCUCAAAUUAGCAUGCCUUAACAUCUCCAAUAACAUAUAUUGCUCUAAAUAAGACAGUUAUGUUGCUGCCAAUUAAUUUUUCAACAUUUGUGUAAUUAUUUCAUUUCAGUAGUUAGGAAGCGCAAUCUGUUCAGAAAAUUGGCUUAUUUAACAACACAGCUUUAUGACAUUAACGGAAAAACAUUACAUUUUCCAAUUGUGUGCAUACGAAUGGGGACAGCAAGAGCAUUUUUUAACAAAAUAAAAGCAAACAAUCAGCGAGAUAUCAUCCAAUCUGGCUGCGAUACUAUUAAACCGCAAACAAACUGUAUUGUGAAAUCAAUGGAGGGUUUCCGAACCCAGAAAUGGAUCAAUUAGUAAAUGUUUAUAGAAGUAAUACAUUCUUCAUACAAAUGAGCCCAAUCCGUGAUUAGAACACUGUGACAAACACUGUAUCCCACAUACGUUUGCCAUGGACUCCUGGAAGAGUGUAGAAGCCGGCCUCCUGCCCACCGACUAUGGUCCAGGUCUGGGACACGUUUGGGAGUUAUUAUUUAUAUAGCGGGAUAGAGGACCUAACUACACUGCAUGGAUCUGAGCGCUAUUUGGAGAACUUGGGUGCUCAGAUCAGAGCUAUUUAACAAUGUAUUGCUUGUGGGGUCCCCUUGUCUUUUCCCUUGGACUGAUUCUACCCUGGGAAAGGGGAGUUGGGAGGGGAGAUAAGCUACAGUUUUGCCCACACACACAAAGAGACCAGGGACUGUCUUGCACCCACUUAUCCAGUCACAUUGGACUUGGUCCCCCAAGGACUGUGGACUCAGGGGGAUCCAACAGACUUGUUGCAGGCCCGUCGUGGGUCUGGCCACAAGUCUGUCUAUUUCUAUGGGGGGUGAUAUGUGAUGGAUGGCCUUAUUUGUUUGGCACAAGCCACAAGCUUUCAACACCAUUUUUGUGACUGUUUUUCCUGUGUAGCGGACCCCUGGUAACCCGACCGGUUACCUCCACUAAUUCCCUUUCUUCAGCCAGUCAGGAACCAUUUACAGUACAAAGAGUAACUGGAUGGCACACAGUCCUGGAAGUACAACACAAUUUUAUUGGCCACACACAGCUUUUAUGCAUAACCCGGUGCCAGAGGUUACCCACACAAACAUACAAGGAUACAUCCCAAGAUCCUCCCCUUCACUGGGGUCCCAGCGCGGGAAGGGACUCAGUUCCCUUUGUCCCCAAAACCCACCACUAAAUCCCCAGGGUUCCCCAGACCAACCACCAGGGCCUCUGUGCCUGGGGGUCUUGGCGUGGGAAAAAAGAGAGCUCAUGAGAGCCUGCCAAACUCUCCAGUGUCGUAGAAAUGCCCACACCAAUCUCAGGGACCCUCGCCCUGGUCUCUCCAUUUGUGAGGUCCUGGUGUGAAACCCAGACAAGGGUAGCGUCUCGUUUCGGGGUAUGAAUGCUCCCCCUGGCUGGCAUUCGCCUGUACGAAUGGUGGCCACCCAGGAGAGCACUCAUUAAUUACAUCCCUUGCGGUUUCACACCUAUGUUGUGGGUGGGAAAGUUCUGAUUAAUUGGUGUGAACGUUCCAAUAGGGCACCAGGGAGAUUCUUGUUCAGAAGAUGAACGAGUCAGGAAACAAUCCACGAAUGCUCUCCCUGGUGGCGUUCACCUGUGCGAAUGGCAGCCAACCCAGGGAAGCACUCAUUAAUUGUUUCCCAUGCGGUUUGCUGUUUUGACACUUAUGUUGCAAGGUGUGGACAUUCUAACCUAACAUUCUAAAUGAGGUAUAGGGGUCCUCGUUCUAGAGAUAAAUGAAUUCCUUUUGUGGAAGUACUCGCGAAUGGGGAGCGGGCACAAUAAACAAACAUACAGGGAAAACACAUGUAAAAGAGAAGGGAGUUUAACAAACAAGCAGCUGUUCUGCCACACCAUGUAUCUAGAUAUCACUGUAUUGUGGAUCUGUAUUCUACACAGAGCACUGUGUGUGUGUCUGUAUAUGCAGCUGUGGGUCAACAAAAGGGGGGGGGGAGCAGCAGCAGCUCUCGAAACACACUGUGAGUGACCACAUGCUGUGGGAGCCAGCAAGUCUAUUUACUGGGCUGUGUUGAUGUAACCAGAGAUUGCUCUGAAGGGAUAGGGGGUCCAACCAAGAUAACCUUUUGAUGUCAGGCUGUAUUGGCACAGGGGGAGGUAGUAACUAGAGUAAGGAAUCACUUUGUUGCUUUGUAGUUCUUUCUCUGUGACCUGUUCUGUGUUUCCAUUGGUGAAAGAUUUGUGUAAUUGUAUGGAGACCCCCUGCUGGGGGUCUGUGUAUAACUUGGCUGUACCAUGUCCCAUUAAACAGUUCAGUUCAGUUGACUUCCAGGACUAUGUCUCAUCUGGUUAAUGGGGGGGGGGGGGUUAUGGGUAUUUACUUGUGCUGAUGGAUCCAGAGUGGCUGAAGGAAGGUAAUAGCGGAGGUAACCAGUUGGGUUACCCGUGGUCCGCAACAAACACUAUACACUAUUUAUUGAAUACCAGCUAUCACGAAAGCCACCCUCGCUAGUUUGUAAAGCACUAACAAAGCUGGUAGCAGUGUACAAUGAGUACAGAUCUUUCAAAGACAUUUCCAUAAAUGCAAUGGUUUGACUGAUGUACAGGAAAAACUAAUAAUGCAGAGGAACUGUUAGGAGACUUGGUUUAGAUGGACAGAGAGAAGGUCCAGCUGCCAUAGAAGGACAGUGUGGAGGACAUGUAACUAGAAUUUUUCCGGCUGGUGCCAUGUUUUUAUCAAGAAUUUCAGGCAAUGAAGGGAUUUUUUUCCAUUACUGUUCUCAUUAACUAAUUAAUCAACAUUAUUAAAGUUUUAGCUUGGUUUUGGAUUGAGUAGUAUUAAUUUUUGAUAAUAAAUUAUGUUUCUCCCUAAACUCUAACUUUUCCAGGUUUGGGGUAUCCCCUACACACCUUUUCUAAUAGUAAUCCUUCUUUGCUGCACCAGGUUUUAAAAAUAUGAGGGACCAUGCCUACACCAGCCAUUGGGCAAACCAGAUAAUUCACAGCCACCCAACCAGAACCAGAUUAACACAGGAGCUAUCGGAAGUUGCUCUAGACCCGAGGUACCUGACUUUUAUUUAUUUCAUCUAUUUAUGUUGCUCCAAAGUGCUCAGUGUUAUAGUCAUAGUGUGUGGGAAAUACUGUCCACAUGGAAUGAAAUACCAGUAGCUUUGACUCCGAUUUCCGUAAAUCUAUAUCGGAGAUAUGAGGGUCCAACCUGUUCCUGCAGUCACUGCUUGUACCCAUUGUUCCCCCAGCUGAUUUCUCUCAACUCCAGUGUGCUUGUGAAGAUAGAUUUUAUGUUGAUGACAUUUCCAGUUUGAUGGUAUUCCGGCUUGGGAUCUUUUAGAACACGAUUCUGGAAUCACAAUUUAAAAUUUUGUACUAAGGUUCAUAGUAAUAUUCAACCCUAGAUCUACGAAGCCCCUAAACCAGCACCAAAUCCUAUAAAGGUGGGUAGAGAUAUUCGUUGGGUGGAUGUGAGCAGAGCUAUUUAUUUGACGCUGUUGGUAGAGCUAUUCAUUUGGUGUUGUGGGCAGAGAUAUUUGUUUGGCGCUGUGGGCAGGGCUAUUUAUUUGGCGCUGUGGGCAGAGCUAUUUAUUUGGCGCUGUGGGCAGGGCUAUUUAUUUGGUGCUGUGGGUAGAGCUAUUUAUUUGGCGCUGUGGGCAGGGCUAUUUGGCGCUGUGGGUAGGGCUAUCUAUUUGGCGCUGUGGACAGGGCUAUUUAUUUGGCACUGUGGGUAAAGCUAUUUAUUUGGCACUGUGGGUAGAGAUAUUUAUUUGUCGCUGUUGGUAGAGCUAUUUAUUUGGCGCUGUGGCCAGAGCUAUUUAUUUGGCGCUGUGGGCAUGGCUAUUUAUUUGGCACUGUGGGCAGGGCUAUUUAUUUGGCGCUGUAUGUAGGGCUAUUUAUUUGGCGCUGUGGGUAGAGCUAUUUAUUUGGCGCUGUGGGCAGGGCUAUUUAUUUGGCGCUGUGGGUAGAGCUAUUUAUUUGGCACUCUGGGUAGGGCUAUUUAUUUGGUGCUGUGGGUAGAGCUAUUUAUUUGGCACUCUGGGUAGAGCUAUUUAUUUGGCGCUGUGGGUAGGGCUAUUUAUUUGGUGCUGUGGGUAGGGCUAUUUAUUUGGCACUGUGGGCAGGGCUAAUUAUUUGGCGCUGUGGGCAGGGCUAUUUAUUUGGCGCUGUGGGCAUGGCUAUUUAUUUGGCGCUGUGGGUAGAGCUAUUUAUUUGGUGCUGUGGGUAUGGUAUUUAUUUGGCUGUGGGCAGAGAUAUUUAUUUGGCUGUGGGUAGAGCUAUUUAUUUGGUGCUGUGGGUAGGGCUAUUUAUUUGGCGCUGUGGGCAGGGCUAUUUAUUUGGCGCUGUGGGUAGAGCUAUUUAUUUGGCGCUGUGGGCAGGGCUAUUUAUUUGGCGCUGUGGGUAGAGCUAUUUAUUUGGUGCUGUGGGUAGGGCUAUUUAUUUGGCGCUGUGGGUAGAGCUAUUUAUUUGGUGCUGUGGGUAGGGCUAUUUAUUUGGCGCUGUGGGUAGAGCUAUUUAUUUGGUGCUGUGGGUAGGGCUAUUUAUUUGGCGCUGUGGGUAGAGCUAUUUAUUUGGUGCUGUGGGUAGGGCUAUUUAUUUGGCGCUGUGGGCAGGGCUAUUUAUUUGGCGCUGUGGGUAGAGAUUUGUUUGGUGCUAUGGCUUUAUCUCUGCUUACAAUUCAAUGGCAGCCAGAGCCAGGAGGAUGUGUUCAGCUCCCCUAGGAUGGCAGGGCUUCAUUUCACCCCAUGCUGUCAUUGUAAUAUAGAAAGAGGUCAGAGAUGUACACACGACGUCUCUGAAGAAGAGAAUACAAGCUCCCUUAACAGCAUUUUAUUUUAUUGAUAAAGAUUGUGUGUUUGAAUGGCAUGCAUGGAGAGGAAGGGCAUGACGUGGAUGCCAAUAAUGAAUUGGCAUGAGGGCACUAUCAUGUAAUAGAGCAAGAGAUAGAUGGCAGGAAACUAUCAUGAAAUGUAUGUCUUUAGGAAAGAUGGGCAUAAAAUAAAAAGUGGGGUGCGUUAAACAAGGAUUAUAUGUAACGAGGGAAUUAAUUGAAUGGCGUACGGGGAGGGUUAUUAAAUGUGUAGCAAAGGAAUGAAUUGUAGGGCAUGGGAGGAGGGAUACUAUAUGUGUAGUGGGGGAAUAAAUUAAAUGGCAUAGGGGAAGGGUUACUAUCAGGGCCGGUGCAAGGAUUUUUGCCGCCCUAGGCAAAAGAAAGAUUUGCCGCCCCUCUCCCCCCACCCAUAAGAUCUGCCAUAUGAACUAGUGCCAGUGCUGCACACAGUGUGUGUUUACAUUAAAAAGCCUGCAGGGACCGGCUAUAGACACCUGAACAACUUUAUUAAGCUGCAGUGGUUCUGGGGACUAUAGUGUCCAUUUAAUGUGGGGUAAAUUAGAGAUUAGUGUCACUAAUAAUAUACUAGAUUGCCUGCUUACAAUCAGAUGAGGAUGGUGAUGGGCUCUGGCUGCAGACUGGCUCCACUGGUCUGGUGUAGAACAGGAUCUCUGGAGGCUGUUUGUAACUGUGGUCACAAAAUUCAAUGUUCUGGGAGAACGGGAAGCAGCUCAAUUUUUUGGGACCUCUUACAUAGCUCAAGGUCUGGGCCCCAGGGCCUGACGGUGAGUAUGCCCAUAAAGCCCACCCAUAAGUCCACCUACAUGUUCCACCCAUGAGUUCGCUCACAGGGAGUGGAGUGUGUAGGGGAUGUGUUAUGUGUUACUGUAGAGGAUCUAAUGUGUGUGGUUAUGGAAUGUAGUGUAUAGGGAUACCAGUUUGUGUAGGUGAUGCAGUGUGUUUGUGUGUAUUGGAAGCAGUGUGUUUUUGUGUAAGGGAUAGAAAGCAGUGAGUGUUUGUGUAAGGGAUGUAUUGUGUGUUUCUUGUUGUGUGUAAGGGAUGCAUUGUGCGAAUCUGUGUUUGUAUGCAUAAGGGAUGCAAAGUGUGUUUCUGUGUAUGUAAGGGAUGCAGUGUGUGUGUCUGUAAGGGGUGCGUUGAGUGUGUGUAAGAGAUGCAUUGUGUUUCUGUGUGUGUGUAAGAGAAGCAGUGUGUGUUUGCAUGUGUGUGUAAUGGAUGCAUUGUGUGUUUCUGUGUAUAUGUGCAAAGGAUGCAUUGUCUUUAUGUGUAAGGGUUGCAUUGUGUGUUUCUCUGUGUGUAAGGGAAGCAUGUUGUGUUUCUGUGUGUAUAGGGAUGCAUUGUGUGUGUGUGUGUGCGCGCGUGGUGUGAAAGAGCUCCCUGUCCUGCCCCUGUCCUAUAGAGCUCUCCCUUCCAUUCCUUAGAGAUCUCCCCUGCCCCUUAGUGGUCUCUCCUCUCCCCCCACCUCCCUUAGUGGUCUCCUUUUCUCCCCGACUUUCCAUUAGUGGUCUCUCCUCUCCCCCCACCCUCCCCUAGUGGUCUAUCCUCCACCCCCCUCUUUUAGCGGUCUCUCCUCACACCCCUCCCCUAGUGGUCUCUCCACCGCCCCCCCUCCUUUAGUGGUCUCUCCCUCCCCUACGUUCUCAUCUCCCAUGCCCCAUGUUCUCCUCUUAUUCCCCCCUCCCCGUGUUCUCCUCUUCUUCUCCCCCCGUCCCUGUAAUCUCUUUUUCUCCCCACCUGUAAUCUUCUCUUCUUCUCCCCCCUCCCUGUAAUCUUCUCCCCUCCCUGCGUCUUCUUCUUCUCCCCUCCCUCCCUCUUAAUCUUCUUCUUCUCCCCCCUCCCUCCAAUCUUCUCCACUCCCCCUCCCUCCCAUCUUCUCCCCCCUCCUGUAACCUUCUCUCCACUCCCCCUCCUCCUGUAAUCUUCUCCACCCCUAUAGCUUCUCCACUCCCAUCCCUCCCUGUAACCUUCUCCGCUCCCCCUCCCUCCCUGUAAUCUUCUCCCCUCCUGUAACCUUCUCCUCCCCCCUCCCUCCCUGUAACCUUUCCCCCCUCCCUGUAACCUUCUGCCACCACCUCCCUCCUGUAAUCAUCUCCCCCCCUCCCUGUGGCCUUCUCCCUCCCCUCCCUCUCCUGUAAUCUUCUCCUCCCUCCUAUAAUCUCCCCCCUGUAAUCUUCUCCUCCCUCUAUAAUCUUCUCCCCCCCUCCCCUAUAAUCUUCUCCCCCCUAUAAUCUUCUCCACUCCUCCCCUAUAAUCUUCUCCCCCCUCUAUAAUCUUCUCCCUCCCCUAUAAUCUCUCACCCCCCUCCCAUAAUCUUCUCCCCCCUCCCCCAUUCUAUCUUCUCCCCCCCCAAUAAUCUUUUCCCCUCCUAUAAUCCUCCCUAUACUCUUCUCCCCCUCCUAUGAUCUUCUCCACCCCAUAAUCUUCUCCCCCCCUACUAAUCUUCUCCCCAUAAUCUUCUCCCCUAUGUGAUCUUCUCCCACUCCCCCAUAAUCUUCUCCCCCAUAGUCUUCUCUCUCCCUCCUAUAAUCUUCCCCCCUAUAAUCUUCUCCCCACUCCCCAUAAUCUUCUCCCCCCCAUAAUCUUCUCUCUCCCUCCCCUAUAAUCUUCUCUCCCACCCCCCCAUAAUCAUCUCCUGACCAACCCUGUAGCGUGGCAAGCUCCUAUCCGGUCCCCGCACUUCCUGUCAGUCCGGCCGGGUCGUGGACCGGAAAGGAGCUCGGCCACGCUACAGGGCAGGGGAGGUGAGGCAGUGCAGCAGCCGUCUGAGCGCUCUCUAUAGAGUGCUCAGGCAGCUGUGGCAUUUAAAGGGCCGGCGAUGGGGGCACAGCGCGCCCCCUCCUAUAUGGCGCCCUAGGCGGCUGCCUAGUUCACUUUAUAGGAAGCGCCAGCCCUGGUUACUAUAUGUGUAGCAAAGGAAUGAAUUGUAGGUCAUAGGAGGAGGUGUAUUAUAUGUGUAGUGGGGAAAUUAAUUGAAUGGCGUAAGGGAGAGGUAUUAUAUGUAUAUACAGAGAAUGAAGUGAAUGCUGUAGGAUCAGGUAUAUUAUAUUUGUAGCGAGGGAAUGAAUUGAAUGGUGAAGGGGGAGGGGUAUUAAAUGUGUAGCAGGGAAUUAAGUGAAUGGUGUAGGAGGAGGGAUAGUAUAGGUGUAGUGGAUGAAUUAAUUAAAUGGUGAAGGGGAAGAGAUAUUAUAAGUGUAGCAGGGAAAUAUUUGAAUGGUGAAGGGGGAGGGUCAUUAUAUAUAACGUACUGUGAGGGCAUAAAUAGUGUAAAUAAAAGGUUAAAACCUGGUAACACCACACCCAGUUGUCUAUAAAAUAGUUUUUUUUAUUUAAGAGACAUAAUCCAACAAUCUCUCGGAGCCCGCGUGUGUCACUGGUUUUAUAGCUCGGGUGGUUAGCUCUCCGCAUGUAGGUUUGCAUCAAGGUCAAACCAAACAUUGAUCUUUCCAAGGUCAAUAAUCUCAUUACUAUUAAGGUAAUUAAAAUAUUCAUAGGACUAACGUAGAAACAAACAGACUCCCUCAUCAUUCAGAAUAAUAUUUAUUAACUCUAUAUUGAUCUCUAUAAAUAUAGCUUUAUUACGUAUCACUGCUCUUACUAGAAGAGCCAUUUCUGAGCCAUGAGCCAUUUCUGGGUCACUUUAUCACUCCCCCUCCCCCCGAAUAAAAGGCUGCAUUACAGGUGCUGAAUGUAAAGAUUUGGGUAAUAUAACGUUUACUUACAGUGUCUGCGCCCUCACGUCGGCGUAUUCUCAUCUCCGCACGGUCACCUUUCGAAAUCCUUUAUUAUCGCUCACAAUAACCCAUAACAGAAAACAAGUUUGGAUUCCAGAAUGAUUUCCUUUUAUGAUGAUGAAUGAAGCAGAAGCGACAGUUUGAGAUUCAUAUUUUAAAUUGAGCUCCGGCUGGUGCGGAAAGUGAUUAGUACAUUAAACAAACAUGACAAGGUAAAGAGGAUGAAUUUAUAGUUCACCCCGCCACGGUCUGCGUGCUAAACUGCGCGCCUCAUCCCAUUGAUUAGGAAGGUAGGAUAUGUAUAUUGAUAUAUCGCUCCGGCGCUAUGUGUGUUCCAAAUCCCUGUAUCUCCUGAAAUGGGUCCAUCGUCACAAACCAGGAUCUCCCAGGCAGUCCAAGCGAUCUGUAGGAAACAGGCAGUUCAUUUUCAAACCCUUCUGGCACCGUAAUAUUGGAAGGACCCCACGGAGCUCUCUUGCAAUCAUAUUCUGCUGACAGGCAUUGAGCAUCACUCGCUAAAUCGCGCAAGGCAUUUCAUAUAAGGCUUAUUUUAUGAAAUAUUGUGUAUUGUAUUAUCAAAAUAAUAGAUGUCGCCAUAAUGAAGCCAUGUUGGCAUUGGAUGCCGGUUUAGAAACUUCGCGGCACCUUUAUAAAACGUUCUGAAUGCAGAAAUAAAUCGUGUUUUAUAUUGUUAUACUUUUUAAUUUGCUUUGUUGACAUUCUCUGUUUAUUUAGAAAACUAACCCGGGGCUGCCUACCCUAUACAGUAAUUGAUAAGAAAUAACAGGCUAGCGAGAAUUGUGGCCAAAAUAUUCUGCACGCAUUGAAGGGAUUAUAUUUUAGUGGAUUUACAGUUUUAUAGGACAUUAUCUGACAAUGCUGCAUUCGAUUUCUAUUGCCAAAAGCUGAAAAUGAAUGAAAUAUAUUGAACUACGUCCAGAAUGCAUCCUCUGACUGGCCCUGUUUGUACUGACUGCUUUAUUGAAUAAGCCACAGCCUUUUUUUUUUUUUUCUCAUUACAAACGUUUAACCUUUGCUAAGUCAAUACUCUGUUGAGCUACAAAUCAUUGAAGGCCAAGCACCAGGCUGACGACAGUUCAGCCAUUAUGUAUCUUUGGCAAAACAUGAAGUCGGAUUUCCCAUUGAUUAAUAUACAUGAAUACAUUAGCUCUAAGUAAAUAUGAACGAUUUCCUUUUUCACAGUGAUUUUUCAUUUUGUUAACUUGUAGGGAGAUAUUAAUAUAUUGUAUGAUUACAGAUACUUUUUUCUUAUCAAUUACAAUUUGUUUAAUUACAGACUUUCAUUGAACGUCCGGUUUGUGCAAGUCAGAGAAGGGAGCCCUCUAGUGGCCAAAUGUGUAAAUCAACAUGUCUAAUUGCCAUUCACUUACAGGCGAGACUGGAAAUUUUCUCCAAGUCAGCUCAGAUUCCAGUUCGUCUAUUGUGGCCUUUUACUUUGAAUUCCCAACAAUAACCCUGUGCGUCAUUAAUUACAGCUACAUGUUUUUUAGUUAACAUUAUCUUUCUGUGUGAAAAAUAAAUAUGUCAAUUCGGUGAGUGUAAAAACAACUCAUCCUAUAAAAAGAGUCAAUGUAUCCCAGGAAAUGAGAGAAAGUUAACAUGUAAGGUCGUGCACAGACAACCGAGAUCCUUGGAGUUCACACAUUAUAGCGCUGAGACGGGUCUGACCGGACCUCCAGCUGGGAAUCAGGUUUAUUGUUCAAUUCAAUAUGAGACAAAGUGACGAGUUCAUACAUUAUAACGCUGAGACGGGUCUGACCGAACCUCCAGCUGGGAAUCAGGCUUAUUGUUCAAUUCAAUAUGAGACAAAGUGACAAGUUCACACAUUAUAGCGCUGAGACGGGUCUGACCGGACCUCCAGCUGGGAAUCAGGUUUAUUGUUCAAUUCAGUAUGAGACAAACUGACGGGUUCAAUUAUUGUUCAAUUCAAUAUGAGACAAAGUGACGAGUUCACACAUUAUAGCGCAAAGAUGGGUCGGACUGGACCUCCAGCUGGGAAUCGGGUUUAUUGUUCAAUUCAAUAUGAGACAAAGUGACAAGUUCACACAUUAUAACGCUGAGACGGGUCUGACCGGACCUCCAGCUGGGAAUCGGGUUUAUUAUAGUGCUAAGAUGGGUCGGACUGGACCUCCAGCUGGGAAUCGGGUUUAUUGUUCAAUUCAAUAUGAGACAAAGUGAUGAGUUCACACAUUAUAGCGCUAAGAUGGGUCGGACUGGACCUCCAGCUGGGAAUCGGGUUUAUUGUUCAAUUCAAUAUGAGACAAAGUGACAAGUUCACACAUUAUAACGCUGAGACGGGUCUGACCGGACCUCCAGCUGGGAAUCGGGUUUAUUGUUCAAUUCAAUAUGAGACAAAGUGACAAGUUCACACAUUAUAGCGCUAAGAUGGGUCGGACUGGACCUCCAGCUGGGAAUCGGGUUUAUUGUUCAAUUCAAUAUGAGACAAAGUGACAAGUUCACACAUUAUAGUGCUGAAACGGGUCUGACCGGACCUCCAGCUGGGAAUCGGGUUUAUUAUUCAAUUCAGUAUGAGACAAAGUGACGGGUUCACACAUUAUAACGCUGAGACGGGUCUGACCGGACCUCCAGCUGGGAAUCGGGUUUAUUGUUCAAUUCAAUAUGAGACAAAGUGACAAGUUCACACAUUAUAGCGCUAAGAUGGGUCGGACUGGACCUCCAGCUGGGAAUCGGGUUUAUUGUUCAAUUCAAUAUGAGACAAAGUGACAAGUUCACACAUUAUAGUGCUGAAACGGGUCUGACCGGACCUCCAGCUGGGAAUCGGGUUUAUUGUUCAAUUCAAUAUGAGACAAAGUGACGAGUUCACACAUUAUAGCGCUGAGACGGGUCUGACCGGACCUCCAGCUGGGAAUCAGGUUUAUUGUGCAAUUCAAUAUGAGACAAAGUGACGAGUUCAUACAUUAUAACGCUGAGACGGGUCUGACCGAACCUCCAGCUGGGAAUCAGGCUUAUUGUUCAAUUCAAUAUGAGACAAAGUGACGAGUUCACACAUUAUAGCGCUGAGACGGUUCUGACCUGACCUCCAGCUGGGAAUCAGGUUUAUUGUUCAAUUCAAUAUGAGACAAAGUGACAAGUUCACACAUUACAGUGCUGAAACGGGUCUGACCGGGCCUCCAGCUGGGAAUCGGGUUUAUUGUUCAAUUCAAUAUGAGACAAAGUGACGAGUUCACACAUUAUAGCGCUGAGACGGGUCUGACCGGACCUCCAGCUGGGAAUCGGGUUUAUUGUUCAAUUCAAUAUGAGACAAAGUGACAAGUUCACACAUUAUAGCGCUGAGACGGGUCUGACCUGGACCUCCAGCUGGGAAUCAGGUUUAUUGUGCAAUUCAAUAUGAGACAAAGUGACGAGUUCAUACAUUAUAACGCCGAGACGGGUCUGACUGGACCUCCAGCUGGGAAUCAGGUUUAUUGUUCAAUUCAAUAUGAGACAAAGUGACGAGUUCACACAUUAUAGCGCUGAAACGGGUCUGACCGGACCUCCAGCUGGGAAUCGGGUUUAUUGUUCAAUUCAAUAUGAGACAAAGUGACAAGUUCACACAUUAUAGCGCUGAGACGGGUCUGACCGGACCUCCAGCUGGGAAUCAGGUUUAUUGUUCAAUUCAGUAUGAGACAAAGUGACGGGUUCACACAUUAUAGCGCUAAGAUGGGUCGGACUGGACCUCCAGCUGGGAAUCGGGUUUAUUGUUCAAUUCAAUAUGAGACAAAGUGACGAGUUCACACAUUAUAACGCUGAAACGGGUCUGACCGGACCUCCAGCUGGGAAUCGGGUUUAUUGUUCAAUUCAGUAUGAGACAAAGUGAUGGGUUCACACAUUAUAACGCUGAGACGGGUCUGACCGGACCUCCAGCUGGGAAUCGGGUUUAUUGUUCAAUUCAAUAUGAGACAAAGUGACGAGUUCACACAUUAUAGCGCUAAGAUGGGUCGGACUGGACCUCCAGCUGGGAAUCGGGUUUAUUGUUCAAUUCAAUAUGAGACAAAGUGACAAGUUCACACAUUAUAACGCUGAGACGGGUCUGACCGGACCUCCAGCUGGGAAUCGGGUUUAUUGUUCAAUUCAUUAUGAGACAAAGUGACAAGUUCACACAUUAUAGCGCUAAGAUGGGUCAGACUGGACCUCCAGCUGGGAAUUGGGUUUAUUGUUCAAUUCAAUAUGAGACAAAGUGACAUGUUCACACAUUAUAGUGCUGAAACGGGUCUGACCGGACCUCCAGCUGGGAAUCGGGUUUAUUGUUCAAUUCAGUAUGAGACAAAGUGACGGGUUCACACAUUAUAACGCUGAGACGGGUCUGACCGGACCUCCAGCUGGGAAUCGGGUUUAUUGUUCAAUUCAAUAUGAGACAAAGUGACAAGUUCACACAUUAUAGCGCUAAGAUGGGUCGGACUGGACCUCCAGCUGGGAAUCGGGUUUAUUGUUCAAUUCAAUAUGAGACAAAGUGACAAGUUCACACAUUAUAGUGCUGAAACGGGUCUGACCGGACCUCCAGCUGGGAAUCGGGUUUAUUGUUCAAUUCAAUAUGAGACAAAGUGACGAGUUCACACAUUAUAGCGCUGAGACGGGUCUGACCGGACCACCAGCUGGGAAUCAGGUUUAUUGUGCAAUUCAAUAUGAGACAAAGUGACGAGUUCAUACAUUAUAACGCUGAGACGGGUCUGACCGAACCUCCAGCUGGGAAUCAGGCUUAUUGUUCAAUUCAAUAUGAGACAAAGUGACGAGUUCACACAUUAUAGCGCUGAGACGGUUCUGACCUGACCUCCAGCUGGGAAUCAGGUUUAUUGUUCAAUUCAAUAUGAGACAAAGUGACAAGUUCACACAUUACAGUGCUGAAACGGGUCUGACCGGGCCUCCAGCUGGGAAUCGGGUUUAUUGUUCAAUUCAAUAUGAGACAAAGUGACGAGUUCACACAUUAUAGCGCUGAGACGGGUCUGACCGGACCUCCAGCUGGGAAUCGGGUUUAUUGUUCAAUUCAAUAUGAGACAAAGUGACAAGUUCACACAUUAUAGCGCUGAGACGGUUCUGACCUGACCUCCAGCUGGGAAUCAGGUUUAUUGUGCAAUUCAAUAUGAGACAAAGUGACGAGUUCAUACAUUAUAGCGCUGAGACGGGUCUGACCGGACCUCCAGCUGGGAAUCGGGUUUAUUGUUCAAUUCAAUAUGAGACAAAGUGACGAGUUCAUACAUUAUAGCGCGAGACGGGUCUGACCGGACCUCCAGCUGGGAAUCAGGUUUAUUGUGCAAUUCAAUAUGAGACAAAGUGACAAGUUCACACAUUAUAGCGCUGAGAUAGGUCGGACUGGACCUCCAGCUGAGAAUCGGGUUUUUUGUGUAAUUCAAUAUGAGACAAAGUGACGAGUUCAUACAUUAUAACGCUGAGACGGGUCUGACCGAACCUCCAGCUGGGAAUCAGGUUUAUUGUUCAAUUCAGUAUGAGACAAAGUGACGAGUUCACACAUUAUAACGCUGAGACGGGUCUGACUGAACCUCCAGCUGGGAAUCAGGCUUAUUGUUCAAUUCAAUAUGAGACAAAGUGACGAGUUCACACAUUAUAGCGCUGAGACGGUUCUGACCUGACCUCCAGCUGGGAAUCAGGUUUAUUGUUCAAUUCAAUAUGAGACAAAGUGACGAGUUCACACAUUAUAGCGCUGAGACGGUUCUGACCUGACCUCCAGCUGGGAAUCAGGUUUAUUGUUCAAUUCAAUAUGAGACAAAGUGACAAGUUCACACAUUAUAGUGCUGAAACGGGUCUGACCGGACCUCCAGCUGGGAAUCGGGUUUAUUGUUCAAUUCAAUAUGAGACAAAGUGACGAGUUCAUACAUUAUAACGCUGAGACGGGUCUGACCGGACCUCCAGCUGGGAAUCAGGUUUAUUGUGCAAUUCAAUAUGAGACAAAGUGACAAGUUCACACAUUAUAGCGCUGAGAUGGGUCGGACUGGACCUCCAGCUGAGAAUCGGGUUUUUUGUGUAAUUCAAUAUGAGACAAAGUGACGAGUUCACACAUCGCAGCUGAUCAAUAAAUGAUAAAUACUCUGUGUAAUUCUUCCAAACCGUCUCUAAAUCACACAGUGAGUCGCAUCUUGUCAUCGUGUGGUUUUGCACAAACCCUACAUAUUUCCACUUUUUGUUUGCUAUUAGUGGGGCCGAGUACCAAUCCAAAAACUAUCCUCUAAAACACAACAAAGGAAACCAAUCUUCCAUGGAAAGACUGUCUCGUGUUUUCCAGCUCAUUCCCAAUGAAAAUCUAAACAUCUUUCCUAAUUUAUCUAAUCACUUCAAUAUGAAAUCAUAUCUGUAGGUGAUUAAUCGGACUCCGAGAGUAAAUGAAUAAGGUUCCCCACUGACAGAUAUACAAAAUCUCUUCACGAGAUGAGGACUUAAUUAAUAUUGAAAUUGCGCAUUAAUAUUCAGCUUCGUUCUUUUUAGUAAAUAAUUCAGAUGGAUUUUAGUCAAAGCAACAUCAAAAUAACUCAUAUCACAUCAUGGAAUCGAAGAUGACCAAAUCUUUAAAAUAUGGUGACAUUAAAAGGAUGGUGCCUCCAUCUGUUUUGCUGUUAGAAAUGGAAUUAUUUGUCAUUAAGAGCCCUCUAUGGUAACACUUUGCUUAGCUGAUAAUUACAUACAGAAUCUGUCAAAGCUUGCUCUUUGUAACAUACAAAACAAGUACUGCUUCAAAAAUAAAAAUAUAAAAAUAAGGGCUAAAAACAGCCUGAAAAGCAGCAACACGUUUUCUAUGAAUGCGGAGAAAGUGAUUAAACAGAUUGUGGCCCGACAUUGAAUGAUACAUUGAUAUAAUGUGAAAUGUAUCGAGAUCCCUGCAUUGUAUUCACGAUCUCCGCUUUUCAAUAUUAAAGGACCACUAUAGGCACCCAGACCACUUCAGCUCAAUGAAGUGGUCUGGGUGCCAGGUCCAUUUAGGGUUAACCCUGCCGCUGUAAACAUAGCAGUUUCAGAGAAAGUGCUAUGUUUAUAAUAGGGUUAAUCCAGCCUCUAGUGGAUGUCUCACUGACAGCAUGAGGGUGGGGGGGGGGGACCUAUUAACACUAUAGUGCCAGGAAAACAAGUUUGUUUUCCUGGCACUAUAGUGGUCCUUUAAGGCUACAUUUAUUCACCUGUUAAGAAUGCUGACGGCAUUUACUUACAUUCAUGGUGAUGGGGAUAAAGGCUUUACAUCCUCCAAUCACCAUCACCUUGCAACAGGAUGAGGGGAAUCUAUUGAUGAGUAGAAUACAGCUUGGUGACCCCAAUACUUUCCCCUAUCACAGGAGAGCCCCUGUAAUCCUUGUCCUUUAACCCCUUAAGGACACAUGACAUGUGUGACAUGUCAUGAUUCCCUUUUAUUCCAGAAGUUUGGUCCUUAAGGGGUUAAUGUCACUUUAUAGUUAACACAGAAAGCCUGCAUACUUCGUUUGUCACAUUAACCUGAAACCCUGGGAGUAAAAUGAUUAGAAAAGGAGGUUUGGACUGAGAACGGGGCCAAUUAAGGCCAAAAAUGUGUAAUAUCUCUCCCCAAAGUGAAUCCUAAUGAAAUGAGAUAAGUAGUGACUAUUUCUUGGCUAAAUGGUAGGGUGCACUUAGAAAGGUAUAAAAGAACCUUCUACGCAGCGAACCGCUCAGUAUGUCCUUCUUUUAUGCUAGAAUAAUACAUGAUUUUUCAAGGAGUAAAUCUUUAAUUCUACAUUUUCUGAAAAGUACAUUUCAUUUGAAGGGAUUAGCGAAAUUCAAAUAUCUGCUCUUUAAAGUCUUCUGAAUCUUUAAAGUCACUUUGUACAGAGAUAAACCUUCUCAGCUCAACACUUUCCUCAUCACUAGAAUUUGCUAUUUGUAACAAUUAUACAGCCACGACUCCGGAACGCCGGCAUGCGAUUCUGUAUCAGAGGAUAAAAAUGUCAUCGCACAGAGCAACGGAGACCAUAAAACGUUUACACACAGUAAAAAAACGCUGCUUCCAUCAAUAGAUUUAAAUAGUAAACAGUGGUAAAUCAUCCGAGUUAAUCAAAAUCUAUAAAAAAACCUCAGUCCUUUUCCUGUGUGUCCAUCAUGGAACCUAUAUAUAUAUAUUUAAUGUUAACAUAACUGGGAGUAAAGGAAAUAUUCAUUUUCAUUUUGAUCUCUAUGAGCAAAAUGAUGUAAAAAGACCCAAACUGUCCCAGUUUUCCGCAGCCAUGAAUGAACAAUGUUAUUCUGUCUAGAUUGCUAUUUACAAAGUCCCUCUCCUAUAUCUGUGUACCAAGUCACAUUAACGACAUUACUAACCUGUAACCUGUUACACUAAUUGGAGAAGAAUUUGCCAAUUUAGAAAAAUAAUGCAAAUAAGUAAAAAUUUAUGGAGCAGCGCAAAGGAAAAAGAAAAGCAAGUGGGGAAGGGAAAGGGGUGAAACUAUGAGGGAGGCAGUCAGUCCUAUUAGGAAAAUACCUCUAACUUAAAUAUGUGGGAAAUCAUACAGAAAAAGGGGACUGCGAUUUCCCUGUCAAUAAAUAUGGCAACCACUGAGCUGCGUACCACAACCACAUACAAAAAUAUUAAACUUUUUGUAUAAAGAUAACAACUAAACAAUAAAGGUUAAAAUAUAAUUUAUCGAUCCUUGUAAAUAUAAAAGGGAAAAGUAAAAGAAAAGAGAAAAUAAAUCAGAACCAAACCUGAUAGAUAAAUUUAAUAAUUACAAAAAAAGUAAGAAAUGUGGUCAUAAGAAGAAGGAAAACAAACCUGUCUCCUUUUUUUAAUUCCCAUAUUUGUUGGAGAGAAGUAGUAGGGGAAUAUAAAAUAUAUCAGAUGGCCGACACAGGAACAGAGCUACUCUUGGGCGCAUGAUAUGUAAAACCUCAUGGUACGAUAUUAACAGGAAUUGCAAACAUUGCUAUAGAAUAGCCUUUUAUAUACACAAGGAUCAAUAAAUUAUAUUUUAGCCUUUAUUGGUUUGUUGUCAUCUUUAUACAAAAAGUUUAAUGUUUUUAUUAGGUGAUUGUGGUAUGCAACUCAGUGGUUCACAUAUUCAUUGACAGAGAGUAUUCCUAUUUUAGGGAAAUCCCAGCCCCCUUUUUUCUGUAUAAUUUUACAAUUUUACAGUGAGUUUACCAACGCGUGUCGCAUUCUGUUUUUGUAUAUAAUGAAAUUAUAUAAGCACAUUCGUCACCUGAUAACCUGCACCUCAAUACGUAGCCCCCCCACAUGUUCAGUGUAUAUACAGGCAGUGAUAUAACGUGGAUAAGACUCCUCAGAUAUUUCCCCCUGGUGGAUGUCAUUGUGACGGAACGCUUGCACUCCGACUGAGUACCUCCGCCAAUCGAUGCUCCUAGUGCUCGCUGAGGACUCCAAGCACUCCAACCGACACCAUCAGCACUGCAGACCCCACUUCCAGCGAUGCAACUGCGCCGGGGUCUCUGCUGUUUCCACCCACCCUGGACCCAAGGCCAGGAUCCAGCUUCCAGUGGGUGAACCUCUCUUUCCCCAGAGAGCAGGAACAGGAACAAAUCAAGCUAUUGCAAGAGCUUCCUCUGGGGAGUAAGUGAUUAUAGCAAUCCCCAGAGUGUAGGUAUCCCUUCCCCCAAACAUGAGCCAAGGCUUAAUGCUGGAACAAGACUGAUUUACUGGCACACAGAACUCACAAUUUAUGCAACACAAAACUCCUCCUCUGGGCCAGGCUAGAUAAUUGAGUUUCUACAAUACACAAAGCUCAAUUAUCUGCUGGCCAGAAAUAAUACAGUUUCAUAAAACACACAGGGACCCCAAAACAUGCAAUAACCCCAUAAAAGUAUAUCCUUGGAACCGGGGGAUCUGGGUGAACCACAUAUCCAAAAUUCACCCAGAUCCGUUCAGUACUUUGGAAAAUACAGUUUAAUGCAGAUUCUGCAGAACAUAUACAGGCUAAAUAAAAAACAAUCACUGUAUAAUGUGUCCCCUGCUGUAUAGUCCAAAACCACCACACGAUGUCUCUGUGCAACAAAUACUGGCGAGAUGGCACCGUGUUGAAAAGUCCAAACAGUGUCUGUGAGUUAAAAUGGCCGCCAUCCAUUGUUCUCACCAUGUGCUUCUGAUACAGGAAAUGGUGGCCACCCAGUAACUCCACAGUAUGUCCCCAGAUGGUUCUUAAAGGGCCAGCAGCAGCACAACACAAAUCCAUUAUGCCCAAAUCAUGUCUUUAAAGGGCAAUACAUCCCAGGGGCCAUAGUCACAGGGCAAGAGGCGGGCAAGCAGUCCUCUCCAGGCACAAGUGGCGAAGGGCACUUCGUCACACAUCUUCCCUUUGGGGGGAAGACUAAACAGGUACCUGACCUUCUGCCGGUCAGUACCUAGAUUAGUCGGGCAGCCCACCCACAAAGAAAAAUACGCAGAGUAACCCCCCCACAAUAAAUGGUACUGGUCUGUAGGUUCAAGUUUGUAGUGGGACAGCGCAGCACUCUCGGUCUCCCUGGUGCAGCUAGGCAAACUGCUGGUGUUGCUUGGGAGGCAGAGGCCAGCGGCGCUCUGCCCUGCUGCCAGCUCUUCCACUGGGGUAACCCGUGGUAAGUCAGGCUCUGAUACAGGGGAAAUGGGGGGGCAGAGGCUAACAGAGCUCUGCCCAGAUGCCAGCUCUUCUGCUGGGGUAACCCGUGGUAAGUCAGGCUCUGAUACAGGGGAAAAGGGGGGGGCAGAGGCUAACAGAGCUCUGCCCAGAUGCCAGCUCUUCUGCUGGGAGGGGGUCAGUGGGUAUCGCAGGCUCAUCCACUGCCCCCAGGACCCGGUUGGGAUGUAGCUGGGGAGGGGAAGUUUCGCUUACCUCCUCCUCCUGGCAUCCCUGCGGGGUUGGUUGGGGAUCUGGUCCGCCCGUCCAGCCUCCCUGUAGGACUGGCACAGAGACCGCGGUCCCAUCUGCGCCAGUGUGGUUAGGUUUGUCUUCCCCCUCUCCUGGUAUCUCUGGCUGCUGUUGGAGGGGGAGGCUGGUUGCCCCCACUCUCCAGGACGCUGGUUGCUGUAAGGUGGAGGGAUCGACCAUCACCUCCUCCUGGAACUCAGGCCGCCGCUGGGGAGAGAGACCAGUUGUCUCCUCUCCCUGUAUAUUAUACUGCCGCUGGGGACCUGGGCUGACUGCCCAGCAUCCCUGUAGGGCUGGCAGAGAGACUUCGGUCCCAUCUCCGCUUGCCAUCUCUGUGUGUCCCCAGGACAAGUCUAUGAGGUCGCCCACCUCCGGCUGCUGUUGGAGAGGGAGGCCGGUUGCCUCCCCUCCCCAGGACGCUGGUUGCUGUAAGGUGGAGGGAUCGACCAUCACCUCCUCCUGGAACUCAGGCCGCCGCUGGGGAGAGAGACCAGUUGUCUCCUCUCCCUGUAUAUUAUACUGCCGCUGGGGACUUGGGCUGACUGCCCAGCAUCCCUGUAGGGCUGGCAGAGAGACUUCGGUCCCAUCUCCGCUUGCCAUCUCUGUGUGUCCCCAGGACACGUCUAUGAGGUCCACUACCUCAGGUACCUCUGGUUGGUGGAGGUGAGGGAGGCCGGUUGCCUCCCCUCCCCAGGACGCUGGUUGCUGUAUGGGGGAGGGAUCUACCAUCACCUCCUCCUGGAACUCAGGCUGCUGCUGGGAAGGGAGACCGGUUGUCUCCUCUCCCUGUGAGAUACACUGCCGCUGGGGAUCUGGGCCGGGUACCCAGCAUCCCUGUGGGGCAGGUGGAGAGACCUCGGUUCCAUCUCCACCUGCCAUCUGUGGGUCUUCCCAGGACCGUUCCAUAAGGUUGCUCACCUCUGGGGCUGGUUGGACAGAAGAGGGUAGGGUGUCCAGGUAAUCCUCUGGGCUGAGGGACGGUGAUUGGGCUAAGUUGAACAGGCGUCGGUAGCUCUGCUCCAGCCCCCACUCCAUUGCGACCAGAUGACUCAGGUCUGGCCCCAGGUCGUCCGCUCGGGGAAGAUCCAGCAGGGUUUCCCUGAUGUUGUGGAUGUCCCAGAACCGAAACUCUGUGGGGCAUCCAAAGUCAUCGCCCUCCUCAUAGGCCUCCCACAGUAAGCCCGGGCCAUUAUAAUCCUCUCCCUCGGGCAGAUAGUGGUUAGUCAUCGAGGGGUUGCGCUGGGUGGCGUACCACUUUAAUGCCCGGUAAGCUGCAUCUAGCCACAACUCCUUCCAAAUUAAAUCCCAGAGUUCCAACAACCAUUCAUCCAAGGGUUGCUCCCCUAGGAAAGGGGAGCGCAGGGCCUCGAGUACCUGGAACCGCUGCUCGUCACUGGGAAGGCUCUCUCCCCGCCGCCGUUGUACCUUUUCCAGGGCAUCGUGCCACAUCUCCGUACGAGUGACAUCUCUCCAGUCCAGUAUGCACUCCUCUGAUACAGGCCCGUCCUGUUGGGCCAAGUGCUGCUGCAACCUCCAGCGAAACUCCUCUUCCAUGUUGCUGUGGAUAGGGACGCUGCCCGUAGCUAGCUCUAUCCCUUGAGUUCCUCUGAAGCCAGGGUCGCUGCACAAGUGCUAGCGUUGCCCUCAAUUAUAAAUCCGUAACUCCACAUGUUACCGGUGUCUCCGAGCUGCUGGUCCUCGCACUAGGACGCCAUCCCGCCGCUGCCACCAAAUGUGACGGAACGCUGGCACUCCGACUGAGUACCUCCGCCAAUCGAUGCUCCUAGUGCUCGCUGAGGACUCCAAGCACUCCAACCGACACCAUCAGCACUGCAGACCCCACUUCCAGCGAUGCAACUGCGCCGGGGUCUCUGCUGUUUCCACCCACCCUGGACCCAAGGCCAGGAUCCAGCUUCCAGUGGGUGAACCUCUCUUUCCCCAGAGAGCAGGAACAGGAACAAAUCAAGCUAUUGCAAGAGCUUCCUCUGGGGAGUAAGUGAUUAUAGCAAUCCCCAGAGUGUAGGUAUCCCUUCCCCCAAACAUGAGCCAAGGCUUAAUGCUGGAACAAGACUGAUUUACUGGCACACAGAAAUCACAAUUUAUGCAACACAAAACUCCUCCUCUGGGCCAGGCUAGAUAAUUGAGUUUCUACAAUACACAAAGCUCAAUUAUCUGCUGGCCAGAAAUAAUACAGUUUCAUAAAACACACAGGGACCCCAAAACAUGCAAUAACCCCAUAAAAACCGGGGGAUCUGGGUGAACCACAUAUCCAAAAUUCACCCAGAUCCGUUCAGUACUUUGGAAAAUACAGUUUAAUGCAGAUUCUGCAGAACAUAUACAGGCUAAAUGAAAAACAAUCACCGUAUAAUGUGUCCCCUGCUGUAUAGUCCAAAACCACUGCACGAUGUCUCUGUGCACCAAAUACUGGCGAGAUGGCACCGUGUUGAAAAGUCCAACAGUGUCUGUGAGUUAAAAUGGCCGCCAUCCAUUGUUCUCACCAUGUGCUUCUGAUACAGGAAAUGGUGGCCACCCAGUAACUCCACAGUAUGUCCCCAGAUGGUUCUUAAAAGGGCCAGCAGCAGCACAACACAAAUCCAUUAUGCCCAAAUCAUGUCUUUAAAGGGCAAUACAUCUCAGGGGCCAUAGUCACAGGGCAAGAGGCGGGCAAGCAGUCCUCUCCAGGCACAAGUGGCGAAGGGCACUUCGUCACAGUCAUGUCUCAGAGUAAAUGGCUUCACGACUACUAAGGUACUGGAGUUUCUCCAGAACUCAUUGAACUGGGGGCAGAUAGUAUAGGCACAAAUUAUUAUCCCACUUACUGAAGGCUGGAAAUUUGUGGAGUAGCAGCUGAGGUGCUCUUUCCAGGUCAAACAAGGUCUUCUCAUCAGUAUCUUUAGUCUAUCAGGCUGGCCCCACGUCCAUAGGAACCAUCACUCUACCAGUCUACAGCUUCCCUGACCAGCUCCCCCAACUAUUAACAGGAUGUUCCACUCUUUGUGGACAAAUGAGGACCCUGAUGCCUUUUUAUUUAGGAGGGACAUAGGGGUAAGGGGGAAAUCAUUGCGAAGGGAAGAAGGAUUGGGCCAGGCGCUUCUUUAAUUUCAGUCAAACAGGGUUGUUAACUAACAUGUGAAUUAAAAAAUUUAGGCCAAAUUAGAAGCAGAGCUGACUUGGAGAAUUAUUCCAAAUCAACUAUUUUGGCCUUAAACUUGAAAUUCACUUUAGUGAAUAUCUCUGAUAAUUUAUAUCAUUGUUUGAGAGUUUUUCUGAUAUAACCAUUGGUUAUUUUGUGAGGAUCCCUGAUGAUGACAUCACUGCUUGGGGUGCUGUAGCAGUAUGUUAUACUUACCUGACACUGUCUCUUCAGGCGGCCGGCAUCUUCGUACACAUUAUUAAAUCUAUGGCUACAGAACCACUAUUAUACUCGCUAUUGGUAUGGUCCAAUCCCCACCAACACCAGGUUUUCUGAAAAUAAAAUGAUAACAUUAUUUUCUGCUCAGUGUUUCUUUAUAUUCUAAUAUAUAGAAUUUCCUAGCAACACACUAUAUAUUUUGAAUGAAAUUUACGCCUCCUCAAAAAGCAUGAUAUNNNNNNNNNNNNNNNNNNNNNNNNNNNNNNNNNNNNNNNNNNNNNNNNNNNNNNNNNNNNNNNNNNNNNNNNNNNNNNNNNNNNNNNNNNNNNNNNNNNNGCAGAGUAUAACUAUAUUAGGCAUGUGCUUCAGGAUAAGGUAUAAAGAGUUCACUCUGGUUUGGAGGGCUCAGUGUGUGGCCGUCUGCUCGCUUAGAAUCACAGUUCCAGCGGUGGCCGCAAGCCCUGCCAUGCCGCGAUGUCGUCAGCCAAUUCCCUCUGUGGGGUAGUCGCGUGUGCCUUCCAGCAGGUCACGGUAAGCCGUUGUCGCGGUCCCCCUGCGCUUUCUGCAUCUUUCACCCGUGUGGGCUUCUGCAUACCGCGGCAUCUGGGCUGCUAGUUGUUCGGUUUGUUGUUUAGCCCCGUGUUGGCUGAGGUGAGUGUCCAGGCGCUGCAGGCUGUGUUGGGGAUGUUUGGUGCAUAGGGUUUGCGAUCGCUUGUGCCAGCCGCCAUCCUCCGCCAUCUUGGAUGUACCUUGCUGCCUCAUGGUGUUGGGAGGUAGUAUUGGCCAGCUGCCUGUGCCACCCAGCGAGGACCGGGAUAACCCCCGCCGGUCCAGAGGGGGGGGGGUUAGAGGUGAGUACGGUGAGGUUUCCAUCUGCGAGGUUACCAACCAGGAGAGCGGCCGCCUCUCCCUGGCUCGGUCGCAGAUAGGCCUCAGGUUGGAAUCGUGGGGACCCGGUGAGUUGCGGGUACAAGAUUAGUAUUAAAACGUUUUCCUGGGUCUCCCCCACUCUGUAGUCACACUCCCAGCGGUGUGGGCGCGAUGAUUUGGGGUAUAUCCCCCGUUUUAGUGGCUGGCUUGCAGGAGCUAUUGUGCAGCACGUCCACUCUGCUAGGAAGCUAGGCUCCGCCCCAGAAAGUGUUGAUUUUAAAACCUGUCCGACACGAUAAGCUACAGGCCGCCUGGCAGGGCCCUUAUAAGGUGGUAGAACAACGGUGUGACACCACUUAUAUAAUAGGCUCGUGCGUUGGUACUAGGGGGCGACGCAUGCUCCAUGUGAACAUGAUGAAGCCCUACCAGGAGCGCUCUGAGGAAGUGACCGCCAUAUGCGCGCCUAACUCCGAGGAGUUUGACAGUCUGCCUCUCCCAGAUCUGCUAGGAGAGGGUCAGUUAUCUGGGGACUUAGGGGAAGUCACCCUGGGGGAUCGGUUGAGCCCACAGGAGCGGAGCGAGGUACAACAGCUGUUGAGGGAGAAGCAGGAUAUCUUCUCUAAUGUACCUGGUUACACUCCUCUGGCCACUCACAGAGUAGACACCCCAGGGCAGCUUCCCAUGCGUCAGACCCCGUACCGCAUCCCAGAAGCGGUCCAGGCAAACAUGCGCAAGGAGAUCGAUGAGAUGCUCCAGCUGGGGGUGAUUGAGCCCUCUGACAGCCCCUGGGUGUCCCCGGUAGUGCUAGUACCAAAACUGGACGGCACAACCCGUUUUUGUGUAGACUACUGGAGAUUGAAUGAGAAGACGGUAUCUGACGCCUAUCCCAUGCCCAGGAUAGACGAACUACUGGACCGGAUGGUGAGGGGGCACUAUCUCACCACUAUUGACUUGUGUAAAGGGUAUUGGCAAAUACCCUUGGCGCAAGACGCCAUCCCUAAGUCGGCCUUUGUCACCCCAUUCGGCUUGUACCAAUUUAAGGUCAUGCCGUUUGGGAUGAAAAACGCCCGGCUACUUUUCAGCGGAUGGUGGACCGCCUCCUGGAUGGGUUCCAAGAUUAUACCUGCGCCUACCUCGAUGAUAUUGCCAUUUUCAGCAAUACCUGGCAGGAACACUUGACCCAUAUAGGAGCGGUCCUAGACAGGAUUAGGGCAGCUGGUUUAACGCUGAAACCAGCCAAAUGCAGCAUAGGAAUGGCUGAAGUACAAUACCUCAGCCAUCGGGUAGGAUGCGGCAAGCAGAAGCCAGAACCAGCCAAAGUAGAGGCUGUAGCUCAAUGGCCUACCCCUAGGACUAAGACUCAGGUAUUAGCGUUCCUAGGAACGGCCGGGUACUACCGGAAAUUUGUCCCGAAUUAUAGAGCCCUGGCCAAACCUCUCACUGACUUAACCCGUAAAAACCUUCCCCGCCAAGUGACCUGGACCCCGGAGUGUGAGCAGGCAUUUCAGCUGUUGAAAGAUGCAUUGACCCAUGCCCCUGUCUUGGCAGCUCCCAAUCCAACUAAAUGUUUUCUUGUACACACAGACGCUUCUAUGUUUGGAUUGGGAGCAGUACUGAGCCAAGUCGGGGCCGAUGGCGGAGAACAUCCCGUGGCUUACAUCAGCCGGAAGCUGUUACCUCGAGAAGUAAGCUACGCCGCCAUCGAGAAGGAAUGCCUGGCUGUGGUGUGGGCCCUGAAGAAAUUACAGCCAUAUUUGUACGGACAAGCUUUUUCCCUGCUCGCGGAUCACAACCCGUUAGUAUGGCUAAACCGGGUGGCUGGGGACAAUGCCCGGCUGCUGCGCUGGAGUCUGGCGCUGCAGCCCUUUGACUUUAAUAUCCAGUACUGCCCGGGUAAACAGAAUGGAAACGCUGACGGGUUGUCAAGACAAACUGAUCUAGAGAAAUGAUCCGUGAGCCUCCCCGGACAUCCCCAAGCCGAUCCGUGUUGGAUCAGACUGUGUAUGCCGGCUUGUGGGCAAGGGGGAGCAGUGUAGCGGAUGGCACCGGGCUGUCCUGCAAAUAUAUUGUACAUAACUGCAUUCGUGUGAUCUGCUGUGUUAUAUGUGUUUUAAAAGAAUUGUAUUCCUCUGAUUGUUCGGUAGUUUCAUUCCCUUAGUUUAUUCGAAUGAAAAUACCGAACAACCAGACCUCCCCUGUGUGAAGUGUGUCCUCAAUUACCCAUUGCAACAUUGUUGUGAACGGGUAAUUGACUAGUAAGUAGCCGUCGGCCAUUUUAAAACUCCCGAACAGUGGUGUUUUGCCGUCGAGUGUCUGGAACUAAAAUCGGACACUCGAGUAGGCGAACACCGCUGAGACCUCCACAAGCCCGGUCCGUUCGGUUCCAAACUACCGAACGGCCCCUCGUUCGGUAGAUAGAAAGUACCGAACGAGGGGAUUCAGGCGAACCCUCCCUAGCCUCUAUAGCUAGAGGCUUUCGUGUAUUUUGUUCCCUUAUGCCAGGACCGACCGCAGGGCCCAUUCGCAUGGAACCUCAUUCGGCUGUCUCAGUUAGUGCGGUCGGUCAUUUUAUUCCCUCCAUACAUUUCCCGAACCCCUGGUCUGAUCUGGGUGAUUUUUGGAUAUGUUGUUCACCCAGAUCAGGGCUAUCCGGGGAUGUAGGAUUUAAAGAGGUACCCCUACGUUUAGGGGUACAUCCAGAAACGGGGGGUGUGACAGACCCAUCUGUCUGGAUUACAAAUGCUUUGUUCGCCUGUUUUGCCGGUUACAUGAAUUUCCCCAUUCGUAUGCUUUAUUCAAGGGAAUGUCGGUUUUGUCGAACGGAACUACCGAACGGACGGCCACCCAGAAGAGAAGUGUGCUGCUGUUUAACCUAUUGAUCCCAAUUAGAACGUUGCGGUUAACCACAGACACUUCUCAAUUAAAACCGAAUGCCGGGUGGUCGUCGUUCGUAUGUCGACCACGAGGCGGCGGCCAUUUUGUCCAUGCGAACGACCAGCGGUGUUCGACGAUUAUUUCAUGGAUCUGAAAACGGACACUUUUUCAGCCAAACACCGCUGAAGCCGUCGACCUCCCCUUCUCAAUCGACAAAAGUAUACGAAUGCCAGCCGUUCGGGAGAUUCAACCACACGAAUGGACUUAACCCAGAUAGCCGUCCCAUGGAGUCAAUUGCAUACCGAAGAACUGAAAGAUACUUUGACUCCAUGGCGAUUGAACUGUGCGAAUGGGAUCUGAGCGCUAUUCUCCAAUAAUGUGCCCUCAGAUCCAGGCUAUCUGGGGAUAUGCAAUACGAAUGUAAUAUGUUCGGCAGUUGUGAAGUUAUGGAUUUUCAUGUGUUUUUGUGACUUGUGUUUAAAAUGGCGAUUGCCUCUGCUCGGGGAGAUAAUUGAGUUACUUCCCAAUUAUCCCUCGAGCAGAGGGGAGGGAACUGUGAUGCAUGCUGGGAAUAUUGUGGGGGAUGUAUGUCCAAAAUGUCCCCAUGUCCCUCUGUGAUUUCAGUCUCCCAUUUGGUCCCCUAGGGGAGUGUCCACCAAGUGGGAGACCUGCAUAAAUACCGGGCAGGUAGCCCACAGUAAAUCAGUUCGUGUUUUACCCUCAAAGCGGAGCUUGGUCUCGUUAUUGGGGGGGAUUUUAUUACCGGCGCUUAGAGACUGCUUAUUGGAAUUCUUUGCCGCUUGGGAGAUAUUAGCGUUCGGCUAAUAUUGGCAGUUCGUGGAUUUGGAGCUCGUGAAGGGAAAUAGCCGUACAGGUACCGUUCGGGAGUUUGGAGUGUUCCCUAGCUGGCGAUUCGCAUGGUUUUAAUAUACACGCUACCAGCCUACAUUAUUGCGAACGGGGAGCAUUCACUAAACGGCGGUUUGGGCAUUUAUUACUGGAUGUACCGUAACAACUGGUGGCAAGCGACGGGAUGAUCCUCAACGCCCAAAGAGACCACUACAACCAGGACUAAAUGGAAUUACAAUACCAAAACCUGAGGAGAGCUACCCUAAAGGAUUUAUUGGAGCAAAGAGGGGGACAAGCCAGUAACCUCAGGAAGAGGGAUAUUAUUGCGUUAUUGCUGGAAAUGGAUGGAGUACCAGCGGCAGAGGGAACCAAUGGACCCAGUGCAGCUGACAGAACCCCCGAGGAGGCAAGCUUUGACCGGGCGGUAAGAAUCAGGCUGGCACAUUAUGGUCCCAACCCGACUACAGAGACCAUUGACCGGGUCAUGGCAGCUGUGGAGGCCAACCUGCUUCGCCAAAGCGGUGCUGCAGCAGCCCCAGUCACAGCAAACCCGGGAGAUAGGAAAAAGGUACCAUUUACUGCGUUUAAAGCCUUCAGUGAAACAGAAGGAGAGAUUGAUGGGUACCUUGCUGAUUUUGAGCGGCAAUGUGCCCUGCACAAGGUACCCCUGGAAGACUGGGUUACUAUAUUGUCCGGCAAGUUAUCAGGCCGGGCCAGCGAGGCUUUUCGGGCCAUUCCUGAUGAGGAGAUUGGGGAUUAUGUGGCCGUCAGGGAAGCUUUACUCUCCCGGUAUGCCGUUACACCUGAGGCGUACCGGAGGAGGUUCCGAGACACUGUCAAGACCUCUGGGGACUCAUACGUGGAAUGGGCAUGUAAGGUGCAUCGCACAGCCGCCCACUGGAUGGCGGGGUGCCAGGCUGUGUCCGGAGAAGAGGUGCUGCAGAUGUUUCUUUUGGAACAUUGCUUUGAUAAAUUGCCAGCAGGGGUCAGGGAGUGGGUAAGGGACCGUAAUCCCUCCACUCUGCACGAAGCAGCUCGCCUGGCGGAUGAGUAUACUGACGCCCGCAAACUGGACAGUCUCAUCAGCAAGGCUCCCGCCAGAGUGGAGUACAGGCCAACAGCCCCACCAGCAGCCAACCUAUACCAGCCUCCAAUGCAUCGCCCAGCAGCACCUCCUCCAUCUGCCCCGUACCAACAGCCACCUCGGUUCAAUUCAUGGGAGUAUGCCCAACCCAUUCGGUGCUACCUGUGCAAGCAACUAGGGCACAAGCGACCCGAGUGCCCGAUGAACAGCGCCAACCAGAACCAGUCCUGGAGGAGACCAGCCGGCGGCAAUCCACGACCUCCCACCCCAGCCGCUCACUGUGUAGAGCAUGAGGCAGACCCCGUUCAGGCUGCCCACCGGGAUAACAGGCAGCACCACCGACAGUGUGUCAAAGUCAACGGGAAGGAGGUCACUGGUCUACGGGAUACCGGGGCAACCAUGACUUUGCUCCAGAAGCACCUGAUAUCCGAAGCCCAACAUACAGGGGACACGGUCGCAGUGCGAGUAGCCGGGGGUGCCGUGUUUCGUCUGCCCGUUGCCCGGGUACAUUUGGAUUGGGGAGUGGGCGCCAGACAUGUGAAUGUGGGGGUCAUGAAGGACUUACCAGCGGAUGUUCUCCUUGGCAAUGACUUGGCGCCCCUUGUUUCCGCCUACGCUCCCAUGGGUCCUGCUGAAGUGGAUGCUGUCACGACCCGUGCCCAGACCCGUGCCGCUGAGACCGGCCCACCUGCUGCUGAGACCCAGGUAAGACUCUCUCCCCCGACUUGUACCUUAGACCAGGCCCCUUUAGGCUGGGAUACCCCAGAGAUGUACGGGAAGGAAACCAGGGAAGACCCGACGCUAGCCAAGUACAGGGCCAGGGCCGAUUCUGGGGGAGAAGGAGUAGAUGGGGAGCACUACGAGUGGGUGGGGGAUAGACUAUACAGGAUCCCGAAACCGUCCCAGAAGCCGAGUACCCCUCCGCAGAAUCGACAGCUAGUGGUGCCUGCAAAAUACCGGCAGGAGAUUCUGCGGAUUGGGCAUGAUGUGCCAUUAGCAGGCCAUCUAGGUUCCCGCCGCACAGCUCAUAGGAUCACACAGAAUUUCUUCUGGCCCAAUUUUAACCGAGAUGUGCAGGUUUACUGUAGCACGUGUGACACUUGUCAAUGGGUAGGUAAGCGGGGGGAUCACCCAAAAGCUAGGAACUGAAAGAGACUUUGACUCCAUGGUGAUUGAACUGUGCGAAUGGGAUCUGAGCGCUAUUCUCCAAUAAUGUGCCCUCAGAUCCAGGCUAUCUGGGGAUAUGCAAUACGAAUGUAAUAUGUUCGGCAGUUGUGAAGUUAUGGAUUUUCAUGUGUUUUUGUGACUUGUGUUUAAAAUGGCGAUUGCCUCUGUUCGGGAGAUAAUUGAGUUACUUCCCAAUUAUCCCUCGAGCAGAGGGGAGGGAACUGUGAUGCAUGCUGGGAAUAUUGUGGGGAUGUAUGUCCAAAAUGUCCCCAUGUCCUUCUGUGAUUUCAGUCUCCCAUUUGGUCCCCUAGGGGAGUGUCCACCAAGUGGGAGACCUGCAUAAAUACAGGUAGCCCACAGUAAAUCAGUUCGUGUUUUACCCUCAAAGCGGAGCUUGGUCUCGUUAUUGGGGGGGAUUUUACUACCGGCGCUUAGAGACUGCUUAUUGGAAUUCUUUGCCGCUUGGGAGAUAUUAGCGUUCGGCUAAUAUUGGCAGUUCGUGGAUUUGGAGCUCGUGAAGGGAAAUAGCCAUACAGGUACCGUUCGGGAGUUUGGAGUGUUCCCUAGCUGGCGAUUCACUAAACGGCGGUUUGGGCAUUUAUUACUGGAUGUACCGUAACAGGGGGAAUUACUGUACUGGAUAAGGGGAUUAUGAUGCUGGCUGAGGGGAGGGGAUGUGUGGGAGGUUACCAGGACAGGAUUGGCUACUGUAUUAAUGAUUGUAAAUCCCUCCCUUGCACGGGAGCAUGCUUUAUAAGGCCAGUGUGGAUUAAAGAUUUCAGUUCUGCUCCUGAAACUGUGUGUCGUCCAGUUAUUGGGAUUGCUGUUGGGAUAUUGCUGUUAUUUUACCUGCUGGAAACCUUGCCUGUGGAUUUAUUAUUUACUUGUUCCUGAGCCUCACUUGGAUUAUAAGCGGAGAUAACCUGGGGAAUAUUGCAUCUCCGCUACAAUGUAUAUACGUAGUGGGGAAUCGUGAUGCAUCAUACUUACAUAGAACUAACCCAAUUACCACCCAAAUAAUGACAGGCAACGUAGUAUGUAUGAAACAGGCCACAGCAUUUAUUAUUAGAAAUGGUAAAUAAAGGGGAGGUUAAGAUCUGAAACUUGACCACCUCAUUCCACAUACUUAAAACGUAACCACCUCAAACUUAAUUGGCAAGGACAUACCCCCCAGCUAGCUGUGCGGGCAGGAGGGAAGCUGUUUGCUGGCCCAAAUCCCAAGUGGCACUGAGGUAAGAACACCUCCCCACCAAACUCACACACCACAUAAUCCCACCCACACAUUCCUACACAACCAAUCACAAGCAUCUAUCCCCACACUCCUACAUGUGCCCUUGUCCGCUUAGCUGCGCUAUCUCCCCAGGGCCUGACAUUUGAUUUAAUUUUCGCAGGUGGAAAGGACUUACUCAUGUCUAUUUCCUAGUACAUUGCAUUUAAAUGCUGUCGAAGAGCAAUCAAUAAAGUGGUGAAAUCAGUCUGACUGGAAUCCCUCAAUGAUUAAGCAAUGCAACACGGGGACUACAGGCAAUCAGGUUGUAGCCCAUGGAUCAGCGCAGCUAAGAGGAAUAGGCCUUGACAGAGCCAGGAGGUAGGCAUAGCAGCCACAGGAAUUUAGUGACAGCUAGCAUGCUGGGUAGGGCGGAGCCAUAAGGGGAGUAUUUAUACCAGCCAUUAUGUGAAGUGGCCAUUUUAACUGAACCUAAGCUUACCUGUCAGUUGUGAAAGCUGCCUGCCCUGGAGGGAGAAGGCAGCAUGGAGGCAGCAUAGCAGAACAGGCAGCAUGGAGAACAGGCAGCAGGGAGAACAGGCAGCAUGGAGGUACAGGAGAGGCUGGAAUGAGCUGCUACUACAUGAUCACUCCCAUCAGCAGCAUGGAGGCAGCAUAGAAGAACAGGCAGCAUGGAGAACAGGCAGUACUGAAACAGGAGACAGCAUGGAGGUACAGGAGAGGCUGGAGUGAGCUGCUACUACAUGAUCACUCCCAUCAGCAGCAUGGAGAACAGGCAGUACUGAGACAGGAGGCAGCAUGGAGGUACAGGAGAGGCUGGAGUGAGCUGCUACUACAUGAUCACUCCCAUCAGCAGUAUGAAGAACAGGCAGUACUGAGACAGGAGACAGCAUGGAGGGACAGGAGAGGCUGGAAUGAGCUGCUACUACAUGAUCACUCCCAUCAGCAGCAUGGAGGCAGCAUGGAGAACAGGCAGUACUGAGACAGGAGACAGCAUGGAGAUACAGGAGAGGCUGGAGUGAGCUGCUACUACAUGAUCACUCCCAUCAGCAGCAUGGAGAACAGGCAGUACUGAGACAGGAGACAGCAUGGAGGGACAGGAGAGGCUGGAAUGAGCUGCUACUACAUGAUCACUCCCAUCAGCAGUAUGGAGAACAGGCAGUACUGAGACAGGAGACAGCAUGGAGGUACAGGAGAGGCUGGAGUGAGCUGCUACUACAUGAUCACUCCCAUCAGCAGCAUGGAGGCAGCAUAGCAGAACAGGCAGCAUGGAGGCAGCAUGAAGAACAGGCAGCAUGAAGAACAGGCAGCAUGGAGGCAGCAUGAAGAACAGGCAGUACUGAGACAGGAGACAACAUGGAGAUACAGGAGGCUGGAGUGAGCUGCUACUACAUGAUCACUCCCAUCUGCAGCAUGAAGAACAGGCAGUACUGAGACAGGAGGCAGCAUGGAGGUACAGGAGAGGCUGGAGUGAGCUGCUACUACAUGAUCACUCCCAUCAGCAGCAUGGAGAACAGGCAGUACUGAGACAGGAGGCAGCAUGGAGGUACAGGAGAGGCUGGAGUGAGCUGCUACUACUGCAUGCUCACUCCCAUCAGCAGCAUGAAGAACAGGCAGUACUGAGACAGGAGACAGCAUGGAGAUACAGGAGAGGCUGGAAUGAGCUGCUACUACAUGAUCACUCCCAUCAGCAGCAUGGAGAACAGGCAGUACUGAGACAGGAGACAGCAUGGAGGUACAGGAGAGGCUGGAGUGAGCUGCUACUACAUGAUCACUCCCAUCAGCAGCAUGGAGGCAGCAUGAAGAACAGGCAGCAUGGAGGCAGCAUGAAGAACAGGCAGUACUGAGACAGGAGACAGCAUGGAGGUACAGGAGAGGCUGGAGUGAGCUGCUACUACAUGAUCACUCCCAUCAGCAGCAUGGAGAACAGGCAGUACUGAGACAGGAGGCAGCAUGGAGGUACAGGAGAGGCUGGAGUGAGCUGCUACUACUGCAUGCUCACUCCCAUCAGCAGCAUGAAGAACAGGCAGUACUGAGACAGGAGACAGCAUGGAGAUACAGGAGAGGCUGGAAUGAGCUGCUACUACAUGAUCACUCCCAUCAGCAGCAUGGAGAACAGGCAGUACUGAGACAGGAGACAGCAUGGAGGUACAGGAGAGGCUGGAGUGAGCUGCUACUACAUGAUCACUCCCAUCAGCAGCAUGGAGGCAGCAUGAAGAACAGGCAGCAUGGAGGCAGCAUGAAGAACAGGCAGUACUGAGACAGGAGACAGCAUGGAGAUACAGGAGAGGCUGGAGUGAGCUGCUACUACAUGAUCACUCCCAUCUGCAGCAUGAAGAACAGGCAGUACUGAGACAGGAGGCAGCAUGGAGGUACAGGAGAGGCUGGAGUGAGCUGCUACUACAUGAUCACUCCCAUCAGCAGCAUGGAGAACAGGCAGUACUGAGACAGGAGGCAGCAUGGAGGUACAGGAGAGGCUGGAGUGAGCUGCUACUACAUGAUCACUCCCAUCAGCAGCAUGGAGAACAGGCAGUACUGAGACAGGAGACAGCAUGGAGGUACAGGAGAGGCUGGAGUGAGCUGCUACUACAUGAUCACUCCCAUCAGCAGCAUGAAGAACAGGCAGUACUGAGACAGGAGGCAGCAUGGAGGUACAGGAGAGGCUGGAGUGAGCUGCUACUACAUGAUCACUCCCAUCAGCAGCAUGGAGGCAGCAUAGAAGAACAGGCAGUACUGAGACAGGAGACAGCAUGGAGAUACAGGAGAGGCUGGAGUGAGAGGCAGCAUAGCAGAACAGGCAGCAUGGAGGCAGCAUGAAGAACAGGCAGCAUGAAGAACAGGCAGCAUGGAGGCAGCAUGAAGAACAGGCAGUACUGAGACAGGAGACAGCAUGGAGAUACAGGAGAGGCUGGAGUGAGCUGUUACUGCUGAUGAUCACCCCAUCUGCAGCAUGAAGAACAGGCAGUACUCGAGACAGGGAGGCAGCAGCAUGGAGGUACAGAGAGGUUGAGGGAGCUGCUACUACAUGAUCACUCCCACGCAGCAUGGUGCAACAGGCAGCAACUGGAGACAGGAGGCAAGGCAUGGGAGGUACAGAGAGGCUGGAGUGAGCUGCUGGAUUACUGCAUGCUCACCCCAUCAGCAUGUAGAACAGGCAGUACUGAGACAGGAGGCAGCAUGGAGAUACAGGAGAGGCUGGAAUGAGCUGCUACUACAUGAUCACUCCCAUCAGCAGCAUGGAGAACAGGCAGUACUGAGACAGGAGACAGCAUGGAGAUACAGGAGAGGCUGGAAUGAGCUGCUACUAUAUGAUCACUCCCAUCAGCAGCAUGGAGGCAGCAUAGAAGAACAGGCAGCAUGGAGGCAGCAUGAAGAACAGGCAGUACUGAGACAGGAGACAGCAUGGAGAUACAGGAGAGGCUGGAGUGAGCUGCUACUACAUGAUCACUCCCAUCAGCAGCAUGGAGAACAGGCAGUACUGAGACAGGAGGCAGCAUGGAGGUACAGGAGAGGCUGGAGUGAGCUGCUACUACUGCAUGCUCACUCCCAUCAGCAGCAUGAAGAACAGGCAGUACUGAGACAGGAGACAGCAUGGAGAUACAGGAGAGGCUGGAAUGAGCUGCUACUACAUGAUCACUCCCAUCAGCAGCAUGGAGAACAGGCAGUACUGAGACAGGAGACAGCAUGGAGGUACAGGAGAGGCUGGAGUGAGCUGCUACUACAUGAUCACUCCCAUCAGCAGCAUGGAGGCAGCAUAGAAGAACAGGCAGUACUGAGACGGGAGACAGCAUGGAGAUACAGGAGAGGCUGGAGUGAGCUGCUACUACAUGAUCACUCCCAUCAGCAGCAUGGAGAACAGGCAGUACUGAGACAGGAGGCAGCAUGGAGAUAUAGGAGAGGCUGGAGUGAGCUGCUACUACAUGAUCACUCCCAUCAGCAGCAUGGAGAACAGGCAGUACUGAGACAGGAGGCAGCAUGGAGGUACAGGAGAGGCUGGAGUGAGCUGCUACUACAUGAUCACUCCCAUCAGCAGCAUGGAGAACAGGCAGUACUGAGACAGGAGACAGCAUGGAGGUACAGGAGAGGCUGGAGUGAGCUGCUACUACAUGAUCACUCCCAUCAGCAGCAUGAAGAACAGGCAGUACUGAGACAGGAGGCAGCAUGGAGGUACAGGAGAGGCUGGAGUGAGCUGCUACUACAUGAUCACUCCCAUCAGCAGCAUGGAGGCAGCAUAGAAGAACAGGCAGUACUGAGACAGGAGACAGCAUGGAGAUACAGGAGAGGCUGGAGUGGUUUUGCUACUACACGAUCACCCCCAUCAGCAGCAUGGAGAACAGGCAGUACUGAGGACAGGAGGACAGCAUGGAGGUACAGGAGAGGCUGGAGUGAGCUGUUGCUACUACAUGAUCACUCCCAUCAGCAGCAUGGAGGCAGCAUAGAAGAACAGAGGCAGCAUGGAGGUACAGGAGAGGCUGGAGUGAGCUGCUGCUACUGCAUGCUCACUCCCAUCAGCAGCAUGGAGAACAGGCAGUACUGAGACAGGAGACAGCAUGGAGGUACAGGAGAGGCUGGAGUGAGCUGCUGCUACUGCAUGCUCACUCCCAUCAGCAGCAUGGAGGCAGCAUAGAAGAACAGAGGCAGCAUGGAGGUACAGGAGACAGCAUGGAGGUACAGGAGAGGCUGGAGUGAGCUGCUGCUGCUGCAUGCUCACUCCCAUCAGCCUCAGACAGAACUCCAAGCAAGCCACCAUCCUGGUCACAAAGGUUGUGGCAGAAUUGGGGCUGGUGGCUGCAGGAGCAGCUGGGGGGCCCCGAGCACAUCUGCUACCCCCCCCCCACGCGGCGGUGGAACAGAGGCCAGCAAGGAGAGCGAGGACGCCCCAGCGGCAGCCUGUGAGUGACAUCGUUAGUUCGGCAGCCCGUGAGCCUGUCAGGAGGCGGCAAGGGGAAGGCUGAGAAUGAGGUCAGAAAGCAGGCAGGAGUUGGAGGGCGGCUGGCGCCGUAUGUUCGACGCGGCGCCGGUCAGGCAAGACGGCAGGUCAGGAUGAGGCCGCACAGUAAGAGCGCCCCCUGCAAUAAGGCGGGGGGGCGGGAAAGCACAAAGGACGGCGGAAUCCAGCAUGACAUGAUGGCCGCCAGGCAGGAAGAGCGGCAAGAGGCGUCCUGGUGAGUCUGCCCCUGGUGGCAUACCUGAGUGACAGGGGGAAUGAUGCAAGGGCCCAGCAGUGUAAAAGCGGUCCCCCCCCCCCCAAUGGGCAGGCGGGGGGGUCCAGGUCGGCGGGACACAGACGGAGGCGGCCCUGGAUGGGGCCAGGGUCAGGUCAGAGGCGGAUAGUGAAAGCAGCAGACGGAGUCUUCACAGGCACAGCAGAGCAGCUAUGGAGGGGAAGGCCAGCAACCAGGAUUAAUUAAAGGGGCCACAAGUGGAUGAGGCGGCCUGGGAGAGGCCAGGUACUGCAAGCAGAGGGCAGACGAGAGGAAAUGGACGUAAGGCACAGAGGCAAGCGGGAGCCCCCUGGGGGGUGUUCUCAGGAGCAGGAACACAGGAGGAGCAUCAGCAGGUGUGAGUACGGCAGGGAGCAGCGCAACGACAAUGACAGGCACAGCAGCAGCGGGAGGUCAGAUGAGGGAUGGAGAAGCAGGUCGAGGAGUGUUACUUCUACGGGCUUGAGGCUGGACCAGCGUGGACAGGAGUCGGCAUCCACCAGAUACUCCAGAGCCUCAGCCACAGCGCAGACGGAGGUUCGGGCAGUGAGUCCAUAAACACACCACACUUUUUUAAAUUGCAUAAAUCAUUUUAGAGUCAUGAUCAAGGAAAAAAGGGGCUGUCCCCGCAGUGCCGAAGGGUGGGGUCACCAGAGCGCAGUCGGGAGGCCGAAGUAAGGGUGGUGGUGACGGCGUGCCGGGUAAGGGAAGGGGAAUACGGUGUACCGGUACCGGGGACAUCUGACGGGCAGGAGAACAGUUAGAUGUGUGGCAAUAUUCCAGGCGUGGCACAACAAAAUGGGCACGUGUCCUUCGCGGGGACAUUGGGGGGCACUUGAAGGUGGAGGAUAAGAUUUGAUAAAGGGGAUUUAAAAAAAUAAAUAAAUAUAUAUAUAUAUAAAAAAUUCCUGUCUUCUGCUCGAGGAGUUCAUUGAUUUAAAAGGGGUGGUUCCUAAUGAUAGUGCAGGAAAUGCGCUCUUUCCGGGGGCUGACGGCGCACCCCCAGGAGGUGCUGUGCUGGCUGGACAGAAGAAAGGUCAGUACAACUGGGGACCGUCGGGUAGGCUUCGAUAUGGGUGUUCCGGAGGCGGUGGGAGUCACGGUGUCAACUGACGCGUCAAAAAAGGAAAACCUAAGGCAGGAAGGGUACUCGGCAGGGCUUCAGCCCCGCGGUUGCGGCUCGGAGCGGCACCAGUGAUGAUCAGUGCAUUGCUGCUGUGGCUAAGGCAGUAAGCCUCCCAUGAAUGCGCUAGUUUUAUGGCUGAGAUUGUUGAGGGGGUUUACGCUAUUCCAUUCAAAGUCGAGGGACCAGGAAAAGUGGUGGGCGAAUAUCAAGUCCAUGGGGGAACUUCCGCGCCAUUAGCGGACCUGUGGGUGUCUCCAUGGGGGGGUGGUCCCCUAGAAAUGGGCGGGCAAAUUCUGUCCAAUACAAAACUUAUCGCACCCAAAAGGGGCAUCGGUAAAUGAGGACAUCGCCGCGGAACUGUUCUGUAUCGUUGGCAUCAUUCGGCCUUGCCGUCGAGUUGGUUUGGGGGAACAGGACGCGUUCGAUUAUUGGCGACCCUUCCAUCUUUUGGGUUGCAUGUUUGCAGGUUCCUAUUGGUAACCUCUACUUGCCAAGGGGCAGUUCCAUUCAUGUUCCUACUCGGGAAGUUGGAUCCGUCUGGGAGUGGGAGGUGAAAAAGGAAUCAGAAAGGGGUUCCUUAGUACAUUAUCUGUAAGAUAGCUUGCUGUGUGGGCUCGGCUGGGCCGGGCCGUUGUAGACAUACCUUAUGGUCACGGGAAUCCUACCGCACGUCUUUGCUUGGACUGGAAAUUGUUUCGGUGGUAGGUGAGUGUCGAUUUCCUGGGGUUCAGUUGACUGCACUUUGGGAGUUCAGGCUGAAGGUUCGCAGGUCCAAGAAGGUCACUGAGAAAUCGCAGUUGUUCAUAAGGCAGUUUCAAGUUGCAUGUCGGGUUAGUCGCGAGGACUGGGUCGGUAGCCAUUUCAUGGCGAAGGCUACUUGUGGAGCCUUUGCGGGUGGUAUCGAGUUGUUCACAGAUACCUCUGGGAACAUAGAUUCCGGGGCAUACCUGGAAGGCAGGUGGUGCGCAGAGCGGUGGUGGGAGGCAUGAAAGGUAAGUCCUCUUAUUUGACGUUGGCAUCUUUUGAGUUAUUUCAAUUGGGAGUGGCUGUGGCUCUAAAAGGUGAAGGAUUAAGGGAUGAAAAGUCAUAAUUCACGCACAAUACGGCGGGGUUCAUGUGGUUUACCAUCCAGCCGGGUCCUCGGUUCAGGAGGUACGCCGAUGGCGGCGAUUCGUAUCACUGUUCAGGUAUCGGGUGCAGGCACGCCACGUGCCUGGUUGGCGGAAGGUAGGGGCUGGUUACUUGGCUCGCGCACAAGGGGACAAGCUGCGAAUGGCGGCCCCAGGGGGCGCGGGAGGAGGGACUGUCCAGUCUGGAGGAAAUGUGGCAGCUCGAGACGCCAUGCUUGGAGGAUCGAUACAGAAUCCUAUCGCACCGGGCAGAGGGACUGCCUAUGUGAACGCUUGAGAUAUGUGGGACAAGGCGGUUGGUUUCACUGUGGGGGCCCAGUCAAAGGAGGGGCGAAGGGAUACCUUGCUGUGGUUCCUAAGCCGUUUGUUUGUUCAGCGUUAGCUCCAUCAGCAAUGGACAGGAGCAUGGUGGCAUUGUCGUUAGGGUUUAAACUGACUGAUUGGGAGGAAGUGACGGAACGUUGUCACGUCCUUCAGGCAUCGCGGGUCUUACGGAGAGAUAUGAAAUAUGUCGGUGCCGGGCGGCGGGUUUCCUUGGGUAACGCAACGCCUGGUGGUGUAUUACCCUACUUUUGCAGUGAGUUUGCUUUUGGUGGCCUUCUCGGAGGCUUGGGGCAUUUUGAAUUGGGGAACUGGUGAGUGCCUUCGGGCAGGUGUUGGGGAGUUCUACACUUGGUUGUCGAACCUUAGUCGGUUAAGGUAACGAUUCAGUAGGGUUGUUCAAGAACGAAUGUGUCUGGUAAAGGAGGUUUGGCAAAGCUAUAUUCCCUGCCGGGGUCAGGGGUACGCCUGGUGUUAAGCGCAUCAUGCUACUUGGAGCUUUGCCCGGACAUCCCGGGUGGCUUACUGGUAAAAGGGGACAGAUCGGUGCUGUCACGAUUCAAUUCCCACAGGUGUUUGUUCGAAGGGGUUUGACAAUGUUGGGUUUGGAUCCCGGGCACUUUGGGACCCAUUCUUCCCAGGUGAUGGCGGUAACAGAGGCACCCCACCUGGUUUUAAGUGAGGACCUAGGGAAACGUUUAGGCAGGUGGGAGUCAGUACGGUUUAAGUCCUGUUUCAGGCCAGUCUAUUUGGUUUAAUGGCUAUGGACGUAUGGGUUUGUGUUUGGGGCUAUGCCGUGUCGCUAAUUACUUUCGUUUCAGGUUUGGUGACAUGGUUGGUGGGUCAUUCUUAUAUCUAAGGGGCACAGAUGGGAGCUGCAUUUCAGUUCAAACGUAACUGGGCUUUCCUUUGAAAUUGGUGGAGCAGGAGUGGUUUUGUUUUUCAGGGAUUUUGGUGGCAAGACAUUAGGGGAGAAAUUUUUCCGGGAGGUAACAAAGGGUACUUUCCAGGACAUUCUGGAUAUUGGCAUGGUCCUGGAAAGGGAAUUGAUCAGGUGGAGGCAGAGGGAGGUGGACCAGCUAUGGGAGCUGGCCACGGGUGUGGUGGUGGUGCGGUCCGAGAUGGUUCCUUGGUUACAUUGGAGACAUACUACGUACCCGGCCGUGGUAGCUCGGUGUCGAGGACGACUUAAUAAAAAAUUUAUGGCGGUAUUUAUCAGAUGUGGGGGCGGUGUAACAGUGAGACACAACGAAUUGGGAGGAAAGCUCCCUGGGUACUCCAGGUGGGAUGGGGUACAUUUUCGGAUGUAAGGUGUAAUCUGUUUAAAUUGGGCCUUCAGGAAGGCAUUCAACAGGCCUUAUUCCGGUGUGGUGGGGGUCGCUCAGGAGCUUUAGGUGUCAAGUCCUGAGCUGUGGCGGGGAAUGGCCUGGUUAAAUCGGAGGGUAGAUGGAGGAGAAAGUGGGCAUCCUGAGGUUUAGUGUGGAUUGGGCAGUGUUGCACGUGGUUGGUAGGUUCGAGCCCGUCGGUGGCUCCGAACAUGGGGGUGUGGUGGUGUCUUGGUACACCCUACACUGGAACUGGUGGGUAGCGGUGUCUUGGUACACCCCUACAAUGGAUAUGGUGGGUAGCGGUGUCUUGGUACACCCCUACAAUGGAUAUGGUGGGUAGCGGUGUCUCGGUACUCCCCUACAAUUUAACCUGGUGGAAAUGUGGUCAAAUUGGACGGCCAGUUUCUGUGUUAACAUGUUAUUUAUAUUGUUAUCUAUUGUUAUUAUUGUGGGGUCAUUGCUAGGGUUAUGUUAUGUAUAUGGGGGAGGUUAACAUUAUUAAGAUUUGUUGGCAAUGACCCCAUUUGUUAUUCCUUAAUUAUUUAUUAAUAAUUUAAUAAAGCUGUGGACAAAUUAUUUCCAACAGUAUAACCUGUGUCUGUGUUUUAAUGGGGGUUUGGGUAAGGUUAGCGCAUAUGCCGGCAAAUCCGACUGUGCGCCUGUCAUGUAGCCCAUGGAUCAGCGCAGCUAAGAGGAAUAGGCCUUGACAGAGCCAGGAGGUAGGCAUAGCAGCCACAGGAAUUUAGUGACAGCUAGCAUGCUGGGUAGGGCGGAGCCAUAAGGGGAGUAUUUAUACCGGCCAUUAUAUGAAGUGGCCAUUUUAACUGAACCUAAGCUUACCUGUCAGUUGUCCCUCCCACCCUCCCUGUAUUUGGUUAGGUUAGUUGAUUUCCCGUUUUUUCACAGCGGCGGGGAAUGGCCUGGUUAAAUCGGAGGGUAGAUGGAGGAGAAAGUGGGCAUCCUGAGGUUUAGUGUGGAUUGGGCAGUGUUGCACGUGGUUGGUAGGUUCGAGCCCGUCGGUGGCUCCGAACCUGGGGGUGUGGAACUGGUGGGUAGCGGUGUCUUGGUACACCCCUACAAUGGAUAUGGUGGGUAGCGGUGUCUUGGUACACCCCUACAAUGGAUAUGGUGGGUAGCGGUGUCUCGGUACACCCCUACAAUUUAACCUGGUGGAAAUGUGGUCAAAUUGGGAGGCCAGUUUCUGUGUUAACAUGUUAUUUAUAUUGUUAUCUAUUGUUAUUAUUGUGGGGUCAUUGCUAGGGGUAUGUUAUGUAUAUGGGGGAGGUUAACAUUAUUAAGAUUUGUUGGCAAUGACCCCAUUUGUUAUUCCUUAAUUAUUUAUUAAUAAUUUAAUAAAGCUGUGGACAAAUUAUUUCCAACAGUAUAACCUAUGUCCGUGUUUUAAUGGGGGUUGGGGUAAGGUUAGCGCAUAUGCCGGCAAAUCCGACUGUGCGCCUGUCAAGUGUAACCCUGUAAUAUUUGGGGGUACAGCAGUGUAACUAUCAUCACCCAUGGCCAGACUUUAUAAAGGAAUAUUUCAAUAUAUGAAGUCCCAGCUGUCAUGUUCAGACCUAACAUAAAAUGCAGGAAUCUAGGCCAGAGCCAUGUGUCAGCCUGAGUUAUUCAUUGACAAACCGGUUUUACACAAACACAUUGUAAGGAUGAGAGCAGGAAGACACGGGCAGUGUGAUCACAUCAACUUUCUGUUCAUAUUUACCUACUACGCUUAGCACUACAUAAUUAUCACCUGGAAGGUAAGAAUUUUUCCAUAUAUCUACACAAUGGGACACUCCAGGCUUAGGUGACUGUUAUACUGGGUGGGUUUAUAUUAUUAAAGGGACACUCCAGGCUCUCACACACGUUAGAUGCACUGUGUAGGUUAGGUUACAGUUAGUUAUACUGGGUGGGUUUAUAUUAUUAAAGGGACACUCCAGGUUCCCACACACCUUAGAUGUACUGUGUAGGUUAGGUUACAGUUAUACUGGGUGGGUUUAUAUUAUUAAAGGGACACUCCAGGCUCCCACACACGUUAGGUGCACUGUGUAGGUUAGGUAACAGUUAGUUAUACUGGGUGGCUUUAUAUUAUUAAAGGGACACUCCAGGCUCCCACACACGUUAGAUGCACUGUGUAGGUUAGGUUACAGUUAGUUAUAGCAAAUUGCGGGUUUAUACAAAGGGACACUCCAGGCUCACACUGCUAGAUGCACUGUAGGUUAGGUUGGCGCUAGUUAUACUGGGUGGGUUUAUAUAUUAAAGAGACACUCCAGGCCCCACACACGCUAUAGGGGUGCACCGUGGCUGUUAGGUUACAGUUAGUUAUACUGUGGGUUUAUAUUAUUAAAGGGACACUCCAGGCUCCCACACACGUUAGGUGCACUGUGUAGGUUAGGUUACAGUUAGUUAUACUGUGGGUUUAUAUUAUUAAAGGGACACUCCAGGCUCCCACACACGUUAGGUGCACUGUGUAGGUUAGGUUACAGUUAGUUAUACUGGGUGGGUUUAUAUUAUUAAAGGGACACUCCAGGCUCCCACACACGUUAGAUGCACCGUGUAGGUUAGGUUACAGUUAGUUAUACUGGGUGGGUUUAUAUUAUUAAAGGGACACUCCAGGCUCCCACACACGUUAGAUGCACCGUGUAGGUUAGGUUACAGUUAGUUAUACUGGGUGGGUUUAUAUUAUUAAAGGGACACUCCAGGCUCCCACACACGUUAGAUGCACUGUGUAGGUUAGGUUACAGUUAGUUAUACUGGGUGGGUUUAUAUUAUUAAGGGGACACUCCAGGCUCCCACACACGUUAGCUGCACUGUGUAGGUUAGGUUACAGUUAGUUAUACCGUGGAAUAUAUUAUUGUGCUGGACACUCCAGGCUCUCACAUCGCUAGAUGCACCGUGGUGGGUUAGGUUACAGCUAGUUAUACUGGGUGGGUUUAUAUUAUUAAAGAGACACCCAGGCUCCUCACACGUGCUAGGAUGCACUGUAGGUUAGGGGUUACAAAGUUAGUUAUACUGGUGGGCUUAUAUUAUUAAAAAGCGACAACGCAGGCUCCCGGCCAAAUGCGAUGCACUGUGUAGGUUAGGGUACAGUUAGAUAUACUAGGUGGGUUUAUAUUAUUAAAGGGACACUCCAGGCUCCCACACACGUUAGAUGCACUGUGUAGGUUAGGUUACAGUUAGUUAUACUGUGUGGGUUUAUAUUAUUAAAGGGACACUCCAGGCUCCCACACACGUUAGAUGCACUGUGUAGGUUAGGUUACAGUUAGUUAUACUGGGCGGGUUUAUAUUAUUAAAGAGACACUCCAGGCUCCCACACACGUUAGGUGCACUGUGUAGGUUAGGUUACAGUUAGUUAUACUGGGUGGGUUUAUAUUAUUAAAGGGACACUCCAGGUGCACUGUGUAGGUUAGGUUACAGUUAUACUGGGUGGGUUUAUAUUAUAAAAGGGACACUCCAGGCUCCCACACACAUUAUAUGCACUGUGUAGGUUAGGUUACAGUUAGUUAUACUGGGUGGGUUUAUAUUAUUAAAGGGACACUCCAGGCUCCCACACACGUUAGAUGCACUGUGUAGGUUAGGGUACAGUUAUACUGGGUGGGUUUAUAUUAAUAAAGGGACACUCCAGGCUCCCACACACGUUAGAUGCACUGUGUAGGUUAGGUUACAGUUAGUUAUACUGGGUGGGUUUAUAUUAUUAAAGGACACUCCAGGCUCCCACACACGUUAGAUGCACUGUGUAGGUUAGGUUACAGUUAGUUAUACUGGGUGGGUUUAUAUUAUUAAAGGGACACUCCAGGCUCCCACACACAUUAGAUGCUCUGUGUAGGUUAGGUUACAGUUAGUUAUACUGGGUAGGUUUAUAUUAUUAAAGGGACACUCCAGGCUCCCACACACGUUAGAUGCACUGUGUAGGUUAGGUUACAGUUAGUUAUACUGGGUAGGUUUAUAUUAUUAAAGGGACAAUCCAGGCUCCCACACAUUAGGUGCACUGUGUAGGUUAGGUUACAGUUAGUUAUACUGGGUGGGUUUAUAUUAUUAAAGGGACACUCCAGGCUCCCACACACGUUAGAUACACUGUGUAGGUUAGGUUACAGUUAGUUAUACUGGGUGGGUUUAUAUUAUUAAAGGGACACUCCAGGCUCCGACACACGUUAGGUGCACUGUGUAGGUUAGGUUACAGUUAGUUAUACUGGGUGGGUUUAUAUUAUUAAAGGGACACUCCAGGCUCCCACACACGUUAGGUGCACUGUGUAGGUUAGGUUACAGUUAGUUAUAGUGGGUGGGUUUAUAUUAUUAAAGGGACACUCCAGGCUCCCACACACGUUAGAUGCACUGUGUAGGUUAGGUUACAGUUAGUUAUACUUGGUGGGUUUAUAUUAUUAAAGGGACACUCCAGGCUCCCACACACGUUAGAUGCACUGUGUGGGUUAGGUUACAGUUAGUUAUGCUGGUGGGUUUAUAUUAUUAAAGGGACACUCCAGGCUCCCACACACAUUAGGUGCACUGUGUAGGUUAGAUUACAGUUAGUUAUACUGGGUGGGUUUAUAUUAUUAAAGGGACACUCCAGGCUCCCACAAACAUUAGAUGCACUGUGUAGGUUAGGUUACAGUUAGUUAUACUGGGUGGGUUUAUAUUAAUAAAGGGACACUCCAGGCUCCCACACACGUUAGGUGCACUGUGUAGGUUAGAUUACAGUUAGUUAUACUGGGUGGGUUUAUAUUAUUAAAGGGACACUCCAGGCUCCCACAAACAUUAGGUGCACUGUGUAGGUUAGGUUACAGUUAGUUAUACUGGGUGGGUUUAUAUUAAUAAAGGGACACUCCAGGCUCCCACACACGUUAGGUGCACUGUGUAGGUUAGGUUACAGUUAUACUGGGUGGGUUUAUAUUAUUAAAGGGAUACUCCAGGCUCCCAUACAAGUUAGGUGCACUGUGUAGGUUAGGUUACAGUUAGUUAUACUGGGUGGGUCUAUAUUAUUAAACGGACACGUCAGGCAUCUCACACAAGUUGAGUGAACUGUGAAAGUUAGGUGACAGUUUUAUUUUGAAGAUAUAAAAAAGUAAAAUGUGUGCAAAUAUUUUUAGACAACAAUGCAUAGUAAUCUUUGUAGGUAAUUAUCCAGUGUUGGUUUUCUUUCUUGUGUGUAAAGGUCCAAAGAAAAUAAUAAAAAUUGACAUAUUCUUCCCUAUCUGUUAUCUCAGGAACUGCAUUGGACAGAACUUCGCUAUGAAUGAAAUGAAAGUGUCUGUGGCAUUAACCUUGAACCGUUUCGAGCUUUUACCAGAUCUAUCUAACCCGCCUCUGAUAGUGCCCCAGCUUGUUCUACGCUCCAAAAAUGGAAUCCAUGUGUAUCUGAAAAAAGCAAGCCAAAAAUGAGGCAGUAGCCGGUGCACACUCACGGACUCCCCACUACCUCAGGCCUAAUAAAUUCUUUAAAGUAUUAUUACUGCCAUAUAGCAACACGUUUGUCAAUAAUAGAAUGGGCCCUCUUAUAUUUCAGACUCCACUCGUGGGGAUUAGUAGUUUAUAUUUGACAAUGACAUGCAAUUGCAGUACAAAUAAAAAGAAGAGGAUAAGAAGGCUUAUAACGCUAGUUAAAUAAAAGUGUAAAAAGACACACUGUUAAAACGUAAUAAAAAAGAUGGCUUAGGGUAUGUUGAACAAUAUGGCAAAUAAAUACUAUUGUCCUCUAGAGUAGUCAGAAGUUAGAACAACUGAAUGGAAACGCAGGAUUGAGUACUGCCAGUUGUAAAAUGAGGUUCCAUGCGUUAAAAAAAAAACUGUUGUAAAUUAAAACUCUACCAUCCCAAAAUAUUUUCAGAUAAAGGGUUCAUCAGAGCCAGUUAAAACCAGUCUAAGAUAGAAUUUGUUAUUAUUACAGUGUAUAGAUUGGCAUCCUGUCAAUCAGAUGCCGCUGGUAGUACAUUGAAUGUGUUAUUGACAUAUUUUUGGUCCUGAUGGCUUAGGUUGUCAGCCGGGAGUGGUCCAAAAAAUGGACUCCUCUGCUAAUUGGUCACUUUGAGUAAACAUAAUCUCUUAACCGCUUACUCUUUUCAUUUGUAUUUAAAUCUUUCGAGUUAUCAUCUUCCUAAUGGUAGCACCCAUAAUGCAUCAGGAGAGCAUAGAAGAUCUUUUACAUAACUGUAAAUGGGGUUAUGCCAAUGUGCAUAGCAGAAAUGUAAGAAAUCAAAACAGCCAACUGGAUAGCCAGAAAAUAUAGAUGUACAUCCCAGUGUAGGUCCAGUCUGGACUGAAUUCUGACUGUUGGAAGCUUUGCAAAAGUAUGAGGAAUGAACUACUACGAUGAAAAAAUAAUAAACUUUAAAAUUUUAAGUUGACUGGAUUGUUAAAUAUAUAACCUUUUCAAAAUACGCACCACGUAUAAUUACAAAGAUCACAUGACUAUGAACAGUCAUGGGAUCAAUUGUUUCAAACUGCUUGUCACAGUAACAAGUAAACAAACUGCUCAUUUAAAAACAGAUAAUGGGAAUCGAGAAAUCAAAUUCAUCACAAAUGAUUAUUUAAGGUAUUAUAUACACUUGUAUAGACAGACUUAGCGAGAGAAAAAUCUGACACCAAGUAUGUAUUGGUUGUAGGAUAAUUAUGGCAUAACUGAACCAAAAUAAAGAUGCAGAGAAAGAUUAGAGUAGGCUUGCAAAAAAACAAGACCAAUUACCCUUUGUUUGAAUUAACUGAACAGGUAUUAGGCUAAGUGCCUUGAUUAAAAAACCCAAACUUUAUUAAAUCCCUUAAUCACACAGAAAAAAAUAUGUAAAUGUAGUGAAUGUGUAAAAUAAAAUGUGAUUUAAAAACAAAAAACUAAAGUAAAUAUACUUGUUUAAAAUAGGACCAAGUGUCAGAACUUCAAUGGUAAUUUGAAAUUGAACACAAUUGUAACUAAUUUAGGAAUUGCUGUGUUUAAUUCGCCCCAUGUAUCGGUUAUAGCCAUUACUAAUGACUCUAUCCACCCUCCUACUUACAAGUGCCCUUUUGAGCAAUAAGACUAAGAGAUAUAUAUUUAUAUUUAAUUUACUCUUUAUACCUCAGAUCAAAUUGAUAUCUCUUAUUAUACUGCCAUUCAUGGAUAACCAUUCCAAUCCACCCUCCUAAUUAGACACAGCUCAGUACCUUUGAUUACUGCAACUCUUUGCAACACUGUAUUGGGUCUAUUAGCUAGUGUAUCUCCAUUUCAAGUGAGUGUGUAAUCUUGGAAUUACACAUUGAAGUUCUGACAGUUGGUCCUAUUUUAAACAAGUAUAUUUACUUAACUUUUUCAUUUUUAAGCACAUUUUUUGACACUUUCACUACAUUUAUUUUUUUUGUGUGUGUGAUUUCUUUACCAGUAUAGGGAUUUAAUAAAGUUUAUGAUUUUUAAUCAAGGCACUUAGCCUAAUACCUGUUUAGUUAAUUGAAACAAGGGUAAUAGGAUUAGUAUUGGUCUUGAUUUUUGCAAGCCUACUCUAAUCUUUCUCUGCAUAUUAUGUACACUUAAUCAUUGAAAUAUUAUAGGAAACUUAUCUAUUUGAAAGAAAAUGACACGAGGUACUGUAACAUGUAUGCACUAUGGUGCAGACUAUGGUUUCUAGAGAAUUUUGCUAUUAUUUUUUUAAAUAGCUGAUGUCAGUACAAUGUAAGCCUAAAGCAAUCAUUCAGCAACAUUAAGAGGUCUUAAAGCAACAAGCCCUCUCUUAAAUUAAAGUAACCAAGUACAGAUAUAUAUAUAUAUAUCACAAAACAGACUAAGUAUAUAGCAUGAUUUGAGUUAGUAAGCAGAAAGGCCAGAUCGACUUAGAUGGACUCCAGUUAGUAGUAUUCACUCAAUUCUAUAGAGCCCAAUCCGUACCCCAUGUUCUUUAAAGUGCCUAGAGGGCGUCAUUCCAAACUAACAAGAAAAUAUACAUAGAAUUCAUAAAAGACAUGUAAAUCUUAUUCCCUAUUCAAUAUGUUUUGGCUGCAAGCAAUCAAGAAUAUGAAUCUAAUAUGUCUCAUUUACCAAAAGCAUUCUAGUUCUGUUCUCACUUCUACGUCACAGGGGAACAUAAUCUAUUUUUGGAUGUUGCAGUUGGGCAGGGCCGGACUGGCCCACCGGGAUACCAGGAAAUUUCCCAGUGGGCCGCGGCACCUGGGGGCUGGGCUGACAGCCCCAUUCAGUACUGAUCAGGCUUCUGUGAUCCCGGCCGGCCAUGUGCAAGGUGUGCACAGCUCACACAUGGCCGGCCGGGAUCAUUAAAAAAAAAUAUAUAUUUUUUUUAAAAAUAAUAUUGAGGCGGGGGCGGAGCUUUUUAUGCGAGGAGGUGGGGCUUAGCGUGCGGCGGGGGCGGGGCUUAGCGUGCGGCGGGGGCCAUGGCUAAUGCAGCAUGGGAAGCAGGAAAGAGUCCCUGCUUCCCCAACAACCAGCCUCCAGGAGCUCCAAGCAGGAGGUAAGAAGGAGGUCAGUGUGUCUGUGUGUGACUAUCUGUGUGUGUGUGUCUGUCUGCCUGUGUGUGUGUGACUGUCUGUGACACUGUGUGUGUGUGUGACUGCCUGUGUGACUGUGUGUGUAUGUGUGACUGUGUGUGUGUGUGACUGCCUGUGUGACUGUGUGUGUGUGUGACUGCCUGUGUGACUGUGUGUGUAUGUGUGACUGUGUGUGUGUGUGUGUGUGUGUGACUGUCUGUGUGUGUGUCUGACUAUCUGCCUGUGUGUGUGUGACUCUCUGUGUGUGUGUCUGACUGUCUGCCUGUGUGUGACUGCCUGUGUGUGUGUGUGUGUGACUGCCUGUGUGUGACUGUCUGUGUGUGUGUGUGUGUGACUGUCGGUGUAAAUGUGUGUGUUUGACUGCCUGUGUGUGUGUGACUGUCUGCCUGUGUGUGUGACUGUCUGCCUGUGUGUAACUGUGUGUGUGUGACUGCCUGUGUGUGUGUGUGACUGUCUGCCUGUGUGUAACUGUGUGUGUGUGACUGUCUGCCUGUGUAUGUGUGUGGCUGUCUGCCUGUCUCUGUAUGUGUGGAUGUUUACCUCGGUGUCAGUGACUGUCUGCCUCUGUGUGUAUGGAUGUCUUUGUGUGUGUGUGCAUCUGCUAGUGAGUGAGCGAGCAAGCUUCUGUGUGUGUGUGUGCGCGCAUCUGCUAGUGAGGGAGCCUCUGUGUGUGUGUGUGCGCCUGCUAGUGAGUUUGUGUGUGUGUGUGCCUGCUAGUGAGUGAGCUUGUAUGUGUAUCAGUGAGCUUGUUUGUAGGGAUCAUGUGUGUGUACGUGUUAGUGAGCUUGUCUGUAAGGAGCAUGGUUGUGUCGGAGCCUGUCUGUGGUGAGCAUGUGUGUACAGUGAGCUUGUCUGUAGUAAGCAUGAGUGUGAUGGUGAACUUGUCUGUAGUGACCAUGUGUGUGUCAGUCAGCUUGUCUGUAGUGAGCAUGUGUGUGUCAGUGAGCUUGUCUGUUGUGAAUCUGUGUGUUAGUGAGCUCUUCUGUAGGGCUCAUGUGUGUGUCAAUGGGCUUGUCUGUAGGGAGAGUGUGUGCGCAUCAGUGAGCUUGUCUGUAGUGAGCGUGUGUGUGUGACAGUGAGUCUGUCUGUAUUAAGCUUGUGUGUGUAUCAUAUUUUGUCUGUACUAAAUUUGUGUGUGUGCCAGUAACCUUGUCUGUGUUUGUCAUUGAGAUUGUCUGCCAAUGAGCCUAUUUGUGUGCAUCAGUAAGAUUGUCUGUGUCUGUGUGUGAGUAUGCUUUACUGUAUAAUUUAAUUACCCUGAAAGAAGAAAUGUAUCAAUAAUAUAUAUACAUAUAUAUAUAUAUAUAUAUAUAUAUAUAUAUAUAUAUAUUUGCUCUUGUACCUUGCACUCCGGCUUCAAAGUUGUGUGACCGGGUGCAUCACCAGGGCUCCAGCAUCCAGGCAAUUGAAAUAGUUGGCUGCACUCUCGGAUUUCCUUAAAACAUAACUUUUAUUGAAAUAUUUAAGAGAAUAUCAAUGUUUCAGUCCCUCUUGUGGACUUUCAUCAUGAUCCUGAUAAAAGUCCACAAGAGGGACUGAAACGUUGAUCUUAAAUAUUUCAAUAAAAGUUCAGUUUUAAGGAAAUCCGAGAGUGCAGCCAACUAUUUUAAUUGCAUAUAUAUAUAAAAAACACCCUACAUAGCACAAUGACUUAUGGGGCUGGCAGAUAUCUUUUUCCAGGGCUGCUUCGUAUCCCCAGUCCGGCCCUGCAGUUGGGAAAUUAUAUGAUUUGCAAUAAUGAAAUGUUAAAGAAAGGAUAUUUCCAUGGGUCUAGUCCUGAUUGUUGAUUUAUGUUUUGCAAAGAGGUCUUUCACCCUCAUGGUAGCCUUUCCUAUAUAAAUUAAGUUACACAUACAUUUUAGUAUUUUAGUAUUUUAGUGGUAUCACAUAUAAUAUUCUUAUGGAAUGACAGAAUGUAUUGCCUUUUGUAACUGACCUAUCUGAACAGCAGUUUAGGCAAUGGAAAGUGCCAAAAGUAGUGGCAGUCAGGAGCUUCUGAGUUUCAAUGGCCAACAUGUUACAGUUUCUUUUAAAAGAACAUGUAGUAGGACAGUAUCCCUGUUGACCACUUCUGUAAAAUCCCCCAAUUCUUUGUCAUGAUAUCCCCCCAGCUCCAGUGGUUGUAUUGACUCACAAACUGGACUCUACGUAGUAUAGGACUCCUUCCAGUUCUUUGUUGACAUUUGGAUUUCCUGACAAUGGACAGUGCAACCUCCCUCUCUACAAGCAAGAGAUCCAUAGAAUAUCAUCCCCUAUUCACAAAUAUAGAGACCAUCUCACCCAAUCUCCCUGUACGGCCUUUUCAUUAGAUACAUUUCCAACCACUCUGGUCAUCUGGCUACAGGGUAAAGAAUAGUAAGUACUAAGACGAUGGAUGCCUUUAUAAUGUAGGAAAGUGUUUCUGUCAGUCAGUUCAGUGUCCUGACCUUCAAGUCCAAAAAACAAACUUCUUUAGUACUCCAGUUCUGUUGUGCCUAAUCAUUAAAUUCAUGAAGCCAAUUACCUAAUAAGGUUUAUAGCGAUAUUGGUGGGCACACAACCCAGUUCGGGAUGAGUACCUUGGGAUAUAGGAAAAAGAAACCACACAGAGACCAAGUUGCAGAUAAGAAUUCACACCACACUUUAUUGUCCACAAGGGGACCCAAUACAGAGUAAGCUUAACUCUCAUCAAGUAGUUGCAUGCAUUCACUUCAAAACAGCUUAGUAUCUAGAUAUAUCAGCUUAAGGAUACAUCACCGUUAGAGGGGCUUGGUUGUUUCCUCUGCACAUGACUGGGGGAACUCUGGCACUCGGCUUGGAGGGACCCUCUCUAGGAACAGCAGAGACCAGCAACACGCGUCUGCAUUACAGGUGGGUAGUUCUCCAAGUGAGUGCCAAGUUUCUCCGUCUUUUAUACCUUUUACCAAAUUUGUAUCUUUUCCAAGAUUUCUUAUCAGUGCAGCCCAGCAUGUAUCUUGUCAUGCGCAUUAAGUAAUCAGUAUGGUUGAUCAGGCCAGUCACAUGCAGUAUCAUAUUCUAUCUAUGUCCCUACUCUUAUCUUUCUACACAUUGUUGGCACCAAAUCCCUCUUUUCAGCACGUGGGCCUUUUUGGAUAUUGGCCAGAUACGCUAUGGAAUAUUUUAUGCAAUGUUAUCUUAGUUGAAUUUCUUAGUGCGACACAGUUUAAGCCAAGUUCCAUCUUAACUAUCUAUAAUAGAUGAAUUUGCUCAUUAGUGAUCAAUCAAUCAUGCCUAAUUAGUUAAUUGGAUUUUAUCACAAUUAUCACAAGUUCACAGUAAAUUUAUUAGUAUUAUCACAUCAAUUUAUGUCAUUAAAUAUAGUCUGUAACUCCUAUAGGUGCUCUUAGAGAUACCAAAUAUAACGUCAAUAAAAUUUGGAAUUUAUUUUUAAUUCACAUUUAAUUCACAACAAUUUACACUUUAAAGUAAAUAUCCCUGAAAGGUUAUGAAAAAUGAUGUGUUCAAAGUGAGAGAUACAUUGAGAGAUAGCAGCUGGUAUAGACUACACAUACAAAAUCGCUGCUCCGCACAAUGUAUUGUACAUGAGUUGCAGGACAGGUAUCUGGUAUCUAUAGCUCCUUUCUCAUAAUUCUAAAGACAGAUCCGACAUGAUCAGAUUCAUAAUGAAGGAACCGGGAGUGAAUUCUGGAAACACACGGUUUAACUAAACAGAGUGUUUUGGUCAACUUAAAACUGAAUUAAAGCCAAAAUAGCUGAAGUAGUAAAAUGAGUCAAAAUUCAGCUCUUUUUCCUGCUUUACUCUUUUUUUUUUUUUUUUAUUGAUCUUAAUUCAUUGCAGCUUCGUAGUUUGUCUUACAAUNNNNNNNNNNNNNNNNNNNNNNNNNNNNNNNNNNNNNNNNNNNNNNNNNNNNNNNNNNNNNNNNNNNNNNNNNNNNNNNNNNNNNNNNNNNNNNNNNNNNUAUAUAUAUAUAUAUAUAUAUAUAUAUAUAUAUAUAUAUAUAUAUAUAUAUAUAUAUAUAUAUAUAUAUAUAUAUAUAUAUAUAUAUAUUAUAUAUUAUACAAACAUAUGUCAAAAUCAUCCAAAUUGGUCCAGUGGUUCAAAAGAUAGAUCGUAGUCCUUUGUGACCAAAUGAAGCAUGGCUUUUCUGCCCAAAACCAGUUCCACAGAGUCUUCUAUCCUGGAGAUAAUUGGGAAGCAAUCCAAUUAUCUCCAAGGACAGAGGCAAAACUCCAUCCAUUGAACACAUGGCAGCAAAAGACAAUAAAAUACAUAAAAUACACAAGGUUACAUUUAUUACAUAAAAUACAGACAUGCAACAUAUGCCCAGAUAGCUUAGGUCUGAGCACACAUUAUUACUGAAUGGCACUAAGAAAAAUCAAGCGUUUCAUCAUGGGGCCAUAGUCUAAAGGCAGCAGGCGGGCAACCAGGAUCCUCCACAGUGGCGAGAUUGGUCUCGUCACAGGGGGUUAGACAGAUCACUGUCACAGAGCCUUUCUAGCAAACGGGUAGCAAUGGUUGCCCAGUCAUUAGUUUUAAUUAUUCAGUAGAUAUUCCCCUUACUGCAUUACCUCCAUUAUUAUUGUAACAUGGGGGGUCUUAGUGACCCCUAUUGUUUUUUGUUUUUUUUUAUGUGUUUUUUUUUUUUAUCAUUUAUUUUAACUUUUUCAAUGAAACUAGCCACCACGUAACUAACCCUUGUUAGUCAAGUCCAAGGCCAAGCUUACCCUUUAAGUGCAAUAGGCACACCUCCAUGUUUGGUUAUUUCAGUAACUAUGCCCCAGCAUAUUAACACUGAAACGAGCAGAAGGAGACGACUGGGAUAACCGCCACACAGCGGGAAGUCAGUCUCUCUUCUUCUGCGGUGUCUCUGUAUUGUCACCAUUUAUAGUGUGAAUAUCCAUUGCGUAUUCUAGGAUUACUGAUUUGAUAAGUGGAAGAUUUGUUUACAUGUUUCCUGAAAGAUGUGGUUUUAUGAAUUCUUAUUUAACCCCUUAAGGACGCAUGACGGAAAUAUUCCGUCAUGAUUCCAUUUUAUUUCUGAAACUGUCUUUAAGGGGUUAAAAAAUAAAAAUAAAAAAAUGACACCCAUAAAAGUAUUGUUUCAAAUUCCUUUAAUGUAAACUGUAACCUGAGAUUAAGAAUUUUUAUGGGAAACCACCAACAAAGUGGUCUUAUUUCUGAUGUUUGACAAUAAUGUUAAAUCAGCACAGAAAACGAGAAAUACUGGAACACACACAUACGCACAGGUAACACGUUUAACAGGCUCUAAAACAUACAUUACUAUAAAUUAACUAGUGUGGGUGCAGUGACAGUCCAGAAUCCCAGCAAUACUUUGCCACUUUCAUGCUAUUUGUGGCAUCUCAGAUGUCCACAUUCCAGGUGGAAAACAUGCUGGUGGCUCAAAAAAAAACAAAUUUUAAAUAAAAGAAGGGGAAGACAGUUAUUUUUACACCUGAUAAAACAUACACUUUGAUCUUUAUAAAUGAUUCUAAAUGUAAAACUGCAGGAAAUACCCCGGAUAUAAAUUAAAUGACAGAGCCUGGUCUGCAGGGGAUCAGAUAUCACUUCAUAGAAAUUAUUUACUAAAAGAAUGUGAAACUGUUGAUUACACUCCCUUUCUAAAAGCCACACCUUGUUACAGAGUUAAUGAGUGAACGGUUCUUAAGAUAUCCUUAUCUGAAAAAAGAUAGUUGCUCAGAUACAAAAAAUACAAUCGAAAAUGUGAAAAUCAUAGAGCCCGUACUGUGAUAUUAUACCUGGAGAGACACAGACUGUACUGGAAUAUUAUACCUGGAGAGACAAAGACUGUACUGGGAUGUGACAGAACCAUCUGUCUGCUGGAUUUUUGCCCGUUCGUCUGUUUGUCCCCGUUCGUAUGAAUGGCUGGUUUCUAUAGCCCAGCCAUUCGAAUGACUCUUUUUCCCGAACAAAACCGCCGAACGAACGGCCACCCAAGUGAGGAGUGUGCUGCAGGUUAACGAAGUGAUCACCAUUAUAACGUUGUGGUUAACCGCAGACACUUCUCAAUUAAACCGAACUCAGGGUGGUCGUCGUUCGUAUGUCGACCACGAGGCAGCGGCCAUUUUAAAUCAUGCGAACGCUCAGCGGUGUUUGGCUCUAUUUCUAUGGAACGGAAAACGGACACUUUUUCUGUCGAACACCGCUGAAACAAGGGAACGCCUGGCUGCCUCCACGAAAGCAUGCGAACACCGGCCGUUCGGGAGAUUGAGAGCAUACAAAAGACUUAACCCAGAUAGCCCUCCCAUGGAGUCAUUCGUAUACCGAAAGACUGUAAGAACUUUGACUCCAUGGCGAUUGAACUAUGUGUGUGGGAUCUGAGCGCUAUUCGCCAAUAAUAUGCACUCAGAUCCAGGCUAUCUGGGGACAUGUAAUACGAAUGGGAAAUGUUCAGUUUUCAUGUAGUUAUGCAUUUUUAUGUCUUUUAUUAUUUUAUGUUUAAAAUGGCGACUGUCCUUGUCCUGGAGUUAAUUGAGUUACUUAGUAAUUAACUCCAGGACAGAGGGGAGGGAAUCAGAAUGCACUGUGGGUAAGAUAUGUGACUGUGUGUCAGAAAUGUCCUUCUAUCUGUCUGUACUUUAAGUCUUCCAUUUGGUCCCCUAGGGGAGUGUCCACCAGGUGGGAGACCUGCAUAAAUACGGGCAGGUAGCCCACAGUAAAUCCAGUUCUAUUUUUACCCUCAACUUGAGUCCUGUCUCUUAUUGGGGGAAUCUGCUACAAGGGAUUGCUAUGCUAGGCAUAUUCCCUUGCUAUAAUCACUGACCUCUUGUAAGAGCUUGUUCCUGCUUCGUUCUGAAGGGAGAUAGCUGCAGCCUGCGGUGCUUAUGGUGUCUGGUGGAGUGCUUGGAGUCCUCUGGAAGCGCUAGGAGCAUCUUUCAACGGAGGUACCCAGUCGGGGUGCCAGGUGAUCCGUAACAAUUGGUGGCAAGCGACGGGAUGAAUCCUACAGCAUUGGAGGUCAGCUACGAGACAUGCAGUACGAGGAAUUAAGGCGUGCUACACUUAAGGACAUAUUGGAACGCCGAGGAAGGUCAGCAAGCAAUUUAAAGAAACGGGAGAUUAUUGCUUUGCUAAUGGAGAUGGAUGCAGCAACGGGAAUGGAAAGAGUCAACGUGCCCAGUACCUUGGAUUUAACACCCGAGGAAAUACAAUUCAACCGGGCAGUGCAAAUAAGGCUGGCACAUUUUGGCCCCAACCCCCCAGCUGACAUCGUGGUUCGUGUGCAGGCAGCAGUUGCAGCACAACAGGCAGCCCGGGAAAGAGGAGCUGCAGCAGCAGAGGUACCGUAUGACAAUAAUGUGGUUGCCAGAAAGAAGGUACCUUUUGCUGCCUUUAAAAAAUUUUGUGGAAACAGAGGGAGAGAUUGAUGGAUUUUUGGCAGACUUUGAGAGGCAGUGUGCGCUACAUCAGGUACCUGCAGAUGAAUGGGUCACCAUCCUCUCUGGGAAAUUAUCUGGCCGGGCUAGUGAAGCUUUUCGGGCCAUCCCAGAGGAGGAGAUCACCAGCUACCGGGCUGUGAAAGAGGCGCUCCUAGCCAGGUAUGCAGUGACCCCAGAGGCGUACAGGCGGAGGUUUAGAGAAACCAACAAGCUGGUUGGGGACUCUUAUGUGGAAUGGGCCUGCAGAGUCCAUCGUACCGCAGCCCACUGGAUGGCUGGAUGCCAAGCGGUAACUGGGGAGGAGGUGUUACAAGUGUUCCUGCUGGAGCACUGUUUUGAUAGACUACCUGCUGGGGUCCGGGAAUGGGUCAGAGACAGAAAACCCUCUACCCUACCCGAGGCUGCCCGUCUGGCAGACGAAUACACGGAUGCCCGCAAGUUGGAUGGUACAGCUGCUAAAGCCCCUGCCAGACUGGAGUAUCGACCAGCAGUAACACCCGCUCCUGCAGUCUACCAACCCCCAGUACACCGUACCCCAGCCGCACCACCAGCUAACAAUUAUAUACAACCAGCCCGAUUUAAUGCCCGGGAGUACUCACAACCCAUCCGGUGCUAUGGGUGCAAGCAGUUGGGGCACAAGCGUCCUGAGUGCCCACUGAACAGUGCCAACCAGGCUCAGUCCUGGAGGAGACCAGUUAAUGGAAACCAGCGCCCACCUCAGCCUGCUGCUCACUGCCUAGAGCAGGAGGAAUUUUGGGGCAUUCUACACGAGGCAGACCCAGUGCAAGCAGCUCACCAGGAUAAUCGCCAGCAACAUCGGCAAACUGUGAAGCUGAAUGGCAGAGUGGUGAAUGGGCUGAGAGACACAGGAGCCACGAUGACACUGCUCCAAAAGAACUUGGUCUCAGAGCAUCAGCACACUGGGGACACUGUGGCAGUAAGGGUAGCAGGGGGUGCCGUGUUUCGCUUACCUGUUGCCCGAGUACAUUUGGAUUGGGGAGUGGGCGCUAGACAUGUGGAUGUGGGGGUGAUGAAGGACUUGCCCGCAGAUGUUCUUUUGGGAAACGAUUUGGCCCCUUUGGUUUCAGCCUAUGCUCCGAUGGGCCCUGCAGAUGUGAACCCAGUGACCACCCGUGCCCAGACCCGUGCUGCCGGAACCAGCCCACUUGCUGACGAGACCCAGGUAAGAUCUCCUUCCCCGACUGGUACCCCAGAUCAGGUUCCCUUAAGCUGGGAUUCCCCAGAGGAGUUUGGGAGGGAAACCCGGGCAGAUCCGACCCUCCAAAGAUACAAGGACAGGGCAGAUGCUGGGGAGGAAGGAAUAGAUGGGGAACGGUAUGAGUGGGUGGGGGACAGGUUGUAUAGGAUCCCUAAACCUUCCCAGAAGAGUGUUGCCACUCCGCCGAAUCGCCAGUUAGUGGUACCUGCAAAGUACCGGCAGGAGAUUCUGCGGAUAGGGCAUGAUGUUCCAUUAGCUGGACAUCUAGGGUCCCGCCGCACAGCCUAUAGGAUUUCACAGAACUUCUUUUGGCCAAACUUUAACCAGGCUGUGCGGUUGUACUGCAGCACGUGUGACACAUGUCAACGGGUAGGAAAGCGGGGGGACCACCCUAAGGCUAGGCUACUAUCGAUGCCUAUUAUAGGGGAGCCCUUUGCCCGCAUAGCCGUUGACAUUGUGGGUCCACUGGCCAGGGCUAGUCCAGCCGGUAAGAAGUAUGUUCUUACCGUGGUAGACUAUGCCACCCGCUAUCCAGAGGCAGUAGCGCUGUCUAACAUAGAGGCAGAGACGGUUGCUGAUGCCCUGGUUAGAAUUUUUACUAGGGUCGGGUUCCCUAAGGAGAUUCUCUCCGACCAGGGAACCCAAUUUACCGCUGUGCUCACCCAGCAACUGUGGAAGGUGUGCGGCAUUAAGCCGUUACUUAGCUCACCCUACCACCCACAGACUAACGGUCUCUGCGAGCGCUUUAACGGUACCCUCAAACAGAUGCUGAGGACCUUUACAGACACUUGCAGAGACUGGGAGAGAUUCCUGCCUCAUUUAUUAUUUUCCUAUAGAGAGGUGCCCCAGGAAUCUACUGGGUUCUCCCCCUUUGAGUUGCUGUAUGGGAGACGGGUCCGCGGACCCCUAGAUCUCAUCCGGGGCCACUGGGAGGGGGAGACGGAGCAGGAGGGGACCCCCAUAGUACCAUAUGUUCUGGAACUCCGGGACCGCAUGGAGAAACUGUCCCUGAUGGUAAGGGAGAAUCUCCAGGCGGCCCAGGGGAGACAGAAGAGAUGGUACGAUCAGGGUGCCCGACAGCGGGUCUUCCAGGUUGGGCAAAAGGUAUUGGUGCUUAAACCUGUGAAGGCCAACAAGAUGCAAGCAUCUUGGCAGGGCCCGUACAAGGUAGUGGCGCAGAUCUGCGACACUACUUACUUGAUAGCCAGCUGUGCAGAUGAAAGGAUCCAGCGGUCCUUUCAUGUGAACAUGCUGAAAGAGUACCAGGAGAGACCUGAGAAUAUUGCAGCAGUAUGUGCCCCAGCUGCAGAUGAUUCUGAGAACUUACCCCUUCCAGAUCUAUUAGAAAGGGAUUCCCAGACUGACCUUACUACCCUUGUACAGCUAGGGGACCGGUUGAACCCCACAGAAAGGGUACAGGCGCAGCAGUUGUUAUGGGAGAAGCAGGCGACAUUCUCCCAGGAACCAGGUUAUACCACCCUAGCUGUGCAUAAGGUAGAGACCCCUGGACAGACCCCGUUACGACAGCCCCCCUACCGUAUCCCUGAAGCAGUCCGUGAAGGAAUGCGGAAGGAGAUACAGGAGAUGACCCAGCUUGGGGUUAUCGAGCACUCCGACAGCCCUUGGGCCUCACCUGUAGUCCUGGUGCCAAAGAAAGAUGGGACCACCCGGUUCUGUGUGGACUACAGGCGACUCAACGAGCGGACCACCACUGAUACUGACGAAUUACUACCAUAGACCACCAUAGACCUGUGUAAGGGCUACUGGCAGAUCCCCCUGGCCGAGGAUGCUAUCCCCAAGUCGGCAUUUGUCACCCCAUUUGGCCUGUACCAAUUUAAGGUCAUGCCUUUUGGGAUGAAAAAUGCACCGGCUACUUUCCAACGGAUGGUGGAUAGACUCCUGGAUGGCUUCCAAGAAUUUGCCUGUGCAUACUUGGGCGACAUUGCGAUCUACAGUGGGUCCUGGGAGGAACACCUGGUACAUGUAGGGGUAGUGCUGGAUAAGAUUAGGGCCGCUGGCCUGACAUUGAAGCCAGAAAAGUGUCAUCUAGGUAUGGCUGAAGUACAGUACCUGGGUCACAGAGUGGGGUGUGGGAGCCAGAGACCGGAGCCAGCCAAGGUAGAGGCAGUGGCUAACUGGCCCACACCUACUACUAAGACCCAGGUAUUGGCCUUCUUGGGGACGGCAGGGUACUAUAGACGUUUUGUCCCUGACUACAGCGCUAUUGCUAAGCCCCUGACAGACCUGACAAAGAAAAACUUGCCUAAGCAGGUCCUGUGGUCUCCGGCUUGUGAAGCUGCGUUCCAGGCACUGAAGCAGGCUCUUGUGAAUGCCCCUGUCUUGGCUGCCCCAGUCCCUAACAAACGCUUUCUCGUCCAUACAGAUGCUUCCAUGUAUGGACUGGGGGCUGUGCUGAGCCAAGUCGGGGAAGAUGGAGGAGAGCACCCUGUCGCAUAUCUCAGCAGAAAGUUGUUACCCAGAGAAGUGAGUUAUGCGGCAGUGGAGAAGGAGUGUUUGGCUUUGGUCUGGGCAUUGAAAAAGUUAAGUCCCUACUUGUAUGGGCAAGAGUUUUCCCUUGUGACUGAUCACAACCCACUCGUUUGGCUUAACCGGGUCUCAGGAGACAAUGGGAGACUGCUGAGAUGGAGCUUGGCCUUACAGCCCUACAAUUUUACCAUCAGCUACAGACCCGGUAAGCUGAACGGGAAUGCAGAUGGGUUGUCACGACAAACAGACGUUUCCCUCACCUCGUAGUCCGGUCAUCCCCAAGUUGACCCGCCACAGGGUCAAGCCGGGUCUGCCGGAGUGUCCCACAAGGAGGGAGCCGUGUGACAGAACCAUCUGUCUGCUGGAUUUUUGCCCGUUCGUCUGUUUGUCCCCGUUCGUAUGAAUGGCUGGUUUCUAUAGCCCAGCCAUUCGAAUGACUCUUUUUUCCCGAACAAAUCUGCCGAACGAACGGCCACCCAAGUGAGGAGUGUGCUGCAGGUUAACGAAGUGAUCACCAUUAUAACGUUGUGGUUAACCGCAGACACUUCUCAAUUAAACCGAACUCAGGGUGGUCUUCGUUCGUAUGUCGACCACGAGGCAGCGGCCAUUUUAAAUCAUGCGAACGCUCAGCGGUGUUUGGCUCUAUUUCUAUGGAACGGAAAACGGACACUUUUUCUGUCGAACACCGCUGAAACAAGGGAACGCCUGGCUGCCUCCACGAAAGCAUGCGAACACCGGCUGUUCGGGAGAUUGAGAGCCUACAAAAGACUUAACCCAGAUAGCCCACCCAUGGAGUCAUUCGUAUACCGAAGGACUGUAAGAACUUUGACUCCAUGGCGAUUGAACUAUGUGUGUGGGAUCUGAGCGCUAUUCGCCAAUAAUAUGCACUCAGAUCCAGGCUAUCUGGAGACAUGUAAUACGAAUGGGAAAUGUUCAGUUUUCAUGUAGUUAUGCAUUUUUAUGUCUUUUAUUAUUUUAUGUUUAAAAUGGCGACUGUCCUUGUCCUGGAGUUAAUUGAGUUACUUGGUAAUUAACUCCAGGACAGAGGGGAGGGAAUCAUAAUGCACUGUGGGUAAGAUAUGUGACUGUGUGUCAGAAAUGUCCUUCUAUCUGUCUGUACUUUAAGUCUUCCAUUUGGUCCCCUAGGGGAGUGUCCACCAGGUGGGAGACCUGCAUAAAUACGGGCAGGUAGCCCACAGUAAAUCCAGAUCUUAUUUGACCCUCAAUGUGGAGCUUCUGUCUCGUUAUUGGGGGGAUUUCUUCUUCAAGUUUAGAGACUGCUGGAUGGAACGAAAGCCGCUUUGGGGAUAUUAUUGUUCGACGGUUCCUAGCAGUUCGUAUAUUGCCGUUCGGGAGUUUGGAGCCGUUCGUGGAUUUCGAUCGGGAGAUUGCCGCUCCCCCUGCAUUUGGUUCGUGGGUUACAGAGUAAGCGAACAGAGACUGUACUGCAGCCGGGGAAGGUUUACUAAACGGCGGUUUGGCUUAAAGACACGGGAGGUGUCUUAACAUGGGAUAUUAUACUGGGAGAGACACAGACUGUACUGGGAUAUUAUACCUGGAGAGACACAGACUGUACUGUGAUAUUAUACUGGGAGAGACACAGACUGUACUGGAAUAUUAUACCUGGAGAGACACAGACUGUACUGGGAUAUUAUACUGGGAGAGACACAGACUGUACUGGAAUAUUAUACCUGGAGAGACACAGACUGUACUGGGAUAUUAUACUGGGAGAGACACAGACUGUACUGGGAUAUUAUACCGGGAGAGUCACAGACUGUACUGGGAUAUUAUACCUGGAGAGACACAGACUGUACUGGGAUAUUAUACUGGGAGAGACACAGACUGUACUGGAAUAUUAUACCUGGAGAGACACAGACUGUACUGGGAUAUUAUACUGGGAGAGACACAGACUGUACUGGGAUAUUAUACCUGGAGAGACACAGACUGUACUGUGAUAUUAUACUGGGAGAGAUACAGACUGUACUGGGAUAUUAUACCGGGAGAGACACAGACUGUACUGUGAUAUUAUACUGGGAGAGACACAGACUGUACUGGGAUAUUAUACUGGGAGAGACACAGACUGUACUGGGAUAUUAUACUGGGAGAGACACAGACUGUACUGUGAUAUUAUACUGGGAGAGAUACAGACUGUACUGGGAUAUUAUACUGGGAGAGAUACAGACUGUACUGGGAUAUUAUACCGGGAGAGACACAGACUGUACUGUGAUAUUAUACUGGGAGAGACACAGACUGUACUGGGAUAUUAUACUGGGAGAGACACAGACUGUACUGGGAUAUUAUACUGGGAGAGACACAGACUGUACUGUGAUAUUAUACCGGGAGAGACACAGACUGUAUUGUGAUAUUAUACUGGGAGAGACACAGACUGUACUGUGAUAUUAUACUGGGAGAGACACAGACUGUACUGGGAUAUUAUACUGGGAGAUACACAGACUGUACUGGGAUAUUAUACCUGGAGAGACACAGACUGUACUGGGAUAUUAUACUGGGAGAGACACAGACUGUACUGGAAUAUUAUACCUGGAGAGACACAGACUGUACUGGGAUAUUAUACUGGGAGAGACACAGACUGUACUGGGAUAUUAUACCUGGAGAGACACAGACUGUACUGUGAUAUUAUACUGGGAGAGAUACAGACUGUACUGGGAUAUUAUACCGGGAGAGACACAGACUGUACUGUGAUAUUAUACUGGGAGAGACACAGACUGUACUGGGAUAUUAUACUGGGAGAGACACAGACUGUACUGGGAUAUUAUACUGGGAGAGACACAGACUGUACUGUGAUAUUAUACUGGGAGAGAUACAGACUGUACUGUGAUAUUAUACUGGGAGAGAUACAGACUGUACUGGGAUAUUAUACCGGGAGAGACACAGACUGUACUGUGAUAUUAUACUGGGAGAGACACAGACUGUACUGGGAUAUUAUACUGGGAGAGACACAGACUGUACUGGGAUAUUAUACUGGGAGAGACACAGACUGUACUGUGAUAUUAUACCGGGAGAGACACAGACUGUAUUGUGAUAUUAUACUGGGAGAGACACAGACUGUACUGUGAUAUUAUACUGGGAGAGACACAGACUGUACUGGGAUAUUAUACUGGGAGAUACACAGACUGUACUGUGAUAUUAUAAUGAGAGAUACACAAACUGUACUGGGAUAUUAUACCUGGAUAGACACAGACUGUACUUGGAUAUUAAACUGGGAAAAUUACAGACUAUACUUUGAAAUUAUACUGGGAGAUACGCAGACUGUACUGGGAUAUUAAACAGGCAGAGAAACACAGAAUGUGACGGCAGAUAAGAACCAUUCGACCCAUCUAGUCUGCCCAAUUUUCUAAAUACUUUCAUUAGUCCCUGGCCUUAUCUUAUAGUUAGGAGAGCCUUAUGCCUAUCCCACGCAUGCUUAAACUCCUUUACUGUGUUAACCUCUACCACUUCAGCUGGAAGGCUAUUCCAUGCAUCUACUACCCUCUCAGUAAAGUAAUACUUCCUGAUAUUAUUUUUAAACCUUUGUCCCUCUAAUUUAAGACUAUGUCCUCUUGUUGUGGUAGUUUUUCUUCUUUUAAAUAUAGUCUCCUCCUUUACUGUGUUGAUUCCCUUUAUAUAUUUAAAUGUUUCUAUCAUAUCCCCCCUGUCUCGUCUUUCCUCCAAGCUAUACAUGUUAAGAUCCUUUAACCUUUCCUGGUAAGUUUUAUCCCGCAAUCCAUGAACCAGUUUAGUAGCCCUUCUCUGAAGGUAUCAAUAUCCUUCUGAAGAUACGGUCUCCAGUACUGUGUACAAUACUCCAAGUGAGGUCUCACCAGUGUUCUGUACAAUGGCAUGAGCACUUCCCUCUUUCUACUGCUAAUACCUCUCCCUAUACAACCAAGCAUUCUGCUAGCAUUUCCUGCUGCUCUAUAACAUUGUCUGCCUACCUUUAAGUCAUCAGAAAUAAUCACCCCUAAAUCCCUUUCCUCAGAUGUUGAGAUAUAGACUAUACGUUGAUAUUAUACUGGGAGAGACACAGACUGUACUGGGAUAUUAUACUGAGAGAUACAGACUGUACUGGGAUAUUAUACCUGGAGAGACACAGACUGUACUUGGAUAUUAUACCUGGAGAGACACAGACUGUACUUGGAUAUUAAACUGGGAGAGAUACAGACUGUACUGGGAUAUUAAACUGGGAGAGAUACAGACUAUACUUUGAAAUUAUACCGGGAGAGACACAGAAUGUACUGGGAUAAUAAGCAUGGGAGAGAUACAGAUUAUACGUUGAUAUUUUACUGGGAGAGACACAGACUGUACUGGGAUAUUAAACUGGGAGAGAUACAGACUAUACUUUGAUAUUAUACUGGGAGAGACACAGACUGUACCGGGAUAUUAAACUGGGAGAGAUACAGACUGUACUGGGUUUUUAUACUAGUAGAGACACUGACUGUACUGGGAUAGUAUACUGGGAGAGACACAGAUUGUGUUGGGAUAUUAUACUGGGAGAGAUACAGACUUUACUGGGAUAUUAUACCGGGAGAGAUACACAGACUGCACUGGGAUAUUAUACUAGGAGAGAUAAACAGACUGUACUGGGAUAUAAUACUAGGAGAGAUACAGAUUGUAUUGGGAUAUUAUACUGAGAGAUACACAGACUGUACUGGGAUAUUCUACUGAGAGAUACAGAUUGUAUUGGGAUAUAUCAUUAGAUGGUAUACACUUUUUUUGUUACUAUGUUAGUGUAAUCGUCUAUUACAAUGUUACUGUUAUUAUAUGACACGAUUAAGUUAUUAUUUUAAUAAGUUAAUAUAUUAUACUGUAUUAUACAACUAUCUUAUUGUGACAAAUCCAUCUGUCUAAGUACUAUCUGCUGGUUUGUCUAUUUUGUUAUACAGUGUGGAAUUACCUGCAUGUACGUCCCUGUUCGUUUAUUUCAGUGUAUACCGAAUAAAACUACCGAACGGCUGGCCACCCAGAAGAGAAGUGCUACUGGUUAACCUAUUGGUCUCAAUUAGAACGUUGUGGUUAACCGCAGACACCUCUUCAUUGGAACCGUAUGCUGGGUGGUCGUUGCUUGUAUGUCGACCAUGAGGCGGCGUCCAUUUUAAACACACGAAUGAGCAGAGGUGUUCGACGAUGAACUUAUGGAACUCAAACCGGACACUUUUUCUACCGAACACCGCUGAAACCGCCGACCGCCCUUCUUAUCAUCAGGCAUACGAACGGCGGUCCAUUCGGGACUUUUUAUUGUACGGAUGGACUUAACCCAGAUAGCCAUCUCAUGGAGUCAUUCGUAUACCGAAAGAACAGUGUGAAAGACUUUGACUCGAUGGUGAUUGAACUGUGUGCAUUGGGUCUGAGCGCUAUUUGGUAGUAAUGUGCACUCAGAUCUAGGCUAUCUGGGGAUUCGUUAUACGAAUUAAAUGCAUUCAGUAGUUUUACAUUUUUGGAUUUUUAUGUGUUUUUAUUAUACCAUGUAAAAUGGCGGUUUGCCUCUAUCCCUGGAGAUAAUUGGAUUUCUUCCCAAAUAUCUCCAGGAUAGAGAGGAGGGGUUUACCUGUACAAAAGGGAGUGUUUAUACCUGAGCCACUGUGAUUGGCUACUGUACCUCAAUUGUCCCAGUCUUCCAUCUGAUCCCCUAGGGGAGUGUCUACCAGGUGGGAGACCUGCAUAAAUACCGGGCAGGUAGCCCUCAAUAAACCAGAAUCCUGUUUUACCCUCAAAACGGAGCUUGGUAUCGUGUUUGGGGGGAUUGCGACUUUUGGAGUAUUAUUUUGCCUGUUCCAGGAGAGAAGGAUUUCAGCUGAUUCUCAGUUUGGGGAAUUGGAGUGUUCGUGAGCUGCUAGUCCCGUAUCGAGGAGAGAGGUCUUUAGUACAAUUAUCCAGUUCGGAGAAUUGAAGCAUUCGUGAGUUGCUAUUCCCAUAAUAAGGUGAACUCCCUAUUUGGUAUUAACCCACGCUAUCCGGGUUAUACUGUAACACUUAUUAAGUUACUGUGUUAGUCUAUUACUGAAUUACAAUGUUACUGUUAUUAUAUGACAUGGUUAUUAGGUCUUGUAGUUAUCAUAUCACUGUAUUAUACAGCAUCACAAUAUAAUGAUGUUACUAUGCUAAUGUAUUUCUCUAUUACAAAGUAACUCUUAUUAUGACAGUGUUUUGUUAUGGUUAAUAUUUCUCUGUAUUAUGCAUUACUAUAAUUUUAUGUUACUAUGUUGGUGUAUUACUCUAUUACAAUGUAAAUAUUAUAUGUUUUAUUAUAAGUUAAUAUAUUACUCUGUACUAUACAGCAUUACUAUAAUAAUAUAUUACUCUGUACUAUACAGCAUUACUAUAUUAAUAUAUUACUCUGUACUAUACUGCAUUACUAUAUUAUUAUAUUACUCUGUACUAUGCAGCAUUACUAUAUUAAUAUGUUACUCUGUACUAUACAGCAUUACUAUAUUAAUAUGUUACUCUGUACUAUACAGCAUUACUAUUUUAUUAUAUUACUCUGUACUAUACAGCAUUACUAUAUUAAUAUGUUACUCUGUACUAUACAGCAUUACUAUUUUAUUAUAUUACUCUGUACUAUGCAGCAUUACUAUAUUAAUAUGUUACUCUGUACUAUACAGCAUUACUAUUUUAUUAUAUUACUUUGUACUAUACAGCAUUACUAUAUUAUUAUAUUACUCUGUACUAUGCAGCAUUACUAUAUUAAUAUGUUACUCUGUACUAUACAGCAUUACUAUAUUAAUAUGUUACUCUGUACUAUACAGCAUUAUUAUAUUAAUAUGUUACUCUGUACUAUGCAGCAUUACUAUAUUAAUAUGUUACUCUGUACUAUACAGCAUUACUAUGUUAAUAUAUUACUCUGUACUAUACAGCAUUACUAUAUUAAUAUAUUACUCUGUACUAUACUGCAUUAUUAUAUUAAUAUAUUACUCUGUACUAUACAGCAUUACUAUAUUAAUAUGUUACUCUGUACUAUACAGCAUUACUAUUUUAUUAUAUUACUCUGUACUAUACAGCAUUACUAUAUUAAUAUGUUACUCUGUACUAUACAGCAUUACUAUAUUAAUAUGUUACUCUGUACUAUACAGCAUUACUAUUUUAUUAUAUUACUCUGUACUAUACAGCAUUACUAUAUUAAUAUGUUACUCUGUACUAUACAGCAUUACUAUUUUAUUAUAUUACUCUGUACUAUACAGCAUUACUAUAUUAUUAUAUUACUCUGUACUAUGCAGCAUUACUAUAUUAAUAUGUUACUCUGUACUAUACAGCAUUACUAUAUUAAUAUGUUACUCUGUACUAUACAACAUUACUAUUUUAUUAUAUUACUCUGUACUAUACAGCAUUACUAUAUUAAUAUGUUACUCUGUACUAUACAGCAUUACUAUUUUAUUAUAUUACUCUGUACUAUACAGCAUUACUAUAUUAUUAUAUUACUCUGUACUAUGCAGCAUUACUAUAUUAAUAUGUUACUCUGUACUAUACAGCAUUACUAUAUUAAUAUGUUACUCUGUACUAUACAGCAUUAUUAUAUUAAUAUGUUACUCUGUACUAUACAGCAUUACUAUAUUAUUAUAUUACUCUGUACUAUGCAGCAUUACUAUAUUAAUAUGUUACUCUGUACUAUACAGCAUUACUAUAUUAAUAUAUUACUCUGUACUAUACAGCAUUACUAUAUUAAUAUAUUACUCUGUACUAUACUGCAUUAUUAUAUUAAUAUAUUACUCUGUACUAUACAGCAUUACUAUAUUAAUAUGUUACUCUGUACUAUACAGCAUUACUAUUUUAUUAUAUUACUCUGUACUAUACAGCAUUACUAUAUUAUUAUAUUACUCUGUACUAUGCAGCAUUACUAUAUUAAUAUGUUACUCUGUACUAUACAGCAUUACUAUAUUAUGAGGUUACUCUGUACUAUACAGCAUUAUUAUAUUAAUAUAUUACUCUGUACUAUACAGCAUUACUAUAUUAUGAUGUUACUCUGUACUAUACAGCAUUAUUAUAUUACUCUGUACUAUACAGCAUUACUAUAUUAAUAUGUUACUCUGUACUAUACAGCAUUAUUAUUGUGACGAGAGCAACCUCGCCACAUUGCAUUGGAGAAGCCUGGUUGCUCGCCUGUUACCUUUGGAUUAUGGCCCCAUGUUAAAAGACUUUGUUUCCCCUGCAGAAAAGACUUAUUCGUGCUUUUCUGCCCGGUGUUCGAUAGAUUCAAUCUACCGAACAACCGCACGAAUGACUAGACCACCUGGGAGCUGGAGUGUGUCGGCAAUUAGCCUUCCAGAAGCUGCGGUUAACCGCAGCUUAAUUGACGAAUACUGGGUGGCAGCCAUUCGUAUAACGAACACGAGGUCGCGGCCAUUUUAAACACACGAACACACAGCGGUGUUCGACGCCUAACUCAUGGAACUAAAAACGGACACAGUUUGGCACGAACACCGCUGAAGCCACCGACCUCCCUUCUUGUUCGGUGGAAGUACACAAACGGCCCGGUAUUCGGUAGUUGUACCUGACUGCACUAUACCCCAGAUAGGAAUCCCAUAGGAGCUCAUUCGUAUGAGAACUGACUUUGUAAAGACUUUGGCUCCAUGGCGAUUAAACUGUAUUCGUGUGUUCUGAGCGCCAUUCGCUUAAUAAUGUGCGCUCAGACCUGAGCUAUCUGGGGAUAUGUUAAAUGUAUAGUUUUAUUGUAACUUGUGUCACAUAGUGUAUUUUAACAGUAAUUCUUAUUUUAGUAUCCCCACGUGCAUAAUGGCGAUUUGCCUUUGUCCUGGGAGAUAAUUGAAUUACUUCUCAAUUAUCUCCAGGGCAGAGGGGAGGAAGCCAGGAUGCAUUGUGGGAAUAUAAUGUGACUGUGUGUCCUAGAUUGCUGAUUGUCUGUCCUUUGUCACAGUCUCCCAUUUGGUCCCCUAGGGAGUGUCCACCAGGUGGGAGACCUGCAUAAAUACUGGGCAGGUAGCCCUCAUUAAACAGACCACUGCUUGACCCUCAACACAGAGCCUUGUCUCGUCUUUGGGGGGGAUUUACUGUAUGCUGUUAGAGACUGAUUGCUAGGAGUGUAAGCCGCUUGGGUGCUUUUCCUGUUCAGCUGCUAGCAGCGAUUCGUAUGGUUCCAGUUCGUGAGUUUGGAGUGCUAUAUUGUAUGCCGUUCGGGAGUUUGGAGCAUUCCCUUGCAUGCGGUUCGGGAGUUUGGUGUUCUACAGUAGCUGUACCUGCAUUUUGAAAAGGGGACGAUCGCCUAAACGGUUUUAACCCCUUGUGUGCUGAAAUGGUCCAUUAAAACUAUAUUAAUAUAUUACUCUGUACUAUACAGCAUUACUAUAUUAUUAUAUUACUCUGUACUAUGCAGCAUUAUGUUAAAAUCAUCCACAUUGGUCCACUGGUUCAAAAGAUAGAUCGAAGUCCUUUGUGACCAAAUGAAACAUUGCUUUUCUGCCCAAAACCAGUUCCACAGAGUCUUCUAUCCUGGAGAUAACUGGGAAGUAAUCCAAUUAUCUCCAAGGACAGAGGCAAAACUCCAUUAAGCACAUGGCAGUAAAAAGACAGUAAAAUACAAUAAAAUACACAAGGUUACAUUUAUGAUAUAAAAUACAGACAUGCAACAUAUGCCCAGAUAGCUUAGGUCUGAGCGCACAUUAAUACUGAAUGGCGCUCAGACCACACACAUACAGUUCAAUUGCCAUGGAGCCAAAGUCUUUCCCAUAGUCUUUCAUUAUACGAAUGGACUCCAUGGCAUAGCUAUCUGGGGUAUCACUGCUCAAACAGGGCAAGCACCAAAUGACCCGGCUUUCUUGUCUUUGCAGGGGAAAAUCAAGAGUUUCAACAUGGGGCCAUAGUCUAAAGGCAGCAGGCGAGCAACCCGGCUUCUCCAAUGCAAUGUGGCGAGAUUGGUCUUGUCACAAUAUGUUACUCUGUACUAUACAGCAUUACUAUAUUAAUAUAUUACUCUGUACUAUGCAGCAUUAUUAUAUUAACAUAUUACUCUGUACUAUACAGCAUUACUAUAUUAAUAUAUUACUCUGUACUAUACAGCAUUAUUAUAUUAUUAUAUUACUCUGUACUGUACAGCAUUACUAUAAUAAUAUAUUACUCUGUACUAUACUGCAUUACUAUAUUAAUAUAUUACUCUGUACUAUACAGCAUUAUUAUAUUAAUAUUACUCUGUACUAUACAGCAUUACUAUAUUAAUAUGUUACUCUGUACUAUACAGCAUUAUUAUAUUAAUAUGUUACUCUGUACUAUACAGCAUUACUAUUUUAUUAUAUUACUCUGUACUAUGCAGCAUUACUAUAUUAAUAUGUUACUCUGUACUAUACAGCAUUAUUAUAUUAAUAUGUUACUCUGUACUAUACAGCAUUACUAUUUUAUUAUAUUACUCUGUACUAUGCAGCAUUACUAUAUUAUUAUAUUACUCUGUACUAUGCAGCAUUACUAUAUUAAUAUGUUACUCUGUACUAUACAGCAUUACUAUAUUAAUAUAUUACUCUGUACUAUACAGCAUUAUUAUAUUAUUAUAUUACUCUGUACUAUACAGCAUUACUAUAUUAAUAUGUUACUCUGUACUAUACAGCAUUACUAUAUUAAUAUGUUACUCUGUACUAUACAGCAUUAUUAUAUUAAUAUAUUACUCUGUACUAUACAGCAUUACUAUAUUAAUAUGUUACUCUGUACUAUACAGCAUUACUAUUUUAUUAUAUUACUCUGUACUAUGCAGCAUUACUAUUUUAUUAUAUUACUCUGUACUAUACAGCAUUACUAUAUUAAUAUAUUAUUCUGUACUAUACAGCAUUCAUAUAUUGUUACUCUGUACUAUACAGCAUUACUAUAUUAUUAUAUUACUCAGUACUAUACAGCAUUACUAUAUUAUUAUAUUACUCAGUACUAUACAGCAUUACUAUUGUGACGAGAGCAAUCUCGCCACAUUGCAUUGGAGAAGCCUGGUUGCUCGCCUGUUGCCUUUGGAUUAUGGCCCCAUGUUAAAAGGCUUGAUUUUCCCCUGCAAAGACAAGAAAGCCGGGUCAUUCGGUGCUGGCCCUGUUUGAGCUGUGAUACCCCAGAUAGCUAUGCCAUGGAGCCCAUUCGUAUAAUGAAAGACUAUGGGAAAGACUUUGGCUCCAUGGCAAUUGAACUAUAUGUGUGUGCUCUGAGCGCCAUUCAGUAAUAAUGUGCGCUCAGACCUAAGCUAUCUGGGCAUAUGUUGCAUGUCUGUAUUUUAUGUCAUAAAUGUAACCUUGUGUAUUUUAUUGUAUUUUACUGUUUUUUUGCUGCCAUGUGUUCAAUGGAGUUUUGCCUCUGUCUUUGGAGAUAAUUGGAUUACUUCACAAUUAUCUCCAGGAUAGAAGACUCUGUGGAACUGGUUUUGGGCAGAAAAGCCAUGCUUCCUGUGGUCACAAAGGACUACGAUCUAUCUUUUGAACCACUGGACCAAUUUGUAUGAUUUUGACGUAUGUUUGUAUUUGUAGUAUGUUGAUUCUGAAAAUGUAAGUUUUAUGUGAAUGUGAUGCAUACUUUUCAAGUUAUGAAUAAUGUGGAAAAAUUGUAUUUCUCUGCUUGUGCUAAAUUACAUUACCCAUUGUGUAAGGUAAUUGAAUCACAAGCAGAGGGGAGGGAUUUGUGUGGGAGUGUCUGAGUGUAUUGUAUGUGUUUAUUGGUUGUGUUCCAAAACCCUGUGGGUGGUACUAAUGUGUAAGAAUGUGUACAUAAGCACAAUAAACACACAGCUCUGUCUGUUCACUGCUUGACCCUCAACACUGAGCUUUGUCUCGUUCUUGGGGGGAUUUACUGUAUGCUGUUCCAGUUUGACUGCUAGGAGUGUAAACCUAUUCAUAUGGAUUUUCCUAUUCGGCUGUUUACAGCAUUCGUAUGNNNNNNNNNNNNNNNNNNNNNNNNNNNNNNNNNNNNNNNNNNNNNNNNNNNNNNNNNNNNNNNNNNNNNNNNNNNNNNNNNNNNNNNNNNNNNNNNNNNNAUAACUUUUUUCACUGUUAUAGAUUGAAUAGCAGUCAGUGUUACGCUAACAGUGGAUACGGUGACCAGUGCCACCACUUAGAUCUGGUGACACAAAAACUUUUUUCACUGUUAUAGAUUGAAUAGCAGUCAGUGCUAUUAAUAACUUUUUUCACUGUUAUAGAUUGAAUAGCAGUCAGUGUUACGCUAACAGUGGAUACGGUGACCAGUGCCACCACUUAGAUCUGGUGACACAAUAGCUUGGAUUUAAAAAAAACCCACUUUUUUCACUGUUAUAGAUUGAAUAGCAGUCAGNNNNNNNNNNNNNNNNNNNNNNNNNNNNNNNNNNNNNNNNNNNNNNNNNNNNNNNNNNNNNNNNNNNNNNNNNNNNNNNNNNNNNNNNNNNNNNNNNNNNUCUGUUACUUUAUAUCUUACUGUAUGUCUGUUAGUCCAUUCUGUUACUUUAUAUCUUACUGUAUGUCUGUUAGUAUGUCUGUUACUUUAUAUCUUACUGUUUGUCUGUUAGUACGUUCUGUUACUUUAUAUCUUACUGUAUGUCUGUUAGUCCGUUCUGUUACUUUAUAUCUUACUGUAUGUCUGUUAGUCCAUUCUGUUACUUUAUAUCUUACUGUAUGUCUGUUAGUCCGUUCUGUUACUUUAUAUCUUACUGUAUGUCUGUUAGUAUGUAUUUUACUUUAUAUCUUACUGUAUGUCUGUUAGUCCAUUCUGUUACUUUAUAUCUUACUGUAUGUUUGUUAGUCCGUUCUGUUACUUUAUAUCUUACUGUUUGUCUGUUAGUAUGUCUGUUACUUUAUAUCUUACUGUAUGUCUGUUAGUACGUUCUGUUACUUUAUAUCUUACUGUAUGUCUGUUAGUAUGUCUGUUACUUUAUAUCUUACUGUAUGUCUGUUAGUCCGUUCUGUUACGUUAUAUCUUACUGUAUGUCUGUUAGUAUGUCUGUUACUUUAUAUCUUACUGUAUGUCUGUUAGUAUGUCUCUUACUUUAUAUCUUACUGUAUGUCUGUUAGUCCUUUAUGUUACUUUAUAUCUUACUAUUUCAAGCCGCUAACAGCUUGCUCUUAGUUUUACAGGUGAUGGUUCUAGCAGUUUUGGGCCUUUUCACAUUUAGUGUUUAGUAAGGAUGGUCUCCCAGAAGAGCUUAUACUCUGUACAUGGGUGGUUGGUGGUAUCCAGUGUGUGGGACCUCCAGCAUGUGUACAUAGAUUGAUAACUAUAGAAGAAUACUGAAUGCCUGUUUCUCCAGAAUGUAAUAAAAACAAACCAUUGAGUUCAUACGUUCUCUUUAGUCCUGGCACGGAAUGAGUGUCUAUAAUUUACAUGUACAACAAAUACUUUCAAUAAGAAUAAUGCAUGGACUUGCUCCCAGCAGAAGGCAUCUGUGAUGCUCACAGAACGGAUGGGAACGCAGAGCUGGGUCUCAGGUGUGCACCCAGAAUUCUUAAACGAACCCUUCAACUUCACAAAAGAAACUUAUUUGAAGCGGAAAAUGUCUCCUGUGAGUUACAGUUUCUGCCAACUAAGUAGCAGACUAACGAAGCCUUUGAUGUACCAAAGAACAGUCGAUGAGAUAGCAGGCAGUAACCGCGCUUCUUUUACAACGCUAAAUUAUUGGUGAGCUUGGCAUCAUCCACAAAUAUUUACAGGAAUGCAGUAUGGUUUGUGCAAAGGAAUGGCUAAACUAAAGGUCACAUUUAGAUGGUUGUUAAGAAGAACAAGAAAUGAUGUUCUCGAUAUUUUUUUUAAGUUUUAAGUGUUUUAUAGAAUUACCCCAGUGCAAUAAUUAGCAAAAGACACAAAUAAGAAAAGUUUUAAAAAGAAACACUUCAUCUUUUUCUAUAUUUACCCUUAAGGUCAGAGAUGAAGAUACUCAAUGUAUUAUUAUUAUUAUUAUUAUUAUAUUGUAUUAAUUAGAAACGCCCUAAAUGCUAUAAUAAUGUGUUUCCAUCACCCAAACCAAAAUUAAAUACAGCGCUCGAGUGAAAGAAUGAAAGUGGGAUGCAUUUCCUUUUUUAGAUUUUUCAAGAUUAUUGAAAUAUUCUAUUAAUAUGAACUAUUAACAAGAAAUGAUCAUUUGAUUUCUAAUAGUUCAUUAUCUUGUUUUGUGUGAUUUAGUUUAUAAAGUCAACCAGGACAAUUUGCAGCCGAUUAACCAUUAUUUUUAUUUACGUGUUGCAAAUUAGGUGAUUUCAUGUUUCCUGGUAGAAUGGAUAUUUUUUGUUUUUGCCAACCAAAAAGUCCUUAUUUUGAAAUGAUGCAAUUUAAUGAUUUGCAAUGUCUGGUUGCCCGAGGCUCCGUGAUAGUUAUGUGAUUUCUCCUCAUAGUUCGUUAUCAGCUGACGGUUACCUGAGUGCGCCAAUGGAUUCAACUGACGUUUCAAGUGGAACCACUGGCCAUUGUUUCAGAUCACGGAUAAUGCACAGAUCUCAUUAUCCAGCCAAUUAGAGUACAGCCAAGUAACACACGCAGCUUUAAUAACGCUAUAUAAAAUGGCUGUACCCUCUCUGGGAUCUGUGGUUUAGCAAAUUUGUUCCUAGAAUGUUGUUACAUGUAGGGCGGAGAGUAGAAAGGGUCCCAGAACAGUUAAUAAUACACUUCACAUACUGCUCACAUACCGUAAAUUUUAAUGUUCCAUUUCUGCAGUCUGGAAGUAUAAAAACAUGGUAGAAAGGAUGAGGAGGGAAGAGAAGGAUGGGGGUCUGUAUAGGAAGUUGUUAUUGUGUCUUUAUAACACACAUUUGAUUAUUGCUUACAUUUUUAUAAAAUGCUAAUGUGAAAUCUAUUGAUGUCAAUGCUGACAUAAAUUAAAUCAUAAACCAUUACUUUUUACUUGCAAAAUACAAAGGUAAAAGGUGUGGUAUGCAGGUCUAUAGAAAGAAACAUUGAGUUUUCAGUCUGAUAAUUUUCAGUCGGAUAUGAGCAAUAACAGCCAACAAAUUUUCUGAUAGUAACCUGAAUAGAAGGACAUCUUGAGAUGGCACUAGAGGACCGUAACACCUCACUGGUUAGAUGGACACCCAUGAAACUGAACAUAGGUAGAGCAGCCGCCAAACAUGAUUAUGGCAAAUCAAACCACUGGCACAGGAUGAAGCCGUAUCAGGGUAAAUGUAAGUGAGAUAGCAGAGGAGGGACAGUGAGAGGGCAUAAACAGAUAGAAGAUGUCACCUGAUAGAGCUGAAAGGUUUCUAUCAGAAGAACACGGUAAUCAUAGAUAGUCCUAACGAGAAGGUGACGGAAUGUGGACUGAUGGCAAAGUAUUUAUCAGAGAACAUAAACCAUAAACCAAGAAAUGACUUAGAGAUUGGAUAACGCUUCCUGUAGUAUAACACCCUGUCCUAUAUUUGAUGUUUAGAGUAUAGAGAUAUUUAGGGCCCAUGGGAUAGGCCCAUUUAAAAAAAAAAAAAUUUACACACUACUCUUAGGUUCGCCACCUGACUGGUAAUUUAAGGCACAGCCGGUAUUUGGAGCUGCCUGGUUGUGACGGUAUUGCAGUAAUACAAAUGCAGAUAUUUUUCUCAGUAUAAAUGGAGAUUACUCUGCAAUACCAGCACUGUGUAUGGAGAGGAAGUUACAGCAUCUCCCUGCCUCUCUCUACUCACUGAUACGCUGGGGAGCAGCUACACAGCACAGAGAGUCCAGACAGCAGCUCCAAGCCUGCAGACUACAGCUCAGGUAUGUGAAGGAUGGGGGAAAGGCAGCAGGGAGCCAUGGGGACACUGAGACAUUAUGGGACACAGAGACACUAGGGGACACUGGGAGACAUGGGGACACUGAGCACUAGGGGACACACAGACACUGGGGACACUGGGAGACAUGGGGACACUGAGCACUAGGGGACACACAGACACUAUGGGACACACAUACACCAGGGGACACAUACACUAGGGGACACUGGGAGACAUGGGGACACUGAGCACUAGGGGACACACAGACACUCGGGGACACAGAGACAUGGGGAUGCUGUAAGACAUAGGGAGACACUAGGGACACAGUGUCUCCAUCUCUCCCAGUGUCCCAAUGUCUCCCAGCCAGUUUCCCUAGUGUCUCAGUGUCCCCAUGGCUCCCAGUGUCCCCUAGUCUCCCAGUGUCUGUGUCCCCAUGUCUUCCAGUGUCCCCAUGUCUCAGAGUGUCCCCAAAUCUUCCUGUGUGCACAUGUCUCCCAGCCAGUGUCUCAGUGACCCCAUGUCUCCCAGAGGCCCUAUGUCUCCCAGCCAGUGUCCCUAGUGUCUCAGUGUCCCCAUGUCUUCCAGUGUCUGUGUCCCCAUGUCUUUGUGUCCUUAGUGUCCCCAUGUCUCCCAGUGUCUCUAAGUGUCUGUGUCCCCAUGCCUCCCAGCCAGUGUCCCUAGUGUCUGUGUUCCCAUGUCUCUGUGUCCCAAGUGUCUUAGUUUCCCCAAAUGUCUGUUGUGACGAGACCAAUCUCGCCACAUUGCAUUGGAGAAGCCUGGUUGCUCGCCUGCUGCCUCUGGACUAUGGCCCCCUUUUAAAAGACUUUAUUUCGCCUGGAGAAAAGCUGUAUUUGUGCUUUUCUGCCAGUUGUUCGGUAGAUUCAAUCUACCGAACAACCGCACGAAUGAAUAGACCACCUGGGAGCUGGAGUGUGCCAGCAAUUAACCUCCCUGAAGCUGCGGUUAACCACAGCUUAAUUGGCGAAGGCUGGGUGGCCGCCAUUCGUAUCCCGAACACGAGGUCGCGGCCAUUUUAAACAUACGAAUGCACAGCGGUGUUCGCCCCUAUUUUCAUGGAACUAAAAUCGGACACAGUUUUGCGCGAACACCGCUGAAGCCGCCGACCUCCCUUCUUGUUCGGUGGAAGUGCACGAACGGCCCGGUGUUCGGUAGUUUUGUUGAAUGUGUUAUACCCCAGAUAGGAAUCCCAUGGAGCCCAUUCGUAUGAAACUGACUGUAAAGACUUUGGCUCCAUGGCGAUUAAACUGUAUUUGUGUGGUCUGAGCGCCAUUCGCUUAAUAAUGUGCGCUCAGACCUGAGCUAUCUGGGGAUAUGUUACAUGUCUGUGUUUUAUGUAAUAAAUGUUACUUUAUGUAUUUUAAAGUAUAAUACUGGUUUUGUAUCCCCACAUGUGUAAUGGAGUUUUGCCUUUGUCUUGGGAGAUAAUUUAAUUACUUCCCAAUUAUCUCCCAGGGCAGAGGGGAGGAAGCCAGGAUGCAUUGUGGGAAUAUAUUGUGACUGUGUGUCCUAUUUGUCUACUUGUCUGUCUUUUGUCACAGUCUCCCAUUUGGUCCCCUAGGGGAGUGUCCACCAGGUGGGAGACCUGCAUAAAUACUGGGCAGGUAGCCCUCAUUAAACAGACCACUGCUUGACCCUCAACAUAGAGCUCUGUCUCGUCUUUGGGGGGAUUUACUGUAUGAUGCUAAGGACUGAUUGCCAGGAGUGUAAGCCGCUUGGGAGCUUUUCCUGUUCGUCUGGUAGCAGCAAUUCGCAUGGUUCCUGUUCGUGUAUUUGGAGUGCUACCUUAUUCCCUUGUAUGCCGUUCGGGAGUUUGGAGCAUUCACUUGUAUGCAGUUCGAGUGUUUGGACCAUUCCCUUGUAUGCAGUUCGAGUGUCAGUAUGCCGUUUUGGAGCAUUCCCUUGUAUGCCGUUCGGGAGUUUGGAGCAUUCACUUGUAUUCAGUUCGUGAGUUUUGGUGAUUCUACAGUAGCUGUGCCUGUCUCUGAAAGGGGAUUAUCGUCUAAGCGGUUUUUCCCCUUUUGUGCAAAACGGUCCGUUACAAUUGGUGGCAGCGGUGGGAUCGUUCCCACAGACUACAGGACAGCUACAGGCAACACCAUUCCGUGGAUUUACAAUUUGAGGGCAACGCAUGUCUGAGUACAGCGACCCUGACAGCAACAGAAUGGAACCAGCAGUGUCAUACGAGGAGGAGGACCUGGAUGGCCAGGAUGCAUUAAGGAAAGGCAUCUGGUACCAGGCCCUGGAUAUUGUACAAUACCAGCGGGGCGAGAGUCUCCCCAGUGAAGAGCAGCGGUUGCAGAAGCAAGUGGCCCUGCGGAUGCCCUUCCUGGGAGAGCAGCCCCUGGAUGAAUGGGUGAAGGAAUUGGAGCACCGGGUAUGGCAGGAGAUUUGGCUGGAAGAUGCCUGCCAGGCGCUCUGGUGGUAUGGGGCACAGUACCUGCCCUGGACAGCCGAGCAUGACAAGCCAGAGGGAGAGGAGUUUGAGGGUCCUGGCUUGUUAUGAAUUUGGGAGCCCUAUACAAGCCCGGUUCAGUGAUCUCUUGGAGUGGAGGGAGAGCAGGUAUGACUGGGACGACAUUCACGACAUUGAGCAAGACCUGGCUCACCUAGCAACCCUGGAGUGGGAACUGGAGCAGGACUACCGAGAUCUCUUCCUCUCCAUUGAGAAGAUUCAGCAGGACAGCAAGGUGACAGAUCCAGUUCCAGACCCAUUCAGCUGGGAAGACAUUGUUGAUAUUUUCUGGGAAGAACCCCAGGUGGCCGGUAGAGAUGGGACCGAGGUCUCUCAACCGGUCCUGCAGGGAAUUGGGAGCCCAGUCUCCAUUCCCCAGCGGCAGUGUGAUAUGCCGGGAAUUGGGAGCCCAGUCUCCAUUCCCCAGCGGCAGUGUAAAGUGCAGGGAGAGGAGAGCAGCGUCCUCCCUCCCCAGCGGCAGGCUGAGUUACAGGGGGCAGAGGUAGUUGUUCCUGCCCCCCAGCAGCAGAGUGAUAUGCCGGGAAGGCAGUGUGAAGUCCAGGGAGAGGAGAGCAGUGUCCUCCCUCCCCAGCGGCAGCGUGAUUUUCUGGGAAUUGGGAGCCCAGUCUCCAUUCCCCAGCGGCAGUGUUAUUUGUUGGGAAUUGGGAGCCCAGUCUCCAGUCCCCAGCAGCAGGGUAUCCAGCAGGGAAUAGAGAGCCCAGUCUCCUUUCCCCAGCAGCAGGACUCUGCAUUGGGAGCGGAGACAGUCGGUCUCCCUCCACAGAGGAUGAAAGUAUGUAUGGAAGAGGAGCUUGCUACCACCUCUCCCCAGCGGCGGAUCAUUAAUGGGCAGGGAAUAGAGAGCUCAGUCUCCUUUCCCAGUGUUCUAUCGGGAGAGGAGCCUGUUACCCCCUCUCCCCAGCGACAGCUUAGAGUAUCCAGUCGGUCUCCACCUCCAGCAGCAGAGCUGUGUAACCAAAGGGGAGACAGUCGGUCUCCAGCAGCAGAGCUGUGUAACCAAAGGGGAGACAGUCGGUCUCCAGCAGCAGGACUGUGUAUCUAAAGGGGAGACAGUCGGUCUCCCCCUCCAACAACCAGGCUUCAACCAGGCUACCCUCCCAGUAGCGCUGGCAACAGGGCAGAGUGACGCUGGUCUCUGCCCACGCAGCACCCCACCAAGUCAGCGUACCCGUACCCAGCACAGCCGUGGUGAGGCACCUGGACAUGGACAAGCUUCUCCUCUACCCAGGUGCAGUAACUAUUUAUUGUGGGUGGGCUGUGCUGUUGAUUGUGUUUUGUGGGUGGGCUGCUGGACUAACAAGGGCACUGACCGGCAGGAGGUCAGAUACCCUGUUAGUCUGUUUGGAAAAGGGGAGAGAUCAGACCAAUCUCGCCACAUUGCAUUGGAGAAGCCUGGUUGCUCGCCUGCUGCCUCUGGACUAUGGCCCCCUUUUAAAAGACUUUAUUUCGCCUGGAGAAAAGCUGUAUUUGUGCUUUUCUGCCAGUUGUUCGGUAGAUUCAAUCUACCGAACAACCGCACGAAUGAAUAGACCACCUGGGAGCUGGAGUGUGCCGGCAAUUAACCUCCCUGAAGCUGCGGUUAACCGCAGCUUAAUGCUGGGUGGCCGCCAUUCGUAUCCCGAACACGAGGUCGCGGCCAUUUUAAACAUACGAAUGCACAGCGGUGUUCGCCCCUAUUUUCAUGGAACUAAAAUCGGACACAGUUUUGCGCGAACACCGCUGAAGCCGCCGACCUCCCUUCUUGUUCGGUGGAAGUGCACGAACGGCCCGGUGUUCGGUAGUUUUGGUUGAAUGUGUUAUACCCCAGAUAGGAAUCCCAUGGAGCCCAUUCGUAUGAAACUGACUGUAAAGACUUUGGCUCCAUGGCGAUUAAACUGUAUUCGUGUGGUCUGAGCGCCAUUCGCUUAAUAAUGUGCGCUCAGACCUGAGCUAUCUGGGGAUAUGUUACAUGUCUGUGUUUUAUGUAAUAAAUGUUACUUUAUGUAUUUUAAAGUAUAAUACUGGUUUUGUAUCCCCACAUGUGUAAUGGAGUUUUGCCUUUGUCUUGGGAGAUAAUUUAAUUACUUCCCAAUUAUCUCCCAGGGUAGAGGGGAGGAAGCCAGGAUGCAUUGUGAGAAUAUAUUGUGACUGUGUGUCCUAUUUGUCUACUUGUCUGUCUUUUGUCACAGUCUCCCAUUUGGUCCCCUAGGGGAGUGUCCACCAGGUGGGAGACCUGCAUAAAUACUGGGCAGGUAGCCCUCAUUAAACAGACCACUGCUUGACCCUCAACACAGAGCUCUGUUUCGUCUUUGCAGGGAUUUACUGUAUGAUGCUAAGGACUGAUUGCCAGGAGUGUAAGCCGCUUGGGAGCUUUUCCUGUUCGUCUGGUAGCAGCAAUUCGUAUGGUUCCUGUUCGUGUAUUUGGAGUGCUACCUUAUUCCCUUGUAUGCCGUUCGGGAGUUUGGACCAUUCCCUUGUAUGCAGUUCAAGUGUUUGGAGCAUUCCCUUGUAUGCCGUUCGGGAGUUUGGAGCAUUCACUUGUAUUCAGUUCGUGAGUUUUGGUGAUUCUACAGUAGCUGUGCCUGUCUCUGAAAGGGGAUUAUCGUCUAAGCGGUUUUUUCCCCUUUUUUGCAAAACGGUCCGUUACAUCUGUGUUCCUAUGUCUCCCAGCUUCUGUGUCCCCAGUGUCUGUGACCACAUUUCUCCCAGUGUCCCCAAAUGUCUGUGUCCCCAUGUCUCCCAGUGUCCUCAUGUCUGUAUCCACAAGUGCCCCUAUGUCUCUCAGUGUCCCCAAGUGUCUCAGUGCCCCCAUGUCUCCCAGUGCCCACAAGUCUCCCAGUGUCCCUGGGUCUCUCAGUGACACAGGACACACUGAGAUAUGGGGACACUGGCAGAAAUGGGGACACAGGCACUGGGAGACUAGGAGACUGUGCGACAUGCGGACACUGACACUGUGAUACAUAGGGACAUGGAUGCCAGGCUAACCUUCCAAUUCUUUGGACAGACAUGCCCCCUUUUUGGGCAUGUUCACCCCUUUUCGCAGUUCAGGUCACUUGAUUUGCAUCAGUGGCCCACCUUUUUACCCCACCCAUUGACUUCCUGCUUCACUGGACACUGCUGUUAGGGGUUAUGGAUUUACUUGAAAGAUGAAAGCAUUAAUUAGAGAGAGAUUAGCACAGAGUAUGUGUUUUCUUAUAGCUGCAUCCUUUGAGUUUCCCUCCAGCACCAUCUCCAUCAGAUACAUGACGCUUGAGAGGUAUGACUGUUUUAGUGUUUUUGGUCGAUAAGAUUCUGUAAUUAGGCCCAUCAUAAUUGUCAGCACCAGGCCCAGUGUGCUCUUAAUCCGGCCCUGAUGUGAUGUUUCCACAAACCCAGAAACAUGAAAUAUUGACUCUCUUCAUUUGCUCUAAGCACUUUCCACCCACCCACCUCAAUAUAGUAUAGUGAUAGACCAUAGUGAUAGAAUAUAGUACAGUAUAGUAAUAUUUAAAGUAUAGUGAUAGACCAUGUGGCGAAAGUAACCUCGCCACUUGUACUUGGAGGUGCCUGCUUGCCAGCCUCUUGCCCUGUGACUAUGGUCCCUUUAAUCUAUUUUGUCUGAGAGACCCUAAUUGUGCCUAUUGGGAUUUGGCACAAUGCCCCUUUAAACUAUAUUUAGAAUAUAGUGUUAUUCAGAGUAUAGUGAUAUUUAAAGUUUAGUGAUAUUUAUUUUUACUUAAAUCUAAGUUGUGAUGUAACUGUGAUCUAAUAGAUCAAGUUCUGUGAGUAUAGUGAUAUGUGAGAAAUCGUGCUAUUUUGAGCAUUUAAUUGGUAUUAUCAGUAAGGCCUUUCAUUUUGUCUCUCGAAUUAUUACUUUAUGUAACAUUUCAUUAUUUAUUUGUCCAUUUGCAAAGAUUGCAUAGUCCUUGGCUUGUUUAUUAUCUGUGUGGCGGACCUUAAACUAUCCCCUUCGGUUGCCCAUACCUAUUCUUUGCACCAAGAGGCAGUGGGCAUCGCCGCUGGAGGCAACUUUGCGGUUAACCUGUUCGAGAACGGUUUAAGCCCUUAAGGUAACAGGACCCUCGGAAGCCUCCUGGCACCAUAACAAUUUAAUUAAGAUGUUGUUAGAUUAGUUGUUUUUGUGCCUGUAGUGUUCCUUUAAAAUACUCUUUAAAUAUAAAUUUGUAAAGUAUUAAUUUCCUGACAUCCUCGUGAAAGAGGAUACAAGUGAUAUAAUGGGCUGGAUUUCAUAUCACAGCCAUGAGAUCAUUUUGCAAAAAAUGGUUGUCAUGCGCCAUCUGGUGGACAUUGUAAUUUUUACAGGUUCUUAUCUGCACAUCAAAAGCACACAUUUCAUAUUGAAUUGGAAUUCUUAGUGUUUUUUAUUAAACAGAGAAUUCUGAGGGAAAUUUAAGGUCGAACUGAUGACAUAGUGGAGAAGGGUGGAGAAUUUUUCCAGUUUGGCUAUUUUCAUCUUAAAUUUGAAGUUCACUUAGAAUUGUCUCUUUAGUAAAAAAACAAAACAAACAAAAAAAACCACCUUAAUUAUUUCUCAUCUUUGGAUUAUAUUAUAUUAAUGGAUGUAAAAUAUAGACAAAAUAAAGGAAGGGGUUAUAGUCAGGUGUGCCCUGGUGUCAAACCAUUGAGUGAGGUCUCUUUAGAAUAAAAGACGGCCAAUACAGUGCCGCACUCACCUAUUGCUCUCAGUCUGCGAGCGUUGACCUGUAACCAGAUUCUCCAGCUGCAGUGGUUAUGGUACUUGGGGUCUUCCUGCUCUGUUUCUGGGACUCCAAAAUCAUUUUUUAUCCUGUUUUUCUUGUAUUUUCAAUCUAGUUAUCUGCAUUCAGUAAAGGAGGUGCCCACGGUGCACAUAAUAAGAAAUACAGCAAAACGAUGAAUAAAUAAACUAAUCAUGUUUUAUAUGAUGUUUCAUUUUAUGAAUGCUAAGAAAUUAGCUGUAGGAUGCUAUGUAAAUCCCCUUAAAGAGACAUUAUAGUCACCAAAACAACUUUAGCUCAAAGAAGUAGUUAUGGUGUAUAGAACAUGCCCCUGCAGUCUUACUGCUCAAUUCUCUGCCGUUUACGAAUUAAAGCACUUUGUUUAUACAGCCCUAUGCACACCUCCCUGCUUGUGACUUACACAGCCUUUCUAAACACUUCCUGUAAAGAGAGAUGUACUGGGGUUUUCACUAAAAUUAGAAUUCAAAGUGAAAUUCAAAAUAAUAUCAAAAUAGCCAAACAUGAAAAAUGAUCUAAUUCAGCUAAACUUCCACUUUAACUACUUUGGAAUUAAAUUUGAAAUUCACUGUGAAUUCACAUUGGUGACUUUAGUAACCUUGCUAAUAUUUAGAUUUCCUUUAUUACAAAUUCUGUUUAAUCUAGAAUUUCUAAUCUCCUGAAUUCUUAAUAGCUUGCUAGACCUUGCAGGAGCCUCCUGAGUGUUUACAGUUCAAUUUAAAGAGCAGGCAAUAAAAACGUCCAAAGUAAACACACUGUGCAGUAAGAUCUGAUUAAAAAUGAAACCAUUUUUUUUCCCGCACAGACUGUGUCAGUCACUGCCAGGGAAGGUGUGGCAAGAGAUGCAUAAACAAAGUGAUUUAUGUAUAUGUUAUGUAUAUGGGGGAGGUUAACAUUAUUAAGAUUUGUUGGCAAUGACCCAUUUGUUAUUCCUUAAUUAUUUUAUUAAUAAUUUAAUAAAGCUGUGGACGAAUUAUUUCCAACAGUAUAACCUGUGUCCGUGUUUUAAUGGGGGUUUGGGUAAGGUUAGCGCAUAUGCCGGCAAAUCCGACUGUGCGCUUGUCAUGACUAUUGUAUCACUUUAGACUUUGAUUCAAGAAAAAAAAAAAAAAAAUCCCAUCCGACCCAGAACGACAGCAACGACUUCAUAUUAUUUUAUCAUUGCAUAGCACUAUUAAACUUAGUGGAGGGAAUGAAACAGCAGACAAAGAGUUAAAGGGCAAAAUCAAAUAAGUAAGUGAGGUUCCUAACACUGCCCCCCACGCUGUGUACAAAGGGCUCGCUGGUUAGAAAGGAAUUUAACUUAAUGGGGAUACCUGAGGAUCAAUGAGCACAGGAAUCAGCGUGCCAUGAUUCAGAUUAAGGGGUUAAUAAUAGAUCAGGUGACAUAAUAAUGAGGAAAACAAUCUCAAUGAAAAGCUGCAACUUGUUUUUACGGCUUAACAGAAAAUCCUUCAAUAAUUCAUAUUUUCAUCAAAACUGUUCUUUAUCUAAGUCUUUUCCCUAGUGAAUCCCAUUCAGCCGUUUUCCCUUUGUGUUUGCUUCAGAAUGAAAGAUUAAUUGAAUUAAGUAUCUAGAACUGGUAAUAAAAUGAUUAAUAAAUUAUGUCAUUUACAUUAGAAUGUAAUUGAAGGAUCGCCCCACAUUUUUCCCCAAAACCUCCGCAGCCCAGAGACUGGAAUAUUAAUCAAGAUUUGAUCACGAUGUUUCACCGUCCGAGACGGAAACGUUGAUCUGAAGAUUCCGCACAGCUAAGUAAGCAUUUAAAUUUUUAUACUUUAAUAUUUAUAAUCCCCAACCUUGCGGCCGUGGGAUGCCCCUGAAAUUUCAAACAGCCGCCAUACCCUUCAUGUGUCUCUUCACUUUGGAGUCUCUUAAUCUCGGAAACAAAGUUAAAGAUGCGAGAAUUCCCAAAACGGCUUUGUUUAUUAGUGAUUUGUUUGAUGGUUUCCUGCUUGGAAUGGAAUAUAUAUAUAUAUAUAUAUAUAUAUAUAUAUAUGUAUCAUGUAUUAAUAAAUAGGGUUUUCUAGACGUGUGUAGAGAGAAAACAUUUUGUCUCAGCCGAACCAGUUAUUCUAAAAAUAAAAUAAUUUGUCGUAUGAUUUUUGGCCAUAUGACUGUUGGGUUUGUCUGAAUUUCAUUAAUUAAAAAAGAUGCAGGAAAACAAUCAGUUGAACCAAAAGGGCAGCCAAUGUGCCAGUAUAUAUAUAUACAUAAUAUAAAUAAUAAUAAUAAUAUAAUAUAAUAUAAUAUAAAAAUGAUGUAUGUAUUUUGCCGAACACUAACAGACACAUUUUUCUGCUGUUUGGUUCACAGAUCAACUGGGAAAAAGUAGCUGAUAAAAAGAACAGAGGAGCAGAAAAAAUAAUCUAUACUCAUAUAUGAUAUAGUUAUUAACCCCUUAAGGACACAUGACGGAAAUAUUCCGUCAUGAUUCCCUUUUAUUCCAGAAGUUGUGUCCUUAAGGGGUUAAGUACAUAAUCUAUAAAUAUAUAAAUAUAGAUUGUUCUAUUGCUCCUCACUUCUUGAUCUGUAAAUAAAAUCAGUGUUUUGUGACUGUCCUCUAGCCCCUUGCUCCUCAACCCUCUCCUGGAGGCACACCUACGGUGAACAUGACCUCGCCACGGGCUCAUGGAGGAGCCUGCUUGCCAGCCUCCUUCCUCAAGACUAUGGGCCCUGCAAGAUACCUUGUAAAAUACACUUUAACCCCUUAAGGACACAUGACAUGUGUGACAUGCCAUGAUUCCCUUUUAUUCCAGAAGUUUGGUCCUUAAGGGGUUAAAAGGCUUUGUCCGUGUAAUUUGGAUUAUAUUGUUCAGGAACCGAACAACUGCACAAUCCAGAGACCACCCAUUUGCUUGUUAAGCCCAACUGACACUUUGUAACAAGUUCCAACACAGUGUUCUAAUUGUUUGUCUGGGUGGCCGCAUUUCGUCUGAAUGACCACGAGGGGCGGCCAUCUUGUUCGCAUGAACGCAGGCAACGGUGUUUGGUUGUCGAGUUCAUGGAACUGAAAUCGGACACUUAAACUCCCGAACACCGCUGGACUUCCAUAAUUGCCUGCGUUCGGUUCUAUACAAUUUAGAAGGGCACUGUUCGGUGGAAUCGUUCCCACGAACAAGGUGAACAAGCUAGAAAUGUUAACUAUGGAUUCUGUUUGGUAUUUUAUGUACUUUUGUACUCCUGAAAGAGACCGACCGUUAGCACUGAUUUCAUGGAACUGUUUUGGACAUAGGACCAUGUUCACAGUCUGUCAAAUAAUUGACUUCCAUAGAAAACCUGAACCAAUCUGGGUGAUUUUUGGAUAUGCUGGUCACCCAGAUCGGGUCUAUCAGGGGAUGUGACCUUUAUGGGGUUUUCAUGUGUUUUGGGGGUACUUUUGAGGUAUUGUUAUGUUAUAUGUUUUCUGUACUGGGAGGUAAUUUAAUUUAGAUGUUUGCUUGCAACUAGUUCUCUCUCAGGUCCAGCGGGGAAUGCCCCUGGAAUGUGAUUUAGGAAAGCCCUUGCAUGGGGAGCUGCAUAAAAGGCUGUGUGUGGCUCCCAAUAAACCAGUUCAUCCCAAGGAUAGAGCCUCGUCUCAUGUGUGUGGGAGAAAGCUAUACCAGCUAUAUCACUAGCUCUUUUCAGGGCUACGUGAGGAGGAGAGGUCUUCCCACUGAGAGCUGGAUCCAGGUGUUGGUCCAUGGCGAGACCCCAGCCAAGCUGCAGCGGCUAAGGGGUGUACGGUGCUUAUGGUGUUGGGUGCGGUGCUUAUGGUACACGGUAAUACUAGGAAGCAGCGAUUAGCAGAGGUACCUAGUCAGGGUGCCAGGCGGUCCGCCACAACACCUAACGGUCCAGGAUUUAGGGAUUACCUGGGUGUGUCUAAGGUGUUUUUUUCUUUUUCUAAAAACCUUAGACACACCUGGGUAAUCCUUAAAUCAUGGACUAUUAGGUGUGCCUCGAGGAGAGGGUUGAGGAGCACUGCUCUAGCCAUUAGUCAUAUCUUUUGGGCCAAAUUCCAAAUCACAAAUUUAAACAAACAUGCUCCUCCAUUACGUGAUAUCCCCCCACUCACCCCAUGGCCUGACACAGCAUCAUGUUUAUAGAAGGGACAUCUCUCUGCUUAUUGUCCAUUGUACCCAAUCUCUGGUGAUUCAUAAACAAUAAAAAUGGGUUCCGGGCCCAAUGAUCCAUAGGCAGUCACCUCUUGUACCCCUUGCUCUUCCAGCUGAUUCCUCUGUCGCUGGGCCGGCUUAUGAAGAUGGGUUUCAAUUCCUAAAUGCAUCUGAGGAUGUUGUUUUUUAUAUAUGGCUGCAAAGUCCAGUUGCAGUUAGUGACCAGACUAAUGAGGUGCUCCGUACAAGAAGCAGACAUUGCACAUUCAGAUUUCAGAAUAAGGCCCACAGUCAUUUAACCCCUAAUUCAACAUUGGCCUUCCAUACUACAUUUUUAUGUACUUUACAAAACCCUGUGUUGUCAAACAUUCUGCACUUUACUAUCAUCAGAAUUGGCCUCCUUUAAAAGGAUGAAAAUAUGACAAGCUGCAACAACUAAAUAUUUUUUUGAAAUGAUAGAUUUGCCCAUAUGGUAUCAGAAUAAAGAGAGAGGUUAUAUCUUUAACCUCUAUCGUGUGCCCACAGGUGGAUAUCCUUCUGGAGUAUAUUAAUGGCACCUGGAAGAUCAGAUCGGCUUGUAACAUCCUUAUGAAGCAGUUUGUGUUGUACAAUAACUGCAGGCCCAGUUAUAGCAUUCAACCUGACAAAGUGACUGUGUUACCAGUCCAGUGACCUGGAUCCCGUGUUGGAGUGAUCACUACUUCUUGGUGGACUGGAACUCUGCCACUGGACUUGUUGGGAAAAAGGAGCUGCUUGCUUAUCAGUUGCAACAGUAACCAUCAUUGUAUCAUGGUGGGAAACAGAAGGACAUCAGGGGAGAUAUCAGCCAAUCAGGAGACCAGGUUCUCUGGACCAAUACCUUUGUAUGUAUGCCAUAGAAAACAGCAGUUGAACUGGCAGAUAAACAUGGCAUUGAAGGACUGCAGGAAAAAUGAUGGGUAGGAAAAUCAUUCCAAUAAACUCAGAGUCAAAAUAAGCAGUUGGAGCAGAUCCUUGUGAUGAUAAGAAAACUUGCUAUAACCAAAACAGGACAAAUGGUGGAGACCCGGAGUGUGGAAACACUCGACAAGCUGCUUUAAGAUAUGGAUGGGGAGGGAGCAAUGGUCCCUUUUAGUUAAGGUUCCAGAGUCAGUUUACACGUUCUGCUCUCAUAGUCACAGGCUCUCAAUAUGGAGAGCGAUGCAGUAAAUCAGCAGAUGUUAUUCUGACAUUGGAAGGACUCGGCGCUUGCAAUUGUUCUCAUUAAAACAAGGGCACGCUGAAACAUGAACAUUACUAGUCAUGUAGAGUAACCAGAAUGAUUCAAGGUUUAGCAUUUAGGGAGUAAUUAGCUGGAGUUGCUGAGUGCAAUUUCAAUAAAGAGACCAAUGAGGAUCUCCGUGAACUGCAAGAUCCCAAAAGCAAAGAAUGAAUUAAUGGCAAUAAGCGGAAACAGACUGCAGAUAAUUCAACAACAAAAGGUCAUGAAUGAGAGAGACGGCUUGUCAGCACUUAGAGUAACUUUACUUCAGACUACAAAGCAUUUAAUUAACUACUGGGGUGCCGGGGUGAGCGCACAAAGCUUUCUAUCUAACCGUUACAGUUAGCUGGAGAUAGUAAAACAACAAGAUCUGCACUUUAUCUACUAAACCUACCUAGUAUGAGCACACUCAUUCACAUCCUUCUUCCCCUCUCCAUGAGUGCACUCAUUCAGCCCCUCCGACCCUUCUCCAUGAGUGCAUUCACAGCUCCUACUCACAUCUAUCUAACCCUCUACGUGAGUGAACUCAUUCAGACCCUUCUACCCUUCUCCAUGAGUGCACUCACAGCUCCUACUCACAACCUUCUAUCCCUCUCCAUGAGUGCACUCACAGCUCCUACUCACAACCUUCUAUCCCUCUCCAUGAGUGCACUCUUUCCCAUCCUGCUACCCCUCUCCAUGAAUGCACUCAUUCAGCCCCUCCGAACCUUCUCCAUAAGUGCACUCACAGCUCCUACUCACAUCUAUCUAAUACUCUCCAUGAGUGCACUCAUACUCGCCUCCUUCUAUUCCUUUCCACUGCUCUUAUUCAACCCUUGGGACUCAACUCCAUAGAUGUACUAACUGACAUAUAUCUAUUCUUCUUCGUGUCUUCCAUUGUCAUCUUCCUACUCCCCCUGAAUGGCCUGAUAGAUUCCAUUGUCAUCUUUCUACUUCCCAUCAAUGGCCUCAUAUCUUCCAUUGCAAUCAUUCCUGACCUCACCUAUCAUAUUUGUAUUGCUGCUCUUCUGGAAUCCUGACCUUGGCUCGUAAAUUCAUAUUGAUCACUCUAUUGGAAUCCUGACCUCGGCUCUCAUUCGUAUUGCUGAUCUUCUGGAAUCCUGACCUUGGCUCGUAAAUUCAUAUUGAUCACUCUAUUGGAAUCCUGACCUCGGCUCUCAUUCGUAUUGCUGAUCUUCUGGAAUCCUGACCUUGGCUCGUAAAUUCAUAUUGAUCACUCUAUUGGAAUCCUGACCUCGGCUCUCAUUCGUAUUGCUGAUCUUCUGGAAUCCUGACCUUGGCUCGUAAAUUCAUAUUGAUCACUCUAUUGGAAUCCUGACCUUGGCUCUCAUAUUCGUAUUAACACACUUCCAGUUCUGUAACAUUUUCUGAUCACACUUGUGGUGAUUGUAGUUGGAGCCAGUGCAGCAGUGUUGUCUCCUCAUUUAUCACAUUUCUUUGGUCAUGGAAGAGGUGGAGUUUAUGUUUAAAUCACUGGAGUUUUUGGGCUCCGAUUGCUGUUAAAAUAUUUGUAUUUUCCAUUCCUCACCUUGUAUGAUAUCAAGGCAUUCCAGAAAUCAAUCUAUCUACUGAUAAAGUACAAGCCUUACUUUAAAUUCCUUAAAAAGAAGGAAGAGACAUGUAACUCACACAUGAAAGCAGAAGCAGCAGCUGUCAUGUAAUGUCUUUCAUCUAGUAGUUUUGCUCCUGAAUAUCUUGCCUGAAUUAUUCACACAGGGGUUAGCAAAUACUUGGCCAGUAGAUUUGAUCCAUUUCAUGGUAAACUUUCUGGCUUGAUGCCAAACUUUGCUUAGAUGUUUGGUACUAAUGUGGCUGAAGAUAAUGCCAGGAUUAGUGUGGGCACAUGACUAAACAGCACUGCAAUGAGGGAUCAGUACAACCAUAACUUAAUGUCUGGCUAGGGCAGUGGUGGAGUGAAUCAAGGCCACCAUGAUAUUUGUUUAAUCGUGACUGGACUGGCCUGCACGGCACGUAUGUUACACAGGGUUGACGUUGGUCAGUGAAGAUGGAUACAGGCUGAAUGGGGGGGAGGGGGGCAGCAAUUAUAAGUGAAAUGGGUUGUUACAAUGGUUGUGGCACUUACCUGUGGCCAACCCUGGUGGAAUAACUGGUUUAGGUUUUACGUCAUGUCAGGGGUUCAUCGGCCACGAUGGCAGCAAUGAAUGUUAAUUUUCUGUCCGAUAUUAGCAGAUAAGGAAGAAAUGCCUACACCCACGUAAACUGAGGGAAAUAAGAAGUUUGUAUCAGAUGUACUCUGUGCCUGUUAGGCAUUGCUUUGGAAUGAGCAUCUAAAUGGACCUUUGUCUGUCCGAGUGGUGAAUGUCACAUUUAAUGGGAUCAUGAUAUAUUAUAGAAAAUAAAAUAAUAUAAUAAAUCUACAAAAUAUAUUGAGACAUAGAACAAUUCAAGCAGCUGACCCUAAAGAAACACAACUUCAGCUGUAUAUUUAAUCUUUUGUCUAUGGGUAAUGAAUGCAUCGAAUAUUGACCAGGAAUACUUUUGGUAUAUAGUUGCGUUUUCCAUUGACACUAGAUUUUUGCUUUGAAAGACUCAAUGUUUCCCUCCUAUUUGUGCUCCCUCUACAGUUUGUGGUCAGAGAGGUGUGGGGACAUGUCCUGCGAGCUGCUCCCACAUUAUAAAAUAUACACAAAACAUACACAAAGACACUGGCCAGUGAAUGCUCAUAACAAUGCAGAAUUCAUUUCUAUAAACUACCUACAAAAUUAUUUAUACACCGGUGCUUUAACAUGUCCUUAAUAGUUAAACUUGUAUAAAAGAAAAUAAUACCAUUUUAAUUACCUUUCCAAUUAAUAAAACAUAAAACCAAACAUACAACUAUUUACCAAUGCGCUCCGUUUGCAGACGUUGUCCUUCCCAGUUAAUAUUAAAACCAUCACGGACUGAAAGAAUGGUACCUGGCACAUUGUUUAAUGGCCGUAAUAUAUGUCCCUGUUUCCUUCAGAUGUCAUCAUUCUUACAUAAAGGGGACCUGUCAAUUUUUGACACUUCCCUUAGAGAUGAACAUAGAUUUUUUUUUAUUCUGCAGGAUCUACUUAAUCGUUUUGACCUUUAUUCAGUUGUCAUUAUCCAUCUUUAUAAUAUGCAAUCAAUCAUCUCUCACCUUCCGUGUUACAGCCAAUUCUUAGAAAGAAGAACAAGUAGGAACUUAAUAAAAGUUUGUAAAAAGUACAUGAGCCUCAGUUCAUUUCGCAGAGUUUAAAAGUUUCUAUGCAAUGGGAAGAAGGACGGAGCAGAGCGAUUCCCACCGUCCGGCUCGUACACAAGUCCAAGGUUAGAGAGUCUAAAUGAUAUAUAUCUGGUGUCGCCUGUGAAGCCUUCAACGCAGAUAAUAUCUCACAGUAGCCCUGCAGAUUGACAGACGGGAGUCCCUCAGCAUCACUCACAAUCUGGAACUGAAAGGGUGACUUAAUGAUAAUCAAAAUCCCAUUUCUUAAAGAUAGGAUUAACCAGUGUCCAGAGCAGUGAGCAUCAGCCAUUGCUGUCUCUGCAAUUAGUGCUUACUUCAUUCCAUAUCUAUUCAAUCGGGCGAUAGCGUGGCACUCUGAAGGACAAUGGGCAGUGGAUAUGAGGGUAGGAUAUUUUUAAUAAGGGAAUUUCUUUAUUUUGCUGUUGAGUAGACAGUUCCCUAAUUUGAUAAACUUUCAUGGGAUUUCCAUAUUAAGGGAUAUCAGAUUUGGACGCUGUUAAGCCGAUAGCUCACUUAUUUUGUGUCAUUAAAAUAUGAUAAUUACACCUAUUAGAAAUGUAUCUACUAAACAGUUGAAUGAUCAAAAUUAAAAACAAAAAAUACAUUUCUUAAUUUGAUCUUUCAGCUGCAUUUAGUAAACUGCUCUCUGAUUUGGUGUCCUUAUGUGGGAUAACUAUUUUAAGGAUGACAAAUUAGGGAGAUAUUUACUAAACAGCACUCCCAAAGGGAAUAACGGGUGUCCGAAUUCCCGAACAGAUAACAAACUUUUCUGGAUUUAGCUUUUUUUUCAAACUGAUAAUUUCCGAAUUGCUGAUGAACUGAAAUUUGAAAAUUUACAAAUCAAAAUUAAAUCAAAUUUUUCGCCAAUUCACCUACUUAUUACCAUAAUUUCCUAAGAUUCAUUAGUAAAUCGCAUUACACUGGACAUGGCUAACAUUUAGCUUUUUUUUUUUUGUCAAUCUUUCUUUUAUUGAGAUGACAGCGUUAUACAGAUAAGGAAUAACAGUAUGUCAGAGCACAUCGGCUGGGUAACAGGAACAACAUGUAAGAUUAUCCACAUAAUACUCUGGGCAAGAAGGACAUCUAAUUUUUUUUGUUUUAGUGCAGAUUACAGGCUAAAGAUACAUGUCUAGGCUGGCAGUAUGGUAUAUUCAGACUGACUGAUGAUAGAAAAAAUAAAAAUAAGAGAAAUUAAAAUUCACUAUUGUAGAGGCAGCAUGUGAUGGUACACCCCCCUGGAAUCGAAUUCUUACGUAUUUAGUCAGGCUAGGUAACAGGCUGGGACCAACAAUAUAGGUAUUAAAGUAUCAUUAAACAUAAAGUAGAUUACGAUUAGAUUAGAAGGCUACUGGUUGUUAGUGACCCCACAGUACCAAACAAUAAAACUUAGGUUAAGAACGGAAAUGGCUAAUAUUCCAACAUAAAGGUAGAUUUAGUGUAGUAAUCAUAUUGCUAGGUGCCGACACCUGUGACAUUAAAUUACCUUCUACAGGUGAAAGGGCAUAAGAGUGAAAAGACAUGUCUAAAGCAGAAUAAGAGUCCAAAGGGGUGGGGGUGGGAGUCCAACUGAGUCACUUGGUGAGUUUAGUGUCGGGGAGAGCGGCGGCCUCUCUCCAGCUCCAACUCUAGUGGGUGCAGCGUUCCGGUCUCCCGACCCUGAUGGACUUGAGUUAGGGUCUCCAUUCACUUGUACAGUAAGCCCGCCCAGGCACCUCUGUGUUUGGGAGAUAAGAGAGCCUGCUUUUGCUUAAUCUAAUUAUCUCUUGGCACUAGAGUUACAAAAUAUUAACAAAAAUCAUUAACAAUACAUAUCUAGAUAGGAACCCCCGACAAGUUUUAAUAUCCCCGGAUAGCCUGUAUCUGAGGGCGCAAGCUGUCCAAAUAGUGCUCAGAUUCCACAUACACACCCGAAUAGCCACUGGUGUAAAGUUUUUAACGACCGCACACGUGACGUCUGCCCAAAUUAGUUUCAGAGAAAUAGUGGUAGCGGUCGGUCACUUUUGAAUGAAAUGUCAAACGGUUCCCCUGGCUCAUAGGUAGUGAUUGUUCACCUAGUUUGUGCGAACAAUCCUACCGAACAGCGCUCUCCUGUCUUGUUGGUAAAAGAAGGAGGCGUUCGUAUAAAAUCACUGAUGUUCGCAAGGUUGAGUCUGACCUAUAGUUCCAGACACUCGACUACCAAGUCCCGCUGCCUGUGUUCGUGCGACAAGAGGGCCGCUGUUUUCUCCAGCACGUGUUGUUCAGUUAUACAAACGGGGGCCACACAAGGAGAGCAUUUAAGUUUGUGGUUAGUUUGUAGUUAAUGAGCCAGGGGGUUGGUCGGCAUUCGGUAGAUUGCAGCUCCUGAACUGGUGAAACGUGAAUGGGGUUCGGAAAUCAUAAUAUAUACGAAAACUUAGCAGGUAAAUCUCCUUAAUACAGGGAAAAUAGUAAGUUUAUCACAGUAUAUAUUUCUAAUAUGUGUUUGUGUGUGAAUGUAGGUAUAUAUUUCUUCUCUCUCUCUCUCUCUCUCUCUCUCUCUCUCUCUAUAUAUAUAUAUAUAUAUAUAUAUAUAUAAAUAAAUAUGUACCACCUCUCUCUCACCAUACAAUAUCUAUUUCUCUUCCCACAACAUCCCUGUUGGGAAUAAUACACUUUGCCUAUAUUGACCCAAGGCUCAAGCUACAGAUGACCGGUUGCUCAGUCUGCACCUCUUCUGUUGAACUCCGCUCCCUUCUCUGUAAGACUUGCACCCAGUCUCCACUCAUUCAAAAAAUCAUUGAAAACGCACUUCUUCAAGAAAGCAUAUUAAUUAAACUGUUAGCAGGUUUUCAUCCCCCACCCUCCAUGACUUCUCCCCUGCAACUGUCAAAAAUGACCUACUAAGCCCUCAAUGAAUACUUUUCUAACAACCUACUUCGUACCCCUACUUUUACCCUUUGUGUCACUAUACCCCACUCCCUCUAGAAUGUAAGCUCACUGAGCAGGGCCCUCAAUCCCUCUGUUCCUGUGUGUCCAACUUGUCUGGUUACAAUUACAUGUCUGUUAGUCCACCCAUUGUACAGCACUACAGAAUCUGAUGGUGCUAUAUAAAUAAUAAAAUAAUAAAAAUAAUAAUAAUUAAGCUUAACAAGCUCCAGGGUGGUUUCCGGUUCGUGCAGCUGCUCAGUUACCGAGCCAUAUAAUUCCUAUAGACAAACAGAGCCUUUUAUAUCACAGUUUACAGGGUCCAUAGUCUGUGGGCAGGAGGCUGGCAAGCAGGCCUCUCCAAGAACUUGUGGCAAACUCACUUGAAAAGGGGAGUUUGUCACACACAACAUUUCUUUCUGUCUUUUUUUUUUAGACAAUCUUUAUUUACGAUUUUGAUAAUUGUACAGAUAAAUAGAAAAGAGUACAAUACAGGUAGAGAAGAAUUGAAUAAACAUAGUUUGUUAUGAAAUUCAUGUAACAGUUGGCAGCAAGCAUGCAGCCAAUGUUGUGCCGGUAACACAGAGCAAUGGAUAUGAAAUGAAAAUGAACGAGUAAAAUGUGUCAGUUGUCAUUCCGGUCACAUUUCAGUCACUAUUCCAGUUAUGCCUCUUGCACCCAUCAUCCAACCAGAGCUUGAUAGAAACUGGUGAUGAGCGGGCAUCCUCGUCCCCAACGCAAGAUCGAGUAGGAAGAAUAAAGGUGGGAGGGUAUGUAGGAAGAAGGAAAGCGGAGGAAGAAGAUAGAAAGCAGAGGACAGGAGAAAGAGAAAAUAAAAGAGUGGGAGAAGGGCCAAUCAGUAAAUUGUUGUUUAGAACACAUAGAACUCUGGUGGGUCAGUAUAUGGAUCUUUGCCCACUGAGGGUCUGAAAACGUGGCACCUGUGGCUCGUUCCCAACGUGUGGUAUGUCUCCUGGGAUGACAGAAGUAAAGUGUACAAAUCGGAGAUACCCUUAUGUAGGUGUACCAGUGCCCUGCACAAACUAUGUUAGAUUCCUGUGAAAUAGGUAUCAUCCAUAUUAGGAAACGUCGUACGAUUUAACUUGGAAGUAGCGGAUUCUGUCCCCCUUGGGGUCCUGUUCCUCGUACUCUCUUUGAUACUGGUAAUCAUAGACAAAGGAAGAAACUGAGGUUAUACACUAAUUUUUAAUACAAAUGCACAAAAUUGUGAAACAUUUUAAUUCAGGUAUUGUAUGACACCUCUGUCUAAGGAAAAGUGAGCCUUGCACAAUGUUUAAAAAGAUCAAUUUGAAAAGUAUUCACAGGCCUCAUCUAUCAAACAUGAUGAGAAUCCUAGCUAAAUAAUCUAAUUAAAAUUAAACCUGUCUUUUUAAGUAGAUUUUGUCCCCUCAAAUUAGCAUGCCUUAACAUCUCCAAUAACAUAUAUUGCUCUAAAUAAGACAGUUAUGUUGCUGCCAAUUAAUUUUUCAACAUUUGUGUAAUUAUUUCAUUUCAGUAGUUAGGAAGCGCAAUCUGUUCAGAAAAUUGGCUUAUUUAACAACACAGCUUUAUGACAUUAACAGAAAAACAUUACAUUUUCCAAUUGUGUGCAUACGAAUGGGGACAGCAAGAGCAUUUUUUAACAAAAUAAAAGCAAACAAUCAGCGAGAUAUCAUCCAAUCUGGCUGCGAUACUAUUAAACCGCAAACAAACUGUAUUGUGAAAUCAAUGGAGGGUUUCCGAACCCAGAAAUGGAUCAAUUAGUAAAUGUUUAUAGAAGUAAUACAUUCUUCAUACAAAUGAGCCCAAUCCGUGAUUAGAACACUGUGACAAACACUGUAUCCCACAUACGUUUGCCAUGGACUCCUGGAAGAGUGUAGAAGCCGGCCUCCUGCCCACCGACUAUGGUCCAGGUCUGGGACACGUUUGGGAGUUAUUAUUUAUAUAGCGGGAUAGAGGACCUAACUACACUGCAUGGAUCUGAGCGCUAUUUGGAGAACUUGGGUGCUCAGAUCAGAGCUAUUUAACAAUGUAUUGCUUGUGGGGUCCCCUUGUCUUUUCCCUUGGACUGAUUCUACCCUGGGAAAGGGGAGUUGGGAGGGGAGAUAAGCUACAGUUUUGCCCACACACACAAAGAGACCAGGGACUGUCUUGCACCCACUUAUCCAGUCACAUUGGACUUGGUCCCCCAAGGACUGUGGACUCAGGGGGAUCCAACAGACUUGUUGCAGGCCCGUCGUGGGUCUGGCCACAAGUCUGUCUAUUUCUAUGGGGGGUGAUAUGUGAUGGAUGGCCUUAUUUGUUUGGCACAAGCCACAAGCUUUCAACACCAUUUUUGUGACUGUUUUUCCUGUGUAGCGGACCCCUGGUAACCCGACCGGUUACCUCCACUAAUUCCCUUUCUUCAGCCAGUCAGGAACCAUUUACAGUACAAAGAGUAACUGGAUGGCACACAGUCCUGGAAGUACAACACAAUUUUAUUGGCCACACACAGCUUUUAUGCAUAACCCGGUGCCAGAGGUUACCCACACAAACAUACAAGGAUACAUCCCAAGAUCCUCCCCUUCACUGGGGUCCCAGCGCGGGAAGGGACUCAGUUCCCUUUGUCCCCAAAACCCACCACUAAAUCCCCAGGGUUCCCCAGACCAACCACCAGGGCCUCUGUGCCUGGGGGUCUUGGCGUGGGAAAAAAGAGAGCUCAUGAGAGCCUGCCAAACUCUCCAGUGUCGUAGAAAUGCCCACACCAAUCUCAGGGACCCUCGCCCUGGUCCCUCCAUUUGUGAGGUCCUGGUGUGAAACCCAGACAAGGGUAGCGUCUCGUUUCGGGGUAUGAAUGCUCCCCCUGGCUGGCAUUCGCCUGUACGAAUGGUGGCCACCCAGGAGAGCACUCAUUAAUUACAUCCCUUGCGGUUUCACACCUAUGUUGUGGGUGGGAAAGUUCUGAUUAAUUGGUGUGAACGUUCCAAUAGGGCACCAGGGAGAUUCUUGUUCAGAAGAUGAACGAGUCAGGAAACAAUCCACGAAUGCUCUCCCUGGUGGCGUUCACCUGUGCGAAUGGCAGCCAACCCAGGGAAGCACUCAUUAAUUGUUUCCCAUGCGGUUUGCUGUUUUGACACUUAUGUUGCAAGGUGUGGACAUUCUAACCUAACAUUCUAAAUGAGGUAUAGGGGUCCUCGUUCUAGAGAUAAAUGAAUUCCUUUUGUGGAAGUACUCGCGAAUGGGGAGCGGGCACAAUAAACAAACAUACAGGGAAAACACAUGUAAAAGAGAAGGGAGUUUAACAAACAAGCAGCUGUUCUGCCACACCAUGUAUCUAGAUAUCACUGUAUUGUGGAUCUGUAUUCUACACAGAGCACUGUGUGUGUGUCUGUAUAUGCAGCUGUGGGUCAACAAAAGGGGGGGGGGAGCAGCAGCAGCUCUCGAAACACACUGUGAGUGACCACAUGCUGUGGGAGCCAGCAAGUCUAUUUACUGGGCUGUGUUGAUGUAACCAGAGAUUGCUCUGAAGGGAUAGGGGGUCCAACCAAGAUAACCUUUUGAUGUCAGGCUGUAUUGGCACAGGGGGAGGUGGUAACUAGAGUAAGGAAUCACUUUGUUGCUUUGUAGUUCUUUCUCUGUGACCUGUUCUGUGUUUCCAUUGGUGAAAGAUUUGUGUAAUUGUAUGGAGACCCCCUUCUGGGGGUCUGUGUAUAACUUGGCUGUACCAUGUCCCAUUAAACAGUUCAGUUCAGUUGACUUCCAGGACUAUGUCUCAUCUGGUUAAUGGGGGGGGGGGGGUUAUGGGUAUUUACUUGUGCUGAUGGAUCCAGAGUGGCUGAAGGAAGGUAAUAGCGGAGGUAACCAGUUGGGUUACCCGUGGUCCGCAACAAACACUAUACACUAUUUAUUGAAUACCAGCUAUCACGAAAGCCACCCUCGCUAGUUUGUAAAGCACUAACAAAGCUGGUAGCAGUGUACAAUGAGUACAGAUCUUUCAAAGACAUUUCCAUAAAUGCAAUGGUUUGACUGAUGUACAGGAAAAACUAAUAAUGCAGAGGAACUGUUAGGAGACUUGGUUUAGAGAGAAGGUCCAGCUGACAGAGAGAAGGUCCAGCUGCCAUAGAAGGACAGUGUGGAGGACAUGUAACUAGAAUUUUUCCGGCUGGUGCCAUGUUUUUAUCAAGAAUUUCAGGCAAUGAAGGGAUUUUUUUCCAUUACUGUUCUCAUUAACUAAUUAAUCAACAUUAUUAAAGUUUUAGCUUGGUUUUGGAUUGAGUAGUAUUAAUUUUUGAUAAUAAAUUAUGUUUCUCCCUAAACUCUAACUUUUCCAGGUUUGGGGUAUCUCCCUGCUCCCCCCACACCUUUUCUAAUAGUAAUCCUUCUUUGCUGCACCAGGUUUUAAAAAUAUGAGGGACCAUGCCUACACCAGCCAUUGGGCAAACCAGAUAAUUCACAGCCACCCAACCAGAACCAGAUUAACACAGGAGCUAUCGGAAGUUGCUCUAGACCCGAGGUACCUGACUUUUAUUUAUUUCAUCUAUUUAUGUUGCUCCAAAGUGCUCAGUGUUAUAGUCAUAGUGUGUGGGAAAUACUGUCCACAUGGAAUGAAAUACCAGUAGCUUUGACUCCGAUUUCCGUAAAUCUAUAUCGGAGAUAUGAGGGUCCAACCUCUGUUCCUGCAGUCACUGCUUGUACCCAUUGUUCCCCCAGCUGAUUUCUCUCAACUCCAGUGUGCUUGUGAAGACAGAUUUUAUGUUGAUGACAUUUCCAGUUUGAUGGUAUUCCGGCUUGGGAUCUUUUAGAACACGAUUCUGGAAUCACAAUUUAAAAUUUUGUACUAAGGUUCAUAGUAAUAUUCAACCCUAGAUCUACGAAGCCCCUAAACCAGCACCAAAUCCUAUAAAGGUGGGUAGAGAUAUUCGUUGGGUGGUUGUGAGCAGAGCUAUUUAUUUGACGCUGUUGGUAGAGCUAUUCAUUUGGUGUUGUGGGCAGAGAUAUUUGUUUGGCGCUGUGGGCAGGGCUAUUUAUUUGGCGCUGUGGGUAGAGCUAUUUAUUUGGCACUCUGGGUAGGGCUAUUUAUUUGGUGCUGUGGGUAGAGCUAUUUAUUUGGCACUCUGGGUAGAGCUAUUUAUUUGGCGCUGUGGGUAGGGCUAUUUAUUUGGUGCUGUGGGUAGGGCUAUUUAUUUGGCACUGUGGGCAGGGCUAAUUAUUUGGCGCUGUGGGCAGGGCUAUUUAUUUGGCGCUAUGGGCAUGGUUAUUUAAUUGGCGCUGUGGGUAGAGCUAUUUAUUUGGUGCUGUGGGUAUGGUAUUUAUUUGGCGCUGUGGGUAGAGCUAUUUAUUUGGUGCUGUGGGUAGGGCUAUUUAUUUGGCGCUGUGGGCAGGGCUAUUUAUUUGGCGCUGUGGGUAGAGCUAUUUAUUUGGCGCUGUGGGCAGGGCUAUUUAUUUGGCGCUGUGGGUAGAGCUAUUUAUUUGGUGCUGUGGGUAGGGCUAUUUAUUUGGCGCUGUGGGUAGAGCUAUUUAUUUGGUGCUGUGGGUAGGGCUAUUUAUUUGGCGCUGUGGGUAGAGCUAUUUAUUUGGUGCUGUGGGUAGGGCUAUUUAUUUGGCGCUGUGGGUAGAGCUAUUUAUUUGGUGCUGUGGGUAGGGCUAUUUAUUUGGCGCUGUGGGCAGGGCUAUUUAUUUGGCGCUGUGGGUAGAGAUUUGUUUGGUGCUAUGGCUUUAUCUCUGCUUACAAUUCAAUGGCAGCCAGAGCCAGGAGGAUGUGUUCAGCUCCCCUAGGAUGGCAGGGCUUCAUUUCACCCCAUGCUGUCAUUGUAAUAUAGAAAGAGGUCAGAGAUGUACACACGACGUCUCUGAAGAAGAGAAUACAAGCUCCCUUAACAGCAUUUUAUUUUAUUGAUAAAGAUUGUGUGUUUGAAUGGCAUGCAUGGAGAGGAAGGGCAUGACGUGGAUGCCAAUAAUGAAUUGGCAUGAGGGCACUAUCAUGUAAUAGAGCAAGAGAUAGAUGGCAGGAAACUAUCAUGAAAUGUAUGUCUUUAGGAAAGAUGGGCAUAAAAUAAAAAGUGGGGUGCGUUAAACAAGGAUUAUAUGUAACGAGGGAAUUAAUUGAAUGGCGUACGGGGAGGGUUAUUAAAUGUGUAGCAAAGGAAUGAAUUGUAGGGCAUGGGAGGAGGGAUACUAUAUGUGUAGUGGGGGAAUAAAUUAAAUGGCAUAGGGGAAGGGUUACUAUCAGGGCCGGUGCAAGGAUUUUUGCCGCCCUAGGCAAAAGAAAGAUUUGCCGCCCCUCUCCCCCCACCCAUAAGAUCUGCCAUAUGAACUAGUGCCAGUGCUGCACACAGUGUGUGUUUACAUUAAAAAGCCUGCAGGGACCGGCUAUAGACACCUGAACAACUUUAUUAAGCUGCAGUGGUUCUGGGGACUAUAGUGUCCAUUUAAUGUGGGGUAAAUUAGAGAUUAGUGUCACUAAUAAUAUACUAGAUUGCCUGCUUACAAUCAGAUGAGGAUGGUGAUGGGCUCUGGCUGCAGACUGGCUCCACUGGUCUGGUGUAGAACAGGAUCUCUGGAGGCUGUUUGUAACUGUGGUCACAAAAUUCAAUGUUCUGGGAGAACGGGAAGCAGCUCAAUUUUUUGGGACCUCUUACAUAGCUCAAGGUCUGGGCCCCAGGGCCUGACGGUGAGUAUGCCCAUAAAGCCCACCCAUAAGUCCACCUACAUGUUCCACCCAUGAGUUCGCUCACAGGGAGUGGAGUGUGUAGGGGAUGUGUUAUGUGUUACUGUAGAGGAUCUAAUGUGUGUGGUUAUGGAAUGUAGUGUAUAGGGAUACCAGUUUGUGUAGGUGAUGCAGUGUGUUUGUGUGUAUUGGAAGCAGUGUGUUUUUGUGUAAGGGAUAGAAAGCAGUGAGUGUUUGUGUAUAAGGGAUGUAUUGUGUGUUUCUGGUUGUGUGUAAGGGAUGCAUUGUGUGAAUCUGUGUUUGUAUGCAUAAGGGAUGCAAAGUGUGUUUCUGUGUAUGUAAGGGAUGCAGUGUGUGUGUCUGUAAGGGGUGCGUUGAGUGUGUGUAAGAGAUGCAUUGUGUUUCUGUGUGUGUGUAAGAGAAGCAGUGUGUGUUUGCAUGUGUGUGUAAUGGAUGCAUUGUGUGUUUCUGUGUAUAUGUGCAAAGGAUGCAUUGUCUUUAUGUGUAAGGGUUGCAUUGUGUGUUUCUCUGUGUGUAAGGGAAGCAUGUUGUGUUUCUGUGUGUAUAGGGAUGCAUUGUGUGUGUAUGUGUGUGCGCGUGGUGUGAAAGAGCUCCCUGUCCUGCCCCUGUCCUAUAGAGCUCUCCCUUCCAUUCCUUAGAGAUCUCCCCUGCCCCUUAGUGGUCUCUCCUCUCCCCACCUCCCUUAGUGGUCUCCUUUUCUCCCCAACUUUGCAUUAGUGGUCUCUCCUCUCCCCCCACCCUCCCCUAGUGGUCUAUCCUCCACCCCCCUCCCUUAGCGGUCUCUCCUCACACCCCUCCCCUAGUGGUCUCUCCACCGCCCCCUCCCUCCUUUAGUGGUCUCUCCCUCCCCUACGUUCUCAUCUCCCACCCCAUUGAUCUCCUCUUAUUCCCUCCCGUGUUCUCCAUCUUCUUCUCACCGUCCUGUAUUCUCUUCUUCUCCCCCCUCCCUGUAAUCUUCUCUUCUUCCCCUUCCUCCCUGUAAUCUUCUCCCCUCCCCCUCUGUAAUUUUCUCUUCUUCUCCCCUCUUCCCUCCCUGUAAUCUCUUCUUCUCCCCCAUAAUCUUCUCUUCUUCUCCCCCCUCCCUCCCUGUAAUCUUCNNNNNNNNNNNNNNNNNNNNNNNNNNNNNNNNNNNNNNNNNNNNNNNNNNNNNNNNNNNNNNNNNNNNNNNNNNNNNNNNNNNNNNNNNNNNNNNNNNNNAAACAAACAUGACAAGGUAAAGAGGAUGAAUUUAUAGUUCACCCCGCCACGGUCUGCGUGCUAAACUGCGCGCCUCAUCCCAUUGAUUAGGAAGGUAGGAUAUGUAUAUUGAUAUAUCGCUCCGGCGCUAUGUGUGUUCCAAAUCCCUGUAUCUCCUGAAAUGGGUCCAUCGUCACAAACCAGGAUCUCCCAGGCAGUCCAAGCGAUCUGUAGGAACAGGCAGUUCAUUUUCAAACCCUUCUGGCACCGUAAUAUUGGAAGGACCCCACGGAGCUCUCCUGCAAUCAUAUUCUGCUGACAGGCAUUGAGCAUCACUCGCUAAAUCGCGCAAGGCAUUUCAUUAUUAUUUUAUGAAAUAUUGUGUAUUGUAUUAUCAAAAUAAUAGAUGUCGCCAUAAUGAAGCCAUGUUGGCAUUGGAUGCCGGUUUAGAAACUUCACGGCACCUUUAUUAAACGUUCUGAAUGCAGAAAUAAAUCGUGUUUUAUAUUGUUAUACUUUUUAAUUUGCUUUGUUGACAUUCUCUGUUUAUUUAGAAAACUAACCCGGGGCUGCCUACCCUAUACAGUAAUUGAUAAGAAAUAACAGGCUAGCGAGAAUUGUGGCCAAAAUAUUCUGCACGCAUUGAAGGGAUUAUAUUUUAGUGGAUUUACAGUUUUAUAGGACAUUAUCUGACAAUGCUGCAUUCGAUUUCUAUUGCCAAAAGCUGAAAAUGAAUGAAAUAUAUUGAACUACGUCCAGAAUGCAUCCUCUGACUGGCCCUGUUUGUACUGACUGCUUUAUUGAAUAAGCCACAGCCUUUUUUUUUUUUUUUUUUCUCAUUACAAACGUUUAACCUUUGCUAAGUCAAUACUCUGUUGAGCUACAAAUCAUUGAAGGCCAAGCACCAGGCUGACGAUUUCCUUUUUCACAGUGAUUUUUCAUUUUGUUAACUUGUAGGGAGAUAUUAAUAUAUUGUAUGAUUACAGCUACUUUUUUCUUAUCAAUUACAAUUUGUUUAAUUACAGACUUUCAUUGAAAGUUCCUGUAUAUGUAACAACGUCCGGUUUGUGCAAGUCAGAGAAGGGAGCCCUCUAGUGGCCAAAUGUGUAAAUCAACAUGUCUAAUUGCCAUUCACUUACAGGCGAGACUGGAAAUUUUCUCCAAGUCAGCUCAGAUUCCAGUUCGUCUAUUGUGGCCUUAAAUUUACUUUUACUUUGAAUUCCCAACAAUAACCCUGUGCGUCAUUAAUUACAGCUACAUGUUUUUUAGUUAACAUUAUCUUUCUGUGUGAAAAAUAAAUAUGUCAAUUCAGUGAGUGUAAAAACAACUCAUCCUAUAAAAAGAGUCAAUGUAUCCCAGGAAAUGAGAGAAAGUUAACAUGUAAGGUCGUGCACAGACAACCGAGAUCCUUGGAGUUCACACAUUAUAGCGCUGAGACGGGUCUGACCGGACCUCCAGCUGGGAAUCGGGUUUAUUGUUCAAUUCAAUAUGAGACAAAGUGACGAGUUCACACAUUAUAACGCUGAGACGGGUCUGACCGGACCUCCAGCUGGGAAUCAGGUUUAUUGUUCAAUUCAAUAUGAGACAAAGUGACGAAGUUCACACAUUAUAGCGCUGAGACGGGUCUGACCGGACCUCCAGCUGGGAAUCGGUUUAUUGUUCACCAUAUGAGACAAAGUACGAGUUAACACAUUAUAGAGACGGUCUGACGACCUCCAGUGGAAUGGGUUAUUGUUCAAUUCAAUAUGAGACAAAGUGACGAGUUAACACAUUAUAGCGCUGAGACGGGUCUGACCGGACCUCCAGCUGGGAAUCGGGUUUAUUGUUCAAUUCAAUAUGAGACAAAGUGACAAGUUCACACAUUAUAGCGCUGAGACGGGUCUGACUGGACCUCCAGCUGGGAAUCAGGUUUAUUGUGCAAUUCAAUAUGAGACAAAGUGACGAGUUCAUACAUUAUAACGCCGAGACGGGUCUGACUGGACCUCCAGCUGGGAAUCAGGUUUAUUGUUCAAUUCAAUAUGAGACAAAGUGACGAGUUCACACAUUAUAGCGCUGAAACGGGUCUGACCGGACCUCCAGCUGGGAAUCGGGUUUAUUGUUCAAUUCAAUAUGAGACAAAGUGACAAGUUCACACAUUAUAGCGCUGAGACGGGUCUGACCGGACCUCCAGCUGGGAAUCAGGUUUAUUGUUCAAUUCAGUAUGAGACAAAGUGACGGGUUCACACAUUAUAGCGCUAAGAUGGGUCGGACUGGACCUCCAGCUGGGAAUCGGGUUUAUUGUUCAAUUCAGUAUGAGACAAAGUGACGAGUUCACACAUUAUAACGCUGAAACGGGUCUGACCGGACCUCCAGCUGGGAAUCGGGUUUAUUGUUCAAUUCAGUAUGAGACAAAGUGACGGGUUCACACAUUAUAACGCUGAGACGGGUCUGACCGGACCUCCAGCUGGGAAUCGUGUUUAUUGUUCAAUUCAAUAUGAGACAAAGUGACGAGUUCACACAUUAUAGCGCUAAGAUGGGUCGGACUGGACCUCCAGCUGGGAAUCGGGUUUAUUGUUCAAUUCAAUAUGAGACAAAGUGACAAGUUCACACAUUAUAACGCUGAGACGGGUCUGACCGGACCUCCAGCUGGGAAUCGGGUUUAUUGUUCAAUUCAUUAUGAGACAAAGUGACAAGUUCACACAUUAUAGCGCUAAGAUGGGUCAGACUGGACCUCCAGCUGGGAAUUGGGUUUAUUGUUCAAUUCAAUAUGAGACAAAGUGACAUGUUCACACAUUAUAGUGCUGAAACGGGUCUGACCGGACCUCCAGCUGGGAAUCGGGUUUAUUGUUCAAUUCAGUAUGAGACAAAGUGACGGGUUCACACAUUAUAACGCUGAGACGGGUCUGACCGGACCUCCAGCUGGGAAUCGGGUUUAUUGUUCAAUUCAAUAUGAGACAAAGUGACAAGUUCACACAUUAUAGCGCUAAGAUGGGUCGGACUGGACCUCCAGCUGGGAAUCGGGUUUAUUGUUCAAUUCAAUAUGAGACAAAGUGACAAGUUCACACAUUAUAGUGCUGAAACGGGUCUGACCGGACCUCCAGCUGGGAAUCGGGUUUAUUGUUCAAUUCAAUAUGAGACAAAGUGACGAGUUCACACAUUAUAGCGCUGAGACGGGUCUGACCGGACCUCCAGCUGGGAAUCAGGUUUAUUGUGCAAUUCAAUAUGAGACAAAGUGACGAGUUCAUACAUUAUAACGCUGAGACGGGUCUGACCGAACCUCCAGCUGGGAAUCAGGUUUAUUGUUCAAUUCAAUAUGAGACAAAGUGACAAGUUCACACAUUAUAGUGCUGAAACGGGUCUGACCGGACCUCCAGCUGGGAAUCAGGUUUAUUGUUCAAUUCAAUAUGAGACAAAGUGACGAGUUCACACAUUAUAGCGCUGAGACGGGUCUGACCGGACCUCCAGCUGGGAAUCGGGUUUAUUGUUCAAUUCAAUAUGAGACAAAGUGACAAGUUCACACAUUAUAGCGCUGAGACGGUUCUGACCUGACCUCCAGCUGGGAAUCAGGUUUAUUGUGCAAUUCAAUAUGAGACAAAGUGACGAGUUCACACAUUAUAGCACUGAGACGGGUCUGACCGGACCUCCAGCUGGGAAUCAGGUUUAUUGAUCAAUUCAAUAUGAGACAAAGUGACGAGUUCACACAUUAUAGCGCUGAGACGGGUCUGACCGGACCUCCAGCUGGGAAUCGGGUUUAUUGUUCAAUUCAAUAUGAGACAAAGUGACAAGUUCACACAUUAUAGCGCUGAGACGGUUCUGACCUGACCUCCAGCUGGGAAUCAGGUUUAUUGUGCAAUUCAAUAUGAGACAAAGUGACGAGUUCAUACAUUAUAGCGCUGAGAUGGGUCUGACCGGACCUCCAGCUGGGAAUCAGGUUUAUUGUGCAAUUCAAUAUGAGACAAAGUGACAAGUUCACACAUUAUAGCGCUGAGAUGGGUCGGACUGGACCUCCAGCUGAGAAUCGGGUUUUUUGUGUAAUUCAAUAUGAGACAAAGUGACGAGUUCAUACAUUAUAGCGCUGAGACGGGUCUGACCGGACCUCCAGCUGGGAAUCAGGUUUAUUGUGCAAUUCAAUAUGAGACAAAGUGACAAGUUCACACAUUAUAGCGCUGAGAUGGGUCGGACUGGACCUCCAGCUGAGAAUCGGGUUUUUUGUGUAAUUCAAUAUGAGACAAAGUGACGAGUUCAUACAUUAUAGCGCUGAGACGGGUCUGACCGGACCUCCAGCUGGGAAUCAGGUUUAUUGUGCAAUUCAAUAUGAGACAAAGUGACAAGUUCACACAUUAUAGCGCUGAGAUGGGUCGGACUGGACCUCCAGCUGAGAAUCGGGUUUUUUGUGUAAUUCAAUAUGAGACAAAGUGACGAGUUCACACAUUAUAGCACUGAGACGGGUCUGACCGGACCUUCAGCUGGGAAUCAGGUUUAUUGUUCAAUUCAGUAUGAGACAAAGUGACGAGUUCACACAUUAUAACGCUGAGACGGGUCUGACUGAACCUCCAGCUGGGAAUCAGGCUUAUUGUUCAAUUCAAUAUGAGACAAAGUGACGAGUUCACACAUUAUAGCGCUGAGACGGUUCUGACCUGACCUCCAGCUGGGAAUCAGGUUUAUUGUUCAAUUCAAUAUGAGACAAAGUGACGAGUUCAUACAUUAUAACGCUGAGACGGGUCUGACCGGACCUCCAGCUGGGAAUCAGGUUUAUUGUUCAAUUCAGUAUGAGACAAAGUGACGAGUUCACACAUUAUAACGCUGAGACGGGUCUGACUGAACCUCCAGCUGGGAAUCAGGCUUAUUGUUCAAUUCAAUAUGAGACAAAGUGACGAGUUCACACAUUAUAGCGCUGAGACGGUUCUGACCUGACCUCCAGCUGGGAAUCAGGUUUAUUGUUCAAUUCAAUAUGAGACAAAGUGACAAGUUCACACAUUACAGUGCUGAAACGGGUCUGACCGGGCCUCCAGCUGGGAAUCGGGUUUAUUGUUCAAUUCAAUAUGAGACAAAGUGACGAGUUCACACAUUAUAGCGCUGAGACGGGUCUGACCGGACCUCCAGCUGGGAAUCGGGUUUAUUGUUCAAUUCAAUAUGAGACAAAGUGACAAGUUCACACAUUAUAGCGCUGAGACGGUUCUGACCGGACCUCCAGCUGGGAAUCAGGUUUAUUGUGCAAUUCAAUAUGAGACAAAGUGACGAGUUCAUACAUUAUAGUGCUGAGACGGGUCUGACCGGACCUCCAGCUGGGAAUCGGGUUUAUUGUUCAAUUCAAUAUGAGACAAAGUGACGAGUUCAUACAUUAUAGCGCUGAGAUGGGUCGGACUGGACCUCCAGCUGAGAAUCGGGUUUUUUGUGUAAUUCAAUAUGAGACAAAGUGACGAGUUCACACAUCGCAGCUGAUCAAUAAAUGAUAAAUACUCCGUGUAAUUCUUCCAAACCGUCUCUAAAUCACACAGUGAGUCGCAUCUUGUCAUCGUGUGGUUUUGCACAAACCCUACAUAUUUCCACUUUUUGUUUGCUAUUAGUGGGGCCGAGUACCAAUCCAAAAACUAUCCUCUAAAACACAACAAAGGAAACCAAUCUUCCAUGGAAAGACUGUCUCGUGUUUUCCAGCUCAUUCCCAAUGAAAAUCUAAACAUCUUUCCUAAUUUAUCUAAUCACUUCAAUAUGAAAUCAUAUCUGUAGGUGAUUAAUCGGACUCCGAGAGUAAAUGAAUAAGGUUCCCCACUGACAGAUAUACAAAAUCUCUUCACGAGAUGAGGACUUAAUUAAUAUUGAAAUUGCGCAUUAAUAUUCAGCUUCGUUCUUUUUAGUAAAUAAUUCAGAUGGAUUUUAAUCAAAGCAACAUCAAAAUAACUCAUAUCACAUCAUGGAAUCGAAGAUGACCAAAUCUUUAAAAUAUGGUGACAUUAAAAGGAUGGUGCCUCCAUCUGUUUUGCUGUUAGAAAUGGAAUUAUUUGUCAUUAAGAGCCCUCUAUGGUAACACUUUGCUUAGCUGAUAAUUACAUACAGAAUCUGUCAAAGCUUGCUCUUUGUAACAUACAAAACAAGUACUGCUUCAAAAAUAAAAAUAUAAAAAUAAGGGCUAAAAACAGCCUGAAAAGCAGCAACACGUUUUCUAUGAAUGCGGAGAAAGUGAUUAAACAGAUUGUGGCCCGACAUUGAAUGAUACAUUGAUAUAAUGUGAAAUGUAUCGAGAUCCCUGCAUUGUAUUCACGAUCUCCGCUUUUCAAUAUUAAAGGACCACUAUAGGCACCCAGACCACUUCAGCUCAAUGAAGUGGUCUGGGUGCCAGGUCCAUUUAGGGUUAACCCUGCCGCUGUAAACAUAGCAGUUUCAGAGAAAGUGCUAUGUUUAUAAUAGGGUUAAUCCAGCCUCUAGUGGAUGUCUCACUGACAGCAUGAGGGUGGGGGGGGGACCUAUUAACACUAUAGUGCCAGGAAAACAAGUUUGUUUUCCUGGCACUAUAGUGGUCCUUUAAGGCUACAUUUAUUCACCUGUUAAGAAUGCUGACGGCAUUUACUUACAUUCAUGGUGAUGGGGAUAAAGGCUUUACAUCCUCCAAUCACCAUCACCUUGCAACAGGAUGAGGGGAAUCUAUUGAUGAGUAGAAUACAGCUUGGUGACCCCAAUACUUUCCCCUUUAACCCCUUAAGGACACAUGACAUGUGUGACAUGUCAUGAUUCCCUUUUAUUCCAGAAGUUUGGUCCUUAAGGGGUUAAUGUCACUUUAUAGUUAACACGGAAAGCCUGCAUACUUCGUUUGUCACAUUAACCUGAAACCCUGGGAGUAAAAUGAUUAGAAAAGGAGGUUUGGACUGAGAACGGGGCCAAUUAAGGCCAAAAAUGUGUAAUAUCUCUCCCCAAAGUGAAUCCUAAUGAAAUGAGAUAAGUAGUGACUAUUUCUUGGCUAAAUGGUAGGGUGCACUUAGAAAGGUAUAAAAGAACCUUCUACGCAGCGAACCGCUCAGUAUGUCCUUCUUUUAUGCUAGAAUAAUACAUGAUUUUUCAAGGAGUAAAUCUUUAAUUCUACAUUUUCUGAAAAGUACAUUUCAUUUGAAGGGAUUAGCGAAAUUCAAAUAUCUGCUCUUUAAAGUCUUCUGAAUCUUUAAAGUCACUUUGUACAGAGAUAAACCUUCUCAGCUCAACACUUUCCUCAUCACUAGAAUUUGCUAUUUGUAACAAUUAUACAGCCACGACUCCGGAACGCCGGCAUGCGAUUCUGUAUCAGAGGAUAAAAAUGUCAACGCACAGAGCAACGGAGACCAUAAAACGUUUACACACAGUAAAAAAACGCUGCUUCCAUCAAUAGAUUUAAAUAGUAAACAGUGGUAAAUCAUCCGAGUUAAUCAAAAUCUAUAAAAAAACCUCAGUCCUUUUCCUGUGUGUCCAUCAUGGAACCUACAUAUAUAUAUUUAAUGUUAACAUAACUGGGAGUAAAGGAAAUAUUCAUUUUCAUUUUGAUCUCUAUGAGCAAAAUGAUGUAAAAAGACCCAAACUGUCCUAGUUUUCCGCAGCCAUGAAUGAACAAUGUUAUUCUGUCUAGAUUGCUAUUUACAAAGUCCCUCUCCUAUAUCCGUGUACCAAGUCACAUUAACGACAUUACUAACCUGUAACCUGUUACACUAAUUGGAGAAGAAUUUGCCAAUUUAGAAAAAUAAUGCAAAUAAGUAAAAAUUUAUGGAGCAGCGCAAAGGAAAAAGAAAAGCAAGUGGGGAAGGGAAAGGGGUGAAACUAUGAGGGAGGCAGUCAGUCCUAUUAGGAAAAUACCUCUAACUUAAAUAUGUGGGAAAUCAUACAGAUACAGGGGACUGCGAUUUCCCUGUCAAUAAAUAUGGGAACCACUGAGCUGCGUACCACAACCACAUACAAAAAUAUUAAACUUUUUGUAUAAAGAUAACAACUAAACAAUAAAGGUUAAAAUAUAAUUUAUCGAUCCUUGUAAAUAUAAAAGGGAAAAGUAAAAGAAAAGAGAAAAUAAAUCAGAACCAAACCUGAUAGAUAAAUUUAAUAAUUACAAAAAAAGUAAGAAAUGUGGUCAUAAGAAGAAGGAAAACAAACCUGCCUCCUUUUUUUAAUUCCCAUAUUUGUUGGAGAGAAGUAGUAGGGGAAUAUAAAAUAUAUCAGAUGGCCGACACAGGAACAGAGCUACUCUUGGGCGCAUGAUAUGUAAAACCUCAUGGUACGAUAUUAACAGGAAUUGCAAACAUUGCUAUAGAAUAGCCUUUUAUAUACACAAGGAUCAAUAAAUUAUAUUUUAGCCUUUAUUGGUUUGUUGUCAUCUUUAUACAAAAAGUUUAAUGUUUUUAUUAGGUGAUUGUGGUAUGCAACUCAGUGGUUCACAUAUUCAUUGACAGAGAGUAUUCCUAUUUUAGGGAAAUCCCAGCCCCCUUUUUUCUGUAUAAUUUUACAAUUUUACAGUGAGUUUACCAACGCGUGUCGCAUUCUGUUUUUGUAUAUAAUGAAAUUAUAUAAGCACAUUCGUCACCUGAUAACCUGCACCUCAAUACGUAGCCCCCCCACAUGUUCAGUGUAUAUACAGGCAGUGAUAUAACGUGGAUAAGACUCCUCAGAUAUUUCCCCCUGGUGGAUGUCAUUGUGACGGAACGCUUGCACUCCGACUGAGUACCUCCGCCAAUCGAUGCUCCUAGUGCUCGCUGAGGACUCCAAGCACUCCAACCGACACCAUCAGCACUGCAGACCCCACUUCCAGCGAUGCAACUGCGCCGGGGUCUCUGCUGUUUCCACCCACCCUGGACCCAAGGCCAGAUCCAGCUUCCAGUGGGUGAACCUCUCUUUCCCCAGAGAGCAGGAACAGGAACAAAUCAAGCUAUUGCAAGAGCUUCCUCUGGGGAGUAAGUGAUUAUAGCAAUCCCCAGAGUGUAGGUAUCCCUUCCCCCAAACAUGAGCCAAGGCUUAAUGCUGGAACAAGACUGAUUUACUGGCACACAGAAAUCACAAUUUAUGCAACACAAAACUCCUCCUCUGGGCCAGGCUAGAUAAUUGAGUUUCUACAAUACACAAAGCUCAAUUAUCUGCUGGCCAGAAAUAAUACAGUUUCAUAAAACACAUCACAGGGACCCCAAAACAUGCAAUAACCCCAUAAAAAGUAUAUCCUUGGAACUGGGGGAUCUGGGUGAACCACAUCCAAAAUUCACCCAGAUCCAGUUCAGUACUUUGGAAAAUACAGUUUAAUGCAGAUUCUGCAGAACAUAUACAGGCUAAAUAAAAAACAAUCACUGUAUAAUGUGUCCCCUGCUGUAUAGUCCAAAACCACCGCACGAUGUCUCUGUGCAACAAAUACUGGCGAGAUGGCAGCGUGUUGAAAAGUCCAAACAGUGUCUGGGAGUUAAAAUGGCCAUCCAUUGUUCUCACCAUGUGCUUCUGAUACAGGAAAUGGUGGCCACCCAGUAACUCCACAGUAUGUCCCCACAUGGUUCUUAAAGGGCCAGCAGCAGCACAACACAAAUCCAUUAUGCCAAAAUCAUGUCUUUAAAGGGCAAUACAUCCCAGGGGCCAGAGGCGGGCAAGCAGUCCUCUCCAGGCAAGAGUGGCGAAGGGCACUUCGUCACACAUCUUCCCUUUGGGGGGGAAGACUAAACAGGUACCUGACCUUCUGCCGGUCAGUACCUAGAUUAGUCGGGCAGCCCACCCACAAAGAAAAAUACGCAGAGUAACCCCCCCACAAUAAAUGGUACUGGUCUGUAGGUUCAAGUUUGUAGUGGGACAGCGCAGCACUCUCGGUCUCCCUGGUGCAGCUAGGCAAACUGCUGGUGUUGCUUGGGGGGCAGAGGCCAGCGGCGCUCUGCCCUGCUGCCAGCUCUUCCACUGUGGUAACCCGUGGUAAGUCAGGCUCUGAUACAGGGGAAAUGGGGGGGCAGAGGCUAACAGAGCUCUGCCCAGAUGCCAGCUCUUCUGCUGGGGUAACCCGUGGUAAGUCAGGCUCUGAUACAGGGGAAAAGGGGGGGGCAGAGGCUAACAGAGCUCUGCCCAGAUGCCAGCUCUUCUAUCGCAGGCUCAUCCACUGCCCCCAGGACCCGGUUGGGAUGUAGCUGGGGAGGGGAAGUUUCGCUUACCUCCUCCUCCUGGCAUCCCUGCGGGGUUGGUUGGGGAUCUGGACCGCCUGUCCAGCCUCCCUGUAGGACUGGCACAGAGACCGCGGUCCCAUCUGCGCCAGUGUGGUUAGGUUUGUCUUCCCCCUCUCCCGGUAUCUCUGGCUUUUGUUGGAGGGGAGGCUGUUUGCUCCCACUCUCCAGGACGCUGGUUGCUGUAAGGUGGAGGGAUCGACCAUCACCUCCUCCUGGAACUCAGGCCGCCGCUGGGGAGAGAGACCAGUUGUCUCCUCUCCCUGUAUAUUAUACUGCCGCUGGGGACCUGGGCUGACUGUCCAGCAUCCCUGUAGGGCUGGCAGAGAGACUUUGGUCCCAUCUCCGUUUGCCAUCUCUGUGUGUCCCCAGGACAAGUCUAUGAGGUCGCCCACCUCCGGCUGCUGUUGGAGAGGGAGGCCGGUUGCCUCCCCUCCUCAGGACGCUGGUUGCUGUAAGGUGGAGGGAUCGACCAUCACCUCCUCCUGGAACUCAGGCCGCCGCUGGGGAGAGAGACCAGUUGUCUCCUCUCCCUGUAUAUUAUGCUGCCGCUGGGGACCUGGGCUGGCUGCCCAACUUUUAUCCCUGCUCAGGGCUGGCAGGGGCUUAGUCCCAUCUCGCUUGUCCCCAGGGUUUGAUAGCAGUUCACUACCUCAGGUACACUCUGGUUGGUGGAGGAAGGGAGGCCGGUUGCCUCUCCCACUCCCAGGUUGCUGGUUGCUGUAUGGGGAGGGGAUCUACCAUCACCUCCUCCUGGAACUCAAGGCUGCUUGCUGCUGGGAAGGGGUUGUCUCCCUCUCACUCUCCCCUGUGGAUACUUACUGCAGCUGGGGAUCUGGGCGGGUACACAGCAGCAUCCCUGUGGGGCAGGUGGAGAGACCUCGGUUCCAUCUCACCUGCCAUCUGUAGAUGCUUCCAGGGUUCCAUAAGAUUUGCUCACCUCUGGGGCUUUCUGGUUGGACAGAAGAGGGUAGGGUGUCCAGGUAAUCACUGGGCCGAGGGACGGUGAUUGGGCUAAGUUGAACAGGCGUCGGUAGCUCUGCUCCAGCCCCCACUCCAUUGCGACCAGAUGACUCAGGUCUGGCCCCAGGUCGUCUGCUCGGGGAAGAUCCAGCAGGGUUUCCCUGAUGCUGUGGAUGUCCCAGAACCGAAACUCUGUUUGGCAUCCAAAGUCAUCGCCCUCCUCAUAGGCCUCCCACAGUAAGCCCGGGCCAUUAUAAUCCUCUCCCUCGGGCAGAUAGUGGUUAGUCAUCGAGGGGUUGCGCUGGGUGGCGUACCACUUUAAUGCCCGGUAAGCUGCAUCUAGCCACAACUCCUUUCAAAUUAAAUCCCAGAGUUCCAACAACCAUUCAUCCAAGGGUUGCUCCCCUAGGAAAGGGGAGCGCAGGGCCUCGAGUACCUGGAACCGCUGCUCGUCACUGGGAAGGCUCUCCGCCGCCGUUGUACCUUUUCCAGGGCAUCGUGCCACAUCUGCGUACGAGUGACAUCUCUCCAGUCCAGUAUGCACUCCUCUGAUACAGGCCCGUCCUGUUGGGCCAAGUGCUGCUGCAACCUCCAGCGAAACUCCUCUUCCAUGUUGCUGUGGAUAGGGACGCUGCCUGUAGCUAGCUCUAUCCCUUGAGUUCCUCUGAAGCCAGGGUCGCUGCACAAGUGCUAGCGUUGCCCUCAAUUAUAAAUCCGUAACUCCACACGUUACCGGUGUCUCCGAGCUGCUGGUCCUCACACUAGGACGCCAUCCCACCGCUGCCACCAAAUGUGACGGAACGCUGGCACUCCGACUGAGUACCUCCGCCAAUCGAUGCUCCUAGUGCUCGCUGAGGACUCCAAGCACUCCAACCGACACCAUCAGCACUGUAGACCCCACUUCCAGCGAUGCAACUGCGCCGGGGUCUCUGCUGUUUCCACCCACCCUGGACCCAAGGCCAGGAUCCAGCUUCCAGUGGGUGAACCUCUCUUUCUCCAGAGAGCAGGAACAGGAACAAAUCAAGCUAUUGCAAGAGCUUCCUCUGGGGAGUAAGUGAUUAUAGUAAUCCCCAGAGUGUAGGUAUCCCUUCCCCCAAACAUGAGCCAAGGCUUAAUGCUGGAACAAGACUGAUUUACUGGCACACAGAACUCACAAUUUAUGCAACACAAAACUCCUCCUCUGGGCCAGGCUAGAUAAUUGAGUUUCUACAAUACACAAAGCUCAAUUAUCUGCUGGCCAGAAUAAUACAGUUUCAUAAAACACACAGGGACCCCAAAACAUGCAAUAACCCCAUAAAAAGUAUAUCCUUGGAACCGGGGGAUCUGGGUGAACCACAUAUCCAAAAUUCACCCAGAUCCGUUCAGUACUUUGGAAAAUACAGUUUAAUGCAGAUUCUGCAGAACAUUUACAGGCUAAAUGAAAAACAAUCACUGUAUAAUGUGUCCCCUGCUGUAUAGUCCAAAACCACUGCACGAUGUCUCUGUGCACCAAAUACUGGCAAGAUGGCACCGUGUUGAAAAGUCCAAACAGUGUCUGUGAGUUAAAAUGGCCGCCAUCCAUUGUUCUGACCAUGUGCUUCUGAUACAGGAAAUGGUGGCCACCCAGUAACUCCACAGUAUGUCCCCAGAUGGUUCUUAAAGGGCCAGCAGCAGCACAACACAAAUCCAUUAUGCCCAAAUCAUGUCUUUAAAGGGCAAUACAUCCCAGGGGCCAUAGUUACAGGGCAAGAGGCGGGCAAGCAGUCCUCUCAAGGCACAAGUGGUGAAGGGCACUUCGUCACACAUCUUCCCUUUGGGGGGAAGACUAAACAGGUACCUGACCUUCUGCCGGUCAGUACCUAGAUUAGUCGGGCAGCCCACCCACAAAGAAAAAUACGCAGAGUAACCCCCACACAAUAAAUGGUACUGGCCUGUAGGUUCAAGUUUGUAGUGGGACAGCGCAGCACUCUCGGUCUCCCUGGUGCAGCUAGGCAAACUGCUGGUGUUGCUUGGGGGGCAGAGGCCAGCGGCGCUCUGCCCUGCUGCCAUCUCUUCCACUGGGGUAACCCGUGGUAAGUCAGGCUCUGAUACAGGGGAAAAGGGGGGGCAGAGGCUAACAGAGCUCUGCCCAGAUGCCAGCUCUUCUGCUGGGAGGGGGUCAGUGGGUAUCGCAGGCUCAUCCACUGCCCCCAGGACCCAGUUGGGAUGUAGCUGGAGAGGGGAAGUUUCGCUUACCUCCUCCUCCUGGCAUCCCUGCGGGGUUGGUUGGGGAUCUGGACCGCCCGUCCAGCCUCCCUGUAGGACUGGCACAGAGACCGCGGUCCCAUCUGCGCCAGUGUGGUUAGGUUUGUCUUCCCCCUCUCCCGGUAUCUCUGGCUGCUGUUGGAGGAGGAGGCUGGUUGCCCCCACUCUCCAGGACGCUGGUUGCUGUAAGGUGGAGGGAUCGACCAUCACCUCCUCCUGGAACUCAGGCCGCCGCUGGGGAGAGAGACCAGUUGUCUCCUCUCCCUGUGUAUUAUACUGCCGCUGGGGACCUGGGCUGACUGCCCAGCAUCCCUGUAGGGCUGGCAGAGAGACUUCGGUCCCAUCUCCGCUUGCCAUCUCUGUGUGUCCCCAGGACAAGUCUAUGAGGUCGCCCACCUCCGGCUGCUGUUGGAGAGGGAGGCCGGUUGCCUCCCCUCCCCAGGACGCUGGUUGCUGUAAGGUGGAGGGAUCGACCAUCACCUCCUCCUGGAACUCAGGCCGCCGCUGGGGAGAGAGACCAGUUGUCUCCUCUCCCUGUAUUUUAUACUGCCGCUGGGGACCUGGGCUGACUGCCCAGCAUCCCUGUAGGGCUGGCAGAGAGACUUCGGUCCCAUCUCUGCUUGCCACCUCUGUGUGUCCCCAGGACUCGUCUAUGGGGUCCACUACCUCAGGUACCUCUGGUUGGUGGAGGAGAGGGAGGCUGGUUUCCUCCCCUCCCCAGGACGCUGGUUGCUGUAUGGGGGAGGGAUCUACCAUCACCUCCUCCUGGAACUCAGGCUGCUGCUGGGAAGGGAGACCGGUUGUCUUCUCUCCCUGUGAGAUACACUGCCGCUGGGGAUCUGGGCCGGGUACCCAGCAUCCCUGUGGGGCAGGUGGAGAGACCUCGGUUCCAUCUCCACCUGCCAUCUGUGGGUCUUCCCAGGACUGUUCCAUAAGGUUGCUCACCUCUGGGGCUGGUUGGACAGAAGAGGGUAGGGUGUCCAGGUAAUCCUCUGGGCUGAGGGGCGGUGAUUGGGCUAAGUUGAACAGGCGUCGGUAGCUCUGCUCCAGCCCCCACUCCAUUGCGACCAGAUGACUCAGGUCUGGCCCCAGGUCGUCCGCUCGGGGAAGAUCCAGCAGGUUUUCCCUGAUGUUGUGGAUGUCCCAGAACCGAAACUCUGUGGGGCAUCCAAAGUCAUCGCCCUCCUCAUAGGCCUCCCACAGUAAGCCCGGGCCAUUAUAAUCCUCUCCCUCGGGCAGAUAGUGGUUAGUCAUCGAGGGGUUGCGCUGGGUGGCGUACCACUUUAAUGCCCGGUAAGCUGCAUCUAGCCACAACUCCUUCCAAAUUAAAUCCCAGAGUUCCAACAACCAUUCAUCCAAGGGUUGCUCCCCUAGGAAAGGGGAGUGCAGGGCCUCGAGUACCUGGAACCGCUGCUCGUCACUGGGAAGGCUCUCUCCCCGCCGCCGUUGUACCUUUUCCAGGGCAUCGUGCCACAUCUCCGUACGAGUGACAUCUCUCCAGUCCAGUAUGCACUCCUCUGAUACAGGCCCGUCCUGUUGGGCCAAGUGCUGCUGCAACCUCCAGCGAAACUCCUCUUCCAUGUUGCUGUGGAUAGGGACGCUGCCCGUAGCUAGCUCUAUCCCUUGAGUUCCUCUGAAGCCAGGGUCGCUGCACAAGUGCUAGCGUUGCCCUCAAUUAUAAAUCCAUAACUCCACACGUUACCGGUGUCUCCGAGCUGCUGGUCCUCGCACUAGGACGCCAUCCCGCCGCUGCCACCAAAUGUGACGGACCGCUGGCACUCCGACUGAGUACCUCUGCCAAUCGAUGCUCCUAGUGCUCGCUGAGGACUCCAAGCACUCCAACCGACACCAUCAGCACUGCAGACCCCACUUCCAGCGAUGCAACUGCGCCGGGGUCUCUGCUGUUUCCACCCACCCUGGACCCAAGGCCAGGAUCCAGCUUCCAGUGGGUGAACCUCUCUUUCCCCAGAGAGCAGGAAAAGGAACAAAUCAAGCUAUUGCAAGAGCUUCCUCUGGGGAGUAAGUGAUUAUAGCAAUCCCUAGAGUGUAGGUAUCCCUUCCCCCAAACAUGAGCCAAGGCUUAAUGCUGGAACAAGACUGAUUUACUGGCACACAGAACUCACAAUUUAUGCAACACAAAACUCCUCCUCUGGGCCAGGCUAGAUAAAUGAGUUUCUAUAAUACACAAAGCUCAAUUAUCUGCUGGCCAGAAAUAAUACAGUUUCAUAAAACACACAGGGACCCCAAAACAUGCAAUAACCCCAUAAAAAGUAUAUCCUUGGAACCGGGGGAUCUGGGUGAACCACAUAUCCAAAAUUCACCCAGAUCCGUUCAGUACUUUUGAAAAUACAGUUUAAUGCAGAUUCUGCAGAACAUAUAAAGGCUAAAUGAAAAACAAUCACUUUAUAAUGUGUCCCCUGCUGUAUAGUCCAAAACCACUGCACGAUGUCUCUGUGCACCAAAUACUGGCGAGAUGGCACCGUGUUGAAAAGUCCAAACAGUGUCUGUGAGUUAAAAUGGCCGCUAUCCAUUGUUCUCACNNNNNNNNNNNNNNNNNNNNNNNNNNNNNNNNNNNNNNNNNNNNNNNNNNNNNNNNNNNNNNNNNNNNNNNNNNNNNNNNNNNNNNNNNNNNNNNNNNNNGCCUACAGAUCAGGGGAGUGAGGGGAGGGUUUGAGAUAGCAUAUAGAUUUUUUUGGAGGGGCAGCAGCCUCUAGAUUUGGGGCAGCAGCCUCUAGAUUUAAGGAGGCAGCAGCCUCUAGAUUUAGGGGGGCAGCCUAUAGAUUUUUGGGGUGGGGCAGCAGCCUAUAGGUGGGGGGCAGCAGCCUAUAGAUUUUGGAGGGGGCAGCAGCCUAUAGAUUUUGGGGGGCAGCAGCCUAUAGAUUUGCAGGGUGGGGGCAGCAGCCUAUAGAUUUGGGGGGGCAGCAGCCUAUAGAUUUUGGGGGCAGCAGCCUAUAGAUUUUUGGGGUGGGGCAGCAGCCUAUAGAUUUGGGGGGCAGCAGCCUAUAGAUUUUGGGGUGGGGCAGCAAGCCUAUAGAUUUGAGGCAGCAGCCUAUAUAUAGAUUUUGGAGGGCAGCAGCCUAUAGAUUUUGGGGGGGCAGCAGCCUAUAGAUUUGGGGCGGGCGGCAGCAGCCUAUAGAUUAGGGGAGUGAGGCAUGGGGGGGCAGCAGCCUAUAGAUUAGGGGAGUGAGCAUGGGGGGGCAGCCUAUAGAUUAGGGAAGUGAGCAUAGGCGUGCGCAGCCUAUUGCAUUAGGGUGUGCACCCUAAAGCACAAACACACGCCAUGUGUAUAUGUAUGUGUGUAUAUAUAUAUAUAUAUAUAUAUAUACACACACACUGCUGUGUGUGUGUGUGAGGGUGCUGUUAGUGUGCUGUGUAUACACACACACUGCUGUGUGUGUGUGUGAGGGUGCUCUUAGUGUGCUGUGUGUGAGGGUGCUGUUUGUGAGGGAACUGGUAGUGUUCUGUGUGUGUGUGUGUGUGUGUGUGUGAGAGAGAGGGUGUUUGUGUGUGCGUGUUUGUUCGGGUCCUGUUAGUGUGCUGUUUGUGUGCGGGUGUUGUGUGUUUGUCAGGGUGCUGUUUGUAUGAGAGUGUGCUGUUUGUGUGUGGGUGCUGUGUGGGUUUUGUGUGUUUGUGAGGAUGCUGUUAGUGUGCUGGGUGUGUGUGGGUGUUGUGUGUGUGUGGGUGCUGUUUGUGGGCUGUGUGUGCUGUAUGUGUGUGUGCUGUAUGUUUGGGCAGAGGUGGGGGCAGACUAGUUAAUAUCCCAGUCCUGCUGCCUUCCCUGGUGGUUCAGUGGAGAGUGAACUCUAGCCCGGGUUCUCUGCUGCCUCUCUCCAUGCUGCUGUGGACCGGUGAGGUAGAACUUUGAUCUCCCCACCGGCCCAUGGAGGCUUAGACCAGAGCCGCCGCUCGGAUAGCGUCAGCUCUGCAUGAGCUGACCGGAGAGAUCCAGAGAUCUCUCCUGCCGGUCUCAAUCCAUUGGCGUGCCGCGGGGAUUAGGGUGUGCCCAGGCACAACCGACACACCCUACACACCCCGUGCGCACCCCUAUAGAAGUGAGGGAUGGGGGAGACAGCCUACAUGCAGAGUCAGCAAGGAGCAGGAAGGUAAGGUAAUAAAAGGAGAAGGAACAGAAAUGAGCAGGAAGGGACAUCAAGGAGCAGAAAGGGGCAGCAAGGAGCUGGAAGUAACAGCAAGGAGCACAAAAGGUAAAGUAGGAGAAGGAGCACAAAGGAACAGAAAUGAACAGGAAGGGUCAGCAAGGAGCUGGAAGGUAAAGCAGCACAAAGGUAAAGUAGAAGGAGCAGAAAGGGUCAGAAAUGAGCACAAAGGUAAAGUAGGAGAAUGAGCAGGAAGGGCCUGCAAGGAGCAGGAAGGGGCAGCAAGGAGCAGAAAGGACAGCAAGGAGCAGAAAGGGACAGCAAGGAACACAAAGGUAAAGGGGCAGAAAGAAUCAGAAGGAGCACAAAGGUAAAGUAGGAGAAAGAGCAGAAAGGGACAGCAAGGAGCACAAAGGUAAAGUAGAAACGGGAGCAGAAAGGGACAGCAAGGAGCACAAAGGUAAAGAAGAAAAGGGAGCAGAAAGGGUCUGCAAGGAGCAGAAAGGGAUCAGAAUGAGAAAGGAGCAGAAGGGCACAAAAUAUACAGAAAGUAGCAGAAAGGUAAAAGAGCAGAAGGGGCCAAGGAUAGAAAACAGUGUCAGAAGAAAAAAAAAGACUGUCAAAUGAAGGAGAGGAAAAGGAGAUUGGAGCAGGAAGGACAAAUGAAGUGAACCCUCCACUUUAUUCUGGACACCACAUCAUAAGGCUUUGGUACCUGGGCCAGGCAGGGAAACGCUGGACCUUCUCAUCUCCAAAGGUAAAAAAAUAUCAGUAUUAAUGUGUUCACUUUUAUUUACUGAGUGUCAGGAAGCACAGAGUGCCGUUGGGUAGGGGUGUUGCUGAUUGGCUAGAGCGGUCAGCUGGCACUCUAAGCCAAUCAGUAGCUCCCCAUUCAUAAAAAAGUAAAAAUAUUUUAUGAACCGGGAACUAGCGAUUGGCUUAGAGCGUCAACUGUCCACUCUAGCCAAUCAGCGGCACCCAUGCCUGACGUCAAUCUGCACUUCCUGACACUCUGUUUCAGAAGCCAAAUACCAAUGAGACCUGGAGCUGGAGGAAGCCUUUGGGGUUAAACCAUUUGAGAGCGAUUUAACCCCUUAAAGGAAAGUGAGCACCCAGGGGCUUCCUGGCAUCAUAGCAUUUUCAUUUAGGUGAAGUUGUUAUGGUGACCAGAAUGGUCCUUUAAUUUGCUUAAAGGAACACUAUAGUGUCAGGAAUACAAACAUAUAUUCCUGACACCAUAGUUGUGAAAACGCUAUUCACCCUGGCUUUAUGUGAUAAUGGCUAUGCCCCUUCCCUUUCAUGACACUGUCAAAAAGGUACCAAGCAUGGAUGUCAUUACAAUUAUGCCCCCCCCUGGAAAAAUUCCUGCGGACGCCCAUGGCCGUAUCCUCCUUGUAACUCCUACAUAGAGCAUAUAGUGGAUACAUAUACUGAGGCCGUGUCCUUAUAGUAACUCAUACCUAGAGCAUUUACUGGACACACUCUGUUAAUAUGUUAGAGCAUAAAGUGAAAACACACCGAUGCUGUACCACGUCCAGAUCAUGUAUGGAUACUGAGGCCCCGUGGUCUCAUAUGCAGUAUAUUCCUCCACUCUCUGGAAAAGCCUGCUUAUUUGUGAUAAUGCACAGAUAACAGCAAUCAAUGCCACAUAUCUUGAUAGGAACAAGUGUGUGUGUGGACUUUAAAAUCAUAUACAUGUGAGUACUUCAGUCACCCAGGGAAGUUCUCUUACCUUGGAUAUUUCUUCAGGACUGUGAAAUUCCAGCAGACUUUAUACAGCCAGGAUAUCCAUUAUUAGCACUCUUUUUCACAAUGCCUUAUUGCAUCAUAAGCACUCUUUUGCACAAUGCCUCCUUGCAUUAUCAGCACUCUUUUGUACCAAGCAUCCUUUCGUGUAUAACUUACCUAAAUGUUCACCACACAAACCUCCUAAAUGUGACCUAUUUGUUAGAAGGAAGCCUAAUGUAAGCCGCUGGGAGGGACUGAAAGAACAGAGACCCAGGUGCCUAUACUAGUUUUAAUCUAAUUACUAAUGCACUUACUUGAACAGCUGCAGGCCUGUGUUUCAACAGCAAAAUGGGGAUUUGAACAACUGACAGCCUAAACUGUUUAAACUAUAGGCUUCCAUCUGUACCCCAUAUGCAGUCCAUCAUCACCAGUGGGAGGAGGUUUAACCAACCCCAUACAAGGUGGAACACCAAGAAUAGGUAUACCCAGGUAGUCACCUUAUGGAAGUGCUGUUUACUGGGUCUUCAAAAAUAAAGGCUUAGACUCGGCUGGGCCUCAUGUAUGCAGUGGACCGCUGUCAUCCCCUCAGGGAGAGAGAUAGGUCAGACUCCUGAUUGCUGAAGGAGGUACCCAGGCUGGCAACUGUUACAGAUGUGCUGUUUGCUGGGUCUUCAGGGAUAAGAGGCUGAACCCUGGCCUGGUAUUAUGUAGGCAAUAUAUCACAUUCAUCCCCUGGCUGGGUACCCAAGCUGAGCUGUUGCUGGGUCUUCAGGGAUAAGAGGCUGAACCCAGGCCUGGCUUCCUGUAGGCAGCAUAUCACAUUCAUCCCCUUAGGGAGUACCCAAGCUGGCCUGUUGCUGGGUCUUCAGGGAUAAGAGGCUGAACCCUGGCAUGCAGUGGACCAUUUUCAUCCCUUAAGGGAGAGGUUGGGUCCAACCCCCGGUCACUAAAGGGGGUACCCAGGUUUGCAGUAUUAACAAUAGUGCGUUGCUGGGUCUUCAGGGCUUAGAGGCUGAACCCCGGCAGGGCUACAAAAAUAUUGCCUGGUGAGCAUAAAAGAAAAUCUAGGCCUGCUUAAGCAGACUCCUUCCAAACUGCUGUGAAGGACAGGAAAAAAGACUGCCUGAUGGGAAGGGGGAGGAUCUAUUUAUACCAGUUUCAGAGUUCUAUUUCCUGUCCUUUCUGCUGUGAGGGGAGGAGCUAACCCAUGAGUAAAUGCUGCCAUGAAUAAUGUCAGGAAAAAAGUAUUAAAUAAAUAAAAUAGCCGUACUCACACUUUCCAGAGCUAGAUCCCAGCUCUGGUAUUCAGCGCGCGAAGUGGAACAAUCCCCACUCAAGGAUAUACAAAGAGAUGUUUGAUUGGAGAGUAUCUGGCCCAGAUUCCGUAUUCGAAUAAAUGUUAUUCAACCCAAAAUGAGAGAAUAAAUAUAGUGCUCUCUAUAUACAAUAAAGCAGAGGAAUGUAAAGUAAAAUACUUACAUUCUAUAGAGCAGAUCUAUACUGCUCAGUAUAAGCGCCUAGGUGGUGUAAUCCCCACCUGUGGAUUCUUUGAGUUCCUUGUAGGUGUAGAUCAGGUGCACAAAUGAAAUAAAUUAUUCAAUAUAUAAUAUAAAAAGAAUAAAUGAAAAAAUGGCUAUAAAAUAAUCUAUGCCAAAUUAAAUUCUUUAUUAUAAAGUGAUUAAAAUAAUAUCUAUACGCGUUUCGCCUUAGAAGGCUUCAUCAAGUAGAUAAUAAUAAAAGGAGGGCACACCUGACAUACAGAGGUUUAUAUAACAUACAAUACUGUUAAGAGCCUACAUACCACCUCCGUCAGUACCCUCAAUUGAAUACUUUUUUUUUUUUCUCCCACUGGAGUGGGAGGAGUUUGCCGUUACUGCUGGAGAGGGAGCUGCUCUGUGCUUCAUCUGUGUGUUCCCAGGACCACACCCGUUUGUGGCUGCUUUGGAGCUCGAUUUCUGGGCUUUGGAAUUACUACAGCAAGGGGCUCUGCCUGGGCCUAGGCAAGCAUGGCCCUCGGGCCUUCCUCCCCAGCCUGGGGAUGGAAGGUCAGGCUGGACGAGCUGCAGGCAGUGCUGGCUUUUGGGGAAGGUAAGGCGGAUACCAGGGGCCUGUCUUGGACUGAGCAUCAGGCCCUCUCCCGGCAAAUACGAAACCAGGUCUCCCUGUUGGAGGAACUGGCGGGGGGGAUGUCUAGGAAGCUUACAGCAUGGAAAAGGGAAGUGGGGGUCCCCCAGGGAGCUACGGCCCACACCAGGGCCGAUAUCCAGCUGCUCUCUGGGCUGCUGGCUGAGUGCCGUGAACUUGCCAGCAGUGGCCUCCACUUCCUAGAACAGCCCCCCCCGUCCCUGGAGGUGGGAGAGGGUACCGAGGAGGAGGUAGUCCCUGAGACCCCCCCUGAGGUGGCUAGUGCCAGCAGGGCCCCUCAGGCCUCCCUCACCUAUGCUGAGGCUGCAAAGGGUGAGGGGGUUGAGGCUAGGGUCUUUAUGGGGCUACCUUCUGACAGGCUCCGGGGUCUGCUUGUGUCCCUGAAGGCCCAGCAUGCCGAGGCAGACUCGGGCCUAGCUGGGGUCCAGGCAGAGCUAAGGGAGCAGAGGGAAAAAUCAAACAGGACCUCUAAUUACAAAAGAGGUCCUUUGAGGGCCGCUAUAGCUGAGAAAAAAUUAGUGGAGCAGCAUCUAUCCUACACCCUGCUCCAGACUGAAAAGAAAAUAGCAGACAUCCAGGCCAUCCUGCAACAGAGAGCCAAGGACGCUGCGAGGUCCAGGAGGCAGAGGGCUAUGGAGGGCAGGAGGGACAUGUCCCCAGGUGAGGAGUCCAGCAAGGACUUGGAUUCCAACUCCCAUCACUCACCUGGGGAGCCGUCUACCUCUGCCCUUGCUACUCCAGAGGGCGCUGCUGAGACGGAGAGGAAGGCCAGAGAGAAGGACAGUGAAGAGGAGAGGGACGGAGAGAAAGGUGAAGAGUGGCAGCUGAAAGUGCAGGACAGAGGUCGAGGGCUGAUUAAGGAGUCUCUCCUCAAGUUUGGAAACGAACUUGGGGAGGACUCCGUAAAGGACAAAAAGAAGAAAAAGAAAAACAUCGCCCGGCGUCAGCCUGAGACCUCUGUCAGGGGGUCUGGAGAUUCCACAGAGGAGGGUGAGUGCUCAAAUGCUGAGUAUAUGUACAAUGAUGAUGUUCAGGCCUUGCAGAAGCCUGGGGCCAGGGAUACUAACCCUGCAGGUGGCAACACCUGUAUGCCCCAGAAACCUGCACAACCUGCCUCUGUGGAAGUAUCUGGGCCCCCCGCCGCCCUCCAUGGUGACAGGGACACCAUCCCCGCCGGUACUAUGGCGUGUACCGGUGAUCCCAUGGAGGGGUCCUUCCAUUGCUCCCUUCCCACUCCCUCCCUUACCUGCCUUCCCUCUGACCUUCCUCUCCGUGUGGUUGCGUCCCCUGGAGUGGCUGGUACCUCUGCCUCCUGUCCUCAGGCGGCUGCUGGGCAGGAUGGCACUGGAUGGAGCAGUCUGGAGCAGGGUGAUGGCCCUCCUUUUCCCUCUGCUCCCUUGGAGCAAGCUCGACUGCUCUCCCCUACCAGCAAGUCUCCUCCCCUGUUUGUCUUCCAGUCUGUUCCCCCUGCUUCCCUAUGUAUUCCCCUUAUGUCUGCAUGUGUAACCAGUCCCCCUGUUGUUCCUGUUGUUCCUGGUGCCGCGGGUGCCGCGGGUGCCGCGGGUGCCGCGGGUGCCGCUGGCGCUAUGGAAGACAGGACUGCAGGGGACUCCCAUCAUCCUCAGCCAGCAGUCCAUACUGAGGAAACCGCCAGUGGAGGUAAGAAAAGUAUGACUAACAUUGUGUUUGACUCCACUGGUGGUUUAGGGAUGGCUGAGGAGGAUGGGAGUAUGGAUGUAACUGUAAAUGUAAUGAUGGGACCUAUUGGCCUUAGUAAAAAGGUCCACAGCCAGCCUGUUUGUAUUAAUGAUGUUGCCCCUGCCCCUGGUGGUGUUACCCCUGCCCCCGGUACUAUUGCCCCUGGUGUUGUUGCCCCUGCCCCUGGUGUUGUUGCCCCUGCCUCUGGUUAUGUUGCCCCUGCCCCCGGUACUGUUUCCCCUGCCCCUGGUACUGUUUCCCCUGCCCCUGAUUAUGUUGCCCCCGCCUCAGGUUAUGUUGCCCCUGCCCCUGGUUCACUGGAGUUAGUUGGUACACAGGUGGCGGGCACGAGCACAGGCACAGGCACCCUGACAAAGGGUGCCGCGGUUAUAAAUAGUUUAGACGCACAAGUAGGUACACGGGUUCCCCUUAGGCACUCCCAGGUUGUCACCCAGGGUUCUGGUGUGACCGAGGCCUCUGGUUCAGCGAGGGGAGUCCGUCCGAAUCAUUCCCAGACGGCGGGUCCCGGUGCGCCCAAUGCUUGGGCAUCUGGGCCACCUCGCCUCUCUGCGGACGGGCCUGCUACGCGUCCUCAGGUUUCCUUUGGGAACAGGAGGAACGUGGUACGGCUCAUCUGUGGGGGUGAGACCCAGGUGCCUGACAGACGGUGGCUGGUGACCCGGCUAAAGGAUAUGGGAUUUGCGCCCGUGGACCUGUACGCGCUCAUCCAUGCCUCGGGCACCCGGGAGUUCGACGUCUCCUUUAUGACGUCGCAGCUCCUGGAUCGCUUCUGGGCUGGGUGGGAAGCGGCCAGGUCUGCACAGGGUACAAAGUGGGCAGGAUUCACCGCUGUGGCCAUUUCUCGCAGGGUCUUAAGAAGGUCACUUUCCUGGUGAGAAAUGAAUCCAUCCCCAUAGCAGACAUCCUUGUUUGGACUAAGAGGUUUGGGGAUGUUAAAUCCCCCCCUGUUAAGAUCUUAGAUGAGGAUGGGAUUUGGACAGGCGGAUGGACUGUUUCAGUGUUGCUGCGGGAGAUUCGAGGUGUCACACAGCAUAUGCCUAAUAGUUUUUUCAUCGGGGCUGACCGGGUAUCCUGUUUUUACCCUGGUCAGCCCAGGGUAUGUCACAAGUGCGGAUCGUACAGGCAUUACAGCAAUGCCUGUACGGUCCUCAAAUGCACUAUGUGCGGCGCUGUGGGGCACCUCCGGGACAGCUGCAGGGAGAUCCGGUGUCUUCUGUGUUCAGAGAUGGGUCACACGUACCGCACCUGCCCCGAAGCCCAGCACAAUGUAGAGUCCAUCUGGAGUCAGGAGCCGGUGGAGAUGGACUCUGCUUGGUUAGGGGUUCAGGUAGCAUCGUCAUCUACAAGGCCCAUCUCUGGCACAGGGGUUUCCCUGCCCCAGCAACAACCCAUCCUCCCUCGGUCUCUGUAACAUCUCAGGACCCUGGGAAGGCCACAAGUUCACGUCCCCUCACGAAAAGUGUACGUAGAGAACGCACUACCUCCACAGCCAUUAUGGCUCCCCCUAGACCCCCUCCCCCUAGGCCCCCCCCUCCUAAAUUCUCCACGGUGAAGGUUACCCCCACUGAAAAGUCCCCAGAUGCACGUCCCUUAGAUGCACAGUCCCUAGAGUGGAGCACGGUGAAAGGUAAGAAACCCCCCCCCUCCAAGACCUCGACGCUGCCCUCACCCCGGAAGAUCGCCAUACCCCCUGCGGCGAAACCCCCGAAAGGGGGAGACGCCACUUAUAAGGGUGGUGUGGCACGGGCGUCAUCCUCCUCUUCGGGCUUGCAGGAGGCCCCGGUGCCCGUAUCUAACAGGUACGAGGCACUGUCCUCCAGCUGGGCCGACUGUGAGUACGAGGAGGAGAUGGCGAACCUCCCCGAGGUGGUGGCAGGGGUUGAGGUGGGACAGGAGGUGCUUCUGAGAGACGACGGGCCACUGUAUCCCGGAGUCUCAGUGAAGAGGUUCCUCGGUUCCGACACGGAGGAGGAGGGGUACCGCAGAAGGAAGGGAAAGUCUCCUUAUACUUAAUGCCCUUAUGGCGACUUUUCCUGUACUCUCUGUGGCUACGGUGAAUGUAAACAGCAUUAAGUCCAGCAGGGCCCGCUUUUUGGUUUACGACCACCUCAGCCGGGCUCCGUACAAUGUCAUCUUGGUACAGGAGACCCGGCUGGAAACCCUCGCGGCCCUGCACGCUGCAAAGCGGGACUGGAGAUGGGGGCCCUCCUACUUCUCUCUAGCCACAGAGAGAUAUGGGGGAAUCGCCAUCCUAUUUAAGGACGUUGAUGUUAGCAUCAACAGGGUUAUUGAGUUGCAAAAAGGACGGUGUGUGGUUUUAGAUGUCUCAAUGGGCAGGCAACCUUUCAGGAUAAUUAAUAUCUAUGGCCCCCAAUCUAAGUGGGAGAGGAAGCGCCUGUUUAUUGAGAUAGAGCCUUACCUUUAUACAUCCCAGCAAAUCCUGUUUGGCGGUGACUUUAACACCAUAACUAGGCCUCAAGACAGGAGAGACGCCACUCAGAGGCUGGGGUAUGACUCCUAUUUUUUAAAUAAGAUGGUUAGUCAGGCUGGAUUGGUCGAUGUGUACCUUCAUCACACUCCCAAUCCCACGGGUGGGUACACUUAUCACAGAGGUAGCUGUCAGAGUAGGAUAGAUAGGUUUUUCUUUAAGGAGAAUUUCCCGGUGGCGGCACCCGUGCUUACACCGGUGGAGUUCUCCGACCAUCACAUUUUGUCUUGCGAGUUGAACGUCUAUAGUACCCCACCUAAGGGUAGAGGGAUCUGGCGGCUAAAUUCAGACCUCCUGGUGGAACAGAGGGUUCAGCAAGCCUUCAUGGAAUUCUUUCAUGAUCAGAUGACAUUGGCCGACUUAGGCCAAACGAAGUCUGAGUGGUGGGAGAUGGUGAAGGCCAGAACUCAACGGCUGUUUCACAAUCUCGCCCGGAACAUGCAGUCCUCCAGGUACAAGAUGUAUCUGGGCUUGCUUGGGAGGUUAGACAUCCUGAUCUCGCAGGGAGGUGACCCCGAGGACAUUGCGGCAGUUAAAAACCUGAUGAGGAGUUAUCAGUAUGACAGGUACGCCUCCCUUGUAAAAGAGAGGGAUCAUGGGUCAUACCGCUCGCCCGAUCCUUAUCUUAGCUGCAAGCGGAAGGAAGGUACCAAGUCCAUCCCUAGUCUGCGGGGCACCGACGGGACCCUAGAGGAGUCUCCUCGCGGGAUUCUGAAGGUGGUCCGCGACUACUAUAUUGAGCUCCUCGGAAAGGGCAGCCCCCAAUGUAGCGAGGAGGGAACCUCCCACGGGAGAAGGGUGGAUGACUUCUUGAGCGAGCUCACGCUCCCUGAGCAUAGCGACCUCUCUUUUGACGAGUUGGUCAGCGAGAUCACCAUAGAAGAGGUCACAGAGAGUAUCCAACAGCAGAACAAGUGUAAGUCGCCAGGUCCUGAUGGUCUGACGGCCGAGUUUUACCAACAGUUCUGCGACCUCUUGGCCCCUCAUCUGACCGAGGUGUUUAAUGAGAGCUUGGCUCAAGGAUUGCCACCCUCGAUGAGGACUUCUGCCCUGAUCUUGCUGUCCAAGCCGAACGUGCUCGACACAGCGGAUGUGGGGAACUGGCGCCCCAUAUCCCUGUUAAAUGUCGACAGGAAGGUCCUGGCAAAGAUUUUGAUGAAACGAGUACAGGGCCUAGCGAGGCGUGUCCUAUCCACCUCCCAGUACUGUUCAAUCGAGGGCAGAACUGUCUUUGAUGCCGUUUUCGAAGUCAGGGAAGCCCUCGAGAAGUGCAGGGACGGAGAAAGGGGGAUAUACCUUCUGGCACUUGAUCAGUCCAAAGCUUUUGAUCGAGUAGAUCACCGUUAUCUGUGGUCAGUCUUGCGGAAGUAUGGCUUGCCGGGAAAAUUCGUCAAUUGGAUAAUCACCUUGUACAGAGGGGCCGAAAGCUUCGCUCUUGUGAACGGGUGGAGGGGCAGGACGCUUAGGAUCCGAUCCGGGGUCAGGCAAGGCUGUCCUCUCAGCCCACUCUUGUACGUGUUUGCAGUCGAUCCCUUCAUCCGAAGGGUCGAGGCAGGCACGUUACAGGGAGUGGCCAGGGCUCCAGAGAGGCCUUUACGGGUUGUUGCCUACGCUGAUGACAUCUCCAUAGUGGUCUCCAAUACUCGGGAGGCCACGGAGGUGGAUGAUUUAAUCCUAGCGUAUUCUGCCGCUUCAGCCUCUCGUGUCAACAGGGACAAGAGCGUAGUUUUCUGGUGCGGGAAGGAGGGGGACCAGUUCCCUCUUCCAGACGGUUUCCCGAGGGCCCAGCCUGAAAUUAAGAUCUUGGGGGUGGUGUUCGGACCAGGGGAUCUGGCUCUCAGGAACUGGACCGAACGGCUUGCCAUAGCUUCUAGCAAGGUGGAGGAGAGCCACAGGUGGAAACUGACGUUCAGAGAACGGGUGAACCUAAUCAAAACCUAUGUUCUGACCGUAUUCGGCUACGUCAGUAACAUCUUCCUUUUUCCCAGGUCCCUCCACGCUCGGAUGUUUGCGCUGUUCUUCCGCAUGUUGUGGGGGAACAGGCUGAACCUCAUCAAAAGAGAGGUCACUUACCUGGCCAGAAAGGACGGGGGUCUGGCCAUGGUCAACCCCAUCGUCUUUUUAACUAACAACUUCCUGAAAAGGAACUUUGGGGCUCUCCUGAAGGAUGAGCAGCCUGGCUGGGUAUGUAUAUUCAGGGAGUGGGUCACACCUUUCCUGGUGGACUGGUUUCAGGGUGGGAGGAUGAAGAGCAUGAGAGUUCGGCAUUCUUCCGUCUUCGGUCAUCGAGGGAGUGGGAAUUCUGCGCAGGUGGAACGUCACGGUGGAGGAGGUUCGGGACACUCCCAAGAAGCUUCUCGACGGGAGGGUCCUGGCCACCCACUUUGGCAUUCAGCUUGCUUUGAAGGACUGCCCGCCAAGUACUCUCGCCUCGGGGUUGAAAAACAUCAACUCCAGGCGCCUUCCGGAGAAAUACCGAGACGUGGCGUUUCUCUCCUUCCACGGUAGACUUUACGUUCGAGGGAACUUGAAGUACAGGAACAUAACGGAUCGCGGUUGUCCUCGGGUGGAAUGUUCCGGGGAAGUGGAGUCCAUGGACCACUUCCUCCUCGAGUGCCCCUUUAACGUACAGGUCUACAAAGAGGUCUCAGCCGCCUUAGGCAUCCCCUGCUUAUCCCGCUGGACUUAUGCGGAGUGGGCGUACGGGACGUCCAACUCAAGGGGGAGGGCUUUUGAUUUGGGCACUCUUUAUGUAGUCAGUUCAGUGGUUAAGUAUUUCACUUGGAUGGCAAGGUGUCAGGUUUCCCUUCAACGUAAAGACCUUUCCUGUCAGGUGGUGGUAGCAGACAUUCUGAGGGCGGUUCGUGGGAUCUAUACCACCGAAAGGGCCUCUAUGGAUCCCACCAUUUGGCAGCGUUUGUGGCGAAAUCUCAAGGUCCACCCGCCUUGAACCGCUCCAUGGGCGCCCUUGUCUUGGUGAAGGGAAUUCCAAAUCUGUCUUCACCUUUCCCCCGUAGAUUUUGAACUGGUUUUUCUUUUCAUGGAAGGCUGCCACCUUUAGCAGACGAGUACCUUCCUCUGCGUCUAGGUAGUGCAGUGUAGUUAGGUUAUGGUUAUGCACAGGUUAUUUUUGGUAUUGUUUGGGUUAGGGUGGGUUUCUGGUGUAUGGACAAAUUGAAAAAUUUACUUUGGGUGGGGAGAAAAAAACAAAAAAAAACAAAAACAAAACACUGGGUUUCUUUAUAGACGGAGGGAUGGACUCCUUGAGGGUGGUGUACAAACUGGAUUUCAUGUGGGUGGUGGGUCUAUGGACAAAAUUUUGAUUUCAUGUGGGUGGUGGGUUUGGAUGUAAUGAACUGAGAAAAGGACUCCAUUUGGGUGGUGGGUUUGGGGGAUGGACGGAGGGAUAGACUCCAUGAGGGUGGUGGGUUUUAUGAAUUGAAAAUGGACUCCAUUUGGGUGGUGGGUUUGGGUUUAAAGUUUGGGUUUAAAGUGUAGGUGGUGGGUUGGUGUUGAUGGACGGAGGGAUGGACUCCAUGUGGUUGGUGGGUUUUAUGAACUGAGAAAAGGACUCCAUGUGGGUAAUGGGUUUGUUUAUGUUUAUGUGUGUAUUUUAUUUCACGCUUGGUUUGUUUGUGUUUAGCUGGCUGUGGACUCGAGGUCAAUUGGGUCCCCCCUUGUCCCCCCCUUGUUAUGUAAGAGCUCCUUCAGGAGCAUUUCAGCCUUUUUUCUCCCUCCCCAAGGCUCCAUGAAGUAAUGGAGCCCCCCGCCUUUUAAUUUAUCCAUUUAUGAUUUAGUUCCUCCCCCUUUUCUGUUAAUCCCUCUCCCUGUUAUUCACAGUUAUUUAAUUUGGUAUAAGUUUACUCCCCUAUUAGUGCCCUUCCUGAGUUUUUAUUUCGGUAUUUAUGUUUAAUUUUGGGGUAUUUAUGUUUCAUUUGGUAUUAUGUUUGAAUUGGGUAUUAUUUCAGUUGAUUGUUUAUUAUUGUUAUUUUGUUAUUUAUUUUGUUCUGUUUAAUUUUGGAAGCAUUUUACAAAACUAAAUAAAAUAAAAUAUUCCAGUUCAGGAGUUGGAGUGCUAUUUUGUAUCCAGUUCGGGAGUCUGGUGUUCUGCAGUAGCUGUGCCUGUAUCUCUGGAAAGGGGGCCGAUCGCCUAAACGGUUUUUACCCCUUGUGUGCAAAACGGUCCGUUACAAUUAUGCUGCAUCGCGAUUCCCCACUACGUACAUACAUGCCAUAUGAUUUACAAUUGAUGACAAUUCGGGAGACUGAACGCACCCAUUGGCAAAAGAGCUGAAAAUGUCUAAUUUGUGAUUAUUUCAUAAUUAUAUAAAUUAUUUUGAAUCUGAAAUCAAGGCUUAUAUUACAUUAAAAAGUAAACACUGUGGCAGACCGCCUGGCACCCCGACUGGGUGCCUCCGCCAAUCGAUGCUUCCUAGUGCUCACGAGAACUCCAAGUACUCCACCAGACACCAUAACCACCAUAAAACUCGCUGCCAGCAUUACAGCUUGGUUGGGGUCUCGCUGUCCUUCACCCACGCUGGACCCAGGACCAGGAUCCAACUUCCAGUGGGUAGACCUCUUCCAAUCCAGAGAGUAUAGCAGGAUAGCUCUUACAAGAGCUAGUGAUUAUUCCUGCGGUGUUGGUUGGGGAUCUGGACCAGCUGUCCAGCAUCCCUGUAGGUCUGGUGCAGAGACCGGUUGUCUCCCCUCCCUGCAGGAUACACUGCCGCUGGGGAGGGAGGAUGAUGCUCUCCUCUCCCUGUUACUCUGUCUGCCGCUUGGGGAGAGAGACCGGUUGUCUCCUCUCCCUGUCGCCGGGGAGAGAGACCGGUCAUCUCCACUCCCUGUAGGAUGCACUGCCGCUGGGGAGAGAGACCAGUUGUCUCCUCUCCCUGUGGGAUGCACUGCCACUGGGGAGAGAGACCGGUUGUCUCCUCUCCCUGAAGGGUGCAUCUGCCACUGGGGAGAGAGAGUGGUUGUCUCCUCUCCCUGUAUGGUACACUGCCACUGGGAACUGUCCUUACUCCCUGCAUAUGUCCUUUGUUCUUGGAUGGCCCCAAUAUCGUGUAUAGCUUGAGCUCGUAAAGCUGCGCCGCUUGGUUAUCAUCGUCCAGAUCAUGGUUGCCAUGAUCAUCUCCGCCGAAGGAUCCGGGCCAUACCUUGUUAGCCGCCUCUUUACCUCAUCAAUGUAGGCGGCGCCCUCAUAGUGAUAUGUCAUGUUUGCUUGGCCCGUACUCUGGGCCACUAGCACUUCAAUCCACGCCUCUUAGAUUACUCUGUAGACAGGGGCACUGCACGAGUGCUAGCGUUGCCCUCAAUUCUCCUGAGUUCCUCUGUAGACCGGGACGCUGCACGGUAGCUAGCUCUAUCCCUUCUCCCGAGUUCCUCUGUAGACAGGGGCGCUGCAUGAGUGCUAGCGUUGCCAUCAAUUAUAGAUCCAUACGAUACUGGUGUCUGCGAGCUGCUUAUCCUCACACUAGGCAGCCAUCCCACCGCUGCCACUAAAUGUGACGGACUGGCUGGCACUCCGACCGAGUGCCUCCACCAAUCGAUGCUCCUAGUGCUUUCCGAGGGCUCCAAGCACUCCACCAGACACCAUAAGCACUGUAGACCCCACAAACCGCCGCAGCUUGGUUGGGGUCUCGCCGUCCUCCACCCAACCUCGACCCAAGACUAGGAUCCAGCUCCCAGUGGGUAGACCUCUCCUACUCCAGAGAGCGUAGCAGGAACAACUCUAAGAAGAGCUAGAGAUUAUACUCAGGGGAGUAUAGUGAUUAUAGCAAUCCCCAGAAUGUAGUUCUCCAAUCCCUCAAACAUGAGCCAAGACUUCAUGAAGGGGUAAAGCAUCUCAUUUAAUGGGAGCCACAGCUGGCCUUUUAUGCAAGUCCCCAUGAAAGGGAACACCCACGUGGACCUUGUGUGGGACAGGAUGACAAUUUUAUAGAAUGGGAACUGGAGCAGGAUACCAGAACCUAAGAGAAACAGUUCAGCACCAGACAGCGUUACCGGGAGUCGAGUAUGGGUUAAAGGGAGAAGAGACAACUGGUCUCUCUCCCCAGCGGCAGCCGGAGUUACAGGGGGAGGAGAUGGUUGGUCCCUCUAUCCUGCAGCAGAAAGCAUCCUGGGGAGCGGAGGCAGCUGGCCUCACCCUCCAGCAGCAGCCAGAGGUACCCGAAUGGACGAAUGACAUUUUUAUGUAGUAUGAAUUCAUUUGUACAAAAUGAAAAUUUCACUGGUGCACAGUGAUGUAGAAUGGUCUAGUAAUCUCUUUUAGACAGUAUGUGGGGUAUAAACCACCAAACGAUCUUCAAUCAUAUAUGAAAUAUUCCUGACCACAACAAUCAAACAGCCGAGUCCAACCAAGGCAGCGUAUGGACUAGGGCAGUAAAAGGGCACCUCACCUGAAGUCUUUACCUUACUAGGAUACUUGGAGAGAGGUCAAUUUGAACAAGUUGAGUUUAAGGAAGUGAGCAGCCAUCCAGUUAGAAAUAGCAGAGAGGCAGUCAGAGACAAUAGUCAAGAGGGGCUGGGAGAGAUCAGGGGAGGAUAGAUAGAUUUUUGUGUCAUCCGCAAAGAAAUGAUAUUGGAAGCCAAAGGAACUGAUGAGUUUACCAAGGCAGGCAGAGAACAGUAGGGUAUCAAGGACUGAACCUUGGGGGACACCAACAGAGAGAGGUUAGGAGGAAGAGGCAGAGCCAGAGCAAGAGGCACUAAAAGAUCGCUGGGUGAGGUAGGAAGAGCACCAGGAGAGAGCAAUAUCUCGUAGACCGAGAUUACGGAGGAUGAGAAGAAGCUGUUUAUGAUCAACAGUAUCAAAAGCAGCGGAAAGGUCAAGGAGAAUUAGGAUAGAGUAGUUAGCAUGAGAUUUUGCAGCGAGUAGAUCACAAAAAACCCCACUCUUGACAUCCUUAAUAUCUUUAAAUUAUGUCACUCCCUUUCCAAACUUCAGCUCCAGCCAUUGUAUCUGACUUGUUGGGGUGACAACAUCUGGCCGAGCUCCACCAGACACUCCAUGGCAGCUUUAAAUGAAAUAUAAAAUGCAAUCACCGGAAAAUGAAUAUUUGCUCUCUGUGUGACGAGUGCUCAGACACUUAACCUGAAGGUACACAAAGGUUUAAAAUAAUCUUUUUGUUCUGUUCUUCAUAAAGGAAAAAAAAUAAGCUUUUGAAAAGCAAUUAUGAAUAUGUUGUUGCCAUGGAAACAUUCCCUAUACUUCAACCAUUUCAUAAAUCUCUGUGAAAGAAUUUUGUGAAAUGUUUAAAGUGUCUCCUGACCUUUCAGAUUCCCAUUGAUAUCGAAACAGUCACCUUCUAGUCCAUUAAAACAGGGUGCAAGAGAGUACUGAGUUCAAAUAGUUUCUCCUUCGGUGGGUCCUGCUGACAUCUCCAGCUGGUUUUAGCUCAUCUUGUGCCAUUAAGAGAGAACCUAAACUAUUUGUAUGUCAGACUUAUCCCACCCAAACGGUCAGUCCAUAACCAAAUGCCGACUGGCUCGCUCUGAAUGUUUCAGCCUUGUUAGGCCUCUUCAGGGGGGUAUAGCACACAUUCUGCAUGCACUGUGAGCAAGGGGUCCACCAUUUAUCUUCAUGAGAGCAAAAAAACACAGUGCAAGAGAAUACAUAGAAUGGCCAAUGGCUCACAUAGCUUGUCCAUCGGUGGGAUCAGGGGAUAAUGGUCUAGGUUCUCUCUGUUUGAGCUACAACCAACUGAGCAGGGCCCUAUCGUGGGGCAAGCUACAUUGUCCAUUGUCAAUAUCCUAUAAAAACUAUAUAUUUAUAUAUUUAAUGAAUACGUAAUAUGUAAANNNNNNNNNNNNNNNNNNNNNNNNNNNNNNNNNNNNNNNNNNNNNNNNNNNNNNNNNNNNNNNNNNNNNNNNNNNNNNNNNNNNNNNNNNNNNNNNNNNNUGGAGUUUCUUUAUUGCUCUUCCUAUUUAUAUGGAUAUAUAAAUGGAUACUAAAUGUCCUGUUAUAAUAAUUUUAUAUCAAUGCCCAGUGCCCAUCGGGGAUCACGGCAGCCCUGGCCAUGUUCUGUAUCUAGGUAAUANNNNNNNNNNNNNNNNNNNNNNNNNNNNNNNNNNNNNNNNNNNNNNNNNNNNNNNNNNNNNNNNNNNNNNNNNNNNNNNNNNNNNNNNNNNNNNNNNNNNAUGCAUGCUACGCCUUGGAAAGGCUAGAUGAGGUAUUUUGUUAUAUGAUGUCUGAAAGCUGCGUUCCCACGUUAUUCCAUUAAUAUGUGUCCCACAGACACCAUUUCAUUUUCACGUCAGGGUCCCAGCUUAGGCAAUUUGUUCCUGUGACAAAACCCCUUUUUUGUGAACAGGGCCGCCAUCAAGGGGUGACAACCACAGGCCCCACUUUCUUUCUCUGCACACAUAAAUAGUGAAUAUCGCCAUCUAUGUGUGCAGCCACACACUACAUUCAUUACACUGACACACUCUGCAUUCACUACACACUAACACACACUCUGCAUUUGUAACGGACCGUUUUGCACAAAAGGGAAAAAAAACGCUUAGACGAUAAUCCCCUUUCAGAGACAGGCACAGCUACUGUAGAAUCACCAAAACUCACGAACUGAAUACAAGUGAAUGCUCCAAACUCCCGAACGGCAUACAAGGGAAUGGUCCAAACACUCGAACUGCAUACAAGGGAAUGGUCCAAACACUCGAACUGCAUACAAGGGAAUGGUCCAAACACUCGAACUGCAUACAAGUGAAUGCUCCAAACUCUCGAACUGCAUACAAGUGAAUGCUCCAAACUCCCGAACGGCAUACAAGGGAAUAAGAUAGCACUCCAAAUACACGAACAGGAACCAUACGAAUUGCUGCUACCAGACGAACAGGAAAAGCUCCCAAGCGGCUUACACUCCUGGCAAUCAGUCCUUAGCAGCAUACAGUAAAUCCCCCCAAAGACGAGACAGAGCUCCGUGUUGAGGGUCAAGCAGUGGUCUGAUUAAUGAGGGCUACCUGCCCAGUAUUUAUGCAGGUCUCCCACCUGGUGGACACUCCCCUAGGGGACCAAAUGGGAGACUGUGACAAAAGACAGACAAGUAGACAAAUAGGACACACAGUUACAAUAUAUUCCCACAAUGCAUCCUGGCUUCCUCCCCUCUGCCCUGGGAGAUAAUUGGGAAGUAAUUCAAUUAUCUCCCAAGACAAAGGCAAAACUCCAUUACACAUGUGGGGAUACAAAACCAGUAUUAUACUUUAAAAUACAUAAAGUAACAUUUAUUACAUAAAACACAGACAUGUAACAUAUCCCCAGAUAGCUCAGGUCUGAGCGCACAUUAUUAAGCGAAUGGCGCUCAGACCACACGAAUACAGUUUAAUCGCCAUGGAGCCAAAGUCUUUACAGUCAGUUUCAUACGAAUGGGCUCCAUGGGAUUCCUAUCUGGGGUAUAACACAUUCAACCAAAACUACCGAACACCGGGCCGUUCGUGCACUUCCACCGAACAAGAAGGGAGGUCGGCGGCUUCAGCGGUGUUCGCGCAAAACUGUGUCCGAUUUUAGUUCCAUGAAAAUAGGGGUGAACACCGCUGUGCAUUCGUAUGUUUAAAAUGGCCGCGACCUCGUGUUCGGGAUACGAAUGGCGGCCACCCAGCAUUCGUCAAUUAAGCUGCGGUUAACCGCAGCUUCAGGGAGGUUAAUUGCCGGCACAGCUCCCAGGUGGUCUAUUCAUUCGUGCGGUUGUUCGGUAGAUUGAAUCUACCGAACAACUGGCAGAAAAGCACGAAUACAGCUUUUCUCCAGGCAAAAUAAAGUCUUUUAAAAGGGGGCCAUAGUCCAGAGGCAGCAGGCGAGCAACCAGGCUUCUCCAAUGCAAUGUGGCGAGAUUGGUCUCGUCACAGCAUUCAUUACACACUCUGCAUUCACUAAACUAUGCACACACUCUGGAUUCACUAUACUGACAGACACUCUGCAUUCACUGCACAAACAGUAUCUAAUACACACAAACACUACAUCCAUUACACACAUUCUAAUUCACUUCCACUAUACACACCACAUUCAGUCCUGAAUCACUGUCAGCGGACUAGGUAGGGCGUGAGCGGGCCCGGGAGGGAGGGGGGGGCCCAGACCUUGUGCUUUGUCAGGGGCCCCAACAUUUCUGAUGGCGGCCCUGUUUGUGAAUACCAGGACCCUUUUAUUUCGUAUGCUGUUCGUGCAUUUAGCACUAUUCUAUUCCCUUUUAUUAAAACCAAACAAACUACAGAACAGACAGACCACACGCAAUGGGAGUGUGCAGCUUAUUAACCUCAGAGAAGCUGUGGAUAGCCACAACUAUUUGACAAAUGGCUGGAUGGUCCCCAUUCGUAUGAACGAACACGUGGCGGUGGCCAUCUUAAACUGACAAACGCCCAGCGGUGUUUGGUCGUCGACCGCAUGGAACUAUUUUUUGAUUGUGUUCGUGGGAUCNNNNNNNNNNNNNNNNNNNNNNNNNNNNNNNNNNNNNNNNNNNNNNNNNNNNNNNNNNNNNNNNNNNNNNNNNNNNNNNNNNNNNNNNNNNNNNNNNNNNUGAGCGCUGUUUGGCUAUAUUGAGCGCACAGAUCCAAGCUAUCUGGGGAUAUGUCGAAUGUGGGGGUUCUGUUCGGUAAAAUAUAAGUAAUGUAUUUUAAUGUAUUUUGUUACCUUUCUAAAAUUGAAAUAUUUUCUCUACCUGGAGAUAACUGAGUUUACUGAGGCCAUUUAACUCAAUUAUCUCCAGGAUAGAGAGGAGGGAUUUCACUGUUCAUGUGGGAGUGUUUAACUUUGUAUUAUACUGUGAUUGGUUACUGUAACUUGUGUUUCAGUCCUCCACAAGGUCCCAGUGGGAGUAUCCUGUUACGAUUGCCCCCGGUCUAGCAGGGGGGUUGAUCGCUUGGAUGUCCUGGUUCCCGCUGUAGAGAGUCGAACGGAGGUCUUUCGGUAGUCGGCUGUAAGUGUAGAAUAUCCCCAAGCACGAUAUAAGCAUCAAUAUCCCGGAUCCCUACAACAUGAGUCGAGGCUGCAAGUUGAGGGUCAAACGAACUGGCUUUACUGGCACAUAGCAUGGCAAUUUAUGUGAUUCCUCAGGUCCAAGGACAGCCCCCUGUGGACCUGAUGGAAUACAGGUACAGUACAAACAGGUAACCAAUCACAGUACACUGUAUUAUUUGAAUUAGUACCCGCCUAGCUGGGAGAUAAUGAGGCCAACGGUUUUACAAUCUAAUUAUCUCCAAGCGCACAAAAGACCACGUUUUAUUAUGUCCCAGAAAACUACAUAAAAAUCCAUAACUUGUACAUUAUUACAGGAAAACCAUUCAUUCCACCAUUCAUUUGAAGGCUCGCGUUCGUAUAGAUAAACCAGGCGAAUGCCGCUCUAAUCCCACGAACAGAAUGUACUGUUUUUGCCGUAUCAAGUCCGUUCGGCAUUUUGAGAUGGUUAGUCUUUGUUGGCGGCCAUGUUUUCUGCUGGUUUAGCGAGCAGCGGGACUUCGUGUCUAACUAGUGGAACUAAACUCGGUAUCAUUUCCUGCGAAGUCCCGCUGUCGGGCUGGUAGUGGGCUCGUUCGGUAAGGGAAUGAGGACCACCUGGGAGCAGGGUACUUGACCUGCGGUUAACCGCAGAAACCACAGUUAAUGAGCGCCACGCGACCCGCUGUAGGGGGUCGUCGUUCGGUGGGUCGUUCGGUAUUUUCCCUUCGGCACUUUGGGUGCGAACGUCGAUGCCCCCAGGCCUACCAAUUACAUUGUGGUUAACCGCAAACCGCAGCCAUCUGGGUGGUUAAUGGCUACCACACUCCGCGAGCCGGGGGGGCCGCCCGUUCGGUAGUUUUCGGGGUGACGGGGUUAAGUGGCGGCACACGCCAGUUUCUGGGGGGUCCCCCGUUCGUACCACGAAUGGCGCCUCCCUAAGGGUUCGUGUAAUCCAUUCGUGUGGUUUUCUGUUUAACUUAUGCAGUGGCAAACAGUAUCAAUCAGUGAGUAAAAACAGCAACAUGGUGAUUUCCAGUCUUUUGUAACAUAUCCCUUGCUGGAGGACCUGCAUAAAAGGCCAAGCUGUGGCCACCAUUAAAAAGAUCUGUGACAGACCCAUCUGCCUGGACUAAAAGUACUGUGUUCGUCUGUUUUGCCGGUUGCAUUAAUUCCCCCAUUCAUAUGCUUUGUUUAAAGGAAUAUCGUUUUUUGUCGAACGAAACUACCGAACGGACGGCCACCCAGAAGAGAAGUGUGCUGCUGGUUAACCUAUUGAUCCCAAUUAGAAUGUUGCGGUUAACCACAGACACUUCUCAAUUAAAACCGAAUACUGGGUGGUCGUCGUUCGUAUGUCGACCACGAGGCGGCGGCCAUUUUAACCAUGCGAAAGACCAGCGGUGUUCGACGGUUAUUUCAUGGAACUGAAAACGGACACUUUUUCAACCGAACACCGCUGAAGCCGUCGACCUCCCCUUCUCAAUCGACAAAAGCAUACAAAUGCCGGCCGUUCGGGAGAUUCAACAACACGAAUGGACUUAACCCAGAUAGCCUUCCCAUGGAGUCAAUCGCAUACCGAAGAACUGUAAUAGACUUUGACUCCAUGGCGAUUGAACUAUGCGAAUGGGAUCUGAGCGCUAUUCGCCAAUAAUAUGCCCUCAGAUCCAGGCUAUCUGGGGAUGUGUUACACGAAUGCAAUAUGUUCGGCAGUUAUAAAGUUAUAGAUUUUUAUGUGUUUUAUGACUUGUAUUUAAAAUGGCGAUUUGCCUCUGCUCUGGGAGAUAAUUGAAUUACUUCUCAAUUAUCUCCCGAGCAGAGGGGAGGGAACUGUGAUGCAUGCUGGGAAUAUUGUGUGGAUGUAUGUCCAAAAUGUCCCCAUGUCCUUCUGUCCUUUCAGUCUCCCAUUUGGUCCCCUAGGGGAGUGUCCACCAAGUGGGAGACCUGCAUAAAUACCGGGCAGGUAGCCCACAGUAAAUCAGUUCGUGUUUUACCCUCAGAGCGGAGCUUGGUCUCGUUAUUGGGGGGAUUUUAUUACCAGCACUUAGAGACUGCUUAUUGGAAUUAUUUGCCGCUUGGAAGAUAUUGGCGUUCGGCUAAUAUUGGCAGUUUGUGUGUUUGUGCAGUGAAUGCAGAGUGUCUGUCAGUAUAGUGAAUCCAGAGUGUGUGCAUAGUUUAGUGAAUGCAGAGUGUGUAAUGAAUGCAGAGUGUGUGUUAGUGUGUAGUGAAUGCAGAGUGUGUCAGUGUAAUGAAUGUAGUGUUCGUGAAGGGAAAGAGCCGUACAGGUACCGUUCAGGUGUUUGGAGUGUUACCUAACUGGCGGUUCACAUGGUUUUACUAUACACGCUACCAGACCCCAUUAUUGCGAACGGGGAGCAUUCGCUAAACGGCGGUUUGUGCAUUUCCUUACUGGAGGUACCGUAACAACUGGUGGCAAGCGACGGGAUGAUCCUUAACGCCCAAAGAGACCACUGCAGCCAGGAUUAAUAUGGAAUUGCAAUACCAAAACCUGAGGAGAGCUACCCUAAAGGAUUUAUUAGAGCAAAGAGGGGGACAAGCCAGUAACCUCAGAAAAAGGGAGAUUAUUGCGUUAUUGCUGGAAAUGGAUGGAGUACCAGCGGCAGAGGGAACCAAUGGACCCAGCGCAGCUGACAGAACCCCCGAGGAGGCAAGCUUUGACCGGGCGGUAAGAAUCAGGCUGGCACAUUAUGGUCCCAACCCGACUACAGAGACCAUUGACCAGGUCAUGGCAGCUGUGGAGGCCAACCUGCUUCGCCAAAGCGGUGCUGCAGCAGCCCCAGUCACAGCAAACCCGGGAGAUAGGAAGAAAGUACUAUUUACAGCGUUUAAAGCCUUCAGUGAGACAGAAGGAGAGAUUGAUGGGUACCUUGCUGAUUUUGAGCGGCAAUGUGCCCUGCACAAGGUACCCCUGGAAGACUGGGUUACUAUAUUGUCCGGCAAGUUAUCCGGCAGGGCCAGCGAGGCUUUUCGGGCCAUCCCUGACGAGGAGAUUGGGGAUUAUGUGGCCGUCAGGGAAGCUUUACUCUCCCGGUAUGCCGUUACACCUGAGGCGUACCGGAGGAGGUUCCGAGACACUGUCAAGACCUCUGGGGACUCAUACGUGGAAUGGGCAUGUAAGGUGCAUCGCACAGCCGCCCACUGGAUGGCGGGGUACCAGGCUGUGUCCGGAGAAGAGGUGCUGCAGAUGUUUCUUUUGGAACAUUGUUUCGAUAAAUUGCCAGCAGGGGUCAGAGAGUGGGUAAGGGACCGUAAACCCUCCACUCUGCACGAAGCAGCUCGCCUGGCGGAUGAGUAUACCGACGCCCGCAAACUGGACAGUCUCAUCAGCAAGGCUCCCGCCAGAGUGGAGUACAGGCCAGCAGCACCAACAGCAGCCAACCUAUAUCCGCCUCCAAUGAAUCGCCCAGCAGCGCCUCCUCCAUCUGCCCCGUACCAACAGCCACCUCGGUUUAAUUCACGGGAGUAUGCCCAACCCAUUCGGUGCUACCUGUGCAAGCAACUAGGGCACAAGCGACCCGAGUGCCCGAUGAACAGCGCCAACCAUAACCAGUCCUGGAGGAGACCAGCCGGCGGCAAUCCACAACCGCCCAUCCCAGCCGCUCACUGUGUAGAGGAAGAGGAGUGCUGGGGCAUCCUGCAUGAGGCAGACCCCGUUCAGGCUGCCCACCGGGAUAACAGGCAGCACCACUGACAGUGUGUAAAAGUCAACGGGAAGGAGGUCAGUGGUCUACGGGAUACCGGGGCAACCAUGACUUUGCUCCAGAAGCACCUGGUAUCCGAAGCCCAACAUACAGGGGACACGGUCGCAGUGCGAGUAGCCGGGGGUGCAGUGUUUCAUCUACCCAUUGCCCGGGUACAUUUGGAUUGGGGAGUGGGCGCUAGACAUGUGAAUGUGGGGGUCAUGAAGGACUUACCAGCGGAUGUUCUCCUUGGCAAUGACUUGGCGCCCCUUGUUUCCGCCUUCGCUCCCAUUGGUCCCGCUGAAGUGGAUGCUGUCACGACCCGUGCUCAGACCCGUGCCGCCGAGACCGGCCCACCUGCUGUUGAGACCCAGGUAAGACUCUCUACCCCGACUUAGACCAGGCCCCAUUAGGCUGGGAUACCCCAGAGAUGUACAGGAAGGAAACCAGGGAAGACCCGACGCUAGCGAAGUACAGGGCCAGGGCCGAUUCUGGGGGAGAAGGAGUAGAUGGGGAGCACUAUGAGUGGGUGGGGAAUAGACUGUACAGGAUCCCGAAACCGUCCCAGAAGCCGAGUACCCCUCCGCAGAAUCGACAGCUAGUGGUACCUGUAAAAUACCGGCAGGAGAUUAGAAUCACACAAAACUUCUUCUGGCCCAAUUUUAACCGAGAUGUGCGGGUUUAUUGUAGCACGUGUGACACCUGUCAACGGGUAGGUAAGCAGGGGGAUCACCCAAAAGCUAGGCUUCAGUCGAUGCCUAUCAUUGGAGAACCCUUUUCCCGCAUAGCCGUUGACAUUGUGGGUCCACUGGCCAGGGCUAGCCCACCAGGUAAGAAGUAUAUUCUCACCGUGGUGGACUAUGCCACACGUUAUCCAGAGUCAGUAGCACUGUCUAAUAUAGAGGCAGAGACGGUUGCUGAUGCCCUGGUUAAGAUUUUCACUAUGGUCGGGUUCCCUCAGGAGAUUCUCUCCGAUCAGGGAACUCAGUUCACCGCUGUGCUUACCCAGCAGCUGUGGAAGGUGUGCGGUAUUAAACCUCUGCUUAGCUCACCAUAUCACCCACAGACUAACGGUCUCUGCGAGCGAUUUAAUGGCACCCUCAAACAGAUGUUGAGGACAUUUGCUGACACUUGCAGAGACUGGGAGCGAUUCCUGCCUCAUCUGCUAUUUGCAUACAGAGAGGUGCCCCAGGAAUCUACUGGGUUCUCCCCCUUUGAGUUACUUUAUGGGAGAAGGGUCCGUGGACCCCUAGAUCUCAUUAGAGGACACUGGGAGGGGGAGACAGAGCAAGAAGGGACCCCCAUAGUACCAUAUGUCCUGGAACUCCGGGACCGCAUGGAGAAACUAUCCCUGAUGGUAAGGGAGAAUCUCCAGGCAGCCCAGGGGAGACAGAAACGGUGGUACGAUCGGGGUGCCCGACAGCGGGUCUUCUAGGUUGGGCAGAAGGUACUCAAGCCUGUGAAGACGAACAAGAUGCAAGCAUCUUGGCAGGGCCCGUAUAAAGUGUUAGCUCAGGUAUGUGAUACCUACCUUAUAGCCAGCUGUUCAGAUGAAAGGAUUCAGCGAUCCUUCCAUGUGAACAUGCUGAAGGAGUAUCAGGAACGACCAGAGGAUGUUGCGGCAGUCUGUGCCCCAGCUACUGACGACCCCGAGAACUUACCGUUACCUGACUUGUUAGAGAGGGAUCCCCAGACAGACCUUACUAGUCUCGUACAGCUGGGGGACCGGCUAAACCCGGCAGAGAAGGCACAGGCAAGACAGUUACUGUGGGAGAAGCAGGCGACAUUCUCCCAAGAACCCGGGUACACUACCCUAGCUGUACACAAGGUCGAGACACCCGGACAGAACCCCCUAUGACAACCCCCAUACCGUAUCCCUGAAGCAGUCCGAGAAGGAAUGCGGAAGGAGAUACAGGAGAUGACCAGGCUGGGGGUUAUCGAACACUCAGACAGCCCUUGGGCCUCGCCUGUAGUUCUGGUGCCUAAGAAAGAUGGGACCACCCAGUUCUGUGUGGACUACAGGCGGCUCAACGAGCGGACCACCACUGACGCCUACCCUAUGCCCCGGGUAGACGAGUUAUUAGACCGUAUUGCCACGGGGCGCUACCUGACCACCAUUGACCUGUGUAAAGGUUAUUGGCAGAUCCCCCUGGCCGAGGAUGCUAUCCCUAAGUCGGCAUUCGUCACCCCAUUUGGCCUAUACCAGUUUAAGGUUAUGCCAUUUGGGAUGAAGAAUGCUCCGGCUACUUUCCAGCGUAUGGUGGAUAGGCACCUCGAUGGCUUCCAGGACUUUGCAUGUCCAUACCUGGAUGACAUUGCGGUCUACAGUGAGUCCUGGGAAGACCAUUUAGUACACGUGGGGGUGGUGCAGGACAAGAUUCGGGCCGCAGGCCUGACCUUGAAGCCAGACAAGUGCCAUCUAGGCAUGGCAGAAGUGCAGUACUUGGGUCACAGAGUAGGAUGUGGAAACCAGAGACCGGAGCCAGCCAAGGUAGAGGCUGUAGCUAACUGGCCCACACCUAUCACCAAGACCCAAGUGCUGGCCUUCCUGGGGACGGCAGGGUAUUACCGACGUUUUGUCCCCGACUACAGUACGGUUGCCAAGCCCUUGACUGACCUGACUAAGAAGAAUUUACCUAAGCAGGUCCUGUGGUCUCCAGCUUGUGAAGCCGCGUUUCAAGCACUUAAGCAGGCUCUUGUGAAUACCCCUGUCCUGGCUGCCCCAGUCCCUAACAAACGCUUUCUUGUUCAUACAGAUGCUUCCAUGUAUGGACUGGGGGCUGUGCUGAGCCAGGUCGGGGAAGAUGGAGGAGAGCACCCUGUCGCAUACUUAAGCAGAAAGUUACUACCUCGGGAAGUGAGUUAUGCGGCAGUGGAGAAAGAGUGUUUAGCCCUGGUCUGGGCACUGAAGAAAUUGAGCCCUUAUUUGUACGGGCAGGAGUUUUCACUUAUUACGGAUCACAACUCCCUUGUCUGGCUUAACCGGGUCUCAGGAGACAAUGGCAGACUGCUGAGGUGGAGUUUGGCACUGCAGCCUUACAACUUCACCAUCAGCUACCGACCCGGUAAGCAGAAUGGGAAUGCGGAUGGGUUGUCCCGGCAAACAGACGUCCCUACACCUUCCCAGUCCGGUCAUCCCCAAGUUGACCCGCCAAAGGGUCAAGCCGGGUCUGCCGGAGUGUUCCACAAGGGGGGAGCCGUGUGACAGACCCAUCUGCCUGGACUAAAAGUACUGUGUUCGUCUGUUUUGCCGGUUGCAUGAAUUCCCCCAUUCGUAUGCUUUGUUUAAGGGAAUGUCGGUUUUUGUCGAAUGAAACUACCGAACGGACGGCCACCCAGAAGAGAAGUGUGCUGCUGGUUAACCUAUUGAUCCCAAUUAGAAUGUUGCGGUUAACCACAGACACUUCUCAAUUAAAACCGAAUACCGGGUGGUCGUCGUUCGUAUGUCGACCACGAGGCGACGGCCAUUUUAACCAUGCAAAAGACCAGCGGUGUUCGACGGUUAUUUCAUGGAACUGAAAACGGACACUUUUUCAAACGAAAACACCGCUGAAGCAGUCGACCUCCCCUUCUCAAUCGACAAAAGCAUACGAAUGCCGGCCGUUCGGGAGAUUCAACAACACGAAUGGACUUAACUCAGAUAGCCUUCCCAUGGAGUCAAUCGCAUACCGAAGAACUGUAAUAGACUUUGACUCCAUGGCGAUUGAACUAUGCGAAUGGGAUCUGAGUGCUAUUCGCCAAUAAUAUGCCCUCAGAUCUAGGCUAUCUGGGGAUGUGUUACACGAAUGCAAUAUGUUCGGCAGUUAUAAAGUUAUAGAUUUUUAUGUGUUUUAUGACUUGUAUUUAAAAUGGCGAUUUGCCUCUGCUCUGGGAGAUAAUUGAAUUACUUCCCAAUUAUCUCCCAAGCUGGGAAUAUUGUGGGGAUGUAUGUCCAAAAUGUCCCCAUGUCCUUCUGUCCUUUCAGUCUCCCAUUUGGUCCCCUAGGGGAGUGUCCACCAAGUGGGAGACCUGCAUAAAUACCGGGCAGGUAGCCCACAGUAAAUCACUUGGUGUUUUACCCUCAAAGCGGAGCUUGGUCUCGUUAUUGGGGGGAUUUUAUUACCAGCGCUUAGAGACUGCUUAUUGGAAUUAUUUGCCGCUUGGAAGAUAUUGGCGUUCGGCUAAUAUUGGCAGUUCGUGGAUUUGGAGCUCGUGAAGGGAAAGAGCCGUACAGGUACCGUUCGGGAGUUUGGAGUGUUCCCUAACUGGCGGUUCGCAUGGUUUUACUAUACACGCUACUAGACCCCAUUAUUGCGAACGGGGAGCAUUCGCUAAACGGCGGUUUGUGCAUUUCCUUACUGGAGGUACCGUAACAAGAUUGUUUUACCCCUUCAUGAAGUCUUGGCUCAUGUUUGGGGGGAUUGGAAGCUGUAAUUCACUACACCUUCUGCUACACUUGGAUUUCACUUGGAUUCUGCAUGGAUAUACUCAGCUGGAGUAUAGGGGAUCCAUUACAGUUCCACUCAGAAUUUGCGAUUUUGGAUUUACCACAGGUAUGAAUACAGUAGGAGUCAGCCCUGAAACAACACAGAUUUAACUGAAAUUGGGAAAAAAUAAAGAAAAAGGAACAUGAUUGUAGCGGAGCUCCCUGUACCCCGACUGGAUACCUCCGCCAAGGACCGCUUCCUAGCUGGAACAGGGGACAAACCUCAGCACUUCUGCCCACACUCGCUGUGGCUUGACUGGGGCCCUGGAACUACUCUUUCCUAGAGCUGAAUGAGGAAUUAGCUUUAGACACCCCCUGGCACUGGACGACACUCAGUCCUGGGAGCUCUAGUCACAGUUUUGGAGUGUAAGCUAGAAUAGGAUUUUAAUGGAGGCACACUGACCUUUUAUGCAAUUUUCCCAACAAGGGUGACACCCAGGUGGACUUUGUUGGGCACAGGGAGACAAACUUCCAAACCAAUAACAAGACAUUUACAAUGUAAGGCACUCCCACACAGGGCAAACAAUCCCUCCCCUCUGCUUGGGAAAUAAUUGAGUUAAUUACUGUAUCAACUCAAUUAUCUCCAGGCAAAAACAACACACAUUUCUAAAAAGUACUCCAAAACACAUGAUAUCCCCACAAAUGUCACAUCCCCUGAUAGCCCUGAUCUAGGUGACCAACAUAUCCAAAAAUCUCCCAGAUCAGUUCAGGGGUUAAGGCAUUUCCUGGAAGUCAUUUCCUGGAAGUCAUUACCGCAGGUGGCUCCCGCCUUUCUCUAAACCACAAGCUCAUAACACGUAUAUCACGUUACAGCAAUGACUUUGCAUAUGAUGUCACAGAUGUUAACAUUUGAGGGCCGUAUACAGACCUUAAACCCUUCUGCAAUUCAAGAGUCAAACUUUUGCUGAAAAUUGUAGGAAUACAACGUGGAACAUAUGUGAAGGAAAGUGUUAAAUGUAGAGUUGAGCGAACCCGAACUGAAAAGAUCGGAUUCGUACCGAACAUUACGUUUUUUGUACCCUGGACCCGAACACGGACAUAUCACUGUAUGUUCGGGUUGGAGUUCGGUGUUCGGCGAUUUAAUGAAGCGUUUUGAAAUGCUGCAGGGCCUACUAAUGGCAUGACUGUGAUUGGCCAGUGCAGCAAGUGACCCAGCCUCUAUAGAAGCUGGUCACUUAGUAUUAGUAAAUUAUGCACCUACUCGCUAUACCAGGUGGGGACCAUAAAUAAAAAUUGGUGGGGACCUAAUGUCCCCCCCCCCGGCCCUAACCCCUGAGCGGUGGGUGGGGGCCAUGAAUAAAUAUGGGGGGGACUUAAUGUCCCCCCCAACCCCCACCCCUGUGCGGUGGGGGCCCUAAAAAAAAAUAAGGGGGGGACCUACGGUCCUCCCCACGGCCCCUACCCCUGAGCGGUGGGUGGAGACCCUAAAUAACAAUAGGGGGGACCUAUUGUCCUCCCCCCGGCCCCAAUCCCUGAGCGGUGGGUGGGGACCAUAAAUAAAAAUUAGGGGGGACCUAAUGUCCUCCCCCCCCGGCCCCCACCCCUGAGCAGUGGGUGGUGGCCAUAAAUAGAAAUGUGCGGGGAGACCUAAUGUCCUCACCCCCGGCCCCCACCUCUGAGCAGUGGGUGGGGGCCAUAAAUAAAAAUGGAGGGGGACCUAAUGUCCUCCCCCCCUGGCACCCACCCCUGUGCGGCGGGUGGGGGCCCUAAAUAACAAUAAGGGGGGGACCUAAUUUCCUCCCCCUGGCCCCCACCACUGAGCGGUGGGUGGGGGCCAUAAAUAUAAAUUGGGGGGGAAACCUAAUGUCCUCCCCCCUGACCCCCACCCCUGCGCAGUGGGUGGGGGCCCUAAAUAACAAUAAGGAGGGGACCUACUGUCUUCCCCCCGGCCCCCACCUGUGAGCGGCGGGUGGGGGCCUUAAAUAAAAAUUGGCGGGGAGACCUAAUGUCCUCCCCCCCGGCCCCCACCCCUGAGUGGUGUGUGGGGGACAUAAAUAAAAAUGGGGGGGGACACGAACUAAUGUCCUCCCCUGGCGCCCAACCCUGACCGGUGGGUGGGGGCCAUAAAUAGAAAUUGGGCGGAACCUAAUGUCCUCCCCCCAGGCCCCCACCCCUGCGCAGCGGGUGGAGGCCCUAAAUAACAAUAAGGGGGGGGACCUACUGAUCUCCCCCCCAGCCCCCACCCCUGUGCGGCAGGUGGAGGCCAUAAAUAAAAAUUGGAAGGGGGACCUAAUGUCCUCCCCCACGGCCCCCACCCCUGAGCGGUGGGUGUGGGCCAUAAAUAAAAAUCGGGGGGGGGACCUAAUGUCCUCCCCCCGGCCCCAACCCCUGAGCGGUGGGUGGGGACCAUAAAUAAAAAUGGGGGGGGGGGACGAACUAAUGUCCUCCCCUGGCGCCCAACCCUGACCGGUGGGUGGGGGCCAUAAAUAGAAAUUGGGCGGAACCUAAUGUCCUCCCCCCAGGCCCCCACCCCUGCGCAGCGGGUGGAGGCCCUAAAUAACAAUAAGGGGGGGACACCUACUGAUCUCCCCCCCAGCCCCCACCCCUGUGCGGCAGGUGGAGGCCAUAAAUAAAAAUUGGAAGGGGGACCUAAUGUCCUCCCCCACGGCCCCCACCCCUGAGCGGUGGGUGUGGGCCAUAAAUAAAAAUUGGGGGGGGACCUAAUGUCCUCCCCCACGGCCCCAACCCCUGAGCGGUGGGUGGGGACCAUAAAUAAAAAUUGCGGGGGACCUAAUGUCCUCCCCCCCGGCCCCCACCCCUGAGCAGUGGGUGGUGGCCAUAAAUAGAAAUGUGCGGGGAGACCUAAUGUCCUCACCCCCGGCCCCCACCCCUGAGCAGUGGGUGGGGGCCAUAAAUAAAAAUGGAGGGGGACCUAAUGUCCUCCCCCCUGGCACCCACCCCUGUGCGGCGGGUGGGGGCCCUAAAUAACAAUAAGGGGGGGACCUAAUUUCCUCCCCCUGGCCCCCACCACUGAGCGGUGGGUGGGGGCCAUAAAUAUAAAUUGGGGGGGAAACCUAAUGUCCUCCCCCCUGACCCCCACCCCUGCGCAGCGGGUGGGGGCCCUAAAUAACAAUAAGGAGGGGACCUACUGUCUUCCCCCCGGCCCCCACCCCUGAGUGGUGUGUGGGGGACAUAAAUAAAAAUGGGGGGGGGGACGAACUAAUGUCCUCCCCUGGCGCCCAACCCUGACCGGUGGGUGGGGGCCAUAAAUAAAAAUGGAGGAGGAACCUAAUGUCCUCCCCCCAGGCCCCCACCCCUGCGCAGCGGGUGGAGGCCCUAAAUAACAAUAAGGGGGGGGGACCUACUGUGCGGCAGGUGGAGGCUAUAAAUAAAAAUUGGAAGGGGGACCUAAUGUCCUCCCCCACGGCCCCCACCCCUGAGCGGUGGGUGUGGGCCAUAAAUAAAAAUUGGGGGGGGACCUAAUGUCCUCCCCCCGGCCCCAACCCCUGAGCGGUGGGUGGGGACCAUAAAUAAAAAUUGCAGGGGACCUAAUGUCCUCCCCCCGGCCCCCACCCAUGAGCAGUGGGUGGAGGCCCUAAAUAACAAUAGGGGGGACCUAUUGUCCUCCCCCUCACCCCCAUCCCUGUGCGGCGGGUGGGGGCCCUGAAUAACAAUGAGGGAGGAGUUAGUGUCCUCCCCCCGGCCCCCAACCCUGAGCGGUGGGUGGGGACCAUAAAUAAAAAUUGGGGGGGAACCUAGUGUCCUCCCCCCCCGGCCCCCACCCCUGCGCAGCGGGUGGAGGCCCUAAAUAACAAUAAGGGGGGGACCUACUGUCCUCCCCCCCGGCCCCCACCCCUGAGCGGUGUGUGUGGGCCAUAAAUAAAAAUUUGGGGUGGACCUAAUGUCCUCCCCCCCGGCCCCACACCCUGAGCGGUGGGUGGGGGCCAUACAUAAAAAUUGGGAGGGAGGAACUAAUGUCCUCCUCCCGGCUCCCAUCUCUGAGCAGUGGGUGGGAGCCAUAAAUAAAAAUUGGGCGGGGGGACCUACUGUCCUCCCCCAUGACCCCUACACCUGAGCGGUGGGUGGUGGCCCUAAAUAACAAUAGGGGGGACCUAAUGUCCUCCCCCACGGCCCCCACUCCUGUGCGGCAUGUGGGGGCCCUAAAUAACAAUAAGGGGGGGACCUAAUGUCCUCCCACCAGUCCCCACCCCUGAGCAGUUGGUGGGGCCAUAAAUAACAAUAAAGUGGGACCUAAUGUCCUCCCCGCGGCCCCCAACCCUGAGCAGUGGGUGGGGGCCAUAAAUAAAAAUGGAGGGGGACCUAAUGUCCUCCCCCCGGCCCCCACUCCUGUGCAGUGGGUGGGGGCCCUAAAUAACAAUAAUGGGGUUACCUAAUGUCCUCCCCCAGGCCCCCACCCCUGAGCGGUGGGUGGGGGCCAUAAAUAAAAAUUGGGGGGGGGACGUAAUGUCCUCCCCCCCUGCCCCCACCCUGAGCAGUGGGUGGUGGCCAUAAAUAAAAAUGGGCGGGGAGACCUAAUGUCCUCACCCCCGGCACCCACCCCUGAGCGGUGGGUGGGGGCCAUAAAUAAAAAUGGGCGGGGAGACCUAAUGUCCUCACCCCCGGAACCCACCCCUGAGCGGUGGGUGGGGGCCAUAAAUAAAAAUGGGCGGGGAGACCUAAUGUCCUCACCCCCGACCCCAACCCCUGAGCGGUGGGUGGGGACCAUAAAUAAAAAUUGUGGGGGACCUUAUGUCCUCCCCCCGGCCCCCACCCCUGAGCGGUGGGUGGGGGCCAUAAAUAAAAAUGGAGGGGGACCUAAUGUCCUCCCCCCCGGCCCCCACUCCUGUGCGGCGGGUGGGGGCCCUAAAUAACAAUAAGGGGGGACCUAAUGUCCGCCCCCCCUGCCCCCACCCCUGAGCAGUGGGUGGUGGCCAUAAAUAAAAAUGGGCAGGGAGACCUAAUGUCCUCACCCCCGGCACCCACCCCUGAGCGGUGGGUGGGGGCCAUAAAUAAAAAUGGGCGGGGAGACCUAAUGUCCUCACCCCCGGCCCCAACCCCUGAGCGGUGGGUGGGGACCAUAAAUAAAAAUUGUGGGGGACCUAAUGUCCUCCCCCUGCCCCCACCCCUGAGCAGUGGGUGGGGGCUAUAAAUAAAAAUGGAGGGGGACCUAAUGUCCUCCCCCCAGCCCCCACUCCUGUGCGGCGGGUGGGGACCCUAAAUAACAAUAAGGGGGGACCUAAUGUCCUCUCCCCCUGGCCCCCACCCCUGAGCGGUGGGUGGGGGCCAUAAAUAAAAAUGGAGGGGGACCUAAUGUCCUCCCCCCCGGCCCCCACUUCUGUGCGGCGGGUGGGGGCCCUAAAUAACAAUAAGGGGGGACCUAAUGUCCGCCCUCCCUGAGCAGUGGGUGGUGGCCAUAAAUAAAAAUGGGCAGGGAGACCUAAUGUCCUCACCCCUGGCACCCACCCCUGAGCAGUGGGUGGGGGCCAUAAAUAACAAUAAGGUGGGACCUAAUGUCCUCUCCCCCUGGCCCCCACCCCUGAGCGGUGGGUGGGGACCAUAAAUAAAAAUUGGGGGGGGACCUAAUGUCCUCCCCCCGGCCCCCACCCCUGACCAGUGGGUGGGGGCCAUAAAUAAAAAUGGAUUGGGACCGAAUGUUCUCCCCCCGGCCCCCACUGCUGUGCGGUGGGUUGGGGCCUUAAAUAUCAAUAAAGGGGGGACCUAAUGUCCUCCCCCUGGCCCCCAACCCUGAGCGGUGGGUGGGGGCCAUAAAUAUAAAUUGUGGGGGGACCUAAUGUCCUCCCCCCUGCCCCACCCCUGAGCAGUGGGUGGUGGCUGUGACGAGACCAAUCUCGCCACAUUGCAUUGGAAAAGCCUGGUUUCUCACCUGCUGCCUUUGGACUAUGGCCCCCUGUUAAAAGACAUCUUUUUUACCUGCAGAAAAGCUUCAUUCGUGCUUUUCUGCCUGGGGUUCGGUAGAUUUGUUUGAAUGUGUUAUACCCCAGAUAGGAAUCCCAUGGAGCCCAUUCGUAUGAAACUGACUUUAAAGACUUUGGCUCCAUGGCGAUUAAACUGAAUUUGUGUGGUCUGAGCGCCAUUCGCUUAAUAAUGUGCGCUCGGACCUGAGCUAUCUGGGGAUAUGUUACAUGUCUGUGGUUUAUGUAAUAAAUGUGACUUUAUGUAUUUUAAAGUGUUUUGUGUCUUUUUGCAACCAUGUGCUUAAUGGAGUCUUGUGUCUGUCCUGGGAGAUAAUUGAAAUACUCUCCAGGAUAGAAGACUCUGAAACUGGUUUGGGCCAGAAAGCCAUGCUUCAUUUAGUCACAAAGGACUUUUUACUAACUUUUGAACCCCUGGUCUGAUUCAUGCCAUUUUUAAUAUGUUGUUCCCCUGAAUGGAUUGAUUGUGAAUAUGUAAUUUUAUGUGAAUGUGAUGUAUGGUUUUAGAGUUAUGAAAGUUGGAUAGAAAGUAUGUUUUAACUGUAUGUGUAAUUGAGUUUCCUCUCAGGAUAAGGGGAGGGAAUAUGUGGGAUGUAACUGUGAUGUGAUUGGUUGUUUUAUACCUCCCUGUGGGCGGUCCUGUAUUUGUAAGACUGUAAUAAAAACCAGGCUGGGUGUGCCAGCACCUCAGACCACUGCUUGACCCUCAACACGGAGCCUUGUCUCGUUCUUGGGGGGAUUCACUGUAUGCUGUUAGAGACUGAUUGCCAGGAGUGUAAGCUGUUCGUCUGCUUUUCCUGUUCGUCUGCUAGCAGCUAUUUGGGAGGUUCCUGUUCGGGAGUUGGAGUGCUAUUUUGUAUCCAGUUCGGGAGUUGGGUGUUCUGCAGUAGCUGUGCCUGUAUCUCUGGAAAGGGGGCCGAUUGCCUAAACGGUUUUUACCCCUUGUGCGCAAAACGGUCCGUUACAGUGGCCAUAAAUAAAAAUGGGCGGGGAGACCUAAUGUCCUCACCCCCGGCACCCACCCCUGAGCAGUGGGUGGGGGCCAUAAAUAAAAAUAGGAGGGGGGACCUAAUGUCCUCCCCCCGGCCCCCACCCCUGCGCAGUGGGUGGAGGCCCUAAAUAACAAUAAGGGGGGGACCUAAUGUCCUCCCCCCGGCCCCCACUCCUAAGCGGUGGGUGGGGGCCAUAAAUAUAAAUUGGGGGGAACCUAAUGUCCUCACCCAUGACCCCCACCCCUGCGCAGCGGGUGGGGGCCCUAAAUAACAAUAAGGAGGGGACCUACUGUCCUCCCCCCGGCCCCCACCUGUGAGCGGCGGGUGGGGGCCUUAAAUAAAAAUUGGCGGGGAGACCUAAUGUCCUCCCCCCGGCCCCCACCCCUGAGCGGUGAGUGGGGGCCAUAAAUAAAAAUUGGGGGGGGGGGGCGACGAACUAAUGUCCUCCACCUGGUGCCCAACCCUGACCGGUGGGUGGGGGCCAUAAAUAGAAAUUGGGGGGAACCUAAUGUCCUCCCAGCCCCCACCCCUGUGCAGCGGGUGGAGGCCCUAAAUAACAAAAAGGGGGAGGACCUACUGUCCUCCCCCCCGCCCCCCACCCCUGAGCGGUGUGUGGAGGCCAUAAAUAAAAAUUGGGGGGGACCUAAUGUCCUCCCCCCGGCCCCCACCCCUGAGCGGUAGGUGGGGGCCAUAAAUCAUAAUCCCCCCAGGUGACUAGGGGUCCCCAAACCCCUAGUCACCCCCAUCCCACCGACCUACCCCACUCACCCUAAAAAUAAUGAGGGGGGGACCAAUGACACAGAGCACUCUGACUGACUGGAUUUCAAGGUAACCAAUCAGAGUGCUCUGUCAUUUUACACAGCGUGGGAAUUUUUUUUGGAAUUUUCCCACGCUGUGUAACUUGACUCAUAACACUCUGAUUGGUUACUUAAUCCACCAAUCAGAGUGCUCUGUGUCAUUUAACACAGUGUGGGAAAAUGCCAAAGAACUUUCCCACGCUGUGUAAAAUGGCACAAAGCACUCUGAUUAGUGGAUUUCAAGCCAACCAUUCAGAGUGCUGUGACAGGUAAAUGUAGAGACUUACCUGUCAGUCUCUUCAUUUACCUGUCAGAGCACUCUGAUUAGAUGGCUUAAACCAACCAAUCAGAGUGCUCUGAGCCUAAUUGCAGGGCGGGGAAGGCUUUAUAAGACUUCCCCCUCCCUGCAGACCUCAGUCUGCGCGGAGCCCUCCAUGGAAGAAGGAUUAUUUUUUGGCGCUCGCUCGCUUUUUUUUUUAAAGUGCAUCAGUUAUUCUGGAUUUUUAUUUGGUCUUUUUUGGGGCUGAAAAAAUAAGAUUUUUAGAAGAAAGAAGACGUCAAAUGGUAAGUGUUACAGAUCCAUCUGUAUAGACUAAGAUUGCUGGAUUCGUCUGUUUUGCCUUUUUCACGAAAUUACCCGUUCGUAUGCCUUUGUUCAAGUGAAUUGACUUUUCUGCCGAACAAAACUGCCGAACAGAUGGCCACCUAGAAGAGAAGUGUACUGCUGGUUAACCUAUUGAUCCCAAUUAUAACGCUGCGGUUAACCACAGACACUUCUCAAUUAAAACUGAAUACAGGGUGGUCGUCGUUCGAAUGUCGACCACGAGGCGGCGGCCAUUUCAUACCAUGCGAAAGACCAGCGGUGUUCGGCAUGGAUUUCACGGAACUGAAAACAGACACUUUUUCAACCGAACACCGCUGAAGCCGUCGACCUCCCUUCUCAAUCGACAGAAGUGUGCGAACACCGGCCGUUUGGGAGUCAAUCGCAUACCGAAGAACUGUAAUAGACUUUGACUCCAUGGCGAUUGAACUAUGCAUAUGGGAUCUGAGCGCUAUUCGCCAAUAAUAUGCACUCAGAUCCAGGCUAUCUGGGGAUAUGUGAUUCGAAUGGAUAGUAUUCGACAAAUGUAAAGUUAUCUAUUUUUAUGUGUUUUUAUGUGUUGAAUUUAAAAUGGCGAUUUGCCUUUGUCCUGGAGAUAAUUGAAUUACUUCUCAAUUAUCUCCAGGGCAGAGGGAAGGAAUUACUAUUGCAUGCUGGGAAUAUUUUGUGUCUGUGGGUCCUGAACUGCCAUAUGUCUAUCUGUUGUCACAGUCUCCCAUUUGGUCCCCUAGGGGAGUGUCCACCAAGUGGGAGACCUGCAUAAAUACGGGCAGGUAGCCCACAGUAAAGCCAGUUCUUGUUUUACCCUCAAUGCGGAGCUUGGUCUUGUUAUUGGGGGGAUUUAUUACCGACGACUAGAGACUGCUGGAUGGGAUUAUUAGCCGCUUGGGAGAUACCUGCGUUCGGCUAAUAUUGGUGAUUCGUGAGUUUGGAGCUCGUGGAGUGAAGUGACCGUACGGAUCCCGUUUAUGAGUUAGCUUAAAAAUGUGAUAGAGGGCAUUCGUAUGCAAGUGGCACGAAAGCCGCUAGCAUUCAUAUGGUAGUUUCACGAACAGUGACUUUCAACACUGUUCGUGAAACGAACAAAGUACCGAAUGGGAGCCCACACACAGGGGGUAGUGUGGCUCCCAUUAACCGAUUGCAACACUGUAUCUAUCGGCUGCUAAUUGAUUCCCAGGGUGGCCGUCGUUCGGAUACCGACCACGAGGUGGUGGCCAUCUUGGAUUUCCUUUUAGCCCAGCAGUGUUUGGUCGUCGAGUGCCUAGAACUAAAAUCGGCUACUCGAUGGCACUAACACCGCUGGACUUCCAGGUCGUUCGGGAGCGCCGGUCUUUCGGUACUUUCUUCCAACUUAUGUAUUCGUGACUUUUCUGAAGAGUUGAUGUUUAAAUGUAUUUUGUGCGGCGUUCAGUUAAUUGUGCUGGGAUCUGAGUGGUACUUUCACAAAGUAUGCGCUCAGACCCCAGCUAUCUGCCGAUUGGUCAUUCGGUACAAUAGCACGAAUAAAGUAUGUUACAGAUUUUUAUGUGAAAAGCCGGUUCUGAUAUACGGAUGGAAAAUUCACUUAGCAAGAUAUUCUUGUGGGAGUAUCCCUCUCGGACAGCAGUGCAUGGUGGGAAAAAUGUCCUGCAUGUUCAGUUCCCCAUGUAGUCUUCUACUCUAUCUCAUAAAUACUGGAGCAUGUGAAUACAAAUCUCAGUUGACUCCCAGAACUGUGUUUUGUCCGAUUUCUGGGGGAUUUGGGAUAUUGCCUUCAUUUUCAGCACUUUCCUGGGAUUACUUUCUUUACCAGCGGAGAUAUUGGGAUUUAAUAUUGCAGCUCCGCUACAAUAGUAAACAAGCGACGGGAUCAAGCCUUACAGCCGAAAAGCGAUGUUCGGGUAAUUGAACCUGCCGAAUGGGUAAGUGAAUGUCAAUUCGUAUGCAACAAAGAACCUAACACAGAGGUGAAUGGAGACAGAUUUUACUGCAUUGAAACGGCAGGAACCUUUUAGAAGCCUGGGGUAAGAUAACCAGCAAUAAGUCGAAAGCUGUGCUUAUUGCCGAACUGAUGGAGGGAGACAGAGCUUGCAGCGCUACACCUCCACCAGACAUGGAAGAGACCCCAUUCCAGAAAGAGAUGAGGACCAGGCUGGAAUUCUUACCCCAUCCAGUACCUCUGGAAAUGCUGACGGUACUGAUGGCGAAUGUGAUAGCACACAGACUGCAGGAUUCACCAUCCAGAGCAGAAUCUACUGCUGCUUCAAUCACCAGCCAAGUAAAGCCCAAGAUACCACAUCAUGCUUUUAAAAUGUUUUGUGAAGAUGAAGAUGAGAUUGAUAGGUACCUACAGGAUUUUGAAAGACUGUGUGACCUGCAUGAUCUGGAGCAGGCAAUGUGGGUACCCUUACUGGCAGGCAAAUUAUCCGGUCGGGCAGCAGAAGCAUACCGGGCCGUGCCCAGAGAGGACAGCAAAAAUUACGCCAGAGUAAAACAAGCCAUAUUGGAGAGAUAUGCCAUUACCCCGGAGGCAUACCGGCGCAAGUUUAGAGGACUGCUCAAACCGGAUAAAGACUCCCAUGCAGAGUGGGCACACAAGCUUGAUCAAGCCUCCCAGGGGUGGAUACAAGCUAGCCAAGCUACCACCAUAGAGGAGUUAUGCCAGCUGCUAUUGUUGGUGCAGUUUUUCAAUGGUCUGACACCAGAGGCACAAGAAUGGGUGAGAGAUAGAAAAUCCUCACCCUAACAGAAGCUGCACGACUGGCGGACCAGCACUAUGAUGCCAGGAGGCAUCAUGGUAACCUCAGUCGAGGGUAUCCUCGACCCAUCACCCAGCCACCUACAGCUACUACUACCGCACCCACAACAGCAUUGUUCCGGCCGGCCGGCAGCUGGGGGGCAAACCCCACCGUCCCGAUACAAUGGGCGGUCUAACAUUCAGUGCCAUACCUGCAAGCAAUGGGGCCACAUGGCGAGAGAGUGUACCCAGAACCAGAGCCGUCAAGCAUGGAGCCAAGUACGACCGAACCCAGCACCACGAGCAGCCGCGCACCACUACCAGGCAGAGCCAGCACCCCAGGAGCUAAUGUUUAAUCACACCGAAGAGCCCCUGGGAAUACUGCAUGACGUGAUUUCUGUACAAGCCACAGACAAUAGGCACCCUCAUCGCCAGAUGGUAACCUUGGAAGGGAAAGAAGUACAAGGGCUCCGAGAUUCGGGGGCCACUCUGACUCUAGUAGCACCUCAUCUGGUUCCAGGCUCGGCGCACAAAGGCGGAUCCGUGGCAGUUUGAGUAGCAGGGGAAGCGAUGUACCAAUUGCCAACAGCCAAAGUACACUUGAAUUGGGGUGUGGGGGAAGGGAUGGUGAAGGUGGGCAGAAUGACUUCAGCUUUUGUACCUCAAGCCCCGCUCCAAGAGGCGCACCCGGUCACCACAAGACAACAGGCUCGCACCAUGGCUUCAUCCACACACUCUGAGGCUCAGGUAAGAGAAAAUGUACCCCCUAUGAUCCGUGUUCCCUGGGAUACCCCGACUGAAUUUGGAGCAAAGGUUAAGGGAGACCCUACUGUGGUCUUGCAUUGGAGAAGCCUGGUUGCUUGCCUGCUGCCUUUGGACUAUGGCCCCCUUUUAAAAGACUUUAUUUUUGCCUGCAGAAAAGCUGUAUUCGUGCUUUUCUGCCUGGGGUUCAGUAGAUUUGUUUGAAUGUGUUAUACCCCAGAUAGGAAUCCCAUGGAGCCCAUUCGUAUGAAACUGACUGUAAAGACUUUGGCUCCAUGGCGAUUAAACUGUAUUUGUGUGGUCCGAGCGCCAUUCACUUAAUAAUGUGCGCUCAGACCUGAGCUAUCUGGGGAUAUGUGAAAUGUCUGUGUGUUAUGUGUAAAAUGUAACUUUAUGUAUUUUAAAGUGUUUUACUGUCUUUGUGUCUUUUUGCAACCAUGUGCUUAAUGGAGUCUUGUGUCUGUCCUGGGAGAUAAUUCAAUUACUUAUCUCCAGGAUAGAAGACUCUGAAACUGGUUUGGGCCAGAAAGCCAUGCUUCAUUUAGUCACAAAGGACUUUUUACUAACUUUUGAACCCCUUGUCUGAUUUGUGCCAUUUUUGAAUAUGUUGUUCCCCUGAAUGGAUUGAUUGAGAAUAUGUAAUUUUAUGUGAAUGUGAUGUAUGGUUUUGGAGUUAUGAAAGUUGGGUAGAAAGUAUGUUUUAACUGUUUGUAUAAUUGAGUUUCCUCUCAGGAUAAGGGGAGGGAAUAUGUGGGAUGUAACUGUGAUAUGAUUGGUUGUUUUAUCCCUCCCUGUGGGUGGUCCUGUAUUUGAAACACUGUAAUAAAAACCAGGCUGGGUGUGCCAGCACCUCAGACCACUGCUUGACCCUCAACACGGAGCCUUGUCUCGUUCUUGGGGGGAUUCACUGUAUGCUGUUAGAGACUGAUUGCCAGGAGUGUAAGCUGUUCGUCUGCUUUUCCUGUUCGUCUGCUAGCAGCUAUUUGGGAGGUUCCAGUUCGGGAGUUGGAGUGCUAUUUUGUAUGCAGUUUGUGAGUUUUGGUGUUCUGCAGUAGCUGUGCCUGGAUCUCUGGAAAGGGGGCCGAUCGCCUAAACGGUUUUUACCCCUUGUGUGCAAAACGGUCCGUUACAAUUGGUGGCAGCGGUGGGAUCGUUCCUACAGACUACAGGACAGCUACAGGAGACACCAUUCCGUGGAUUUUACAAUUUGUGGGCAACGCAUGUCUCAGUACAGUGACCCUGACAGCAACAGCAUGGAACCAGCAGUGUCAUACGAGGAGGAGGACCUGGAUGGCCGGGAUGCAUUAAGGAAAGGCAUCUGGUACCAGGCCCUGGAUAAUGUACAGUACCAGCGGGGUGAGAGUCUCCCCAGUGAAGAGCAGCGGUUGCAGAAGCAAGUGGCCCUGCGGAUGCCCUUCCUGGGAGAGCAGCCCCUAGAUGAAUGGGUGAAGGAAUUGGAGCACCGGGUAUGGCAGGAGAUUUGGCUGGAAGAUGCAUACCAGGCGCUUUGGUGGUAUGGGGCACAGUACCUGCCCUGGACAGCCGAGCAUGACAAGCCAGAGGGAGAGGAGUUUGAUGGUCCUGGCUUGUUAUGGGAGGCUUUUUCAGAGCCUGAAUUUGGGAGCCCUACACAAGCCCGGUUCAGUGAUCUCUUGGAGUGGAGGGAGAGCAGGUAUGACUGGGACGACACUCACGACAUUGAGCAAGACCUGGCUCACCUAGCAACCCUGGAGUGGGAACUGGAGCAGGACUACCGAGAUCUCUUCCACUCCAUUGAGAAGAUUCAGCAGGACAGCAAGGUGACAGAGCCAGAACCAGACCCAUUCAGCUGGGAAGACAUUGUGGAUAUUUUCUGGGAAGAACCCCAGGUGGCCGGUAGAGAUGGGACCGAGGUCUCUCCACCGGUCCUGCAGGGAAUUGGGAGCCCAGUCUCCAUUCCCCAGCGGCCGUGUGAUUUAUUGGGAAUUGGGAGCCCAGUCUCCAUUCCCCAGCGGGAGAUAUUGCAGGGAAUUGGGAGCCUGAGCUCCAUUCCCCAGCGGCAGGCUGAGUUACAGGGGACAGAGAUAGUCGCUCCUGUCCCCCAGCAGCAGAAUGAAUUGCAGGGAAUUGGGAGCCCGAGCUCCAUUCCCCAGCGGGAGAUAUUGCAGGGAAUUGGGAGCCUGAGCUCCAUUCCCCAGCGGCAGGCUGAGUUACAGGGGGCAGAGGUAGUUGUUCCUGCCCCCCAGCAGCCAAGUGAUAUGCCGGGAAGGCAGUGGGAAGUCCAGGGAGAGGAGAGCAGUGUCCUCCCUCCCCAGCGGCAGCGUGAUUUUUUGGGAAUUGGGAGCCCAGUCUCCAUUCCCCAGCGGCAGAAUGAUGCUUUGGGAAUUGGGAGCCCAGUCUCCAUUCCCCAGCGGCAGUAUGAUGCUUUGGGAAUUGGGAGCCCAGUCUCCAUUCCCCAGCGGCAGUAUGAUGCUUUGGGAAUUGGGAGCCCAGUCUCCAUUCCCCAGCGGCAGAGUGUCCUACCGGGAAUAGAGAGCCCAGUCUCCUUUCCCCAGCAGCAGGACUCUGUAUUGGGAGCAGAGACAGUCGGUCUCCCUCCCCCACAGCUGGAAGUAUGUAUGGGAGAGGAGCUUGUUACCCCCUCUCCCCAGCGGCAGCUUAAUGUACAAAGGGGAGACAGUAAGCCCCACAACCGUGCAGAUGGGACCGUAGUCUCUACACUGCCAGCACAGGGGGUAGGGACGGUCGGUCCUGCCCCCCAGCGACAGGGCUGUUUAGCCAAAGGGGAGACAGUCGGUCUCCCCCUCCAGCAGCAGAGAUGGGUAACCAAAGGGGAGACGGUCGGUCUCCAGCAGCAGGACUGUGCAUCUAAAGGGGAGACAGUCAGUCUCCAGCAGCAGCAGCAGAGCGGUGUAUUUAAAGGGGAGACAGUCGGUCUCCCCCUCCAACAACCAGGCUUCCACCAGGCUACCCUCCCAGUAGCGCUGGCAACAGGGCAGAGUGCCGCUGGUCUCUGCCCACGCAGCAACCCACCAAGUCAGCGUACCCGUACCCAGCACAGCCGUGGUGAGGCACCUGGACCUGGACAAGCUUCCCCUUUACCCAGGUGUAGUAACCAUUUAUUGUGGGUGGGCUGUGCUGUGGAUUAUUUGUUGUGGGUGGGCUGCUGGACUAACAAGGGCACUGACCGGCAGGAGGUCAGAUACCCUGUUAGUCUGUUUGGAAAAGGGGAGAGAUGUGACGAGACCAAUCUCGCCACAUUGCAUUGGAGAAGCCUGGUUGCUCGCCUGCUGCCUUUGGACUAUGGCCCCCUUUUAAAAGACUUUAUUUUUGCCUGCAGAAAAGCUGUAUUCGUGCUUUUCUGCCUGGGGUUCAGUAGAUUUGUUUGAAUGUGUUAUACCCCAGAUAGGAAUCCCAUGGAGCCCAUUCGUAUGAAACUGACUGUAAAGACUUUGGCUCCAUGGCGAUUAAACUGUAUUUGUGUGGUCCGAGCGCCAUUCACUUAAUAAUGUGCGCUCAGACCUGAGCUAUCUGGGGAUAUGUGAAAUGUCUGUGUGUUAUGUGUAAAAUGUAACUUUAUGUAUUUUAAAGUGUUUUACUGUCUUUGUGUCUUUUUGCAACCAUGUGCUUAAUGGAGUCUUGUGUCUGUCCUGGGAGAUAAUUCAAUUACUUAUCUCCAGGAUAGAAGACUCUGAAACUGGUUUGGGCCAGAAAGCCAUGCUUCAUUUAGUCACAAAGGACUUUUUACUAACUGUUGAACCCCUUGUCUGAUUUGUGCCAUUUUUGAAUAUGUUGUUCCCCUGAAUGGAUUGAUUGAGAAUAUGUAAUUUUAUGUGAAUGUGAUGUAUGGUUUUGGAGUUAUGAAAGUUGGGUAGAAAGUAUGUUUUAACUGUUUGUAUAAUUGAGUUUCCUCUCAGGAUAAGGGGAGGGAAUAUGUGGGAUGUAACUGUGAUAUGAUUGGUUGUUUUAUCCCUCCCUGUGGGUGGUCCUGUAUUUGAAACACUGUAAUAAAAACCAGGCUGGGUGUGCCAGCACCUCAGACCACUGCUUGACCCUCAACACGGAGCCUUGUCUCGUUCUUGGGGGGAUUCACUGUAUGCUGUUAGAGACUGAUUGCCAGGAGUGUAAGCUGUUCGUCUGCUUUUCCUGUUCGUCUGCUAGCAGCUAUUUGGGAGGUUCCAGUUCGGGAGUUGGAGUGCUAUUUUGUAUGCAGUUUGUGAGUUUUGGUGUUCUGCAGUAGCUGUGCCUGGAUCUCUGGAAAGGGGGCCGAUCGCCUAAACGGUUUUUACCCCUUGUGUGCAAAACGGUCCGUUACACCUACGUUGAAAGAGUAUAGAGAUAGGGUGACCUCUGAUCAGGCAGGGUUAGAGGGGGAGCGGUAUGCCUGGGAAAAGGGGUUAUUGUAUCGUAUUGCUGAAAGGGUGGUGGGGGGAUCUGUAAAUGUUACUACUAGACAACUAGUAGUACCCCAGAAAUAUGGCAGGAACUCCUUAGGAUUGCUCAUGACAUUCCGUUGUCUUGGCAUCUGGGUAUGACCCAAACUAGAUUCCGACUGACCCAUGCAUUCUUCUGGCCAGGUAUAUCUAAAGAUGUGAGGCGUGUGACAUCUGUCAGAGAGUAGGCAAAAGGGGUGACCGACACAAGGCUAAAUUAUGCCCGCUACCCAUAUGUUACAAAAGACUGGAAAUCACUAUGUUGCUGUUUUAAAUCACCGAUUGAUACUGUUUGCCACUGUAUAAGUUUAAGCAGAAAGACACACGAAUGGAUUACUCGAACCCUUAUAAAGGCUCCAUUCGUGGUACAAACGGGGGACCCCCCAGAAACUGGCGUGUGCCGCCACUUAACCCCGUCACCCCGCAAACUACCGAACGGUCGACCACCCGGCCAGCGGAGUGUGGCAGCCAUUAACCACCCAGGCGGCUGCGGUUAACCACAACUUAAUUGAUAGGCCUGGGGGCAUCGACGUUCGCACCCAAAGUACCGAAUGGAAUCUACCCAACUAUCAACCGAACGGCGACCCCCUACAGCGGGUCGCGUGGCGCUCAUUAACUUGUGGUUGCUGCGGUUAACCGCAAGUCAAGUACCCCUCUACCAGGUGGUCCUCGUUCACGUACCGAACGAGUUCCACUACCAGACGGACAGCGGGGCUUCGCAGGAACUGAUACCCAGGUUUAGUUCCACGAGUUAGAAGCGAGGUCCCGCUGCCCGCUAAACCAUCAGAAAACAUGGCCGCCAACAGAGACUUACAACCCAAAAUGCCGAACGGACUUUAUACGACAGAAUCAGUUCUUUCUGUUCGUGGGAUUGGAGCGCCAUUCGCCUGUUUAACAUAUAUGAACGCGAGCCUUUAGAUGAAUGGUAGAAUGAGCGGUUUCCCUGUAUUAAUGUAAAAGUUAUGGAUUUUUAUGCAGUUUUCUGGGACAUAAUAAAACGUGGUCUUUUGUGCGCUUGGAGAUAAUUAGAUUGUAUAACCGUUGGCCUCAUUAUCUCCAAGCUGGGCGGGUACUAAUUCAAAUAAUACACUGUACUGUGAUUGGAUAUUUGUCUGUACUGUACCUGUAUUCCAUCAGGUCCACAGGGGGCUGUCCUUGGACCUGAGGAAUCACAUAAAUUGCCAUGCUAUGUGCCAGUAAAGCCAGUUCGGUUUUGACCCUCAACUUGCAGCCUCGACUCAUGUUGUAGGGAUCCGGGAUAUUGAUGCUUACUUCGUGUUUGGGAAUAUUCUACACUUGCAGCUUACCACCGAAAGACCUCCGUUCGACUCUCUGCAGCGGGAACCAGGACAUCCAAGCGAUCAACCCUCCUGCUAGACCGGGGGCAAUCGUAACACCAUCAUAGAAGAGCCAUUUAGUAGGGUGGCCAUAAAUAUGGUAGUCAUAGAUAUAGUAGGACCCUCAUCCUCUUUUCCCGGGUGGGGUUCCCACAGGAGAUAAUCUCAGAUAGGGGUACGCAAUUCACAGCCGAAGUAACCCACCAACUCUGGAAAAUAUGUGGCAUUAAGCCUAUUGUGACUUCUGCUUACCAUCCUCAAUCCAAUGGGUUAUGUGAAAGGUUCAAUGGAACUUUAAAGCAGAUGCUCCAUACAUUUGGAGAGGCCCAUAAGGACUGGGAGCGAUUCUUACCCCAUCUGCUGUUCGCCUACAGAGAGGUACCUCAAGAGUCCACUGGGUUUUCCCCCUUUGAAUAAUUUUUGGGGAGAAGGGUGAGAGUACCCCUAGACUUAAUUAGAGAGCAUUGGGAAGGGGAAAGCAGUGCAGAUGGGAUACUCAGCACUUUACAGGUUACAUUACAGUAGAGGGAGGUAGUGCAGUAGGUAUACAGUGUAUGUAUAUUUUAUUUAUAUAGCACUAACAGGUGUACUCAGGCACUUUACAGGUUACAUUACAGUAGAGGGAGGUAGUGCAGUAGGUAUACAGUGUAUGUAUAUAUUAUUUAUAUAGCGCUAACAUGUGUACUCAGCACUUUACAGAUUACAUUACAGUAGAGGGAGGUACAGUAAGUACAGUAGGUAUACAGUGUAUGUAUAUUCUAUUUAUAUAGCGCUAACAUAGAAACAUAGAAUGUGACAGCAGAUAAGAACCAUUCGGCCCAUCUAGUCUGCCCAAUUUUCUAAAUACUUUCUGUAACGGACCGUUUUGCACACAAGGGGUAAAAACCGUUUAGGCGAUCGGCCCCCUUUCCAGAGAUACAGGCACAGCUACUGCAGAACACCAAACUCCCGAACUGGAUACAAAAUAGCACUCCAACUCCCGAACUGGAACCUCCCAAAUAGCUGCUAGCAGACGAACAGGAAAAGCAGACAAUCGGCUUACACUCCUGGCAAUCAGUCUCUAACAGCAUACAGUGAAUCCCCCCAAGAACGAGACAAGGCUCCGUGUUGAGGGUCAAGCAGUGGUCUGUUUAAUGAGGGCUACCUGUCCGGCUUUUAUGCAGGUCUCCCACCUGGUGGACACUCCCCUAGGGGACCAAAUGGGAGACUGUGACAAGGGACAGACAAGUAUACAAAUAGGACACACAGUCACAGUAUAUUCCCACAAUGUAUCCUGGCUUCCUCCCCUCUGCCCUGGGAGAUAAUUGGGAAGUAACUCAAUUAUCUCCCAAGACAAAGGCAAAACUCCAUUACACACGUGGGAACACAAAACCAGCAUAAUAUUUUAAAAUGCACAAAGUAACAUUUACUACAUAAAACACAGACAUGUAACAUAUCCCCAGAUAGCUCAGGUCUGAGUGCACAUUAUUAAGUGAAUGGCACUCAGCCUACACGAAUACAGUUCAAUCGCCAUGGAGCCAAAGUCUUUACAGUCAGUUUCAUACGAAUGGGCUCCAUGGGAUUCCUAUCUGGGGUAUAAGAAAUUCACACAAAAAUACCGAACACCGGGUCAUUCGUGUGCUUUCACCGAACAAGGAGGGGGGUCGGCGGCUUCAGCGGUGUUCGCGCAAAACUGUGUCCGAUUUUAGUUCCAUGAAAAUAGAGGCGAACACCGCUGUUCAUUCGUAUGGUUUAAAAUGGCCGCGACCUCGUGUUCGGGAUACGAACGGCGGCCACCCAGCGCUCAUCAAUUAAGCUGCGGUUAACCGCAGCUUCAGGGAGGUUAAUUGCCGGCACACUCCAGCUCCCAGGUGGUCCAGUCAUUCGUACGGUUGUUCGGUAGAUUGAAACUACCGAACAACCGGCAGAAAAGCACGAAUACAGCUUUUCUGCCUGCAAAAAUAAAGUCUUUUACAAAGGGGCCAUAGUCCAAAGGCAGCAGGCGAGCAACCAGGCUUCUCCAAUGCAAUGUGGCGAGAUUGGUUUCGUCACAUCUCUCCCCUUUUCCAAACAGACUAACAGGGUAUCUGACCUCCUGCCGGUCAGUGCCCUUGUUAGUCCAGCAGCCCACCCACAAAACAUAAUCACCAGCACAGCCCACCCACAAUAAAUGGUUACUACACCUGGGUAAAGGAGAAGCUUGUCCAUGUCCAGGUGCCUCACCACGGCUGUGCUGGGUACGGGUACGCUGACUGGGUGGUUUGCUGCGUGGGCAGAGACCAGCGGCACUCUGCCCUGUUGCCAGCGCUACUGGGAGGGUAGCCUGGUUGAAGCCUGGUUGUUGGAGGGGGAGACCGACUGUCUCCCCUUUAACUACACCGCUCUGCUGCUGGAGACCGACUGUCUCCCCUUUUGUUGCACAGCUCUGCUGCUGGAGGGGGAGACCGACUGUCUCCCCUUUGGAUACUCUAAGAUGUCGCUGGGGAGAGGGGGUAACAGGCUCCUCCCCCGAUAGAACACUCUGCCGCUGGGCUCCCAAUUCCCUGCAAUAUCUCCCGCUGGGGAAUGGAGCAUCUGGUCCCCUAGGGGAGUGUCCACCUGGUGGACACUCCCCUAGGGGACCAGAUGGAAGACUGUGACAAGGGACAGACAAGUAUACAAAUAGGACACACAGUCACAGUAUAUUCCCACAAUGCAUCCUGGCUUCCUCCCCUCUGCCCUGGGAGAUAAUUGGGAAGUAAUUCAAUUAUCUCCCAAGACAAAGGCAAAACUCCAUUACACACGUGGGAACACAAAACAGCAUUAUACUUUAAAAUGCACAAAGUAACAUUUACUACAUAAAACACCGACAUGUAACACAUCCCCAGAUAGCUAAGGUCUGAGUGCACAUUAUUAGGUGAAUGGCACUCAGACUACACGAAUACAGUUCAAUCGCCAUGGAGCCAAAGUCUUUACAGUCAGUUUCAUACGAAUGGGCUCCAUGGGAUUCCUAUCUGGGGUAUAAGAAAUUCACACAAAAAUACCGAACGCCGGGUCAUUCGUGUGCUUUCACCGAACAAGAAGGGAGGUCGGCGGCUUCAGCGGUGUUCGCGCAAAACUGUGUCCGAUUUUAGUUCCAUGAAAAUAGAGGCCAACACCGCUGUUCAUUCGUAUGGUUUAAAAUGGCCGCGACCUCGUGUUCGGGAUACGAACGGCGGCCACCCAGCGUUCAUCAAUUAAGCUGCGGUUAACCGCAGCUUCAGGGAGGUUAAUUACCGGCACACUCCAGCUCCCAGGUGGUCCAGUCAUUCGUACGGUUGUUCGGUAGAUUGAAACUACCGAACAACCGGCAGAAAAGCACGAAUACAGCUUUUCUGCCUGCAAAAAUAAAGUCUUUUACAAAGGGGCCAUAGUCCAAAGGCAGCAGGCGAGGAGACUGAGCUCUCUAUUCCCUGCCCAUUAAUGAUCCGCCGCUGGGGAGAGGUGGUAGCAAGCUCCUCUCCCAUACAUACUUUCAUCCUCUGUGGAGGGAGACCGACUGUCUCCGCUCCCAAUACAGUGUCCUGCUGCUGGGGAAAGGAGACUGGGCUCUCUAUUCCCGGUAGGACACUCUGCCGCUGGGGAAUGGAGACUGGGCUCCCAAUUCCCAAUAAAUCAUUCUGCCACUGGGGAAUGGAGACUGGGCUCCCAAUUCCCAAUAAAUCAUUCUGCCACUGGGGAAUGGAGACUGGGCUCCCAAUUCCCUGCUGUAUCUCCCGCUGGGGAAUGUAGACUGGGCUCCCAAUUCCCAAUAACUCAUACUGCCGCUGGGGAAUGGAGACUGGGCUCCCAAUUCCCUGCAAUUCAUUCUGCUGCUGGGGGACAGGAGCAACUAUCUCUGUCCCCUGUAACUCAGCCUGCCGCUGGGGAAUGGAGACUGGGCUCCCAAUUCCCUGCAAUAUCUCCCGCUGGGGAAUGGAGCCUGGGCUCCCAAUUCCCUGCAAUAUCUCCUCAUUGGGAAAUGGAGACUGGGCCCCACCCCUGCACACUCCCUGGGGAACUGAGCCUCGGGCCCCACCCUGCAAUUUUCUCCCCAUUGGGGAAUGGAGACUGGGUCCCACCCCUGCACCACUUCUCCCCGGCUGGGGAAUGGAGACUGGGCCCCACCCCCCGCAAUACCCCCGCUGGGAAUGGAGCCCCGGCCCCACCCCCCGUAAUUCUCCCCGCUGGGAAUGGAGACUGGCCCCCACCCUGCACGCUGGGGAAUGGAGACUGGGCUCCCAAUUCCCUGCAUAUCACACUGCCGCUGGGGAAUGGAGACUGGGCUCCCAAUUCCCUGCAUAUCCCACUGUGGGCUCCCAAUUCCCUGCAGUACCUGUCGCUGGAGUUCUUCCCAACGUGCCAGCUGACCUUCUCUUUCUGCCCGGUGUUGCAGAUUCUUGAACACUAGAUUCCUUAUAAGCUGCACCGAUUUCUCUGGUGGAUUGGGUCCGUAGUACUUCAGCCGCAAUCCCAUCAUAUUGUCAAACUCUCUCCUUGAGUAGCUGUACGCCACUGCUGGUUCCAUGCUGUUGCUGUCAGGGUCGCUGUACUGGGACAUGCGUUGCCCUCAAAUUGUAAAUCCACAGAAUGGUGUCGCCUGUAGCUGUCCUGUUGUCUGUGGGAACGAUCCCGCCGCUUGCCACCAAUUGUAACGGACCGUUUUGCACACAAGGGGUAAAAACCGUUUAGGCGAUCGGCCCCCUUUCCAGAGAUACAGGCACAGCUACUGCAGAACACCAAACCCCCGAACUGGAUACAAAAUAGCACUCCAACUCCCGAACUGGAACCUCCCAAAUAGCUGCUAGCAGACGAACAGGAAAAGCAGACAAUCGGCUUACACUCCUGGCAAUCAGUCUCUAACAGCAUACAGUGAAUCCCCCCCAAGAACGAGACAAGGCUCCGUGUUGAGGGUCAAGCAGUGGUCUGUUUAAUGAGGGCUACCUGCCCAGCUUUUAUGCAGGUCUCCCACCUGGUGGACACUCCCCUAGGGGACCAGAUGGGAGACUGUAACAAGGGACAGACAAGUAUACAAAUAGGACACACAGUCACAGUAUAUUCCCACAAUGCAUCCUGGCUUCCUCCCCUCUGCCCUGGGAGAUAAUUGGGAAGUAAUUCAAUUAUCUCCCAAGACAAAGGCAAACUCCAUUACACACGUGGGAACACAAAACCAGCAUAACACUUUAAAAUGCACAAAGUAACGUUUACUACAUAAAACACCGACAUGUAACACAUCCCCAGAUAGCUCAGGUCUGAGUGCACAUUAUUAGGUGAAUGGCACUCAGACUACACGAAUACAGUUCAAUCGCCAUGGAGCCAAAGUCUUUACAGUCAGUUUCAUACGAAUGGGCUCCAUGGGAUUCCUAUCUGGGGUAUAAGAAAUUCACACAAAAAUACCGAACACCGGGUCAUUCGUGUGCUUUCACCGAACAAGAAGGGAGGUCGGCGGCUUCAGCGGUGUUCGCGCAAAACUGUGUCCGAUUUUAGUUCCAUGAAAAUAGAGGCGAACACCGCUGUUCAUUCAUAUGGUUUAAAAUGGCCGCGACCUCGUGUUCGGGAUACGAACGGCGGCCACCCAGCGUUCAUCAAUUAAGCUGCGGUUAACCGCAGCUUCAGGGAGGUUAAUUGCCGGCACACUCCAGCUCCCAGGUGGUCCAGUCAUUCGUACGGUUGUUCGGUAGAUUGAAACUACCGAACAACCGGCAGAAAAGCACGAAUACAGCUUUUCUGCCUGCAAAAAUAAAGUCUUUUACAAAGGGGCCAUAGUCCAAAGGCAGCAGGCGAGCAACCAGGCUUCUCCAAUGCAAUGUGGCGAGAUUGGUCUCGUCACACUUUCAUUAGUCCCUAGUCUUAUCUUAUAGUUAGGAUAGCCUUAUGCCUAUCCCACACAUGCUUAAACUCCUUUACUGUGUUAACCUCUACCACUUCAGCUGGAAGGCUAUUCCAUGCAUCCACUACCCUCUCAGUAAAGUAAUACUUCCUGAUAUUAUUUUUAAACCUUUGUCCCUCUAAUUUAAGACUAUGUACUCUUGUUGUGGUAGUUUUUCUUAUUUUAAAUAUAGUCUCCUAACAGGUGUACUCAGCACUUUACAGGUUACAUUACAGUAGAGGGAGGUACAGUAAGUGCAGUAGGUAUACAGUGUAUGUAUAUUUUAUUUAUAUAGCGCUAACAGGUGUACUCAGCACUUUACAGGUUACAUUACAGUAGAGGGAGGUACAGUAAGUGCAGUAGGUAUACAGUGUAUGUAUAUAUUAUUUAUAUAGCGCUAACAGGUGUACUCAGCACUUUACAGGUUACAUUACAGUAGAAGGAGGUACAGUAAGUGCAGUAGGUAUACAGUGUAUGUAUAUUUUAUUUAUAUAGCGCUAACAGGUGUACUCAGCACUUUACAGGUUACAUUACAGUAGAGGGAGGUACAGUAAGUGCAGUAGGUAUACAGUGUAUGUAUAUUUUAUUUAUAUAGCGCUAACAGGUGUACUCAGCACUUUACAGGUUACAUUACAGUAGAGGGAGGUACAGUAAGUAUACAGUGUAUGUAUAUUUUAUUUAUAUAGCGCUAACAGGUGUACUCAGCACUUUACAGGUUACAUUACAGUAGAGGGAGGUACAGUAAGUGCAGUAGGUAUACAGUGUAUGUAUAUUUUAUUUAUAUAGUGCUAACAGGUGUACUCAGCACUUUACAGGUUACAUUACAGUAGAGGGAGAUACAGUAAGUGCAGUAGGUAUACAGUGUAUGUAUAUUAUAUUUAUAUAGCGCUAACAGGUGUACUCAGCACUUUACAGGUUACAUUACAGUAGUGGGAGGUACAGUGAGUGCAGUAGGUAUACAGUGUAUGUAUAUUUUAUUUAUAUAGCGCUAACAGGUGUACUCAGCACUUUACAGGUUACAUUACAGUAGAGGGAGGUACAGUAAGUGCAGUAGGUAUACAGUGUAUGUAUAUUUUAUUUAGGCACUAACAGGUGUACACAGCACUUUACAGGGUACAUUACAGUAGAGGGAGGUACAGUAAGUGCAGUAGGUAUACAGUGUAUGUAUAUUAUAUUUACAUAGCACUAACAGGUGUACUCAGCACUUUACAGGUUACAUUACAGUAGAGUAUAUUAUACUUACAUAGCACUAACAGGUGUACUCAGCACUUUACAGGUUACAUUACAGUAGAGGGAGGUACAGUAAGUGCAGUAGGCCAUGAGGUGCAGGCCUCCACGACAGCCCGGGGCUACAUGGAAGGUUUACCAAGAUCCUGCCCCGUGCCAUCACACCAACCCCCACACCUGAAACCGAGCCGAGGCAUAGGCUAAACCAGGACUUUUAACCUAAAAAAGCGUGGAAAGAUGACGGGACCACCCACACACUGGACUAAGCUCUUUCAAAGUACUCCCAGCCUAUCUUGCCGCUCCCACAAGGGUAGCCGCAAGGAGAACUUCUUACAUGAAUACACGUUCGCACAUACAUCGGCACUGUAUGGGCGGUGAACCGAAGCAGGCUGGAUGGGCUGGCUACACAGGAGGCACACACCUAGCAUAGGCAUACACCAGCCAGCUGCACAAAUACACACGAGUUGCACCCACUACUAAGCUGACAAGGGGGACACUAAACCGGCCAGUACGCAACAGCAGUGAAUGCAAGGAUGGAUGGACCGUAGUACUCUAGGCAUGUCGCCUUACUGAGACAUAGACAACCAGCACACACUCGAUCACACUUAGCACGCACAGCCUGGUACAUGACAUACACCUGCUCAGUGGUCCGCCCGAGGACCCCCAACAGGAUAACCACGACCAGACACACACUACUUGGGACAAGCAUAGAUGACUAACGACACAAGCCAGGUGACACUAUCGUGACUACUCAUAAAACUUAUACUAACUCAGCUUACACCAUCCGCAAGUAGCGUGCUUACUUUACUAUGUGUCUCUGGAGAAAAACACAGCAAACAAAUCAUUUUCUCAUUGUUUGUUUUCCCAUUAGUUUACAAGCCUGUUGAAUCCAUCGUACCGACUCAAGCUACAUACACAAAUGUACCUUAAACUAUAUCGACAAUAGCUUGUUUACUUUAUCGUUACCUCUGUUAUUUAAAAAUGUAUGCAAACUGUAAGAAAUAUUAAAUAGUUAACUUGUUUAUAUGUAUUUUAUGCUUUUAUAAGGUUUAUAACAUGAUUAUUGCUGACUGAAGGGAUAUUGAAUACUUAAAGUCAAUAUGCUGACUGUGACAGACUAAGGUAUUUCUUCUAUAGGAUGUAAGACAAUGCUAAAAUUUCAGGAUGUCUUGCCCAUUCCGAUUUCAGGAUAUUAUUUUCCAGACGUAUGCAAAAAAAAGCUUAUCUUCCCAUUGUCAGAAUAACAUGUAAUAUAUAAGGAAGUAAUAAAUCGUAUAAUCUGUAUUGUAUUGCAUAUCUCAUGACUAAGGUAAACAAAACUGUAUAAAUGCUAGCUUCACAGUAAUACAGAUUGAGAACUUGUUAAGCACCUUCGUGUCUGUCUGUUAUUUGCUAAGCAAGUCUCUCCCGUCAAUUGAUGUGGUGAACAGAGGAUCGAGAACCGAGGGUUGAGUCCAGGACAGCAUUAACCCUUUCAGCUUGGUGUCAGAAGUGGGAUAGAAGUUGGAUCAGCAAAAUCAUUGGGUAAGUAGCCUUUUUGUGUCUUAUUUGACGCUGAUUGUCUAUGACCCCUUUGGUUUAGUAAGACUGUAUCCAGUACAUAGGAAAGGUGUAAGGACUCUAGUUAUAUUGAGACUGUAAAUAGGUCUCCGGUUUAUUAGACAUUUGGUCUAAGUAUAUAUAGGGUUUUGGUAACCCAGGUUAGUAUCUAAGAUAGAUACAGGGUAUCUCAGGUAGAUACAGGUUUUGAGACUAUAAAGGAGUCUCCGGUUUAUUAAGAUUAUAAGUGUUCUAGGGAACACGGUUUAUAGAUCUAGAAUAACCCAAACUUCUCGUUUCUCUGGUCACCUUGUCUGUUUUGUGUUUAUUUUGCUUGUUAAGUAGAGACACACUAUUGGUAAGUAGGUAGUGUCUCUACCCUGAGCCAGAAAUAUGGGAAAUAAACUGUCUAUUUCUUACCCUUUACCUCACCCAGGGGAGUCAUGUCUAAAUUAUGUUACUAGAGUUGGAGCACAAGGAGGAUUUCUUACUAUCCCCUUUGUGUCAAAUGUAGCAGGAUGGACAGAGACUAUGAAGUCAUCUGAUCCUUUUCCCAGGUGUGGGGCUAAUGAUGAUUUCCAUAUGAAUAUGAUUCGAGGAUUGUGUUUGGGAGAUAGGAAGUCAUGGCCGUGGUAUGGUCCUGAUCCAGAUUGGGAUAAGGAAUAUAUGAAAGCAGGAGGUGAAAAUUGGUUGCAGAUAGCCCCUCACUGGUUUCCUUGUAGUAUAACAGGAAAGGUUUUAAAGGGAGCUAAGAAACACCUGGCUAAGAGAAAGGGAACUGUUGAUAGUAAUACCAUUCACUUUCCCAUAGGAGCCCCUCCUGAGAAUCUAUAUUCAUCACCAAUUGUGCCCCCUACCCAGUCAGCCCCCGGCCAUGCCCAACCACAACCCCCACCUCCCUAUAAAGCAAUGUAUCCUGCUUUACCUAAUGCCCCCUCAGAAGAUGAUAUAGAGGAUGUUUGUAUUGCUGCAACUGUUAAUUCAAAAUCACAGCAAUUACAGCAAUUACAGGAAUCAUCAUCUAUACCAGAUUCUGAUAUAGAAUAUCCACCGUCACCUCCCGGUCCAAUUAAACUAACAGUACAGACGGGAAUUAAACUUAAAAGUGGCAAGAUGUUAAAAACAUAUGUACAUAAACAAGAUGAUGAUGAUGUAGAGAUGCCAGAAUUAGAAGGUGCUGAUCUUACUGCCCCAUUCAUGACUGUUGGUAAUCAGUUAAUAGUGAAACCUAUUAAUCCUGGAGUACUCAAGGACAUUAUUCAAGGUGCCCCAAACCCCCGUACUAAUCCCUCUGCAUGCCUAAUGUAUUUGAAAAGAAUGUGCUUAGGACAGAACAUGACACAGAUAGAUAUACAGUUAAUUAUAAAUGGAAUAUUAGGGUAUGAUUCAGAUUCUGGUUGGAAUUGGUCUAAUGUACCCUCUAUCAGUGAGACAGACAAUGGUACUGAAGUUGGAGAGGCUGGUAGUGAUGGUGUUUAUGAGCUUAGUACUUCAGCAGGAUGUGCUAAAAUGUGGAAUGAGGUGGAAGUUGAAAUGUUGAGAUUAUGGAAGAAUAAGCAGUCUAUAUCCACUGCUUUGGCAUGUAAGCAAGGUGCAAAGGAAGAGAUUGGUAUUUUUGUAAAAAGAUUUUACAAAUGUUGGAAGGAUGAGGCAGGUUUGAAGUCUGGAGAGGAUAUGGAUCUCCUUAAAAUACAGUCAUGCCUUGGUAAUAUGUUGCCACAGUAUUCUUUGCUUGUGAAACAAUUGAUUUCAGACUGGGCCAAUUUGGAUGGCUCAGAUUUUCUUACCAAGGUUAUAGAAAAGGAAAAUGCAGGUUGUUUUGACUUAAGGAAAGAUUCAGGAAGUAAGGUUGCUUAUUAUGCUCAGGGAUUGCAACAUUGUCCACCUACACAGGCCCGAGAGAGAGGAUGGGAUGGAGCACAUAGAGCCCGUGGAAGGGGUGGUCAAAGAGGUGCAAGGGGAUGGAGACAGGGAAAUCAGGGUUAUAGGGGCAGGGGUAACCAAGGAGGAAUAGACAGGAACACUUGUUUCAACUGUGGGCAGAAUGGCCAUUGGAGAAAUGAGUGUCCACACCCCAGGAAACCCCAGCAGCCCCAACAACCCUACAAUUCUCAAAAUAUGCCCGGUAGGCAAGAACAACACCAGGCCCACUCCCAACACCACUGGCCAGCACUCCCCCCUGCCCCCUCUCUCCAGCAAGCCCAAACUGCACUAGGGCCAUUCACAGGUACCACUGACCAGCACACACAUCACAUCCCAUGGCCCCAAUAGGGAUGCCUUGAAGGUGACACUCUAACUUUUCCACUUUUGUCCUCUACUAAUGAUGAUCAGCCUUUUUGCAUUCUGGUCAUAGAAGGUAGAUCCUUGCCAUUUUUGGUAGAUACUGGAGCUACGUGUUCCAGUCUCUGUGAUACCUAUUAUCAGGGGACAAGGAAAAAGUCUACACCUUCAUUGGGUAUUAAUGGAGUGUCAACACCCACUUUUGUCACACCACCACUGUCUGUUUUCUGUCCUCUUAAUGGUUCUUCUACUAUGCACCCUUUUCGUAUAAUACCUAAAUGUCCUGUUAAUUUGCUGGGAAGGGAUCUUCUUGGUAUUCUGGGAGCUACCAUUACUUGCACGCCCUCUGGUGGUAUUGAUGUGUCUAUGUUGUGUUCUGAAACUAUUGAUUUGUCUGCUGUUCCUUCCUCUGUGUGGGCUUCAUCUAAGUUAGAUGUAGGAUUUGUCAACUGCACCCCUUACAAAGCCAAACUAAAACCAGCUGUAACUCCUAUCUACCUUAAACAGUACCCCCUGUCAGAAGCCAAAGUUGAGGGAGUUCGCCCCAUGAUCCAAUCUUUUCUAGAGCAGGGAAUACUAAAGCCAGUAGUUUCCCCAUAUAACACACCUAUUAAUCCAGUUCCUAAAGGUAAUGGUUAUCGCUUAGUUCAGGACUUUAGAGCCCUGAAUAGUUUAAUUGUGCCCAUUGCACCCAUUGUCCCUGAUGUGACAUCCCUCAUUACAGCCAUUCCACAUGAUGCCACUUGCUUCACUGUCAUUGAUUUAAGUAAUGCAUUUUUUUUCUAUACCUAUUGAUCAAGAGACACAGCUACUUAUGGCUUUUACUUUUGAAGGCUGUCAGUAUACCUGGACACGUUUACCCCAAGGCUAUGUGGACUCCCCAGCUGUUUAUUCGCUGGUACUCCAACAUACUCUAAAAACAUGGACCCCCGGUCAUGGUUCCGUCCUUUUGCAAUAUGUUGAUGAUUUGUUGUUAUGUAGCCCUAGCUAUGAGGCAAGCACUGUGGAUACUGUCAGUUUGCUCAGACACUUAGCAACUGUGGGUCACAAGGUUGCAAAACACAAAAUGCAAUUGUGUAAAUCAAAGGUUGAUUACUUAGGUUUUGUUCUGGCUUCAGGCACCAGACAAUUGAGUCCAAAACGUAUUGAGGUCAUUCAGAGGAUUCCUAAACCCACUACUCGGAAGGAGUUGCUCACCUUCCUCGGCAUGAUUAAUUACUGCCGCCAAUGGAUCCCUGAAUGCUCUCAUUAUGACUCAAUCCUAAGGGAGGCUGUACGUUCUGACAGCCCUGAAAAUGUCUGCUGGUCACCAGACAUGUUAGCUGCGUAUAUAGCCCUCAAGGUUGCUAUUGUGCAAGCCCCGGCUUUAGGACUACCUGUGUAUUGUAAACCAUUUCAUUUGUAUGCUCGGGACAACUGUAAAACCAUGGCCGCGGUCUGUGCACAAGAGCACGGAGGCGGUAUGCGUCCCAUAGCAUUCUUUUCCAAAAUAUUUCCAGCUCCGGUACAGGGUAUGCCGGCGUGUCUCAGAGCAUUGGCAGCAUGUGCAAUGGCUGUUGAGACUGCUACUACUAUCACACUAGGGCAUCCUACAGUACUCCAUACCAGUCACCAGGUCACUCAGCUGAUAAAAAAUAUCACCACACAACACAUGACAGCCCAGCGUUUAAGUGGUUAUGAGAUUAUUCUUCUUAACACCCAGAAUCUGUCUAUUGUGUAUAGUCCUGUUAAUUCUGGUCCUAUGUCUGUUUUGCAUGCUAUUCUUACUUCUGCAUCUGACUCUGUGUCUAUACCAUCUGAGCCUCAUAAUUGCAUUGAACAAAUACAUAUUGCCACAUCUCCCAGAGCAGACCUCUCCUCCACAGCACUCAGUGGCCCGGAUGUGACCACUGUCUUUGUGGAUGGCUCUUGCUCCAGACCAAAUGACGGUACGUACCUCACAGGCUAUGCUGUGGUACAGCUACCUGAUAAAAUCAUUGAAGCUGACACUAUUUUCCAGCCGUCUGCACAAGCUGCAGAACUCAUUGCUCUCACACGUGCCUGUCAGCUUUUCUCAGGACAGCGAGUGAACAUUUACACAGACUCACGAUAUGCUCAUGGGGUAGUGCAUGAUUUUGGUGUGAUCUGGAAACAAAGAGGUUUUGUAGGAGCCGAUGGAAAAGCCAUUUCACACACAAAUCUCAUCCAAUCACUCCUAGAUGCUAUCCUACUACCAUCUGAAGUAGCUAUUAUCCACUGCAAGGCACACACUCUUGGUAGUGAUGACAUUUCAAGAGGAAAUGCCUUGGCUGACAAAGUAGCAAAAGAAGCUGCAGCCAAGAUUGUUUACUUUAAAAUGUUUCCUGCUAUGCUUAAACCACCCACAUGCCCUACUGACAGUUUGCUUUUGCAGCUUCAAGCCUUUGCAACGCAAUCUGACUUGGAUUUUUGGAUUAAACAAGGUUUAGAAAAAGAUCAGAAUGAUCUUUUCUCUAAAGAGGGGAAGAUUGGCAUACCUGAAGCAAGUUGUUUUAUUUUCAUCAGUCAGGCACAUGGUCCUGGCCAUAAAAGCAUAGCAAGUACCAUCCAAUUCCUCAUGAAUUCAUUUUAUAUUAGGAAUCUUAGGCAGCAUGUACAGUCUUUUGUAAGAUCAUGUGAACCAUGUAUGAGAACACAUCCAAAUAUUCCACACAAAUCACAGCAUGAACAUUUGCCCCCUCCAGCUGCUCCUUUUACACACUUACAGAUUGAUUUUACUCAUGUACCCAAAAUUGGUAAGAAACAGCAAUACUUACUGGUCAUAGUUGAUCAGUUUAGUAGAUGGCCCGAAGCCUUUGUGACAUCCAGGGAAGAUGCUAGGACUGUAGUGAAGAUUCUUGCUACUGAAAUUAUUCCCAGGUAUGGCUGCCCUCUGCAGAUUAACUCUGAUAAUGGCCUGGCUUUUGCUAGUAAGGUUACCCAGGAACUUGCUAAAUUCUUGCAAGUUACCUGGAAGUUUCAUAUACCCUAUCAUCCACAGAGUUCAGGGGUAGUUGAAAGGAUGAAUAGGACCAUUAAGGAGAAGCUUAUGAAAGCUACUGCAGGAACAUGGGUAAAUUGGACAAAAUAUCUACCAGCUAUUUUAGCUGAGAUAAGAAUGACUCCCCACAAGGUGACUAAAUUAUCUCCAUUUGAGAUUCUGAUGGGACGACCUUUUCCCACACCCUGGGCCAGGGAACCGCUUGUUAUAAUGUCUGGGGAUUUACAGCUAAUACAAGAACAAUAUGUACAGGAAUUGUUGAUGAAACUGAAUGGUAUAUAUGGCAAUGUUUCUUCGCAGUUUCCCUUACCUUCACAGGAACCUACUCAUCCAUACCAGCCCGGUGACAAGGUGUAUAUCCGUCAGCUGAACAGGACCAAGAAAGGAGGAUACCCUUUCGGACCACCUGCUACUGUGAUUGCUGUAACCAGAACCGCUGUCCUCACAGAUUCCCACGACAUCUGGAUUCACGCAUCCCGAGUGAAGCUGUGUCCAAAGAGGGGAGCCAAGGAAGACAACACCACUCCUCGCUCGGAAACAGAAGAAGUCCCCCUUAGCGAAGCAUCAUGGUUUUCACACCAUAUCGUAGAUUGAGAGGAUCAUACGAAUCUGAGACCAAGAUUAUGUUGUGUGCUAUGUUUUCUGGAGUAGUUAUACUCCCUUUGAUAUUGUUCCUUGAAUGCCAUUAUGAAUACGAGGCAAUGGCAAGUUUGAAACCUGUUUGUUUCUGGAAAGAAGACUCUGACAUGAUGAACAAUUCUUCAAUACCCCCAGCCCAAUUAGGCCUUAACCCCUCAUCUAGCAUUCGUCACACACGCUCCCUCAAGAACUUUUCUCCACCACCUUUUUAUCAGCAUGUAAUAUGCAAUCAUUCAUUCACUGAACGCAUUUGGAUGAAUUGGACAAAUAAUAACCCUUAUAAGUAUCAAUUACUCAUAUGGAAUGUGUCCACAGCUAAUGAAACCGAUGCAUUAUGUUUGUUUGAAGGUUCACGGAAAAUUGUUAGAUCUUAUAACACAGAAAUGUGCACAGUUAAGGUUGCUAAUUACACUGGUAUCUGUGCCACCUUAUUUANNNNNNNNNNNNNNNNNNNNNNNNNNNNNNNNNNNNNNNNNNNNNNNNNNNNNNNNNNNNNNNNNNNNNNNNNNNNNNNNNNNNNNNNNNNNNNNNNNNNCAGCCCUCGAGAAAUCUUGAAGGCGAGCAUCAGAGGUGGGAGUACGGACAGAAGAUAGACGUAAGUCUUCAGCAGAUCGUAAGGGCCUAGAUGGGACAUACUUGUGUAUAAGGGAUAUAGAUAGGUGGGAGCAGCAUUAUGUAGAGAUUUGAAAGCAAGAACCAGAAUUUUAAAUUGAGCUCUAUAUUUUAUAGGAAGCCAAUGUAGGGACUGACAGAAGGGUGAGGCAUGGGAGGUGCGGGCGGACAGUAAGAUGAGCCUCGCCGCCGCAUUCAUUAUGGACUGUAACGGCGCAAGUUGGGAGCACGUAAAACCACUGAGAAGCAGAUUACAGUAGUCAAGGCAAGAAAGGACAGUGGAAUGGACCAACACCUUAGUCCAGUGUUUCCCAACCCAGUCCUCAAGGCACACCUACCAGUCCAGGAUUUAGGGAUUACCCAGUUGCGUCUAAGGUGUUUUUUCUCUUCUUUGUAAAAACACCUUAGACACAACUGGGUAAUCCCUAAAUCCUGGACUGGUAGGUGUGCCUUGAGGACUGGGUUGGGAAAGACUGCCUUAGUCGCAUCUGGCGUUAAGUAGGGGCAGAUGCGCGCAAUGUUUUUGAGAUGGAAAUGACAGGAUUUAGCAAUAGAUUGAACAUGAGGCUUGAAGGAGAGGUCGGAGUCAAAGAGAACACCUAGGCAGCAAGCCUGCGUGGUGGAGCUGAUGGUAGCACUUGUUGACUUGGAGGGAGACAGACACAGGAGUAACAACACUUGAGGGAGGAAAGACCAGAAUUUCAGUUUUGGUCAAGUUUAGUUUAAGGAAGUGGGCAGCCAUCCAGUUAGAAACAGCAGAGAGGCAGUCAGAGACACUAGUCAAGAGGGACGGGGAGAGAUCAGGAGAGGACAGGUAGAUUUGCGUGUCAUCUGCAUUGAAAUGAUAUUGGAAGCCAAAGGAGCUAAUGAGUUUACCAAGGGAGGCAGUAUAGAUGGAGAACAGUAGGGGACCAAGGACUAAACCUUGGGGGACACCAACAACAAUUAUGUAUCGGUAACUAAGAAUAAACCGUAAGAAGCCGUAAGUCAGAUUGCGUACUAGUACUUUUCAUUAAUAUAGACGUAUAUUAAUGUUUCAAGCCUUUAACCUAAGAAAUAUACAUAAAAGAAUUAUUCCAAUCAAGUGGAAAAAGAUACAGAAGAAACAAAGAUUUUACACUCCUACAGGUAGUCUCGACUGAUGGUGUGAGGUAAAGGCUGUAAUCACUGCUACAUUUCACCUAGGAAUGCUGCUCAGAUUACUUUAAAAAUGGACAUCAGAGCACUCCUAUUGGCACCGAAUACUUCAACUCAGCAAGGUGAUAUUGGAUGGUCUGAAAGGAAGCCAAGAAGUAAUGGAGUAACAUUACAACAAACAAUCUGCACCUCUUUUUAAAUGCCCUUCCACCCAGGUCUGUAUUUACCACAAGGCAAAAAAUGCCACCCAGGUCUUGUUUGUCUUGUGUUCUGGUGGGCCCAAGAGCUGGCUGGCUACCUUAGGUCCCUCCCCUCCACCCACCCGUGGUGUUAAUCUACUAAUAUUCUAUCCUGAUGGUGAGCGGAGCGCUGUCCUCCGCUUUUCUUGCUCCCUUGCGCUCUCUUCUGUGAUGCCGGGAGCCAGAAUAUGAUGUCACUCUGGCCCUGGCCUCACUAAGUGGUGCAGAGGGAGCUGAGCAAUAAGAGUUCAGUUCCCUCGCCGCCUCCAUUGAGCGCAGCAGAGCCAGCGCAGCCAGAAACCCCAGCAAAGUCAGCAACCCCAGCAGAGCCAGCCCAGCCAGAAACCCCAGCAAAGUCAGCAACUCCAGCAGAGCCAGCCCUAGCAGAGCCAGCCAAGUCAGCAGGAGCCAACAAAGAGUCUGCAGAGCCAGCCCAGCCAGAAACCCCAGCAAAGUCAGCAACCCCAGCAGAGCCAGCCCAACCAGCAGUCCCAUUAGGGCCAGCAGCCCCAGCAAAGCCGGCCCUAGCAGAGCCAGCCUAGUCAGCAGGAGCCAACAAAGAGUUUGCAGAGCCAGCCCAGCCGCUGUCAGGGACAGCAUCCACUCCAGCUCUCCCAAAGGUAGAGAGGCUGGGUGGAUUUACAUUUUUUUAAAAUUAAUAAUUUGUGAGUAUAAUGAGUGUAUGAGAAAAUGUGUGUUACACAGUUACAUAGCUGAAAAGAGACUUGCGUCCAAGUUCAGCCUUCCUCACAUAUGUUUUUGCUGCUAAUCCAAAAGAAGGCAAAAAACCCAGUCUGAAGCGCUUCCAAUUUUGCAACAAACUAGAAAAAAAAUCUUCCUUGUGUGUGUGUGUGUCUGUCAGUAAGUGUGUGUGCCUGUCAGUAAAUGUAUGUGUGUGCCAGUCAGUGAAUGUGUGUUUGUGUCUGUCAUUGUGAGUCUGUGUGUCUGUCAGUGAGUUUGAGUGUCAUUGUGAGUGUCUGUGAGUGAGUGCAUGCAGUUUGUUUCUGAGUCAGUGAAUGUGUGUGUGUCUGUCAGAGUGUGUCAAAUCAGUGAGGAUGUGUGUGUCUGUGUGUGUCAGUGUAUGUGUAUCUGAGAGUAUGUGUCUGUCAGUGAGUGGGUGUGUCAGUGUGUGUCUCAGUGAAAGGGUGUGUUGGUUAAACAUUGUGUGUGCUAAUGACUGUAAAUGUGUGCCAAUGACUGUGUAUCUGUCAGUGAGUUUAUGUCAGUGCACGUAUCAAUAAGGGCGUGUGACUGUCAGUCAAAAAAGUGGCCCUGAUUUAAAUUGAUAAGGCAAAUUUAGAUUAGGGGGCUGCCCAAAUUUAGUCGUACCUAGGGCAGCACAAUUACAAAAUACACCACUGCCUCCCCCGAUAGGUCCACCAUUAAUCCCUUCUGCAGUGGGAACACUGUUUCAGGCCUAAUGUGGUUUAACGUAGUUUGAUCCGCUUGAUGUAAACGUGGUUGCUAAUCACCCAGGUGACACCAUGUCACUCCGUAUCUGAGUGCACGCCCUGUGGACGAGCCCAUCAAAUGAAAUUGAUCUUCCAUGAAGUCCAACCCAUGUGCUCAGAAUCGGCUACUUCACGUGAAUCAGAAAGGAUCCUAAUCAAGUUACUUCAUGGAGAAUAGAGCCACUAUCUAUUGAAUAACCAUACAGCUGUUUUUGGUGUCAGAGUCUGUUUAAAUUCCAUGAUGUUGGGGAACGACCCAAGCCCUCCUAUUCAAAGCAUAGUGAUUACCUUGAGCACUUGCCCCAGUAAUACCGGUUAUACCACAGUCUGAUCCUUUCUUCCUCCAGACAUGACUGACUCCAUCCAGUGAGAGGAGAAUUUAUCGCUUUGAUCAUUAAUCUGCAGGACGUGACUCAUUUAUGAACAAUCCUUUAAUGAUGACAUGUCUGUAGCAAUUCUACAAACUUGCCAAUUUAACCAGUUUUUGAGAUUAACACAAACAGCACGAGCGUCAGCCCAGCUGCCAAAGAGGAUCCUCGCGAGAACCGAUUGAAGGUCCCUUUAGUCUGGCUUGGAAUUAAAUUCUUAAAUGGAUAUUCCUCGUAAAUAAAAGAAGGCUUCUCACACUCGCAGAGGCUCCAUCACUUAAUCCCGGGAUGCGAUAUCGACUGCAUGACCUUGCGUGAAGUUAUUAUUAUUAUUAUUGCUAUUUAUAUAACGCCAACAGAUUCCGUAGCGCUUUAUAAUAUUAUAAGAUUUAGCUAUUUAGCUAUAAAUAGGACAAUUUAGCUAUAAAUAGGACAAUUACAAAAACUUACAGGAACGAUAGGUUGAACAGGACCUUGCUCAAAUGAGCUUACAGUCUAUAGGAUUAUAUUACUCUGUCUACUGCGCUGAAACUUAUCUCAUACCUGCCAUAAGGAAACCCAUUUAUACUCUGCCGGUCUCGCUCUAUAAAUACAGCACAGAGUGGGUUAAUACAGCAGGUUUGGGGUUAAUACAGCACUGAGUGGAUUAAUACAGCACAGAAUGAGUUAAUACAGCAGGUUUGGGGGUAAUACAGCACAGAGUGGGUUAAUACAGCACAGAGUGGAAUACAGCACAGAGUGGAUUAAUACAGCACGGAGUGGGUUAAUACAGCAGGUCUGGGGGUAAUACAGCACAUAAUGGAUUAAUAUAGCAGGUGUGGGGGUAACACAGCUCUGAUUUGGUUAAUACAGCACUGAGUGGGUUAAUACAGCACAGAAUGAGUUAAUACAGAAGGUUUGGGGUUAAUACAGCACGGAGUGGAUUAAUACAGCACGGAGUGGGUUAAUACAGCAGGUUUGGGGGUAAUACAGCUCUGAGUGGGUUAAUACAGCACUGAGUGGGUUAAUACAGCACAAAAUGAGUUAAUACAGUAGGUUUGGGGGUAAUACAGUAAAUAAUGGGUAAAUAUAGCAGGUGUGGGGGUAAUACAGCAAUGAGUGGGUUAAUACAGCACUGAGUGGGUUAAUUCAGCAGGUUUGGGGGUAAUACAGCACAUAAUGGGUUAAUACAGCAGAUGUGGGGGUAAUGCAGCACUGAAUGGGUUAAUACAGCACAGAAUGAGUUAAUACAACAGGUUUGGGGGUAAUACAGCACAUAAUGGGUUAAUACAUUAGGUUUGGGGUAAUACAGCACAUAAUGGGUUAAUACAUCAGGUUUGGGGCUAAUACAGCAGGUGUGGGGUUAAUACAGCACUGAGUGGGUUAAUACAGGUGUGUUACAACAGAACAUGUGAAUUAAAGGGUUACUCCAACCACCAUGACUUUAAACUCUGCAAAUUCCCCAAAUAUCAAUUCUGUGAAUAUAUCCUGUGUCGGCAGCACGCAGGUUUGUGGAUGAAUCUUCAGAUUAAUUUAUUGUGGAGAUCUAACUUAACCCAGAUAGGAUGGUGUUACACAGUCUCCGUUCCACAGACUGGUUAUAUUGUUAAUGUACACUUCUGUUUACUGAGACUCUGUUUAACGGCCUGCAGGCCAGGCGAACGGACUAUGCGAACUGAUUAUAAAGCGUCUUUCGUCAGUGUGAACGACCGACCACCCAGCUCCAGGCGUGUGCCGCCACUUAACCCCGUCACCCCGCAAAGUCCCGAACGGCCGACCACCCAGCCCUAAGCGUGUGCCGCCACUUAACCCCGACACCCCGCAAAGUGCCGAACGGUCAGCCACCCUGCGAGCAGAGGGUGCCGCUUAUCAACCUGCCCUCACGGGUUGCGGUUUGUGGUUAACCACAGGUUAAGUGNNNNNNNNNNNNNNNNNNNNNNNNNNNNNNNNNNNNNNNNNNNNNNNNNNNNNNNNNNNNNNNNNNNNNNNNNNNNNNNNNNNNNNNNNNNNNNNNNNNNAUCCCACCGCUGCCACCAAAUGUUACGGUUGCCUCCAGGCUGGCUGAAAGUUGGACCGUAGAAAGGAUGCUCCUAGCGCUCACCAAAGGACCAUCAGCACCGUAGACACCAUAAGAACUGCGUAGACACCAUAAGUACUGCAGACUCAACGAACCGCCGCUGCUGGGCUAGGAUCUCGCCGUCUGCUCUGUGCCCUGGACCCACGACCAGGCUCCAGGUUGCAGUAGGUGAACCUCUUCCUUCUGCAGAGCGAAGCAGGAUCAGGAACAAGAGCUCUUACAAGAGCUCAGUAGCUAAGGGAGUAUGAAGAGCAUAGCAAUCCCUGUAGUGAUUAUAGCUGUCCCCUACAAACAUGAGUCAAGGCUGCAAGUUAGAGGGUCAAGAAGAUCUGAGGUGCUGGCACACCCAGCCUGGUUUUUAUUACAGUCUUGCAAAUACAGGACCGCCCACAGGGAGGUAUAAAACAACCAAUAAUAAAUGUACAUUACAGAAACACUCCCAGCAAUUACACACAAAACUCCUCCCCUCUGCCUGUGAUCUAAUUAUGUUGCACAAUGGGUUAACAUAAUUAAACACAGGCAGUAAAAAUACAGUUUUUAUCCAUACCCUGUAACUUUAAAACCAUACAUCCAAUCUUCAUACAAAUACAUAUUUAGAAUCAAUCCAUUCAGGGGAGCAACAUAUUAAAAACUGGCACAAAUCAGACAAGGGGUUCAAAAGUUAGCAAAAGUAUCUUUUGGGGCCUAGCUGGCAGCAUGGUUUUCUGGCCCAAACCGGAUUUACAGAGCCCUCUAUCCUGGACAAUGGGGAAAGUAAUCCAAUUAUCCAGGGAUAGAGGCAGACUCCAUUAACCACAUGUCAGCAAAAGACACAAAAAGACACAAAAAUACAUAACUCCUAUUGAACUGAACAGAACCCCCACAUUCAACCUAUCCCCAGAUGGCUUGGAUCUGAGCGCUCAAUAUAUCCAAACAGCGCUCAGAUCCCACAAAUACAGUCAAAUCGCCAUACACACUAGGUCCAUAGUCAUGGGGCAGAAGGCUGGCAAUUAGGCUUCUCCAUAACACAGGGAAGCAGGGCAAUUUGUCAAAUAACAUAACAGUUACAAAUGGCAGUUUGUAACAGAUGCUCACCCAGUCUUCACUCCUUCAAAAAAUCGUUAAAAACCCACUUCUUCAUAAAAGCGUAUCAAUUAAACUGUUAAUAGCUCCUGACUGAUUCCUCUUCUGCAACUGUCACUAGUCUAAUACUAUCCUUACCUUUUUGUGUCGUUUUACCCCACUCCCUCUAGCAUGUAAGCUCAUUGAGCAGAGCCCUCAACCCCUCUGUUCCUUUGUGUCCAACUUGUCUGGUUACAACUACAUGUCUGUUCGUCCACCCAUUGUAAAGUGUUGCGGAAUUUGACGGCACUCUAUAAAUAUCAUAAUAAUAAUAAUAUCUCUUUCACCAAAUCUCCAAAUCUUUCAUGGAAAGAACUCGUCCCAAUGGCCAAAACAUGGAGUACCGCAACUCAAGAACAGCUCACAUUGACGGGGGUCACUAAAAGGACCAUAAAUUGCACAGAGAUAUGUGAAGACAUCCCUCCUACAGAACAGGACCCGGAUGCCCCUCAUGACUGUUUUGAACAGAUGAAAAUGGAGACAACCCAUCUCCCAACGGUGCACAAGGCUGCUUUCCCAGAUCCUGACUUCACCCUGUUUGUGGAUGGUUCUCGAUUUGCCGACAUACAGGGGCAAUAUCAUACUGGAUAUGCUGUCACCACAGAAGACCGAGUACUCCAAGCAUCUCCACUUCCAUCAUUUAAGUCAGCACAAGAAGCCAAACUAAUAGCCCUUACAGCAGCAUGCAAGAUGUCUGAAGGGAAAUGUGUUAAUAUCUAUACAGACUCAAGGUAUGCCCUGGGCGUAGCGCAUGAUUUUGGCUUACUCUGGAACACAAAGGGGUUUCUUACAGCAGCUGAUUGAUAAAUAUUUUGACGCACCUGGAAUCACUACUUUGACAAGAAAUUACUGCAGAUCCUGUACUAUCUGCGCCAGAUGUAAUCCAGGAAGAAUAAUUAAAGCCGCACCAAACCAUUUGGCCAAGCCACAGUACCCUUUCCAAAGGAUCCAAAUUGAUCAUAUCCAAAUGCCAAAAAGUGACCGGUAUGAAUAUGCACUGGUCAUAGUGGAUAUGUUUUCAGGAUGGCCAGAAGCUUUUCCCGUCACUAAUCUCACCGCGAAGACCACAGCAAAGCGCCUACUUACUGAAAUCAACUGCAGAUAUGGAGUUCCUGAGGUGAUUGAAAGUGACCAGGGGACAUCCUUCACCACGUUGCUAACCAAGGAAAUCUGGGCAGCACUGAGGGUGACCCUUGCAUUCCACACACCCUAUCACCCACAGAGUAGUGGUAAGGUAGAACGCAUGAAUGGCACCUUGAAAGCCAGAAUGCUUAAGAUGGCCCAAUAAACUAACCUACCCUGGCCAGAAAGUCUUCCCAUAGCACUAUGGAGUAUAAGGUACACUCCAAGAGGGAGAUUUAGCUUAUCCCCCUACACGAUUUUAUUUGGUACAUUUAUUUGGUACAGCACCCAGGUUAGGCUGUUACUUUCCUCAACAACUUCAAAUUCAGUCAGAUGCAAUGGUAGAUUAUAUAACUGCACUCUCUUAUGCCUUGACCAAAAUCCAUGCACAGGUGUUUUCUUCUGUUCCAGAUCCAGACUCAAAUACAGGCACACAUAAACUCCUUCCUGGUGACUGGGUUAUGGUCAAGAAAUUCCUGAGAAAGCACACUCUUGAUGGUCCAUUCCAAGUCCUAUUGACCUCAUCUACCUCGGUAAAAUUGGCUGGGAAGAAUACCUGGAUACAUGCCUCACACUGUAAGAAAGUUCCUGAUCCAGAGGAAGCAGAUCCCGCUAAACUAUGAGCUUCCUGUGUCUAUUUCUGUUGCUAGGCCUAUUAAAGGCCCAACAAGUUGCUAUCACCAAAGAUAAUCGUGUUUACACAUUCUGGUAUAACUCUUCAAACACACGUAGCUACUUUUACCUUUGGUUACUGUGAUAUUGUUCCUUGUACUUUUCCACAAUCACAACACUCAGCAAUAUACAAAGACAUACCCAAUAGAAAGGACCCAUACAUUUGUGUGACAGGUGACCAUUGGGGACAUCAUCGUAGUACCUGGAAAGCAGCAGGUUAGAAUAUAGGCCGACCAUGGAGCUAUAGACCAAAAAGCGCCUUGGAUAGGGUGGACAGACAUGGGAAACCCUUAUUACACAGAAUGACCUUAUGUAAGCCAACAGGGUCUACCCCAAUGAAACUCACCUUAAACAUAGAACAUCCCAGCCCAGGAGACACUGGAGAGUAUGUAAUGGGGAUGUACUGGAGAGGGGGUGGUUCAUAUAACAAGUUGGGGACCUUCUAUUUACAAGACAUGCAUACAUCACCUGACUGGGUAGACUCUUCACACAUGAUCACGAACCCUCUAAAACCACACAUUAAAACUCUUAAGGACAUGGUAGCAAUUGCCAAUCCUGCAUUCGAGGACACUAUGGCUGUGGAGACCGCUUUUUCAGAUACCAACCUAUGGCUCGAGUGAAUGAGGUAUAAUGCUAAUUCACACAAUAAAACUAACUGUUAUGUCUGUGGCGGGGCCAGACCCCAUCUGGGUACAGUGCCUUUUAAUCUACCCCCCGAUGUUGAGAUGUGUUUUCUAAACCUCUUUGUACAAUCAGCCACAAACUCAUCAGUAUGUGAAUCAUGGAAAAAGGUAUAUCCAUUAACUCAAGGGAAUCUCAGGCCACCUGAUGGAAUCACCGUGUAUCCAGGUAAUUACACUUGCUACACUAUACACGGAACCACGAUUAAAUUUGUGGGUAGUUUCCAUCCCGGCUACUGUGCCACCUAUCAGUCACCUCCCACUACCUUAUUGGUAAAUCAAGUCAAGUCCUUGGGAGACAUUUAUUGGCUAUGUGGUGAUAUGCAACUCAGAUCUAAAAUGACUGGCCUGUGGUGGGGAGAAUGCACUCUGACCAAAGCUAUCAUGCCUAUACAUAUAAAUUCCGAUAACCACCAAGGCCCACUAGAUUCCCCACACACGUACUUCAGGAUAAAAAGAGAAACCCCUAUUCAAGGUAGUUUCGACCACAUAUAUAUAUCGAUGCCAUAGGUGUACCAAGAGGGGUACCAAAUGAGUUCAAGGCCAGAGAUGAGGUUGCGGCAGGAUUCGAAUCCUUGAUCCCAGUCAUCACCACUAACAAGAAUGUUAACUGGAUUAAUUACAUCUAUUAUAAUCAGCAACGUUUUGUCAAUUAUACUAGAGAUGUCCUUCAAGGCUUGGCAGAACAAUUGCAGGCUACCUCCCAAAUGACAUUUGUGACGAAGUGCCCUUCGCCACUUGGUCCUGGAGAGGCCUGCUUGCCAGCCUCCUCCCCUGUGACCAUGACUCUUUGAUGUAUUUGGCUUUAAAGCCCCUAUUCUACCUUCAGACAGACUAUUUAUGUAGGUUGCUUUAUUUCUCUUAUGUUUUAGUCACCCUGUACCCAUUAUAGGUGCAGGGUGUGUGUAAUGUAAUUGUUUAUAGUGUGUGUGUGUGUGUGUACUGUGUAAUGUAUUGCCUGCUCUCUUGUACUGCUGAGGUUUUCUACCAACUAGGUGGGUUUGGCUAUGGAGCUUGUCUAGUGCCCUCUGUUGGUAGCAACAGCAAUAUGCACUACCUGAAUAGCAAGACUGGUUCAUUUGCAUAUUUGGGUAGAUUUGCAUAUUGCUAAUUCUGCAGGCACGUGAGAUAUUUUCUGUUAAAUAUUGUCUCCCCCACCCCUUUAAAAAUGUGCCAUUGUGGGGGGCGUGGCCUGACCGCUCAAGGAUAUGGACGUGUGAGCGAUCAGCUCCGUGCGAGAAUCCCAACUCACAGCGACUAACAGCAGACUGAAUCCAGCAUAUACCCCCCCGAACAACCCAAAGGGUGUACGAGAACUUACCCUGCAAUAUGGCACAACGCUCAACGAAAAAACCUAAACUGAAGCCGCCUUCUAUGCAGAUCUCUGCCAUGGCUUCACCGCCACGCGGCACACAAGAUGGCGCGGGUAGGCCGUGAUCACCGGCUUCCAGCUCCGACCGGAGCGAUAUCACCUCGAUCUCCACAAAGGACCUCCCAGCUACUGACUCCUCCAUACAAAAAAUGCUAAACGGACUGCAAGUGUCCUUACAAGCAGACUUUGCCAAAUUGGCAAAAGAAAUAAGGGCAGACAUCAAGGCUUUGGGGGAACGUACAGACUACCUCGAACACAAAACGGAGGAAAUUAUUAGUGCUCAUAAUAACAUGGCAGCUGCUUACGAUACGGUAGAUGCGAGAAUAAACUCCAUCCUUGCAAAAUUAGCUGACCACGAAGACAGGGACAGGCGAAACAACAUUUGCAUACGCGGCAUCCCUGAAGAGAUCACCCCAAACAAUUUGGGCACUCACGUCAAAACAUUCUUCCAUCUUCUAGCCCCGGAUAUCCCAGAGGAAGCCCUACUCCUUGACAGAACGCAUCGAUUGCCUAAACCGAAACACCUCCCAGCUUCUAUCCCAAGGGACACUAUUACCAGAGUCCAUUAUUACACCACCAAAGAGGCUAUAAUGCAGGCAUCCAGAAAACAACCGACCCUACCAGACGCCUACAGCAAAGUUCAGCUGUUCACCGACCUCUCGGCAACUACAUUAGCAGCAAGGAAGAGCUUCCUACCAAUUACCAAAGCCUUGAGGACGGCAGAUAUCCCAUACAAAUGGGGCUUCCCAGCUCGCCUCAUUCUCCGACGUAAUGUCAUCGAGAAACACAUUCUCACCCCAGAGGACGGAAAGAAGAUCUUGGAAGAAUGGAACAUACCUCUGGACGUCAGCAAGCAAGCCAUCCCUGCCGGGCAGAAAGCUGUUGCAUCGCCGAAGACGCUCACGCACGAUUGGCACACAAAAGCCACAGCUAAGUGAAACUAUAUACAUGUUACUAUAGGACUAAGUUACCUGACUGGACACCUGCACCCUCUUAUUUCCAAAAAAAAAAUGGAAACAGGUGCAUGGACUUUACGACAUUACGUGCCAUCGAUAGGUCACCCUAUCGGAAAUAAUCUGUUUAAUAUUCUUUAAUCGCAGAUUGUUCAUAUUUUGUUAUGUUUGAUUCAUGUUACUCAUUGUAGUUAUAACGUGAUAUUCCAUUAAUCCCAGAAGGUAUGUAGACUCCUCUAGCAGUCGCCACAAGGCUGCCUCAAUGUAAUGUAUUUACCUCAUCCAACUCCGGCUACCUACUGCCCCCUGACCCGUAGCGCUGAGUACGGGUGGUUAAUAGAAGCUCCCCACGCUAUCUUCACACCCCCCAGGGUUGGGGUUACACUAUGGGACAUAACUAAACGUUUCAAGGCAGACACUGAGAUGGGAUAAAGAUGUUGUUCCUACCAAAGUUAUAUUUUCCUCUCUUUUACAUGCCUAAGUAACACAUAUGACCUUUUUGUGUAUACCCCAUCGUCCCCAUCCCUUACUUGGAGACAACAUCUUUCAUUCACACAUUACCUGAGAUAGCUUAAGAUGUGGUGACCGAACGCUAGAAUGGAGAUAGGAACGGACAGUGAAUGCCGUACUUAUUGACUUGUGUACUAUAGCUCUACGAGCUGCGACUUACGCAUCCCAAGAUGGAAUAACCGGGUUUUCUCUGAGUAUUCAUGUACACAAAACCAGCUAGACACUAUACCAGGGAUAUCCGGUCUUCACGUCCCUACUUACGGCCUGGGAGUAUAUUUUAUCCUCUACCACCCCAUACACUCAUAACUCACCCUUAUCAGACUUCUGGGAUUCUCCCCUCCCCCCACAGGGGCUUCAGUGCCCGACGGAAAUGGAGAACCUUAGGUCUCACCGCAGAGGCCUUCUCUUUGUAUAUAGUUUAAUAUAUGUUGUCUGUUAUACCCCCCAUCCCCCUCCUCCCCUCACCAAGAUAUCUAACCACUACCGAGACAUAACCAUGCACACACCACAAAUCUACCGCCUAAUUGAACAUCCAGCGCCGCUUGAAUGGCUAUUACCAAGGGUCGAACGACUCGAGGCACACACCACUACUUGGUUAUACACCACAUCAGUGCUGAUAACUCAGCAAAAUAUACAUAAAUUAGAAACCCCCUGUCAUGGCACUUAACAUACUUUCUAUAAAUACUAAAGGACUCAACUCGCCCCAUAAACGACGCAUGGCACUGUUGGAAGCAAAAAAACACAAAGCACAUAUAGCAUUCUACCAAGAAACCCACUUCCAAACCGCAAACCACCCCAAAUUCUCAUCUAGGAACUACCCGGUAGGAUACCACAGUACUUACAAAAAAAAAAAAAGAGGGGUUACAAUAUUAAUCAGUAAGGACGUGGCGUUCCAAUUCAUUAAAAAAAUAAGUGAUAAAAAAGGACGCUACCUCCUCUUGCAAUGCACCAUUAACAACGCUCACUACACACUGGUCAAUAAUUUAUGGUCCACACACCGACCAACACACCUUUCUGGAUCAUAUCCUAACUCUAACACAGGCGCACCAAUUUGGAGAAAUCCUAAUAGGGGGAGACACCAAUUUCCUUGUAGACUCAGAUUUAGACUCCACUUCGACCACGAAAAUCUCACGAACUACAUCACAACGUAGAAUAUGUGCUACGACUCUUAUUGAUAACACCCUCAACACUCAUGGCUACACUGACAUAUGGAGGACCCUUCAUCCACUAGAAAGAGACUACACACACCACUCCCUAGUACACGAUACAUACUCCCGGAUCGACCGCUUCUUAGUCCCAUCAACACACAUAUCACGAAUUUCCAAAAUGGAAAUAGGCAUGAUAACAUGGUCAGAUCACGCACCUAUAACGAUUUCGAUAAACACAAUGCACCCUACCACUGGCAACCGCACAUGGCGACUUAAUGAUACCCUUCUCAAUGACCACAAACUGGUCUCACAACUCACAGAAGAUUUAAAAUCAUAUUUUACUAUUAAUAACACAGAGGAAAUAGGAGUGGAGACGCUUUGGCAAGCGCACAAAGCGGUCCUCCGAGGCCAAUGCAUUAAACAUGCCAGCUUUAACAAAAGGCUACGCACGAAAGCGUAUACAGACAUACACAUGGAACUUGCCACCCUCACCCGCACAAACAAAUGUUCACCAUCACAUAGUACCACGAAACGAAUUCUCCACCUACAGGCUAAACUAAACGACCUGGAACUAGCCAAGACAACUUACUUACUGACUAGAAUGAAACAUAAAUUCUUUGCAGAAGGGAAUAGAGCAGGAAAAAUCUUAGCUGCCCACCUGCAAACCAAAACCACAUCCUCCAAGAUAGUUUAUAUACUCACUAAAGAAGGACACAAGAUUACCAAUCCACAAGAAGUAGUGGAAGAGUUUGGCAAGUACUACAGUAGCUUGUAUAACUUAGCUGGAGAAACUGAAAACCCUACACCUAAUCAAAAAGACAUAGAUGCUUUCCUGAAUGACAUACAAUUACCAUCCAUUACCCCGGAAGAUUGUUACAAACUGACACAACCAUUUACCAUACAAGAGAUUAUAGAUACCAUCAACCAAUUGCCGAAACACAAAUCACCCGGGCCAGACAGGUUCACAAACCUAUACUAUCAUACCUUCAAAGACAUUCUGGCGCCCCACAUGGCCACUUUAUUUAACCGCUCUUUUCAAACAGGAGCUAUGCCCGCAGCUAUGCUCCAAGCCCACAUAACUACACUCCCCAAACCGGGAAAACCCCCGACCCACUGUUCCAACUUUAGGCCCAUAUCCCUCCUGAAUUGCGACGCUAAAAUAUAUGCCAAGCUGCUGGCUAACAGAUUAGCCCCCAUUUUGCCACAAAUAAUACACAAUGAUCAAUCAGGCUUCAUAAAAGGGAGACAGGGCUCCGACAAUACUAGGAAAAUACUCAACAUACUUUCCCAUGUAGAAUCAGAGAGUACUGAAUGCUUGCUUCUAGCACUAGACGCUGAAAAGGCUUUUGAUAGGCUUAAUUGGGCAUAUAUGACAUCGGUACUAAUGAAAUUCGGCCUCCCACUAAAGCUUAUCCAAGGGAUUAUGGCGUUAUAUAAAAACCCUACUGCUCAAGUAUACCAGUCUGGAUUAAUUUCCUCUCCAUUCGGCCUAACUAAUGGAACUAGACAGGGGUGCCCCCUAUCCCCUCUCCUUUUCAUCCUUGCAUUAGAACCUCUAGCUCACAAAAUCCGACAAGACCCUCUCAUUAUGGGUAUACACAUAGGACAAUCAAACUACCGAUUAUCAAUGUUUGCAGAUGAUAUCUUGCUCUCUCUUAGCAAACCAGACGCUUCUCUACCCCGCUUAAUGGACUUACUACAAGAUUAUGGCUCUAUAUCAUACUACAAGCUCAAUAGUAAUAAAACACAGGCCCUACCGAUACAUAUGUCCAUGGCACAGAUACGCACAUUACGCCAGGCCUUCAACUUCGAUUAGAGACAAAAACACAUUAUAUAUUUAGAAGUGAAGCUAGCUUUACACACCCCAAAAAUGGUAUCUCUUAACUAUGGACCCCUGCAACAUACCUGCACCUCAUACUUCCAAACAUGGAAGCACAUCCACCUGUCGUGGUUGGGCAGACUCAACACUAUUAAAAUGGUGUUACUACCCAAAAUCCUUUAUGUAUUUAGAAUGUUACCUCUCAAUGUCCCAACACAUGUACUGAAAACCUUACAAACAACCUUAACUAGAUUCGUCUGAAACAAAGCAAAAGCCAGACUGCCUCAAUCCUUACUCCAACUCCCGAAAAUGAUGGGAGGUCUUGGCUUCCCAAAACUAGCUACUUACUAUGAAGCCUCCAUCCUUGAAUCAGCAAUUCGUAUCCAUGCCCCCAGAAACACAUUUCAGUGGGUCGACAUGGAGCAAGAAAAAUUCUCUCGGCACCCCAUGCUAAACAUACUAUGGUCCCCCAAAAUAUACAGACCAAAGAAACUCCCAUUAUACCCCACCACUAAACUGACUAUACACAUAUGGGACAAACUAUUGACCACCAUAUCUGAGAAAGGAAAAUUCUGUAUAUAUGCCCCACUAGGGGCACUGGAAGGAGUGUCAGACUGGCUGUCACUAAAACCCUGGGCUAUGUAUGGCGUUAAACAUAUCAAAGACCUCUGCUCCCAAACCGACCUCAUGGCCUUCCCUACACUACAGGCCAACUCCAAGAUACCCAGCUCCUUUAUGUUCCAAUACAUACAACUGAAGAGCAUUGUGCACACCAAAGUGACAUUGAAACUCCCGACAACUCCACCAAAAGGGACCCACACAUUGACUAUCAUUACAAGAUGCCUGUCGGCACCGACACAACCCAAAUCCCUAUCCCUAUGCUACAAGACCCUUCUAAACCACACACCACCACAUGCUUUUAAUUAUGUAAAACAAUGGGGGAAAGAGGAUAUGCCCGAACUCACUGAUAACCAAUGGCUCCAGUCACUGAAUGCUCUAAGAGGCCUCACUUCUUGCUUCUCUCAUGUGGAGGCACACAAAAAAGUGAUAUACCGGUGGUACCUUACCCCACAAAGACUACAUCAAAUAUACCCUACAGUAGACUCCAAAUGUUGGCUUAAAGGAAGGGACCAUGACCCACAUCUGGUGGGAAUGUAAAGAGAUCAAACCCCUGUGGUUACAUGCACAACAACUGUUAGGGAAAAUACUAGGGUACAAGGUUGACCUAACACCGAUGGUGGCGAUCCUAUUGCUUUUCCCACCCACAUGGAAAAAAGGAGCCAAGAAACUGGCCUCCACUAUCAUAUUAGCAACUAGAAAUCUCAUUGCUCUACAUUGGCGGAGCAUAUACUGUCCAACACACAAAGAACUAAUGAACAAGAUAUACCAAUUUUAUAGAUAUGAAGUACUUUCCUCAGAUUCCCAUGCAAAAACACGGCUCACGGAACAGCUAUGGGAACCAUGGCUUUCACUGAUACACUACCAUCCACCAUAACCUACCUAGACCAAUGCAGAAAGCUGAUUAAACAAGACGAACCAUCCCUAAAGAAACAACCCACACACACUGUGAGAGACGAUACCAUAUGACCCAGACUAGGGACACGCAAUACCUAAGUAGGGUGAUGUAUAUAUGUAUAUAUGACUGUUUGGAAUGGCGUAGAUAUCUAAAAAUGUACAAUGUAAGCUGUUGUCUGAACGUUUAUGUUCUCAAUGUGGUAUAUUCAUCCGUGUCAACCUCAUUAUGUAUGUGUACCAAUGUCGAUCAUAUGUAUGUUACAAAGCAAAGAAUAAGAUGUCUUGACCGAGACGUUUCCCCCUCCUCCCUUUCUUUUUUCUGUACCCUCAUUUUCCUUUUCUGAAAAUACAAAUUUUCAAAUAAAAAAAAAAUACAAAAUGUGCCAUUGUGUUGUGAUAAGUCACUGUAUGUUGCCUGCUAUGGUUUGACUGUUUGUGAUUUUAUUGAGUUUUCACAGCAAUGUUAAUGUGGUGACCCUGUGGGCUGGUCCCAAGGGAAAUAAAGGUUUAGACAGUUAUAAUCACAAUGGGGAUUGCUAUGCUCUGCAUACUCACUUGAGCUUGAAUCACUUAGCUUGUUUAAGAGCUUGUUCCUGACACACUCUCCUUAGAGUAGAGGUCUUCACCACACAGUCCUGGAUGCUGCCUAUAGAAUACACACUUCUGCCUAUACAUACUAUGUUAUAUGUGUACACGUGUCUGCCUAUACAUACUAUGCUAUAUGUGUACACGUGUCUGCCUAUACAUACUAUGCUAUAUGUGUACACGUGACUGCCUAUACAUACUAUGCUAUAUGUGUACACGUGACUGCCUAUACAUACUAUGCUAUAUGUGUACACGUGUCUGCCUAUACAUACUAUGUUAUAUGUGUACACGUGUCUACCUAUACAUACUAUGGGAUAUGUGUACACGUGACUGCCUAUACAUACUAUGCUAUAUGUGUACACGUGUCUGCCUAUACAUACUAUGCUAUAUCUGUACAUGUGUCUGCCUAUACAUACUAUGUUAUAUGUGUACACGUGUCUGCCUAUACAUACUAUGCUAUAUGUGUACACGUGACUGCCUAUACAUACUAUGUUAUAUGUGUACAUGUGUCUGCCUAUACAUACUAUGUUAUAUGUGUACACGUGUCUGCCUAUACAUACUAUGCUAUAAGUGGUCAACCUGACUACCUGUACAUACUAUGCAAUAUGUGUACAUGUGACUACCUAUACAUACUAUGCUAUAUGUGUACAUUUGACUGCCUUUACAUACUAUGCUAUAGUUCUGUAUGCUGUCCCUUUAAGAAAUCUCCCCAGAGUACAAUAGAAAGAGAGGCGCGAUUCUUCCUGUAUCCUAACACACCUCGUUCAAUGCACGCCAUUAGGCCCUGGGGAGAUAGCGCAGCUAAGCGGACAAGGGCACAUGUAGGAGUGUGGGGAUAGAUGCAUGGGAUUGGAUGGGAAAGAGUGUGUGGGUGGGAUUAUGUUCUGUGUAAGUUAGUGUGGGGGACGUCUUACCUCAGUGCCACUUGGGAUUCGGGCCAGCAAACAGCUUCCUGUCCUCCAGCUCCUGUUUGCCUGGGCCUGCAGAUUGACACAGCUUGAGGGAUGGAGGGUGAGGCGAUCCUGUCGUCCCUCAGGGCUGCUGCAGCGUGGAUGGUGGCCGGCACCUGUGGAGGCAGUUUACAAGCAUUACUGGAGGUAUGGCUGCCGGUGUGGGCACCCCCCGCGGCCUACCCUCCCCCUGGGGCACCCCCUGCGGUCUCCCCUGCUGCCUCCCAUGCGGCCCCUGCCCCUGGGGGCCGCACCAGCACUGGCAGGCAUUCCCACCCGCCUGCCAGGCUGUCCCUGGAUCCUACUCCCCGGGCCCGGUGAGGAGCAGGAGCCUGGGUCCGGGGCACCGCGGGGGCCGCGUGUCUGGGGCUGCAGACACGUGGCCUACUACUGGGGGGCUGGGAUCUGAGGCCUACUGUGGCCACGCGCAUGGCACGGCCUUCAGACACGAGGCCUGCCACUGCCGCGCGGCCUGCUACCCCCAUGGCCGCCCAGCCUGCUCCUUCCUGGGCCGCCCACUACCUCCAGGCCGGGGAUGCGGCCUGCAACUGCCGCGCGGCCUCCUGGUGCGGCUGCCGUGCGGCCUACUCCCCUCUCCCCCCCUCCACACCAUCCGCCCCGGCUGCCAGUGCUGAAUUGCGGGCCGGGGGGCGGUGGGCGGCGGAUCCCGCGAUCCGGGCGGCGGGUGGCCGCCCGGCAACUGUGCAGCUCCCCCGUGCCCGGCGGGGAGGUGAGUGGGCCCUCGCGGGCCGCUGGGGGGGAGUCCCCUUGCCAGUCGGGAGCCUCCUCUGCCAGUGAGGAAGGCUCCCAGGGCUCUGUCUCCCCUCCCUCCCUCCCUAUUUGGCUGGUUGGCUGGCUUUAUUUCUUCCAGGGGGUCCAACUUUCCCUUGCCUGGGCCCCUUUGUUCCCCCCCUUUUCUACCUUGCCUCUCCCCCCCCCCCAGGUCACUUACCUCGGCCAUCUCCUCUGGGGCGUGGGCUCAGCUUCUCGGCUGCUUCCUUCUCAGCAUGCUGCUGCAGUUCAUGGGUCCGUCCGGCAGGUGGCGCCUGGAUCACAGCUGAUGUCUUCUGUGGAUGCUGGAACGGCUGUUUCUUUGCCUUAGCCUUCUGUGAGCGCCGUGCCGGGCUUGGAUCGCCAGGCUGCGUCCGGUGAGUACAUUUCCCUUCUUUUAGCGCUUCGCGUGUGUACGUUCUUUCUUCCUUUCUUCCUAAAAAAAAAUAAAAAAAAUUGAUACAGACAAGGAAGAAAUUGCAGGACAGAAAUACAAGGUAAAUUACCUAUUGGAAUAAAAUAAAAAUAAAAAAAAAUAACAAAAAAAAUAAAUAAAUAAAGGAAUCCAACGUCAAGUACAAGGGGGAGAAUUCAAUAUAUAAAAAGAAUAAAAUAAAACAAUUAUAUAUAUAUAAUCCACGAUAAAACAAAAUUUAGGUACCCCCUUUCCUUUUUCAGUAUGUAUUAUACCUUUAGGUACGCUUUCCCGCAGCGUCUGGCGCAGCUGAUAGCGCCGGCGAUGCCUCCCAAGUUCACGUGACUCUGGGCUGCUGAGCUCAUGUGGCCCGCUUGGCUUGCGCGUAACGCUAGGGAGCGGAUGGAGAAUGGGGUUUUGUAUCGAAAGCUGUUCCCUCCUGCCACGGGGGUCCCUUGACUAAGGGGGACAUUAGGGGUUCAGGGAUGGUCGUGGGGAGCACAUAUCCAGGGCACAUAUCGGACAGGGCUCCCCGAGUCGGCGCUGCGUGGUUCAGCGGUCAGGACACUCUCGGGACACGUAUCGUCCCUGUGAUAAGCUGGGUUGGCGGAGGUACGUUUUGCACUUUCAUCAACGGUUGGCAGUGCGACCCUUCUUGGCCUGGGGCCGGAUGGGUUUUGCCGCUGGUUUUCUUUGGGGCUCACCUGGCCCCUCAGCACAGCGUGUUUUUCCGUCCUCUCUGCAAUCGGUCGGGAUGGGGACCCUCAGUUUAUGUGGGAGCUCCAUCGGUUGAUGUGGGUCCAGUUUACCAAGCACGCUUAUAAGUUUACUUCCCAGUCGUUUAGGGUACCCCUGGAGUUCGCUGUGGUGCCCAAGGAGGAGGAGCAGGGUCAGUAUCUCCAGAUUACUUAUUUGCUCAGUUGUCGUUUCCUUCCAGGGGCUAGGUUUGGGAUGAUGGCUCGGCGCAGCGGGCUGCGUGGGUGGGGCUGCAGGGCCUUGCUGACAAAGGCGGCUGUGGAAUCAGUUUUGCGGCUGCUGCCGGUACGCCCGUCGGGUUUUAUUGUUUCCAGGUUGUGUUCCCGACGGUCAGGAUUGGGUGGUUCUGUGCCUUCAUGUAGGUUGCUCCCGAUGUCAUUUAUGCGUAGGGCCGUCGGUGCAGCAUGUCCGCACUCUGCUGCUACAGUGUUUUUCCUGGGGUAGUUUUAUGAGUUUCGGAGUUCUGUGGCCCAAGCUAUAUCCGUAGGUUUUGGGCCAAUUUGGGCUCUCAAUGGUGUGCUGACUCUUGCCCAUUACACUGGCAAGGAUCGGUUUUCUGGCAGACUUUGGGGUUCUUGGAGCUUCCCCUUUCUGGUAGCAUGGUAGGCAUGGGGUGCCCGGCUCUAGAACAGGUAGGUGGGGUUUUCCUUUGGGACCAUCGUGGCGCAGUGCGGGCUGUCUUGUCAUGUAACAGUACACUUUACCCCAGGGUUACUCUGGUGGCAGCGCCUGGCUUGGCGCUGUUUGAAUCUAGGGCGGCUGGUCUUAGGUUUUUUGUGUCCGGGUAUUCCCGAUGUGGUGGCCGACGCUCUGUCUUGGUCAUUAUUGGGCAUUCUUCGGGCAGAGGUGUCACGGGGUCGAUGUUGGGGCAGUGGAGGUGGUCGCCUGGUCCAACGGUCUGAUGAAGCUGGUCCGUGGGUCGCCCUAUGAGGCGGCGUGGGGCCCACUCCAGUAUGGCGGGAGUGAUCGGGACGGAUGGGGACGUUUCCUUGUAGGUUCCGGGAGUGGACUGCUCAUCUACAUGUUUGGUUCCGUCUGUUGAGGGCGCUAGGGGUGAUUUCUGUGAUUGGCAGGGCUCGGCUUCCUGUUCAGGUUACAGUUGUCGGCAAGUGGUGGGGUGUUUUGGUGGACGGACUUAUUUCAGGUUUCGCCGCUCGACUGCUGUUGUCGUUGGGACGGGUAAGUCAGUUGCGGUGUGGCUGAUGCGUCGAUGGAAUCUGUGUGAUUCUUGGAUGUUUAGGGGUCGACGUGCCCUGGCUUUUCCGCUUUCUCCUAAGGUAGAUGGAAUACACGGGGUAAUGGUUGGGCUCCUAACACGGUGUAACGGGUUCCCAGGAUGGCCUGACAAAUUCCGUUCUGAUCGGAGGCACUGCAGGUUUCCAUCAAUUGCCUGAAAGUUGGUGUGGUGUUCGAGGGGCAUUUAUUCUGGUUUGGGAUGGCUACGGUCGCCGCCAGGCUUGGGGUGCCUGCGCCAAUGGUUCAGGGGCUCGAAUUUUGGGAGUCAGGGUGGUGGUUCCUUCAGGUUCACCCUGCUGGUCUCCGAAUGGAGGUUCAGUGGUCUGGCACCAGUUACAUGGUGGGGGUGUGGUCCUCCUCGUACGGGGUCGGCUGUCCCGCCUCUUGGACGUACCAGGGUUUUUUUGUCAUCUCUGGGUGGAUUGAUAUGGGUUCGGUGUUGUAUGGGGUGCUCUUCAAUCUGAGGGUGCUCUUGAAUCUGGACAUGUUACACAUUCUGUUUCUUACCAGAGGUUCUCAGGGGCCGGACUGAGGCUAUCACCUGUUCCUGUUGGCAGUGCGCUCAGCAAUGUGAGUGCCCUGGUGCGCUGCAGUCGGGAAUCGGUCGAGGUGGGUUUCUUGUUUUGGCUUGGGGGAUUCCAGUUCACCUUGGGGUGUGGCCGGAUUUGGCCUAGUUAUCUCGAGGGGAUGGGUGCGCUUGCUGGAGGUCGGAUGAGGCCUAUGUUGAUGGUGCACUGAGGACGACUCCGGCUGGAGAUGAAACGCGAUUGCUGCUAUAUCAAAGGAUUGUAUCUGGUGUUUUUUCUUGUUUCCUCUGCAGUGUUUUCUUUAGGCUUUGUGCCUAGUAUAUUUUACUAUUUAUACACUGCAUAUUGUCCCUGUUUUAAUUGUUUAUUUGUGCAAUAAAUUUUGGAGUCUGCACUUUGUAUCCUGUGCUGCUCUCUUCAAGGAUAUCGUUUAGCCUUUUUAGGCACCCUCCUGCACAUUAUAUAGAGCCUGGGACGGCUUUAAAUCCUGUGAGUUUUACGCUACAUAAGGAGUCUAACAUUAUGUAUAUGUGUAUAUGUAUAUAUAUGUAUGUAUAUAUUUUGCGCUAUGUUGUGUUAUUGGAUUGAUCACGAAUGGUCAUUUAAUUUCCUGGUGCAGUACUUAUUCUAUGUUGAUCUGGCACUGCUAGCAGUGGUGGAACAGGCCAUGGCUGGUUGUGGUGGGGUCCCACGCUGAUUUUAGGUGUAAAACAGCGUGGUUGUGGCGGGGGUAUGUCCUUGCCAAUUGAGUUUGAGGGGUUACGUUUAAGUAUAUGGAAUGAGAUGAACAAGUUUUUAAGGUCUCAACCUCCCCUGCUUCAAAAGGUUAACAUUAGGUUGCCUGAGGUGUCGUGCCCAUCGAGCGUGGAUAAGGUCGGCUGAUGGCGGGCAUUGGAAAGAUAUGAUUUUAUGACGAGGGGGGAGGUGAGAGGAAGUGGUGAUUAGGAACCACUGUAUGUUUAUUGGCAAGGACGGUUGGGUCACUGUAUAACACUAUGUGUGGAGUUAUAUAUGUAUAUAUGUUAAUUUAUGCUUAUUUAUGUCUAACGUUUUGGUUACAGAAAAAGAAGAGAUUUAAUAAAUAAAGUUAUGGAUGUGUUAUACAGUAAUUUAGUUUGUGAUAAUAAAUGCUGUGGCCUGUUCAUCCAUACUAAGUGGUCUGUCAUUAUUGGGGGGUUGAAUGGGG
rnacentral:lncRNA from 1 species